rnacentral:lncRNA from 1 species
AAUGUUGCAGCUAGCAGCGGUGGCACUGGCAAACCAUGCUGCUCAACCAGCAGCUCAACUUUACUGGAACUCCGUCCUGCCGAACACACAGAUGCCAAGAACUAUCAGUGAACUUCUGCAUCUUGGUUUGUGUUAAUCACUUUAGAAUCUUAGAUAUUUUUUCUACCUGCCAUUUUACUAAAAUUUGUUUGACCACAUAUUUAUCGGUUAACUACUGUUUUCCAAUUUAUUAUUAACCUCUACAUGAGUAAUUAUAGUAUGGUACUAGAGUACGUACGGCAACAUAUUCACAAAUGUCUCACUGAAUCUUCAAUCGGCUGAUCACUUAUUUUCCAUUAUGACGUUGAUAUAUAAUUUGCCGACUCCACAAAUGAAGAAAAGAGCACAAAUAUCAUGAAUGCUGUUGGGAAUGGAAAGCCAACUGACCACAAGGGAAAACCUGAAAUAAACGCAUUGUUUAGCGGAUACACAAUUCAAGUACAGUAUGCAGGAGUUCCUAAUUCUGACAAUCAACUCCAGUAUUAUAAAAACAUAACUAUUUUCUUCUUGGGGAAGGACAUGCGCCUUGGCGCAACAAUGAACUUCCAAUUCCCUAGAAAUUCAAACACGGCUACUUUCCUGCCACGCGAAAGUGCUCAAUCAAUCCCCUUCUCCUCUAACAAACUAUCAGAAAUUUUCAAACAUUUUUCAGUGAAGCCAACAUCUGUGGAAGCCAAAACAAUUAAGAAAACAAUCGAAGAGUGUGAAGCUCCAGGCAUUAAGGGAGGGGAAAGAUAUUGCGCCACAUCUUUAGAAUCAAUGGUUGAUUUUAGCACUUCCAAGCUUAGAACAAGAAACGUUCAAGCAAUCUCGACUGAGGUAUUGGAAAAAGGAACUGCCAUGUCCAUGCACAAGUAUACAACAAUGCCGGGACUGAAGAAGUUGGCAGGUGACAAAGUCGUUGUGUGUCAUAAGGAGAACUAUCCCUAUGCUGUGUUUUUCUGCCAUGCAAUAAAACAAACAGCAGCUUAUGUUCUCUCCCUGAAAGGCGAUGAUGGGGUGAAGGUUAAAGCAGUAACCAUCUGCCAUCUAGACACAUCAGAAUGGAACCCAAAGCAUUUGGCCUUCCAAAUCCUCAAAGUUAAGCCCGGAACCAUUCCCAUCUGCCAUUUCCUUUCCACAGAUGCUAUUGCAUGAACAUCACUUAGCACUGUACGUAUAAUAAGCUUGCACCCCUGUAUAAUUAUCUCCCUACUCUACUUAUUUCUGCCUCUUCUGUUGAGAUUUCAAUCAGAACUUGCACACACAAUGCAUCAGCUCACACAAAACCAGAUGAAUUUAAGAAAACAGAAAAAUGCAGAGAAAGAAUGGAUUGGCUACUCAGUAAUGCUCAAAGGUUCGUUGCUAUGCACAAAACAUGGCAGUGCACAAUACUCUCAUUUCUAACGGAACCAUUCCUUUUUACAAUGCUGAGAAUGUGAUCUCAGCCUUACAAUUGAUCCAGCAAUGUAAGCUGGACACUUGUCUUAAAUCUGAGUCAUAUAAGUUUCAUCCAACCAAAAUAUUACAUCUGUGAAAUAAAACUUAAACCAGCAGGAAUUUAUAAUUCGACAUUCCCUUCUAAAUUGUUGACUGGUUUAACACCAAGUAGACCUCUUAAGUAAUUGAAUCGAUCCUUAGACAAAGCUUUAGUGAAUAUGUCAGCUGCUUGCUCUUCGGACUUGCAGUAUCUUAGAUCCACCACACCUUCUUGCAAAGCAUCUCGAAUGAAAUGGUAUAUGCGGUUAAUGUGUUUGGUCUUUUGAUGGAAAACUGGAUUCCUUGUCAUUGCAAUGGCAGAGGUGUUAUCUACCAUUAAUGGAGUUGCCUCUGUUUGCUAUUCUCCAAAGUCUUCAAGCACAAACUUCAACCAUAUAGCUUGAGUAGUAGCUUCACUUACACUAACAUAUUCAACUUCAGUUGUGGAGAGAGCAACACUGGGUUGCUUGACAGAUGCCCAAGAUGACACGCCACUUCCAAAUGAGAAAGCAUAUCUAGAAGUGCUCUUCAUGUCAUCUUGACUCCCACUCCAGUCACUGUCACAGUAUCCAAUUAAUACAACUUCUUUUCCCUUCUGGUAUUCAAUACCAUAAUCAAUUGUGCCUUUGAUAUACCUCAACACCCUCUUAGUUGUUCCAUAGUGUUUCUUUUAGGACAAUGCAUGAAUCUAGCUAAUAAGCUAGCUGCAAACAUUAUGCCAGGCCUUGUAGCUGUUAAGUACAACAAACUUCCCACAAUCUGCCUAUAUUCAUUCUCAUCUGCUGGAUCACUUCCAUCUGCUUUGCAUAAUUUCUCACUUGCCACCAGAGGAGUGCUAACAGGUUUACAUUGUUUUAAGCCAAACUUGCUUAACAGAGUCAAAGCAUAUUUCUUUUGACUUAUGAAAAUACUCUUUUCAGUUUGAAUCACAGCCAUACCAAGAAAAUGAUACAAAAGACCUAAGUUAGUCAUUUCAUACCUUCUCAUCAUCUUAGACUAAAAAUCUGCAAUCAAUUCUUCACUGCUUCCUGUAUACACUAUAUCAUCAACAUAUAUCGAUACAAUGAGUGUUCUAGAGUUUUCCUUGGUCUUGCAAUACAGAGUUGCUUCACUAGAGCUCCUUGUAUAACCGCAGUCAAUAAGAUACGAGUUUAUUUCCUCAUCCCAUGCUCUUGGCGCCUGUUUUAGACCAUACAGAGCUUUCUUUAGUUUGUACACUUUGUCUUUAGAGUUCUUAAUCACAAAACCAUCUGGCUGGUCCACAUAUACUUCUUCCUUAAGCACACCAUUCAGAAAAGCAGACUUGACAUCCAAUUGAUACAACUUCCACCCCUUUUGAGCUGCCAAUGCAAUAAAAGUUCUAAUGGUGUCUAAUCGGACUCUGCACCCCUCUCGAUUGAAAACCUAUUGUGUAAAUCUUCAAUCCUAAACGAUGCACCUAAAACACAUGUUGCAAUACACAUCCACCCAUUCUCAGGCCAAUUAUUGCUCAUAGUGGGCUCCCGACCCCCUCUCAAAUUUAAGUGGUCCAUUAUUCUUAACCACAUAUUUUAUGGACCAUCCAGCUGUGAGGUUUUGUCUCAAAAACCUUCGGUACAUUUCUCCCACAUGCCACAAUUGUAUAUUCACAAUUACGUCUGAUACAUCACAUCAUGCCACUUGCCUCAAAUGAAUUUAAGUGAGUGAGGCAGUUGGAAGUAAUUAAGCUCUAUAUUGGUGGGUGGAGUGUUACUUCUGGGUACCCCUCAUCAUUUGUCUAUAAAAUGGUGAAGUCAGUUGCUACUGUUACCAUAAGAGCCAGCUCCGACUUUCUUUAAUUUCUUGCUUCAUAUCCACUAGCUACAUCUGUUGCCAAGUUAAUUUCAGUCCUAAUGGGGUUUCAUCCCCCACUCAUCUUUGCUAUUCUCAGUGUAAGCUCUGCAAUUUGAUUAACUUUUCCAUGCUCUCUCAUUGUACUCUAUAUAAACGAAAGUUUUGUGGUCCUAUAAUUCUCUCUCGAUUUUAUUUAGUACGUACUUAAGUGUUGUCCACUAAUUAAUUACACUUUGUGAGAUUUGAUUUUAAUUAGAGUUCGAAUUAAUGUUGCAGCUAGCAGCGGUUGCACAGGCAAACAAUGCUGCUCAACCAGCACCUCAACUUUACUGGAACUCCGUCCUGCCAAACACACAGAUGCCAAGAUCUAUCAGUGAACUUCUGCAUCCUGGUUUGUGUUGAGCUCUUUAGAAUCUUAGAUAUCUCUUCUACCUGCCAUUUUACUUAAAUAUGUUCGACCACAUAUUUAUCAGUUAACUACUGUCAUUACAUGAGUGACACAUAUUCACAAAUCGGCUGAUCACUUAUUUUCCAUUAUGACGUUGAUAUAUAAUUUGCAGACUCCACAAAUGAAGAAAAGAGCACAAAUGACGUUGGCAAACCUGAAACUUUCCCAUUGGGCAAUCAAAAUUACUCCAGUCAAAAAAAUUAUGGAACAGGCAAUAAACGUUACUGCAGUCAAAAAAGGUAUGGAAGAGGCAAGAAACGUUACUGCGAUCAAAAAAAGUAUGGAAGAGGUGCUUCUCCAUCUGACAAUCAACUACUCCAUUAUAAAGACUUAGCUAUUUUCUUCUUGGAGAAGGACAUGCGCCCUGGCACAACAAUGAAGUUCCAAUUCUCUAGAAAUUCAAACACGGCUACUUUCUUGCCACGAGAAAGCGCUCAAUCGAUCCCCUUCUCCUCUAACAAACUACCAGAAAUUUUCAACCAUUUUUCAGUGAAGCCAACAUCUGAGGAAGCCAAAACAAUUAAGCAAACAAUCGAAGAGUGUGAAGCUCCCGGCCUUAAGGGAGAGGAAAUAUAUUGCGCCACAUCUUUAGAAUCAAUGGUUGAUUUUAGCACUUCGAAGCUUGGAACAAGAAACGUUGAAGCAAUCUCGACGGAGGUAUUGGAAAAAGGAGCCACCAUGUCCAUGCACAACUAUACAACAAUGCCGGGACUGAAGAAGUUGGCCAGUGACAAAGUCGUUGUGUGUCAUAAGCAGAACUAUCCCUAUGCUGUGUUUUUCUGCCAUGCAAUAAAACAUACAGCAGCUUAUGUUCUCUUCCUGAAAGGCGAUGAUGGGGAGAAGGUUAAAGCAGUAACCAUCUGUCAUCUAGACACAUCAGAAUGGAACCCAGAGCAUAUGUCCUUCCAAAUCGUCAACGUUAAGCCCGGAACCAUUCCCAUCUGCCAUUUCAUUUCCACUGAUGCUAUUGCCUGGGUUCCGAACCACAAAUCUGCAUGAUCAUCACUUAGCACUGUACGUAUAAUUAUCUCCUUACUUAUUUCUGCCUCUUCAUCAUGUGGUGUAAGAUAUAUGAUGAGAUGAAGUUUUUGGGAUUAGUGGUUGGGUUGCCUGAAAAACACAGAUUACAGAAACUGCUUGAAAUUAACCCGAUCAUGUUUUCUCUUGUAACUAUAUAGACUUCAACUUGUACUCAUAAUAAAGCAUGCUAUAUUUAUGAAGAGAUAUUAAUCUAUAUAUAUUUUUUAUAUAUGCUUUGGCUUUGUGGUUCUACCCAAUGUUUGAGUGUUGAAUUGUUACGUUGGAAUAGGCUGCUAAUGCAUGUAGUUAGAGAAGCCUUCAUUUAUAUCAAAGUCCUCAAACUAUCAAGAACUAAUGUAUCCAGAAACAUAUACCAAGACGCAAAACAACAUAUUUUCCAUGCUCUGUCUGUAACACCAAAGCAAACUUCCUUGAUCACAAAAGGAUCAAAUUCCAGUACUAAUCUAAUCCAUCAUGUAAAGCAUACAAGUGCCUCCCUAAAUACUAUACUCUUUUUGUUAUUUCCUACUAUACUAUUUAAGAUUUAAAAUUCAGGUCAACCCAUAGAUUUCUCGCCUUUUUCUUCUUCAUCUCGUCGGGCUUGUCUUCUUCUUGAGGAUUGUAUAGGCCAAGGAAAUGCUUUGAGUUAGUUUUUGCGCUUUUGCGUUUUGGGCCUUGGAAGUUGGGACCCAAACCAACUUCACAAAAAGAAAACGCUCAGACUAUAAUGAGUGGAAAGUUAUAAGGGGUAAGUUAUAAGGAGUUCACUUUAUAGCCAUCAGAUCAAUCUAAGGGCUGGGGAGAAUUGAGAUAAAGUUUUAAAAUCGGGUAGGUGAGGAACCCAAACCCGAAUUGAAUAUCCAGCACGUCCGAAAAAGAAGAAGAAGAGGCAAGCACGUCCGAAAAAGAAGAAGAAGAGGCAAGGUCGAAGUUUGAACAGAAAAAACUCAUCUCUUUAAAACCCAUAGCUCUGAGAAACGGUUGAAGGCAACGGUUAACGACGGUUGUUGAAGCCACUCCGUUCUCCAGACCCUGAAAAAGUAUUUAUUUUGAGUAGAAGGGGCAAAUGUGUGGAUUCCGAAACAGUGAAGGGGCGAAGCAGUGGAAGGGGAAGGAGAGAAGCCGUAUUCGUUGGAAGUGGUAGGUUCCAUUUGUGGAGCAAAGCAACACAAAGACCCCGCACAGACACCUUGCGAUUGUUCAAUAACCAGCAUUUGGUGAGUAAUUUAUGGAAUUUGAGUUUAGGGUUAGAGUAAUGGUUUUCCCCAAUUUGUACCAUCAAUUUUGUUGGAUUUGGCAUCUCUUCUUUGUGCUUCAGUUGCAUGUUAAUUUUUGCUUGGGUAUAUGUUAAAAAAAGAAUGAAAAUCAAGUCAAUAACAAGUGAAUAACAUGUCAAUAAUGAUAUGAAUAAGAUAAUGGUGUUGAAUUGGAGGAGGCCCUCAAAACAUUCCACAUUUGAAGCAGUGCAUAGUGCAGAUUAUCUCUCUGGCGCUAGAAUAUAUAUAUAUUUUGAAAUAAAUAUGAUUUCCUUUGUUACUAAAUUUGCCUGAGAAACAUGAGAACAGAUAAUAAUAAACUCAUGAAUAGAAGUGCAAAGCAUUUGAUGAGUAAUUUAUGGAAUUUGAGUUUAGGCCCAGGAAAUUCCUUGACCCCAAAAAAAAAAAAAAAGUUGAUUUAAAAUUCAGGUCAACCCAUAGAUUUCUCGCCUUUUUCUUCUUCAUCUCGUCGGGCUUGUCUUCUUCUUGAGGAUUGUAUAGGCCCAGGAAAUGCUUUGAGUUAAUUUUUGCAUUUUUGCGUUUUGGGCCUUGGAAGUUGGGACCCAACCCAACUUCACAAAAAGAAAACAGAUUUGCCAAAAAUCAAAUUUCAAGUCUCUCCUCCGAUCGAAAUUUGGAUUUGAUGAACUAAAGUGGUUUUACUUUCUCCAUCAGUGUUUGAUAACUUAAUUUGUUAUUUACUUUUUUUUUAAAAAACUUUGGCUUAUAUAUAUUAGUUUUCUUUUUUCCUUCAUAUUCACCACCUUUAUGUUGCAUAAGUAUUUCAGUCUUAAUGGGUUUCCAUCUACCACUCAUCUUUGCUCUUCUCAGUGUAAGCCUUUUUUUUUUUUUAAAGCACAAGAUUAGAGGGGAGGGGGAUUUCUCAAUGUAAGCUUUGCAGUUUCAUAAUUAAUAUUUCCAAUAUCUCACUGUUAGUAAAAUACAGAAAAAGUACUAAUAACAUAUGCACAUGUUACUAAUUUAUUGAGAUAAAACACCAUUUUGCCCCUAGAAUAUUUUAUUAGGUUUAAAGUUGACUUUUUGACCAGGAAGGAAUUUGGGUAUUUAGACUAUAUCGUUGCGUAGAGCAUGGCGAGAUGAGUCCGUAGACACAUGAUUGGCUCGAAUCAGAGUUAUAAUGAGAGAGAUACGAUCAAAAUACCCUCAGUGGUAUAACCGUAAUUUUGGCUUAAAGGGUUUGAUAAAAUAUAAUUUUUCUUUCUUUCUUUCUCUCUCUCUCUCUCUCUCUCUCUCUCUCCUCUCUCUCACGACGGCAGUGAUAGCCGGCCACUUUUUGGCCAGCCAUGCUCUCGUCCGGCCACUAAAGUUGACGGGGCCGGUACCAAAAUGACCGGGCCACCAUCCUUUUCCAACCCCAGCCAGGCCCCACUGCCAGCAGUCGUGAUUUUGCUGAAAAAUGGAGAAGAAGCGGCCGAUUUCGUUCGAACUUCUCCGACUUCGUUCUCUCUCCUCCGGCCACCGAUUUCGAUGAAUGAGGUAUGGUUUCUCACCUACUUUUUAUGCUCUAGCUGCCUGUUGGGUAGGAUUCGAUCAAUUCCUUGCGUAGGUAGCUUGAUUUUCGAAUUGGAUUUCGGCCGGUUUUGGGAUCUCGAUUCCGGCCACUUCCGGUCAGUUUUUGGGGUACAUCCCAAAACAAAAGUGGUUCUAAAUAGGGUGUUAUACCUAGGGUAGGAACCUUGAACCGUAAUUUUGAGAAUUUUCGGUGAUGCCUAAUCGCUUUGGACACCUACGCUAUGCCUGCGUGUGGGCACUAUAGAAAAAGGGCAUUGUGUCCCGAUGCAAUCCCCUUGUUGUCUUGAGCGCGUAGGUGUGCUCGGAUUUCAAUUUGGAUACCGUUUGAAUCUCGAACGAAUAUCGCAUAUUGUGCGUUAUUCGGGGUCGAUAGGUUUGAACUGUUGGAUAGUCUUAGAUUUAUAAUAUGUUAAUCUAGACAUUCUUAGGAUCGAAUGGGAUUAAACGGAUCGUAAAACGGAGUCCCGGAUACUCCAAAAAUGCCAACCCUAGGGCUAGGUUCCUAGUAACCGUCCGAUCGUGCGAUCGUGAGCGAUCCGACCGUUUGAUCCGAACCAAACUUGCAGGACGUGUAUCCUAAACCUUGUAGAACCCAUAGGAACUUUCGGAUUAGAAUUUGGAGGUCGUGGGCCCCUUGGGCCGUUUGACUAAGUUUGGGUAGUUUGACCCUUGGCUGAUCGUGAGUCUUCAGAGGUCUUGAGCGUUGUUGAGCUAUGUUGACUAGGUUUAGACUUUUAGAGUGUUUAUUAUUAUCAUAGGAAACUAUUAGAUAUUAUUUUAAUAAUUGAAAUUAUCAAAUUUAUGUUUAUGUGCAUGAUUGUUGGUCUAAAAAUAACAUUGUUUUCUUGAUAAAAUUACGUUGCAGUCUACUAUAGACUGGUAUCACUAAAUGGAGAUUACCUCUAUUAUUAGUUUAGAUAAUUAAGAGUAUGUCAGUUUGAAGUGCUAUAUGCACUACCCUAAGUACCACCCUGUGAUUGUUAGGUCCCAUGUGGUGUAGAUUAUACAGCGUCAGGACAGACCCCAUACGUGGCUUUGGAUGUUCUGGCGCAUGGGGGAGAUUAUGUAAUGGUUAGGUCAUACGUGGCGUAGGUUAUUCAGCGUGUUGACAGACCCUAUACGUGGCGUUGGAUGUUCCAGUAUGGAAAGAUUUUGUGAUUGUUAGGUCCCACGUGGCGUAGAUUAUCCGGCGUGAGGACAAACCCCAUUCGUGGCUUUGGAUGUUCCUGCGUAUGGGGGAGAUUAUGUGAUGGUUAGGUCACACGUGGCGUAGGUUAUUCGGCGUGUUGGCUAACCCCAUAAGUGCCGUUGGAUGUAACGACCGGUCCUAAAUAAAUUAGUGAAUAUUAAUUUAUUCAGAGAAAAUACCAUUUUGCCCAUAGAGUAUUUUAUUAGGUUCAAAGUUGACUUUUUGAUCAGAAAGGAAUUUGAGAAUUUCGAUUAUACCGUUGCAUAGAGCACGGCGAGAUGAGUCCGUAGACACGUGGUAUGCUCGAAUCGAAGUUGUAACGAGAGAGAUACGAUCAAAAUACCCUCAGUGGCAUAACCGUAAUUUUGGCAAAAAGGGUCGAUAAAAUCAUAUAUAUAUAUUUUCUCUCUCUCUCUCUCUCUCUCUCUCUCUCUCUCUGCGAUAUUGUCCCUCUCUCUCUUUGAUUCACUGCCAUCUGCCCACGGCAGGACUUGAGACUGGUCACGUUUGAACCGGCUCGAUGUCCCGAUCACGUCGCACCCAAAAUGCAAAUGGAAACCUUGAAUUCCAGCCACGGCUUCGACUGGUUUGAACUGGGUUUUUCCCGGCGUUGCGCCACCGCCUCCGCCGCCCAAUUCCGGUGAAACAGGUAUAAUUCCUCACCUAUUUUUCGAGAUCCAGCUGUUGUUGUGUAGGAAUUAGACGAUUUUCAUGUUUAGGAACUCGAUUUAGAAUUUAGGUUUUGGUCGAAUUUUCAAAGUGAAAUUUCGGCCACUUCCGCUGGUUUUUCGGGGUAUGUCUAAGAACAAAAGUGGUUCCAAAUAGGGUGUUAUACCUAGGGUAGGAACCUUGAGCUGUGAUUUUGAGAAUUUCCGGCGAUGCGUAUUCGCUUUGGACACCCACGCGCCGACAGCGCGUGGGCACUGUAGAAAAGGGGCAUUGUGUCUCAAUGCGAUCUGCUUGUUGUCUUGAGCUCGUAGGUAUGCUCGAAUUUCAAUUUGGAUACUGUUUGAGUCUCGAACGGAUAUCGCAUAGUGUACGUUAUCCGGGUUUGAUAGGUUUGAACCAUUGGAUAGUUUUGAAUUUGAUAUAUGUUAAUCUAGGCAUUUCUAGGAUCAUGUAGGAAUUCAGGGAUCAUGAAUCAGAGCCCCGGAUGUUCCGAUUUAAUAACUUAAAGUUUAUGUUUAUAAUAACUAUCAGAUCGUGCGAUCGUGAGCGAUCCGACUGUCUGAUCUGGACCAAACUUGCAGCACGUAUAUCCUAAACCUUGUGGAACAUAAAAAAAUUUCGGAUUAGAAUUUGGAGGUCGUGGGCCCCGUGGGCCCAUUUAACCAAUUAUGGGUAGUUUGAUCCUUGGUUGACCGUGAGUCUUCCGAGAUAGUUUUACCUUCCUAGGAGGAUUAUAAUGACCCUAGUGAUAGGUCUUGACCGUUGUUCAGCUAUGUUGACUAGGUUGAGACUUCUAGAGUGUUUAUUAUAUUAUUGUAGGAAACUCUUAGAUAUUAUUUUAAUAAUUGAAAUUAUGAAAUUUAUGUUUAUGUGCAUGAUCGUUGGUCUAAAAAUAAUAUUAUUUUCCUGAUAAAAUUACGUUGCAGUCUACUAUAGACUAGUAUCACUAAAGUGGGAAUACCUCUAUUAUUAGUUGAGAUAAUUGGGAGUAUGUCAGUUUGAAAUGUUAUACCCUAAGUACUACUCUAUGAUUGUCAGGUCACCCGUGGCGUAGGAUUUUCCGGUGAGAUGACAGACCCCAUACGUGGCGUUGGAAUUUCCAACGUAUGGAGAGAUUAUAUGAUUGUUAGGUUUCACGUGGCGUAGGAUUUUUCAGCGGGAUGACAAACCCCAUACGUGGCAUUGGAAGUUUCAGCGUAUGGGGAGAUGAUAUGAUUGUUAAGUCACACGUGGCGUAGGUUAUUUGGAGUGCUGACAGACCCCAUACGUGGCGUUGAAAUUUCUGGCGUAUGGAGAGAUGAUAUGAUUGUUAGGUCACUUUGGAUGUUCUAGCGUAUUGGGAGAUUAUGUGAUUACCAGUGAGAUGAAUAAAGGAUUGUUAUGUUAUAUUGGGAAAAACAUGUUUGUAGAAAGAAUUACGUGUGGCUUGAUCCCUCAGUAAGGGUACGUAGGCAGCCUAGGGUAGUGCCUUGGUGCAGUCGCUGACUAAACAUUAUAAUGUUGUUUUUAGGUUUGAUUAUAUGGUAUUAUGGGGCAAGGCCCCUAGGACUAUUGGUGAUAAUUCAUAGAUGGUAGUGGAUGCAUGCUAGAAAUUUGUAGGAAGUUAUUUCAUGUGGAUUGCAGUGGUACUCGUAAAAUUUAUUUGAGUUCCUUAAUUGCAUUGUUAAUAUAUUAAUUUACUUAAGAGUACUGCUAGUAGUUCUGCCUUGAUUUAUUUGAAGGCUGGAGGCCUUGUCUGGAAACUGUGUGCAAUUAGAUUGUGUGUGCUGGCAGUUGACUUUUUAAAUUGUGAAUUUUGUGCAGGUUGAAAUUUGGGAAAUGUUCAAUUUACAGGGGAGACUCUGCUGAAAUUUCGGUAGAAAGUCUUGUGCCCUUAUUCCUUUUUGGGGAAAAGGAUAUAGUUUUAGAAGUGGCGAUGUCGGGAAUUUCCACAGGAUUCGUCUCGGGUUUCGGGAAAUUCGGGGCGGGUCUGAAAAAGUUGUUUCAGUUUUGGCAAGUAUCGGAAAAGACCAAAAUUUUCCGACUUUAUUAUUACUAGAAACAAGGUCGAAGUAUUUACCAAUCAUGUGGCCUUCCAAGUGCUCUAGGUUAAGCCAGGAACCGUUCCUAUCUGCCGUUUCCUUCCCAACUAUGAUCAUGUUGUCUGGGUUCCAACCCACAAAUCUACAUUGGGCUACGUAUUUGAAUUUGUACUAAAGCGUGAUCUAUAGUAUGCAUAUAUUGGAUAAGUUUGAGAUCAGUGGCUUGGGUGUCCGCUGAGCUUGAACAAGUUUGGGUGUGCUGAGUGUUUCCAUGGGUGUGUUGAUGAUCAUGGUUAUUAGAUUUGUGAUAGUUUGGGCUCAAUUUCAACAGAACUCAUCUCAAGCCUAGAUAGUUGAUUCUUAAGUUUAUCAGGAAAAAAAAUUAAAAAUUAAAAAAUCUAAAGUUAAGCCCAAGGCGCCGAACUUGGACUUCUCACCAAACUGUGCAUAAAUUGAAAUAUUUAAUAGAAGCCCAAGAUUUUUGAAGCACAUAAUAUCUACAAAAAUCUACAAAGUGUAAUACUUUACAAACUUCUUAUGUGUACCAAUUUCUGCUCAAAUUAAUUUCUCUGUGGUGCUGAGAUUCAUCAUAAUUUUAGUAGAAAUUGGAAGUUUUCAUCAUUUUUGCUUUAAGUCUCUCCUCCACUCACUAAUAAAGAUUACUCAAGUGAGUUUACAAAACAUUUUUUUUCUACUCUCUCCUGAAGACUACACAUCUUCUCAAAAGAUUAGAUCACUUCACAUCUUGUAUAUGUGAAAACUAAUGCAAAAAGUUGAAACUUUAUCAUAAAACCUCGACAAAAAUUAGCUCUACUUAGAACAUUAAAUUUGGAUUCGUUGAUUUAAAUGGCAAUUUGACACUUCAUAGAAAUUUUUACAUACAUGUGUUAGUGUUUGAUCACUUCACUUAUUACUUACUAUAUUUAUUCCAUGAUUCUCCCUCAAGUUAUGUAAAUAUUAUUAUCAAACAUUUCAAUUCAUUUGUGAUAUUUCUUGUCCAUCUUUCAAUGUACCCUGAAAUCCAUUAGCCACAUAUGAUGACCAAAAUCCACACUCUGUUGUUUGCAAACGUUCAAUAUACGACUUGCAUCCACAGUCCUGACCCAAAUGAAAUGCGGAAACUGUCAAGCUAACUGUAGGGAGGACUAUAUUUGAUUUUACCUUAAAGACUGAUCCGAAACCACCUUCUCCAAGUUUAUUGUUGUUUGAAUAGUUUUUGGUUGCACAAACAACAGCGGCCAAGUCAAAUAAUGGCAAUUCCAGAUCUUCCUUUUGGCCGGGCUUCAGUUCUCCUGUGAAGUACGUAGUGAAGUAAAUAAUGUAGCAUGGAACCUUAGCUUAGAAACCAGAGAGGCAACAGCAAAAAUUUUCUAUAGAACUGAACCUACCUAUCUUAGAAAAUGAAGGGGCAGAAGAGUAGAAAAUCAAAUAGCUUACCAUAUUUUUGUUGCUGGUUCUUCCUCACAUAUAAUAGCAGGGUAAGGCCCAGGGUCAGCAGUCCAGUAGACAACACAGUACUGGUUACUAUGAUCUUUGUAUUGUGUCCUUGAUCUAGGAAUGAAGUAUUUGAAAGCAGAAGAUUGAGGAGUCAGAAAUUCAUAAAGAAAAAAUCUCUACUUUUUAUCAUCCAACGAACAAUUAAUGCUAGUUUCUGAGACAGUUCUAAAGAAAUAUUUUUCUAACAAUGUCAAAAGUUUUCUGGCUCUAUCUUGUUUCUAAUCAUGUCACUGUUGGAAGAUUUCUUUCUUCUUUUUUCCUUGGUGGCUUUUAUUUUUCUUUCAAACUUUGUUUUAAACAGCAAGAUGAUUCCAUACCUAGUUCUGACGAAGCCAUUCUUAUGUAAAUAUCUUGCCCAUUUAUAUUGGAAUAUCUUAUAUCAACCAGAUCGCUGAACCACAGCAAGGACCCCCUUCCUCCAUCUCGGAUAUCCAAAUUUGAAAAAGCGGCGCAGGAGCAGUUGUUCAUGCACAUCAUCUCACAUUCCUUGAGGUUCAUAAUUGUGUUAUACUAGGAUUGUUCUGUACUUUAUUUCACCCCAGUGUACUUCUUAAAGAUGUCUCCACUGCAAUUCAGUUGGCUCUUUCUCACAGAUCUAUAUGACCAAUCCACCAAGUCCCAGUCUUGUUGAAAGUCGGUAUAAAUCCUUUCAAGCAGCUACGUACUGGGGACUUGUCAAUACAACAUGCACCAUUCGGACCACAUAUUCCAUAUUUGUCGCAGAUAUCAGUCGUUGCUCUUAGAUAAACAACCCAACCUUGGUUUCCAUCACUCCCGAUGUAGCUCAGCCCAAAUCCAUCUUGAGUUAACGCCAGCCUGAAAAGAGUUGAGCUGUUGAGAAGCUUAUAACCAUAAUAUACUUCAUCAUCAUUAUCCAACACAAAAUCAUAUGUUGGAUUUAAAUUAUGCAUCCCACUAAAUUGGAUUCCAUUCCAUGGUGCAGUCCGAUAUUUUAUAACAGAACCCUCCCUCAGAAUUAAUUCAUGGUACCCAUAAGGACCAAGUUGAUAUGGGUAAUGUCCUUGAGAAGGAUCCUGGGGGCUUUUCCAGGGUGUAAGAUGCCAAUUAAAACCUGUGAUUUUGUUCCUAACAAGCUUCAUACCUGGUAUUAAUGUAUCUCCUGGGUAAUCAAAACUCUGCCAUAAAAUAUUAUCAGAGUCAUUACGACCAUUGCCAUCUAUCACAACAAGAUUUCCGGAAUCCAAAAUCUGUGCCACUGGAUUCUAUGAAGAACUUGAUGUGUUGGAAGACCUGUAGUGUUCUUUGUUGAAUAUUUGGAUUGCAAAGGGAGCAAGAAAUGUACUGAGAGAGAAAGAGAGAGAGAGAGAGAGAGAGAGAGAGAGAGAGAGAGCAGUGAGCCUUAGAUUGUUCUAACAGUUUUCUUACUCUGCAUGAACAUAGCAGCAGAGCUUAUAUUCCUUCAUGACUGUUACAUGUUCUCUCUUACAUCAGUAGAUUCAAAUCUAACGGUUUGUAAUAGUAAGCCAAUGUGAGUAUGACACAUGGCAAUACACAGCUGUCCUAACAGCUGGGAAUUCAAAACAGACUCUAGCAUUGCACCUGGCAUAUAAGCACAAGGCACUCAGCUAACACAAAGAUUAAAAACAGAUUGAAUAUAAACUGACAUAGAACUUACUAACUAAUCUGAAAUUAGCUAGACAGUUUACAUUUUAACACUCCCUUCUAAAGUGCUAGCUGAUUUCACUCCAAGCAUUCUCCUCAAAUAGUCAAACCUGUCUUUGGGAAGAGCUUUGGUGAAGAUAUCAGCAAUCUGCUCUUCUCCUUUGCAGUAGAGCAGUUCAAUCACUUCUUCUUGUAUUGCAUCUCUAAUAAAAUGAAACUUCCUUUUAAUAUGCUUGCUCCGUUGAUGAAAAACAGGAUUUUUAGCCAUUGCUAUGGCUGAAGUGUUGUCACAAAACACAGUUGUUGCAGUGGUCUGUUCUUCCCCAAAAUCUUCAAGAACAAACCUGAGCCAAAUGGCUUGUGAUGUAGCUUCUGCUGCACUCACAUACUCUGCCUCUGCAGUAGAGAGAGCCACACUGUGUUGUUUGACUGAUGCCCAUGAAAAAGCACCACUUCCAAAUGAAAAUGCAUAUCCAGAAGUGCUUUUCAUAUCUUCCUCAGAUCCACUCCAGUCACUGUCACAGUAACCAACUAAGAGUGCAGAUUUUCCUGUCACAUACUCAAUUCCAUAGUCAAUUGUGCCUUGUAUGUACCUUAGAACCCUUUUAGCUGCCCCAUAGUGCAUCUUAGAAGGGUUAUGCAUGAAUCUUGCAAGCAGGCAGGCAGAGAACAUGAUAUCUGGCCUGGUUGCAGUAAGGUACAGCAGGCUGCCUACAAUUUUUCUGAACAAACUUUCAUCUGCAGCAUCACUUCCAUCCUCUCUUUUCAAUUUAUCAGUAGCCACUAAUGGAGUGCUUACUGACUUGCAGUCUUUGAGUCCAAACUUAUCCAAGAGAGUGAGAGCAUACUUCUUUUGAUGAAUGAAGAUGCUCCCUUCAGUUUGUGUUACUCCCAUACCAAGAAAAUGGUGGAGUAAACCCAAAUCAGACAUCUCAUACUUGCACAUCAUUUCAGCUUUGAAUUCUUUCAUCAUUUCAUCUCUACUUCCUGUGUACACUACGUCAUCUACAUAGAUUGACACUAUUAGUGUUCCCACCUUCCUUUGUUCUCACAUAGAGAGUGGCUUCACUUGGACUUCUGUGAAAACCACACUGAUUCGAGUAGGUGUCAAUUUCACUAUACCAGGCCCUUGGAGCCUGCUUCAACCCAUAGAGGGCUUUUCUUAACCUAUACACCUUAUCCUCAUCAUCUUUAACCACAAAACCAUCCGGUUGAUCAAUAUAAACUUCUUCUUCAAGGACACCAUUUAGGAAGGCUGACUUGACAUCCAAUUGCCAUAGUUUCCAGCCUUUCUGAGCAGCAAGAGCUAUGAGAGUUCUAAUGGUGUCUAACCUUGCUACAGGAGCAAAGGUUUCAUUGAAAUCAAUCCCUGGUUUUUGUGUGUAUCCCUUGGCAACAAGUCUUGCUUUAUGUUUUUGAAUGGAGCCAUCAAGAUUAAGCUUAAUUUUGAAUAUCCACUUCACUCCCACAAUUGGUUUACUACUUGGCCUGUCAACCAAUUCCCAACUGGAGUUUUUCUCUAUCAUAAGUAUCUCCUCAGUCAUAGCCUUCCCCCAAGCUUCAUCUUUGACUGCUUCUUCAAAAUUUUCAGGUUCAAUGAUGCUCAUCUUGCAUUGAGCAUACACUUCACUCAAACUCUUCCAUUUCUUUGGGGUGUUAUCAUAAGUUUCUAAUGGAGCAGAGUCUUGAGUAGCAUGCACAUCAUUACUUGUUUGUGUUUCCAUAGGAGACUGUACAAUCUGUUGCUGUAACAGAUUUGGUUAUGAAUCCAAAUCUGAUACAAUUGAACUUACUCCAUCACCCCAAGACAUAGGGAUUUGCAAUGCCUCAUUGGUUUCCCAAUUCCACAUUGCUUCUUCAUCAAAAAUAACACUCCUAGACAGCUCAAUCUUUUGAGUUCUCAAGUUGAGCACUCUAUACCCCUUUUCACAUACACCAUAUCUUACAAAUACUCCCUUCUCACCUGUGUCUUCCAGCUUGUGCCUUUUCUGUGUGGGGAUGUGAAUAUAGCAUAGAGAACCAAAUAUUCUCAAAUGCUUGACACCUGGUUUUCUUCCACCGAACUUUUCAAAUGGAGUGGAAUUGUCCAGUGCACUUGUAGGACAUCUGUUCUGCAAAUAUACAGCUGUAUUGACAGCUUCUGCCCAAAACUUCAAAGGGAUUUUCUUCUCAUACAUCAUGGCUCUUGCCAUUUCCAUCACAGUACGAUUCUUUCUCUCUGUAACUCCAUUCUGUUGUGGAGAGUAGCCUACUGNNNNNNNNNNNNNNNNNNNNNNNNNNNNNNNNNNNNNNNNNNNNNNNNNNNNNNNNNNNNNNNNNNNNNNNNNNNNNNNNNNNNNNNNNNNNNNNNNNNNNNNNNNNNNNNNNNNNNNNNNNNNNNNNNNNNNNNNNNNNNNNNNNNNNNNNNNNNNNNNNNNNNNNNNNNNNNNNNNNNNNNNNNNGGUGUGGUCAUCAAUGAAGGUGAGGAAAUAUCUGUUCCCUCCAAGAGUGAUGGUCUGCAUUGGACCACAAAUGUCUGAGUGAAUCAGUUCUAGAGGUUGAGUGGCUCUCCAAGCUCCUUCCUUAUCAAAAGAGCUUCUGUGAUUCUUGCUUUCAGCACAACCUGAGCAGACCUUCUCAUGUUCUUGUAAAUUAGGCAUUCCCUGAACCAUAUCUCUCUCUUGUAACAACUUCAAACUAAUAUAGUUUAGGUGCCCAAAUCUUCUGUGCCACAGCCAGGAUGUUUCUCCAACUGUUGCUCUGUUUGCCAUAGGAGGAUUAACAUAGUCAAGAUUUAAAGGAAAACAUUUGUUUCCCUUCAUUGGCACUCUUGCAAUGCAAUCUUCCAACUGCCUAUCUCCAUAGAUAUCAACUGCAUUAUCACCAAAUACAAGCCAAUGCCCAUGUUCUAUCAUUUGACCUACACUUAGCAAAUUUUCAUCUAAACUUGGUACAAUCAUGAUUUCUUUGAUAUAUCUAGUCACACCCUUCAUUUCUAUAGCCAAAGUCCCUUUGCCUAUUAACUGCACUAGAUCACCAGUCCCCAUUUUGACUUUACUCUUCAUACUUUUAUCAACAUUUACAAGUAAUGACUCAUGGGAAGUCAUGUGAUUGCUGCAUGCACUAUCAACAUACCACAUAUUCACAUUCUUUCCAAUUGUUGCAGCAUGACAUGCAUAGAACAUAAUGGCAGGUUCAGUUACCUGAUUUGCAAUGUUAGCAAGUUUCCCUGCCUUGUUUGCUUGGUCACAGUCCUUAACAAAAUGACCAAAUCGAUUGCAGCCAUGACACUUUGGUUUUCCUUUAAACCAACACUCACCAUAGUGUAACUUCUCACAAUGUUUGCAUUUUCCAGAUUUGUCUCCUUGACUUGGUUUUCCCCCUUGAUUGGCACUGUUUUGGGGUUUAGAAUCCCAUUUCUUAUCCUUGGACUUCCAAUUCUUCUUUGAUUUAUUAGAGCCAGAACUAGAACUUGAUUGAGAUCCUUUUGAGUUUAUGCUCAUGCUGCUGAAAGCUUUCUCAGUGGUGCUUUCUGCAUGUCUGUCAAGGCGCUGAGCAAAACCUCUUAAUGCUGCAAUUACCUCCUGCACUUCAAUGGUUUCAAUGUCUCUAGUUUGCUCAAUCACAUAGCAGACUGGAUCAAAUUCCUUGGUUAAGCUUAUUAGCAGUUUUUGAACUAUCCUCCCUUUGGUCAGAUCUUCCCCAUAUCCCUUCAUCUGAUUUACAAGCUCAAGUAACCGAGUGAUGUAUCCAGACAAGAUCUCAUCAUCCUUCAUCCUGGUGUACUCAAAAUCUCGACGCAGACCCUGCAACAUGAUGGAUCUGACUUGCUUAUCACCAUGAAACUCCUGAUGCAAGAUAUCCCAAACACCUUUUGAGGUUUCUUCAUUUGAGAUUCUGGGAAAGAUGUCAUCUGAAACAGCACCUUGGAUAAUACCAAGAGCCUUAGCAUCUUUCAUCAACAAGGACACCAUCUCUGAAUCUGAUGACCCUUCUUUAUCAGCUUUUGAAUCUGGAACUUGAAGGCCUUUCUCAACCAAAUUCCAGAUUCCAUGAGAUUUGAAAAUUGUUCUCAUUCGAAUCUUCCAAAACUCAUAGUUCUCCCCAUUGAAUAUUGGAGCUCUAAGAUCACUCCCUCCUGACCCAGCCAUCUGAGACCAGACUCAAUGAGUUGAGAGUAGGAAAUUUCCCGUUGGAUUUCCAGACUCAGCUCCCACAGCUUCAACGCCCUCUAUCCAGAUCCAACCUGCGCACCUGAUACCAUGUUGAAUAUUUGGAUUGCAAAGGGAGCAAGAAAUGUACUGAGAGAGAGAGAGAGAGAGAGAGAGAGAGAGAGAGAGCAGUGAGCCUUAGAUUGUUCUAACAGUUUUCUUACUCUGCAUGAACAUAGCAGCAGAGCUUAUAUUCCUUCAUGACUGUUACAUGUUCUCUCUUACAUCAGUAGAUUCAAAUCUAACGGUUUGUAAUAGUAAGCCAAUGUGAGUAUGACACAUGGCAAUACACAGCUGUCCUAACAGCUGGGAAUUCAAAACAGACUCUAGCAUUGCACCUGGCAUAUAAGCACAAGGCACUCAGCUAACACAAAGAUUAAAAACAGAUUGAAUAUAAACUGACAUAGAACUUACUAACUAAUCUGAAAUUAGCUAGACAGUUCACAUUUUAACAUUCUUAUGGUCGGCAGGGACAAGAAUUCCAGGGCUGCUCAACUUGAAUACACCUGAUGAACCAGUGAGGGGUGUGUUUCUUUUAGUCUGCACUAUAUAUGCAGGGUCUGACUCUAAUUAGAAGAUAAUUGUAUUAAUUUGGUAAAGCUUUGUCUGUAACUGUCUCGCACCUUAAAAAAAUUUCACAAUUAGCAGCAUUGGCAAUACUUGAUUAGAAAGCAGAAACCCUACAGUAUAUAGUUAAGUUGAGUAGCUGGGAAGACAAUUAGUAAGCUUUCAAUACUAAAGUUGAAUAUUGGGGAGACAAAUUACUAGAGCUUCAAGUUCAGAUAAAUAGGAUGAAUUUCUCUUAAGGGAUCCCCUUUCACUGUAGCUUGGAGUAGAAUUCAUUUUGACACAAUAUCAAUUAUCAAUGUAAACACGUUACUGAUGCACUAUUGACAAUAUCGAUGCACGUCAUAUCAUAUUUGUGGGAGUAAAUUUCCUCACGAGAAUAUUUGGUUCAAAAGAUUCCCCUUUUUUUUUUUUUUGCCGCCUCUUUCUCCUUGCAAAAUAGAACAAAUAAGAGGACCACACCCGGGGGGUGUUGGCCAAAGGCCCUCCGAUGCUAAAUUAGUUCAAGUAUUUGUAAGAAAAAUACUAGCUAACUAGGGUACAGAGGUGUAUUUAAGGUGUAAACCGGGCAGCCGAAGUCUUAUGUAAAAGAGAGAGAGAAAGGAGGUGGCUAGCGUUUGAGAGGAAUUUUCUGCAGAGUUUUUAGUAGAGAUUUCAGACGUACCUCAACCAUUGUGUGUGGCCAUCUUUUUAUAGUGGUCUUGGAGGCUAGGGUUUCAGAGGAAUAAUUCCGUAGAUGGAAAGGAAUUAUUCCUCCCCUAUUUGGAAUUGAUUUGAUUAAUUAGGGAUUUGAUUUAUUAGGGUAAAUCAAAUCCCUAAUUGUGGUAGGUAUCAAAUCAAAUCCUUUUUUAAUUAGGUAACUCCUCAUUUAAUUGGGAAUUGUGGUAGGAAUCAAAUCAAUUCUCAACCUAAUUAGGUAACGUUCAAUUUAAUUGGGUAAUUCCCAAUUAAAUUGAGUAACUCCCAAUUAGGUUGAUUAAUUCCCAAUUAGAUCAAAUAAUCCCCUAAUUGAAGGAAUUAUUUGACCUAGGGUCUGAUUUAAUUCGAUUCCCACAAAUGCCCCCCAGCUUCUGCAUGGUGCAUGGUGGCACGUAGGAGAUGUAAAUUAUCUGUUGGGCUGUCCAGCUGUAACUGGGCUUCCUUCGUGGACCUGGGCUCCCGAGUAGAGGAGGUGUUUGACUUGCCAAUUUUAUGAACACCCAAUUGGAAAGGGUUUGAGAUUCCUUGUAGGUCAAGGAAUUUUGCUCCUUAUAAAUGUAGGGCUCCUCCAAAUUAUUCUCGACAUCAGAAAUCUACUCCUCCAAAUUUGUUAGUGAGAGAGAGAAGACUUUGGAGAAUUUUUCAGCGUGCUUGAGACUUCAUCUUUGCAGCCCAUCCAAGGUAAUUUGAUAGGAAGAAUUUUAUUUUGAGUUGCUAUGACUUUUGGCAGCAAGCUGUGAGACUAAGGGCAUGUCUUGAGGUGCGCGCUAGGGCUUUAGGCAUGGCAAGAGACUCGGAAAGGCUAGCAGGUUCGUUUCCACCUACGCUGGGCUCAAGGAGAAGGCAACAGGGCUUCAGGCCUUGUGGAUGAAGUGGGCUUUCGCUGGGAGCAAGAGGCCUGGAGCUGAGGCAAGGAGACAAUGGGCCUGGUACGAGGUGUGGGCUGAGCAUGCCAGCUUUGGAGCAAGGGGGCCAGGACGACUGCUGGGCAGGAGGUGCGCUGGGCUGCAUGCGCGAGCUGCGCCGAGUGCUGGCUGGAGGAGCGAGCUGGGCUGCGCGCUAGGCCAUUCAUGCUGGGCUACUUCCGUUUUUUUUUUGUUUUUUUUUAAAUUUUAUUUGCUGUUGCUGCUUUUUUUUUUGUUUUUUUGUUUUUUUUUUGUUUGGUAUUCUAACUCGUAAUUUUUUUUUUCUUCUUACAGCUACUUGUUGAUCAACCAUGUCUUCCGGAGAUGGUAGCAAGGCUCCAAGCUCUUAGGUCCUUUUGUAUUUAUGGGGAGGCUCCAUAGUGCAUGGCAAGAAGUUUGUGGUCAACUUGCAUCGCGUCACGACUUAUGCUCAGUUCCAGAAGUGGCGGGCCACUUAUGCGUCUGCCAUUCCAGAUGACGUGCUGGUCAAGCUAUUGAAAUCUCAAACUGAUAACGAGCCUUUGGUGGACGUGAGUGAUCAUGAUGCUAGGAUCAUUACCUUCCGUCCUUUUUACUUCUCUUUAGGCUUCAAAUUCCCGUUGUCAAAGCUCUUCAAGAAGGUGUUCUGUGCCAUGGGGUGUGCUCCGAGCCACUGUACUCAUGUGCUUCAAGAAUUUGAGUCGUUUCUUCAUGUUGGAGCUGACGAUGCGAGAGUUCUUUUAUUUUUUUCGAAGUGAGGCACUUUGAGCGGUACGCCCAAGUUCGUAUCUACAAGGCCAAGCUGUUCCACGGUCUCAGUCAAGGAGAUCACGCUUGACAUGAAGAUGUGUUGGAGGUCAGCAGACGGUGGGAGGGUGACGUCGGUGACGGCCCACCUGUUCCCAUCACCUAUUGUGAUGGUAUGUCUCUUUACGAUUUUUGAUAUGCUCCUUUUAUUUGAAUUUCUUGAAGUGUGGCAGACUAACUUCUAUCUUCUGCUCGUAGUGAGUGACAUUAGCAAGCAAUUGGAGCUCCGACCAGACAUGGCUAAGGUCCGUCGUGCUUUGAACAUCCCUCUAAGGUUUCACGAGUGGCGCUGGCUGUUGAGUGAGUACCGGGAGGAAGACGGUGGUUUUCUCCUUGCCGAGGAUGUCGAAAGGUGGAAGCAGAACGAUCCUGACCCUGAUGAUCUGCUUGGCAGACAGGAAGAAUGUUCUGCUUAAUCGCUCUUAAAGAGAAAGGCUGCUGCCAAAUCUUUGAGAUGUGAAGCUACUUCUUCGCAUGCAAAGGAUGGGUCUCCAUCGAGGAAGAAACCAAGGCUCCCUUCUGCUGAGAAGACUCAAGUGGGGUCUGCUCCCUCAUCAUCUGCCAGGGUUAAGCAUCUCGUGGGUGCAGAUAGCAAGAAGGUUGGUGGUAUGCAUGGUACUCGGGGUGUUCUGCCCAAGCUUCCUGCUGACACGCUCGAAAACCAUGAUAUACUUCGUGAAGUGGCUCGUGCCCAACCUAGUUCUGCCAAGCGUCAAAGAGAUGUAGACAUUCCUCCUAGAAGUUCGAGUUGUCUGCAUCGGUCAAAAGAUGGAGACCGAAGCGGGAGGUCUGCUUAUGAUCCAGCAUUAUUGACUCAUUUGGAGAUGAGGUUGGCGAAGGCUAAGAAGGUGAAAGAGUCAUCUGCCCGGGUUAAGGGUUCUUCCUCGGCGUUGGUAGUUGGUCCCAAGAUGAACAAGUCUAGCUCUGUAGGGGAUGCAUGCGUAUCUGAUCUGCUCAAGAUGAACUUCCUAUCAAACCCGUCCUCUUGUGUUGAGUUGGUUGAUCACAUCCCUCAAGCGGGCGAUCUAGGCACUUUCUCGUGCCUUUCCUUAGAAAAAUGAAGGAAAAUGACAUUCCAUCUGAUUCAAAAAGGACUGGUUUUUGCUACUGAGACUAUUUGGAACUCAUCUGCUAUUGCCCCUCUUCUGUCCAACUCAGCGAGUUGGAGAAGAAGAAUGCUGAUUGGCUAGACAGCUUUCCGCCGAGCAGGCCCGUUACGAGAAGAAGAUGUCUGAUUUGAGGGCGAUGAUAUCUGAGCUGAAAAGCUCCCUUACCGAGAAGGAUUUCGAGCUCAACUCUUCUGCUGCUGAUUUGGCUAGUCGAAAAGAUACCUUCUUUCGUCUUGAGCAUAAGAAUGCUGACAUCUUCCUUAGCUAUAACAAACUCCUGGCUAGAUUUCAUGCCUACCAUAAGUCUGCUAAAGAAUCCAAGACAGAUGGAGCUGCUGAAGGCGUAGCCGGUCAGGUGGAUGCCGAAGAGGCUGCAGCUUAAAAGUCUUCUGCUGGCGUCUCAGAGUAGAUGAAGACUCUUUUUUGUUUCUUUUCAGCUUUUGUAGUUUGCUUUAUUGUUUAGAAUAACUGGUCUUAUUUGACCAUCUUCUUUUUGUUGAACUUGGCUGGUUGGUCUGUUUGUUAGGGAAAUUUCAGUUACAUUUUCCAACUUCAAUUUGCAUAUUUGACUUGUGAACUGCUUAAGUAACCAGCCUGUGUUUUGAUUGCACAUCCCCCUUUAGAGAUUUGUGAGUACCAGGGUCCCCCUUGGAGGACUCCGGCCAUGCACAGUAUAUCUCGUAGGAUGGUUCCCCUUAGGAAGUUGGCGAGUACCAGGGUCCUCUUUGAGAGACUCCGGGUGUGUUCUGCACAUCCCGUAUGAUGCCUUAAUCGUCGCCUUGCUUCUCCCGUAGGACGCUGCUUAUAGGCAACUAUAUGACUAUCCUGCCUUUCUUAGGAAACGGAUAGGAACCUGGAUAUUUCCCGCAUGAAGCAUGGAGACCUCCUUUUAAGAAAUUUUUGGUGCACCAUGCUUCUCCCUUAGGACGCUUUUUUCGCAGGCUGGGUCUCCAAAUGGACGCUUUUAGUCGUUGCCCUGCGUCUCCCUUAGGACGCUCCUUAUGGGCAACUGUGUGACUAUCCUGCCUCCCUUAGGAAAUGGAUAAGACUUGAAUAUUUCCCGCAGUAAGCAUGGCGACCCCCUUUUAAGAAACUCCUGGCGUACCCUGCAUCUCCCUUAGGAUGCUUUUUAAGAGGGCUGCUUCUCCAAACGGACGCUUUUAGUCGUUGCCUAUGUCUCCCCUAGGAUGCUCCUUAUGGGCAACUGUGUGACUAUCCUGCCUCCCUUAGGAAACAGAUAGGAAACUAGAUAUCUCCCUUAGGAAAUUCCUAGCGCACCUUGCGUCUCCCGAAGGACGCUUUUUUAGCUGGCUACGUCCCGAAACGGACACUUUUAGUCGUCGCCCUGCGUCUCCCUUAGAAUGCGCCUUAUAGGCAACUGUGUGACUAUCCUGCCUCCCUUAGGAAACGGAUAGGAACCUGGAUAUCUCUCUUAGGAAAUUCCUGGGGCACCUUGCGUCUCCCGAAGGACGCUGCUUAUGGGAAAAUAUUGUGUUUCGUGGGCAGAUGAGACAUUUUGGAAUGAGAAACUGAACUUAUAUUGAUAUUCAUAAGAUUACAGUCCUUUAUUUGAAAAUGGAAAUAACUUGGUUCAAAAACUUAGAACUUCUAGCAGCUACGAGGAAGCACUAUGGAUAAUACUUUCGGAGAUGGUGAGCAUUCCAUUGUCGUGGUAUUUCCUUCCUAUCCAUGGUGUCCAGUGUGUUGCUUCCUCUGCCCCGGACCUGCUGAUCACAUAAACGCCCUCCCAGUUAGGAUUCACUUUUUUUGACCCGUGUCUUGGUGCAGUAAUGAAAGCCUUAGCACGAGGUCGCCUGGUUGAAACUGUUUGACCUUAGCUCUUUUGUCGUAGUAAGACUUCAACUGCUAGUGAUAGGAGGCGACCCGAAUAAUGGUCUUCUCACGCCUGCCCUCAAGUAAGUUGAGGUUGAGCCUCAUCUGCUCGGAGUUCUGAUCAACACUGCCUACCUUAAGACUUAUAGAGAGGACAGUGAUGUGAGGUGGUAUGAUCACUUCUGUUCCAUAGGCGAGAGAGAAUGGGGUUUCACCAGUCGAUCUUCGCUUGGUGGUGUGAUAAACCCAUGGUACUCUGGGGAGUUCAUCCACUCAUUUCCCUUCAGCGCCUUCCAGCCUUUUCUUUAAGCAGUCCAAUAUGACUUUGUUGGAUGCCUUGGCUUGUCCAUUUCCUUGUGGAUACCUCGGGGUGGACAAGUGUUGUUUGAUCUUGUAUUUCACAAAAAAAGCGGUGAUCUGCUUGCCAAUGAACUGUGAGCCAUUGUCGGUAACCAACGACUGUGGGCAGCCAAACCGGCAUAUGAUGUUUCUCCAGAUGAAUCACUCCACAUCGGCUUCUUUAGUAAAUGAUAGAGCUUCGGCCUCGAUUCAUUUAGUAAAGUAGUCGGUGGGGACGAUCAUCAUUUCUUUCUUGGCGGGCGCUAGUGGCAAGGGAUCCACUAGGUCGAUGGCCCAUUGCAUGAACAGCCAUGGACUGUUUUGCGGAUGAUAGACUUCGGCAGGCAAGUUAGGGAUCGGCUUGUAUUGCUGACAGCGUCACAUUUCUUGGCACAUUCAGCACAGUCGUGACGUAUGGUAGGCCAGAAGUAGCCUAUGUUUAGAACUUUCUGGGCGAGUGACCUGCCCCAGAAUGGUUGCCAUACUCGUCGUCGUGAAUUUUACAGAUAAUCUCAAGUGUUUGAUGGUACUUUAUGCAGGUGAGAUGAAGGCCGGAGUAUGAUCUGUGGAUGAGCUUGUUGCCGUGCAUGUAGUAUCUCUCGGCCUUUUGCUGGACUUUUCUAGCUUCGGACUUGUCCGUUGGCAGGUUUCCAUUCGUGAAAUAGUCGAUGAUGAGGUCUUGCUAGCUGGGGUCCUCGUCAAUCUGCAUGGUAUUAAUCGGCUCUAUUUCUUCAAUGCUUGGUCGGUCAAGGUGUUCGACCUAGAUGGAGUGUUUGAACUGGGUAUCCAGCGUUGAACCUUGGCUUGCCAGUGCGUCUGCAUGCGCGUUCUUUGCCCGGGACACUUGUUGGAUAGUGAAGGUAGGAAAUGCCUUCAACAGCUCUUGGACUCUAUCAAGGUAUAAGAUCAUCCUUGGGUGCUUUGCCAUAUAUUCACCUGAGGCUUGAUUCGUGAUCAACUGUGAGUUUGAGUAGAUGGCUAGCUUUUUGAUUGCGAGCUCCUUUGCCAAGCGUAAGUCGGCGAGUAAUGCCUCGUAUUCUACCUCGUUGUUCGAGACCGAGAAGCCAAGCGUAAUAGCUUGCUCUAACAGGGUUCUAUCCAGGGUGGUGAUAACGACCCCUGCUCCAGCUCCUUUUUGGUUCGACGCUCCGUCUACACGCAACUGCCACAUGUCUCUGGGAUGGCUUGGUUCUGCGGAGGUCCUGUCUGCUUUUGAACUUCCCUCCUUUUGGUUGACUAACUUCUCUUUUUUGGCUGAUGGGGUGAAUUCUGCGACGAAGUAUGCUAAAGCCUGGGCUUUUAUUGCAGUUUUUGGCCCGUAGAGGAGGUCAUAUUGGCUUAGCUCUAUAGCCCACUUCAUGAGUCGCUGAGAAGCAUCAGGGCUGUGGAGGAUUGAUCUCAAAAGAAAGUCAGUCAUGACUAUGACUCGAUGAGCUUAGUAGUAGGGUCGCAGCUUUCUCGCAGAAACUACAAGAGCCAAAAUAAGUUUCUCCAAUUUCGGGUAACGAGUCUCUGCAUCGAGGAGAGCUUUUGACGUGUAGAAUACCGGAUAUUGGGCCCCUAUCUCUUCUCGGAUGAGAGCUGAACUGACAGCUGAGUUGGACUUACCUCACUAGGGACUGGAUUUGAGAGCAUGGAAGGUGAGGUGAGGUAAGUCUUCAGAUUAUGGAAAGCUACUUUGCAGUCCUCAUCCCAUUUCUCUCUUUGUCCUUUCUUCAAAGCUUUGAAGAGUGGUCUGCACUUGUCGGUUGAUCUCGAGAGGAAUCGGUUGAGAACCGCUGCUUUGUCCGUCAGACUUUAUAUCUCUUUCACCGUGGAAGGCGACUUCAUCUCUAGAAUGGCUUUGAUUUGACGUGGAUGUGCCUCGACACCUCGUUGCGUGGCUAGGUAUCCCAAGAAUCGGCCGGAGGAUACACCAAACAGGCAUUUACUUGGAUUCAACUUCAUGCGAUACUGGCGGAGCAAGCUGAAUGAUUGGGUAAGACUUCCGAUGUGAUCUGCACGUUUUGGGGCUUUGACCAGCAUGUCAUCCACGUAGACCUUCAUAGUUUUGCCGAUCUGCUUAUUGAAGAUUUUAUUCCCGAGCCUUUGAUAGGUUGCUUUGGCGUUCUUCAGCCCAAAGGGCAUGACCUUAUAGCAGCAGGUCCCUCUCUCGAUGAUGAAAAAAGUUUUUGCCUUGUCAUCCUCGUGCAUCAGGAUUUGUUUAUAGCUGGACUAGGCGUCCAUGAAGCUAAGCAGUUGAUUGCCAGAAGUGGAAUCCACGAGUUGGUCGAUUCUCGGCAAUGAGAAGUUGUCUUUAGGGCAUGCUUUGUUGAGGUCUGUGUAAUCGACACAAACUCUCCAUUUGCCAUUUUCUUGUUUUGCCACCAAAACAACGUUGGCAAGCCACUCUGAGUAGGAGGCCUCUUCGAUGAAGCCGACAGCUAGGAGUUUGUCAAUCUCGGCCUCGAUGAUAGCAAGUCGCUGGGGUGCGAAGUUGCGUCUCUUCUGCGCCACUGGCUUGCAGGCAGGGUUGAAGUGGAGUCAGUGACAGAUGAUGUUCUUGUCGAUGCCAGACUUGUCUGACGGCAACCAUGCGAACAUGUCUCUGUUGCUCUGGAGGAAGGUGGUAAGCUCCACAUUCUCUUCUGGCCUUAGGCGCGAACCGAUCCACUCUUUCCUAUCUGGUUGGUCAGGAUCCAAGGGUAUUAACUCGACGUCCUCCUUGGGUUUCCAUCCUUCUUCAGGAAAGACCUAUGGACGGAUUUCCUCGACUUGGUCCUGACGCUUUAAUUGCUAUAAGAUAGCAAGAUCCAGUUGCUCAACCUCCUCCAGAUCUGCCUGGCUCACAGGGAGAAACUGCGCUUGUUUACCUUUCUUUAGCCCUUGGGCGGAGCAUUUCCUCGCCAUUGCCUAAUCGUUGUUGAUUUGGCCGACACCGCCCCCAAGGAUUGGGUACCGAAUUUUCUAAUGUGUGGCGGAGGUGAUUGCAUUAAUUUUGCCAAUCGAUGGUCUGCCCAGAAUGCCGUUGUAGGGUAAGACCUUAUUAAUGACCAUGAAGGUUAUGAGCUGAUUAUAAGUGGGGAGUAGACGUCGAGGUCUAUCAUGCCCACGGUAACCGUUGUUGCACCAUUAAAAUCGCUCAGCAACCUAGCUAAUUUGUAAAUCUUUGUCUCCAAUCCCAUCUGUUGAAUGACCUCCAGUUGCAGGAUAUUGGCUGCGCUGCCCUCGUCUGUGUGGAUUCAGUCUACCAUGACCUGAGCAAUUUGAAUGCUGAUGACAAGGGCUUCGUUAUGUGGCAUGUAGAGGCCGAUCAGAUCUUUCUUUUGGAAGCCGAUUACAGGAUCGUCUUCUGCUGGUGGAAGGUCGGUCGAGAUUUGGGAGAUCACAGUGGUCUGUUUGAUCUUCCUCUUUUUUUCCUUUCUGGUCAGCCCAGACUCCUCGGAGUCAGCUAGGAUUGUGUUAAUUCUUAUGACCUUCUGAGGCGGCUCCUUGGCGAUGUCACGAUCUUCUAUCCGCUGGAUGACCUUCUUUGCAAUGAAUUCUGUGCAGUGACCUUCUCUCACGAGUUCUUCAAGAUGUGCUUUCCAAGCGAAGCAGUUGUUCAUAGUGUGUCCGUGCAUUUCAUGGACGGCACAGUAUUUGCUAGUAUUCCUUUUGUCCGGAUCUUCUUUCAAGGGUGGUGGUCUUCUUACCCAAGGUUGUUCUUCACUUGGGCUAAGAUUUGAUGUAUGGAGAUGGUGAACUUGGUGUAGUUCUCUCCUGCCGUAGCAUCCCCUUAUGGGUGCGACCUGCGCUUGUCCUUGUCCCUGUUGCUAAAUCCGUCGCUUCUUUGGCCUGCCCCCUUAGUCGGCUGAUCUUCCUGCUUAGUAGAGUUCUUUGCGGCGAUUCGAUCGUCAUCCCAAAGCGCAUAGCUUUCCGCGGUCUCGUAGACCUCUGCCAAAGUUUGGCUGGGAGUGAUGGUCAGCUCGUGGUACAAGUCGUGCUCAGUCGAAAGGUCUUUCUUGAAAGCAGAGGACGCAAUUUGGUCAUCACAUCCUACAAUGUUGGCCUUUUCUACUUUGAAUCUCUUGAUGUAAUCUCUAAAGGAUUCGUCGAACUUCUUGCGCAGGUUAUACAGGUGGUCAGGGUUCUUCUUGAUUGUUCGGUAAGAGGUGUAUUCUUUGGUGAAUAAGUAAGUCAGCUCCUUGAAGCUGCUGAUCGACCUGGAUGGCAGAGUAUGGAACGAGUCUUGGGCUUCCUCACAAGGUCAUUGCAAACACCUUGCACAUCAGCGCGUCGUCAACCUUGUGGAGGAUCAUGACACUUUUGAAGUGUUUUAGAUGGCUCUCAGGAUCGGAAUCCCCCUUGAAGUGUGUGAAUGUGGGCGUUGAGAAUCGCUUCAGGAGAGCAGCCUGCUCGAUUUUGGCAGUGAAAGGUGUAGAGUAUGCCUGGUCUACCUCAUUUCGUACAUCUUCGAAAUUUCCACCGGUCUUCAAGUCUCGAAGUUGGUCAUUCACAAGCUUCUCUACGUCUUCCGCACACAUUGCUUGUCGGCCACAUUGGCGACCUUCACGAAUUGUUCGAUGCUGACUGACUUCCUCGUUGAUUUCCGAGGAUCGACCUUCUUGUCUGCAUUGCCUAGGUGGAGUGUUGGUGGAUUGCGCCUACGAAAGAUUCUCUGUGGCUUGUCAAUGAGAAUCGGUUCUUCGAGAGUGAGUAACGAAGUGCCUUUCCUCAUGGUCCUUAUUGUGAGGGUUAUCCAGCUGACCUCCCUGGGGCCUAGCCUUUCCUGAAUGCUUCUCUGCGAGUAGACAGUUGAAUGCUUUUCUUCACGAUCCUCGUUGUGAUGGUUGUUUGGCUGACCUCCUUAGGGUCUUAGCCUUUGAUGUACAUUUCCCUGCCUGCCCAAGUAGGUGCGGACGUCGAGUCGUGGGCCCAGCCUUUCGUGCACGUCGUUCCUUAAACUCAAUCUGCUCUGAGUGUGGCUUGCAGAUGCUUGCGACAUGUCGGCAGGUCGAUCACGUUGUUGUCCCUCGACUUGUCUGCCCACUCUUGCUUGACCUGCUUGGUACUCGUUGAGCUGUCUACCGGCCCGUUCAUCCUUCCUUCUUUCCUCGCCUGGUUGUCCAAGGCCAAGGUUUUGAGCAAAGCUUAUUUGGUUGAGGAGCUGCCUCAUUAGAUUGUUUUGGUCGUCCAUUCUUUAAGCUAGCUGGUCAACUCUCAGAUUAAGGUCUGCUUGAUUUCAUGGAUCAGGAGGAGAGAAGUGUGUGGAGCUCAACUGCACAUAGGCUAGGGUUUCAUUAGAGGUGUAUGCGGGAGCGUGUGUCGAGCGUGGAGGCAAUAGAGGGAAUGCUUGGAGUUGCUCCAAGACCGGCCCUAGGUCGGCGGUGGUAACGAGUCCACCUUGAUGGGAAGUUCCACCAUGUUUGGCGGCAGUGACCGAUGCAGUGGUGAGAGGUGGUGGUGCCACCAUGUCGAUCGCGGGAUCGUUGGUGGAGUGGCUUUGGGCCGUCGCAAAUCUAGCCAUCAUGGCGGCUUUGCCUCUCGUGUUCAUGCUUCCAACCAUGGUUGUUUGGAAGGCUUAGGUGGAUUGGAAAAUUAGAGGAACGGAUUCCUUGAGCACGCAUUGAGUAUAACUCGUGCUCUCAAUGAAAGCACCAAUUUGUGGGAGCAAAUUUCCCCACGAGAAUAUUCGGUUCGAAAGAUUCCCCUUUCUUAUUCGCCGCCUCUUUCUCCUCGCAAAAUAGAACAAAUAAGAGGACCACACCCGAGGGGUGUUGGCCAAAGGCCCUCCGAUGCCUAAAUUAGUUCAAGUAUUUGUAAGAAAAACACUAGCUAACUAGGGUAUGGAGAUGUGUUUAAGGUGUAAACCGGGCGGCCGGAACCUUAUGUAAAAGAGAGAGAGAAAUGAGGUGGCUAGGGUUUGAGAGGAAUUUUCUGCAGAGUUUUUAGUAGAGAUUUCAGACGUACCUCAACCAUUGUGUGUGGCCAUCUUUUUAUAGUGGUCUUGGAGGCUAGAGUUUCAGAGAAAUAAUUUCGUAGAUGGAAAGGAAUUAUUCCUCCCCUAUUUAGAAUUGAUUUGAUUAAUUACGGAUUUGAUUUAUUAGGGUAAAUCAAAUCCCUAAUUGUGGUAAGUAUCAAAUCAAAUCCUUUUUUAAUUAGGUAACUGCUCAUUUAAUUGACAAUUGUGGUAGGAAUCAAAUCAAUUCUCAACCUAAUUGGUAACGUUCAAUUUAAUUGGGUAAUUCCCAAUUAAAUUGAGUAACUCCCAAUUAGGUUGAUUAAUUCACACUUAGAUCAAAUAAUCCCCAAAUGGAAAGAAUUAUUUGACCUAAGGUAUGAUUUAAUUCGAUUCCCACAAUAUUUAGAUGCAUAAUUGAAUGCGAAUAAACAUCACUCUCUCCAGUGUGAAAUGGCGAAAAUUCUCUUCAAUCAAAAGUGGGCUUACUUCAAAUUUAGUUGAAGAAUGAUGGUGUGUCUUGCCUGACAAUUGACAAUUAGGUUUAGGAGCGUUCCUCUAGUAGAAAAAUCUAAAUCAUUUGUGGUCAUCCACUCACUUGGUUAGUCUUCCAGAAUCAAAUACCAAAUCAACCCAAAGGAAGCUGCAAUUUUCUGAAUUGUAUACUUGUUUUAAUUCUUCCUAUCUUUUUCUCUCUUUCAUUUUUUUUGUCUCCCUCAAGUUAAUACUUAAGUGAGUUGCCAAAUGGGGGUAAAAAAGAGAGUAGAAGAGAUGAACCCCACAUUUGACUUUAAUAGACAAAUGCCCAAGAGAAGUACCAGUAAGAGCAUCUCCAAUUGGGAGGUGCUAUCCUAUAAUUUGACACACAUUUCUUUUUUCUUUUUUUUCAAUUCUAACAACAUGUCAUCUAUAUCGCAAUAGGCCGUUGUAGUUAAAUUUUCAAAUAACCAAGUUGCUCUCUAUUUUCCAAAGAAGACUAGAAAACAACUUACCAUCUAUCUGGUGCUGCUUCUUCCAAACAUUAGAAAAAACAGAGCUACACCCAGGAGGAGCCCAGGAGAUGACACAAUACUGCCUACUAUGAUUCUUACUUUCUUCACAUUCAAUGAGACUAUAAAAUAUAACCCAAGUGGUCUAACCCCCCAGGGCGGAAAUUGGGUUUAGCAAGUUUAGCACUGAUUGUUGUAUAGUCUUAAACAGUCCUGAUCUCUUGGACCCCUGUAGUCCAAGAGAUUUAUGGUCACCCACCGUUGGAUGUAAAUUCAACGGUUGACUUGAAUCGGGUAAUAAUAAUUUAUGUCAUAUUGCAUUUAUAUAUAUCAUUUUGAACCAUUGGAUUAAUAUCCAACGGUGGGUGACCACAAUCUCUUGGACUCCUGUGGUCCAAGAGAUCGGGACUGUAGUCUUAAAAUAAGUAGUUUAGCGAGUGCAAACUUCGACUUAAAAAAACUCUCAUGUAUAGCCGCGCGGCUAUACUAUUUACAUAUAAAUAUAUAAAAAAGCACCCCCUAGUCACGUGUCACAAAUAGUAUAGUCGAAAACAGUAGAGCCGCGCGGCUAUACUGUUUUUAAAAUAAAAAAAACCAUAUUCGAUUCUCCUUAUAUUUAAAAGGGGUAUAGCCGCAUGGCGAUACUAAUUUUUUUUUUUCAAAAAAAGGGACCCCAGUACUCCUUUUAUAUAUUAUAAUAUAUUGUCUAAUAUUUGGAAUAUUUACUCUAAAAUAAACAAUAUAUUAGGUUCUUUUUGUCUACAAAUUGACCAUUAAACUUCUUAAUCACUCUUAUACUUUCAAUUAAAUCUACUAGGCUAGGUUAUGAUAUUUUCACUAAAAAACUCCUCCUUUUUUUCUUCUCUUUCUCUUCCUGUUUUGUUUAACUUAAGCUUAAGUUUUGUAAUUUUUUUUCCCGCCCUUUUUACAUGUUUGAGUAGGGUACUUUAAUAUUGGGAUUUAUGAACUUUUUUUGUAUUUCUUCUUUAUAUUGGAAUAUAAAUUAUUAACUUUUGAGUCUUUAAUAGUGUAGAUGAUGAGAUUAUUAUUCAACCAUUUUAUAAUAUGAAAUGAAGGACAAUCAUGAUUGUGAUGAAUGGAUUAUUAAUCAAUAUGAAAUGAUAUUAUGAAGUGGGCUAAAUCGAGUAGUUAGUAUCGUAUUGUUGAGACCCAAAAAAUCCAAGGCUAGGCCCAAAUAUAUUAUGAAGUGGGCUAAAUCGAGUAGUUAGUAUCGUAUUGUUGAGACCCAAAAAAUUCAAGGCUAGGCCCAAAUAUAUUUCCGGUCCAAUGCGAUACCUUACCGAGAAGAAACCUUAUUUGGGCACGCGAAAGUUCGUCAUAUGCUCUUGCACACAUGCCAUGCCAAGCAAAUAAGCAACAUGCCACGCUACAAGCUUAAGUGGGCCCAAGCCACGUGAAUGCCUAGGGCCUGCUGAGUGGGUUGUGGUAUGGAUGGUUAUGAGUAUUCACGAGGCCCAUUGAUGGUCUAAGGAGUGGAAGUUUUGGGCUACUUGGGAGCACCAAAACUCAAGCCCAUUCAUUGAGCCCAAACAUAUGGGUAAGCAUGAGAUAAAACCUAGUAGCCCAUCACCUUAAGAAAUCCUAAUAGCCCAUAACAUGUGAGAAAAUCCCACAUCAACCAAAGCUUCCAGCAGUCUGACGAAAUCAAAGGGAACUCACAAGCCGUUGGAAACAAAACAACCCAACACUGUAACACCCCGACCCCAAAUUUCCCCAAAUUUAACCCUUAUUUAAUUAUUUAAGGGUAUUUUAGUCAUAUUUUUAACCGGAGAGAGUUUGGGGCAAUGACUAGUAUUUUUGGAUAGGUCGUACUGAGACGAGUUUAUGGACACGCAGUGAGCUCGAAUCGGAGUUGUAACGAGAGAGAUAUGGUCAAAAGAAGCCCAGUGGCACAAUCGUAAAUAUUUUGAAAUGAGAUUUUUUAUAAAAAUCUGGUUUUCUCUCUCUCUCUCUCUCUCUCUCUCUCUCUCUCUCUCUCUCUCUCUCUCUCGCUAGCGACCUCUCUCUCUCUCCCCCGUCGGUCUCUCCCCUCUUUCUCCUCGUAACUCCGGCCACCGGCCCCGGCUGUGGACGGGGCCGGUACCAAAAUGACCGAGGCGUCGUCCUCUUCCUACCCCAGCCACCUCCCACCGCCAGCCGUCGCGGAUUCGCCGGAAUCUGGAGAUGAAGCGGCCUACGUCGUCCAAAUUUCAAAGCUGCCGAUCUCCCUCCUCCGGCCACCAAUUCCGUCGACCCAGGUAUGGAUUUUGAACUUCUCGAGCUGCUCUAGCUGAUGGUUGGGUAGGAUUAGAUCGAUUCUUAGCUUAGACAACUCGAUUUUCAAAUUGAAAAUCGGCCGAACUUCGGCUGCCGUGAUCGGCCAUUUCCGGCCACUUUUUGGGGUAGGUCCAAGAACAAAAGUGGCUCCAAAUAGGGUGUUAUACCUAGGGUAGGAGUUUGGAGCCGUGGUUUUGAGAUUUUCCGGCGAAGCGUUAUCGCUUUGGGCACCCACGCGCUGCCGGUGCGUGCGGCGGCGCGUGGGCACUGUAGAAAAAGUAGCACUGUGUUCCGAUGAGAUCCUUAGGUUGUCACGAGUGCGUAGGAUUUUGCGGAUCUCAAUUCGGACGUCGUUUGACUAUCGAACGGAUAUUCGCAUAUUGCGCGUUAUUCGGGUUCGAUAGGUUGGGACCGUUGGAUGGACCCAAAUUUAAUAUAUGUUAAUCUAAUUAAUUCUAGGAUCGUGUAGGAAUUCACGGAUUGUGAAUCGGAGCCCCGGAUGUUCCGAAUAAUAAUUUUAAAGUUUGUAUUUUAUAUUAAUUGUCAGAUCGUGCGAUCGUGAGCAAUCUGACCGUUCGAUCUGAACCAAACUUGCAGGACAAGUGUCCUAUACCUUGUAGAACCCAUAGGGACCUUCGGAUCGGAAAUUGGAGGUCGUGGGUUCCGCAAGUCGGUUUGACCAGGGUUAGAGAAGUUUGACCCUUGGUUGACCGUGAGUCUCCCGGAGUAAUCUCACCUUUCUAGGGGAGAUUAUCGGGUACUAGAUGAUUGUGGACACAAUAUUAGAAUUAAUUUAUAUAAUUAUAAUUAUAUAUGGUUGUACAAGGGUACAACAGAGUCUAGAAUGUCAGUUUGGAGUGCUAUACGCACUACUUUAGGUACCUCCCCGGAUGUUGGGAUUUACUACAAGUACCACCAAGUGAAAUUGAGGUCCCGCGUGGCGUAGGUUAUCCAGCGUUGGGAUAGGUCUCAUACGUGGGGUUGGUUGUACCGGCGUAUGGGGAGAUUUGUGAUAUUAUGUUCAGGUCUCACGUGGCGUAGGUUAUCCGGCGUUGAGACAGGCCCCAUACGUGGUGUUGGUUGUACCAGCGUAUGGGGAGCUAUGUGAUAUUGUGUUGAGGUCGCACGUGGCGUAGGUUAUCGGGCGUGUCGACAGACCCCAUACGUGGCGUUGGUUGUACCGGCGUAUGGGGAGAUUUGUGAUAUGAAAUUGAGGUCCCACGUGGCGUAGGUUAUCCGGCGUUGGGACAGGCCCCAUACGUGGCGUUGGUUGUACCGGCGUAUGGGGAAAUAUGUGAUAUGAUGGCAUGGUCGCACGUGGCAUAGGUUAUUCGGCUUGUUGACAGGCCCCAUACGUGGCGUUGGUUGUACCGGCGUAUGGGGAGAUUAUUUGAAAUGCAGAGAAACGAAAUAUGGUAUCGCCCAAAUGUGGAAUUGGGUUUUAGGGAAGAACUACGUGUGGCUUGAUCCCUCAAGGAGGGUACGUAGGCAGCCUAAGGUUAAUAGGUGCAGCCGCAGACUAAAUGUUAGUCAUAAUUGAUAUUUGAAUUGUUUGGUAGUUGGUUAAGAAUUAUUGGAAGGCCGAAGGCCAUUUGUGUGAAUUGCAUGAAAUUAUAUUGUGCAUGCUGCCAGUUGGGAAUAUUAAAUGCGUUUUUAUGCAGGUAUAAAUUUUAGGAAAUGUCCAAUUUAUAGGGGAGACUCUGCCGAAUUUUCGGCAGGAAGUCUCAGUUUUUAGUAUCUGGGCCUGGCAUCGGGAGGAUGUCGGGAAUUCCAAAGGGUCGUCUCGAGUUCUGAAAAAUUCGGUGCGGGUCCUUUCAAACACCUUAUAAAAUAUCCAACGCCGUGCAUCUCUGUUAAAACCAGAUCACAGCCAAACCACCAAAACCAUGCAAACCCAUAUGCUGAUCACCAUUUUUACUAGCACCCUUACCCAUUCUUUCCUCUUCAAGCUUUGGUGAGAAAACAAGAAACAAAAGUGGGCGGAUCUUCACCCACAUGGAGAAAUCCAGCUGCCUGAGGGCCCUGGAACUCCAAAAAACUUCUUACCUACAUGCUCAGGCUAGGGAAGUUUCACCAAAUAAGCAAGAAUGGAAGAAAGUGAAGGAAAAGGGGAAAGGGUGGCUUGACGAAAUUAAGGUUUUCAGCACUUAUAAAAGGAAACACUUUCUAUCCAGCAAAAACAACUCACCCUGGUUGCUGCAAGCCUCCUAGCAACCAUGAGAAUUCAUUGAAGGCAAGCAUCCCCUUUGGAACCCUUCAAUUUCAUGCUUUGUUCUUCCAUCUUCCUCCUUUCUCUCUCUCUCAAAACCCACAUCCAGAGAGAGCAAGCAUCAUCUCUCAUCUUUGGAACCCUUCGAUUUGAAGCCUUGUUCUUCCAUUGCUUCCCAUUUUCUCUUCUGUCAAAUCACCUAGGAGCUUGACGAAACUUUCGUCAAGCUGCUGGAAAUAUGGUAAAGCCACCCAUGCUUCCAUCUUCUUCCUCUCUUUCCAUAAACACACAUCCAAAGAGCAAGCUUCAUCUCUCAUCCUCUAAACCUCUGCAAUUUCAAGCCUCAUUCCUCUAUCUUCUCCCAUUUUCAGCGGUAGUGAGAAUGAUUUCUGCGUGUGCAUGGGAAGGAUUGUAACUCAGAUGAGGAGGAGAUGGUUUGGAGUGGGGUGAGGCAGUUGGAUAGAGCUCUUGGCCUUUUCAAGUUUGGAUGGGAAAGAGCAGGGAUGAAAGAAGCUUUACAACUGCAAGGGCAUAUAUGGUGCGUAGGGGCUGAAGGCAGAACACUUACAUAUAGAGGAAACACAUUUUUUGUCCAUGGGAUUCAUGUUUGACAAACACUUGUCUUAGACUAUGAGUUCAAAUUUCAAAACCUUUUUUUUUUCUUUCUGAAAUCAGGACCAGUGUGGAGAACUAGCAAGGAUUGGAGAAACAGAUUUUUGGGCGUCACUUGACCACAGAUUGUUGAUUGCUCAAAUGUGUAGAAUUGGCCAUCUUAAAUGUCAAAAUGAUUUAUCAAUUGGGGUUUUUUUAGAAACGUUUAUGUUUGUCAAUAGAGACAGAAGUCAGAGAACAUAAACCUUUCUCAGCAAAUUGAAAUUCUCAGUGCAUGCUCUGUUCUUCCAUGGCUUUCAAACCUUCUCUGCCACGGUGAAAUGGAUCGAUAGAGAUAGUUUAGGCCGUUCCAUUUGUUUGAUGAAGCAUUCGUUCUAGGGAUUCUGUAUAUUCAUAACAAAAUCACUAGAAUGAUUCUUAGAAAUUCAUCACUGCUAAAGGCAAUGGGUUCAGCAUAAUAACUUCUUAGUCUUGCUUCUUGGUCCUUUAUUUUCUUUGCAUAAUACUCCAAGUUUACCUGGGUUCUACAGAGAAAAUCUCGUAGAUACCUCUUUUUGUGGUCUUCCAUGGCAUUUAAGUGCUGCUUUCCAUGGUGAAGUGGGCCUAUAGAGACUACCUGAGGUGUGUAGGCUUUGUCAUUUCCACGCCGUAAUCGCUCAGGAACUCUGUAGAUACACCUUCAAGGGGGACAAGGGAGACAAACUAUCCAAUUCCUUGCGCCUUACAAAUAGAUCGCAUGGGUUUUCUAUUUCAUCUGCAGCUUCAUCAAUUCCUUCCAUUUUUCUCCUGAUCAUCAUGCGCGGUGAUUCAAAUAUUUCAUAAUGAACAUUGAAAUGAGAUGCUACAAGCAAACUUAUGAAAAGAAACAGAAAUACCAAAAAGACAAAUCAAUGUAGAUGGUUUAGAAAAUCUAAACAUUGCAAUUAUACUCCUUUGCCCAACUUCUAGGAGCAAACGUACACAAAGACCUUAUUGCUUCCAACUUUUCCAACAGAAUUUCAUAUGAAUUGCUCCAAGUGAAAUCCGUAUGAAAAAUCGGUAGUUGGAUUUUCAUCCUGCUUUAAUAUGAUUAUUUAACUUCUAACAAAAAAACUCUUAUUACUUGAGCAAGUAAAAUACUAUUCCAGGUUUCUCCUAGUUCUAUAUGCGCUUAUAAUUGGUAUACUCUAUAAAUACCAUAAUCUGAAUUUCUCUGUUUUGAUUACUUUAAUUUAUUACUUAUGUUUUAAUUAUUGUUUACUUAGUGAAUUAUUAGUAUUUAAGAGAAGGCCUUCCAUCGAUUAGGCACCACGUGUCUAUAAUAAGUAAAGCCGUCCGGCUAUACUUAAAAAAAAAAAAAAUUGUAGUAUAGCCGACCGGUAUAGCCGCGCGGCUAUACUAUUUAAUACAUUAUAUUUAAACGGUAUAGCCGCGCGGCUAUACUAUUUAAUAAAAUAAAAAACAAAAGAAAAAGAAAAAUUACCCUCCUAUUUCAUUAGUUUGUACUUUAUAGAUACUAGCCCCUUGACACAUGCUCACGCAUGUGCCAAUUGGUUUUCUUUUUCUUUUUUAUUUUUAUUUUUAGAAUUAAGAAAAAAUAACAGGAUAGUUAUGUUCCAUAAAAGUAGGACCUAUUAUCUUAUUUUGUUUUUAAUUUUAAUUUUUUUAAUAUUAAAAAAAUAUGAAUUUACGAUAUUAUCCUCAUUUAAUUAAUAAUUUCAAUUCUUAAUGUUUGAAUUAACAAAGGGCAUUUUCUGGUAUUUUGAAUGUUUCACCAUUCUCUGCCUUUUGCUUUAUAUAUAUAGAUUAAUUUGCCAGUUUCAAGAUAUCCAAAGUACAUAUUAGACUUUCACUAUAUAAAUUUCAAUAUAUAUUUUUUAUAACAUGUGUUGUUCUUAUUCAAUAAUAUGUGAGAAUUAUUUGUAUAAUACGUGAAUUUUGUGUGUCUUACUGAAUUUUUUUAAAUACGUGUAUUAAACGUUACAAAUACGUACAUAUAUGUACAACACGACUAUUGUAAGUUUGCUAUAUAAAAAAAAGUGAGAUGUAUCUAGAACACGAAUGUAUUAUCGAAAAAUAUAUAUGUAUGUAUAUAUAUAUAUAUAUAUGUAAAAGCCUAUAGCCUCUCACCUAUACUAUUUAUUAAAGACAAUUUAAAAAUUACAACAACAAAAAAACCAGUACAGCCACAAAGCUAUACUAUUUUAAAAAAAAAAAAUAGAAAAAAUAUCAAGUACUACACAGGGCAAAGGCCCAGUGUAAAAUAGUAUAGCCGUACGGCUAUACGUUUUUAAGAAGAAUUUAAAAAACUAAGUAUAGCUCACCGACUAUACUAUUUUUUAAUAUAAAAAAACAACCCCAUCCAUUAGGCGCCACGUGUCAACAGAAGUUUAUUUUUAAAAAAAAAAAUUAAAAGACAAGGAGUAUAGCCGGGUGGUUGUACUAUUUUUUUAUUUUAAAAAGAAGACAGUCCAUCGAUUAGGCGCCACGUGUCCAUAAUAAGUACAGCCGCUCGGCUAUAUGUUGGAUAUUUUGAAACUAGCAAAUUAAUAUCAAUAGCCGGUCGUAACCUAUGCUGUCCACGUCACUCAUGUUUUACCAGAGUUAAAGCAUCCACAAUGAGCUCCCCAAACCAUCUCUUUAGACAAAUUUUAGGGAGAAAUUGGAAAAGUACAACUCCAACCAUGCUCCCUAUCCACCAACUAAAAUAGGGAGACCUCUAGGAGCUCCUAAAUCUGAGGAGAGGGAAAGGACUCUUAGUGACUCCCUAUAAUUUAAUGUUGCUUUGUUUUAUGCAUAUUUUAAACUUUUAAUUAAAUCAAAUUAUUAUUUUAUAUUAUUUUGUAUACAGAUGGACCAAUUAUAUUAAAUUAAAAAAUAAUUAAAGUAUUUGUGACUCUCUAAACUAAGGAGUAUGAUUAGAGUUCAAAUUUUAUAAAAAGCUCUUAAAAUAGCUUUUGUGUGUUUUUAGCUAAAUUUUAACUAAAAAAUUUGAAGAUUCUUUAUUUGGGUUUCUUUCAAGACGAAAACCAUAUCCACAACAGACAUCUUUGGCUGUUCAUCACAAUUGAGAGACAAUGAAGAAGACAUAAGGGAGAGGCUGCCAAAUACUUAUCACCUUAGCCACCACCAACACCACAAGACCAAUAUGUGUAGGCCAGGAGGCUUUCCAAUUUUAAUAUAUAUAUAUAUAUAUAUUAAAAAAUAAAAUAAAAAUCAAUCUAUUAUCAUAUAUAUUAUAAAAUAAAGAUUAUUGCUCCAUCCUCCAUGCACUUGCGUGCCCUCUUACAAAGUAUGAAGUAGAUUUUGUUAGCUGGAUUUAUAAGAUCUUUUGUUUUUUGGAAAUUUUCUGAAAUAAGGAAAAUCAAGUAAAAUUAAUAAAGCAUAAAUUGGAAAGGGAAAAUAUCUAGAGGAUGCAUUGUAGGAUUGCUCAAGCCAAUAAUUGUACCCUCUAAAUAUAUAGGGACAUAUUUUUUUUGUUUUCAUGACAUGUCGUCCUAAAAUUAUUGUUCUUAGCGGGCUCUCCACCCCCUCUCGAUUGAAAACCUAUUGUGUAAAUCUUCAAUCCUGAAUUAGAAAAGUACAACUCCAACCAUGCUCCCUAUCCAUCUCCUAAAAUAGGGAUACCUCUAGGAGCUCCUAAAUCUGAGGCGAGAGAAAGGACUCUUAGUGUCUCUUUAUAAUUUAAUGUUGCUUUGUUUUAUGCAUAUUUAAACUUUUAAUUAAAUCAAAUUAUUUUUUUAUAUUAUUUUGUAUACAAAUGGACCAAUUAUAUUGAAUUAAAAAUAAAUUAAAGUAUUUAUGACUCUCUAAACUAGGGAGUAUGAUUGGAGUUCAAAUUUUAUAAAGAGCUCCUAAAAUAGCUUGUGUGUGUAGGGGUCUUUUUCUUCUGGCAACUACAGAUGGGUUGGGCUACCGUAAGGAGCAAACUGAAGAAAAUAUCCCCUGUGUCUGAGUUCAAAGAUUCGGCCCCAAAAUAUUUCGAAAAGGCAGUAAAGCCUUAGGAAACACCUUAGUUACCUUCACCAACGAAAAUGACGGCUGCUUACAGGUAGAUUCUUAGUGCUUACAGAUGAAUUCUUAGCUUAGCAUGAGGAGAUCGUGGCAUGGAAGCAAAGUUAGCAUGAGUUUAGCACUAAAGAGAAAAUUAUGUGUUCUUGGGAGGAAGAAGGGGUGUCCAGGUAAAUGGGAAAAGGUUUUGCAAGUAGAUUUGGCUAAGAGAGAAGGGAGAGAGAGAAGAGGGUGGCUAGAGUGCUUCUUCCGGCAGCUUGACAGUGACUCUGUCAAAUGUUAGAGCAAUCUGCCAUAAGAGGGAAAAUGGGGAAGAAGGAUGAACAGUGCACAAAAUUGCUAGGUUUUUGCAAGUAAGAGAGGAAGCUUGCUCUCUGGAUGUGGAUGAUCCGUUGGGUAGAAGAGGCCCCAUUUUAUAGCCGCUGGAAACUAUCAUUUCUCAAGAAACCCUAAUAGUUUCUACCCAAUUUGGUCAAGCUUUUCCCUUCCUUUCUCAUCUCCUCCCUUGACUUUUCCUAUCUUGGUGAAAUUUCCUCUGUCUAUUUGCACAAAAUCAGGAGCUCAAGGCCUCCCUUUCCCGCAACUGUUCAAUGGGAGACUCCAUUCUUAGCUAUUUUUCUUCUUCUUUCCUUCCUCCUUCCCUGACCAAAUCUGAUGAAGGAAAGCAAAUAGGUGCACACAUUGGUUUGAAGGGUGCUUCUCCUUCUAGCAGCUUACAUGCCAAUAUCCCUUGGGUCCUUGCAUGUUUUUUGCUUUGAAACUUGUUUCUUCCUUCCCGUCAACUCACGUGGUCUUCCAUGCUUCUUCAUGGCUUUAUCUUUCAGCCAAAAGAUGGAGUUUUUACUGCUUGCUACUUUUAAUUGUAUGGGUCUUCUAGGAUAGGAAGUCAACCUACCAAACAAAUGGGCCACCUUUAUCAAAUAUUGGGCUGUUGGGGUUAGUUUUAGUGGGCCAUUUUGACUGGGCUUUUUGGUUGGGUUAUUUAAGUUAUUUUCCCUUUUGUGCUCACCCAUGUAUUUAGGCCUAAGAAAUGGGCUUGGGCUCCGAGUCUCCCAAGCAACCCGGAACCUCCAUUUCUUGGCCCAUUAAUGGGCCUCAUGACAACCUAUUACCAUCCAUACCACAACCCACUCAAGCAAGCCCCGGGCAUUUGAAUGGCUUUGGCCCACUUUAGGCUUGUAGUGUGAUUGGGUGUGGCAUAACGAUUUCUCGCUUGGCAUGGCAUGUUGCUUGGCAUGUUUUUUCAUUACGAUGCUUGAUGGAUUUGUAGAGCUACCUAUUUUUAUGAUCUUAAUCUUGAUUCCUAGCAUGACAAAUUUAUUUAUUUGGCAUGGCAUGCGGAGCGUGACUUGUGCGUGGCGAGUUUUGUAUGCUCCAACUUGGGCCUUUCCUAAAUAAUGUAUCAUUUUGGGUUAUGAAUUCUUUCGGGCCCAACCGUGAAUUUUUUGGGUUUCAACAGUGUGUUUUUAGCUAAAUUUUAACUAAAAAAUAGGGAGCAUGAUUGUAGAUCAUCUUAUAUACCUUAAUUUGAAGAUUCUUUAUUUGGGUUUCUUUCAAGAUGAAAACCAUAUCCACAACUGGCAGACAUCUUUGGCUGUUCAUCACAAUUGAGAGACAAUGAAGAAGACAUAAGGGAGAGGCCGCCAAAUACUUAUCACCUCAGCCACCACCAACACCACAAGACCAAUAUGUGUAGGCCAGGGGGCUUUCCAAUUUUAAUAUAUAUAUAUGGAGUGAAAAAAAUAAAAUAAAGAUUAUUGCUCAUCCUCCAUGCACUUGCAUGCCCUCUUACAAAGUGUGAAGAAGAUUUUGUGUGCUUCAAGUCAUUGACUAGAGCUGAAACAUGGUUAGCUGGAUUUAUAAGAUCUUUUGUUUUCUGGGAAUUUUCAGAACCAAGGAAAAUCAAGUAAAAUUAAUAAAGCAAAAUGGAAAGGGAAAAGAUCUAGAGGAUGCAUUGUAGGAUUGCUCAUGCCAAUAAUUGUACCCUCUAAAUAUAUAGGGACAUAUUUUUUUUGUUUUCAUGACAUGUUGUCCUAAAAUAUUUGUUCCUAGCGGGCUCUCCACCCCCUCUCGAUUGAAAACCUAUUGUGUAAAUCUUCAAUCCUGAACGAUGCUCCUAAAACUCAAGUGUCCCAGGCCAAUUAUUGCUCUCAUACCACUUGUUGCAAUACACAUCCACUCAUUCUCAGGGAAAGAAACCCAUCGAUAUUAUCUCAAAUUUAACCACUUUAGUCUAUUAUGAUUAACUAUGUAUUUUAUGGAUCAAUGCAGUUGUGAGGUUUUAUACCCAAUUAGAUCGACCAAUACAGAGAUCACAUGUGGACUGAAAAGCGCCAUCGGUAGGGGAGUGUUUGGCACCCUUUACUGCCGAGUGCAACACAAGACCCCUUACCAGGAACUUAUCUACUAGGACACGUGAAGCCACCACAAGUAAUAUCAACAGUCCCACAUCGAAGUUUAACAUAACAUGUACACUCCCCAGGACUGAUAAAAGUGGGCACAAGUCCCAAAAAUGGGGGAACUUGGACUUUCAGCAAUUCAUCCAUUAUUAUGUCCAAAUUACUAUACACUCCGUACUUAUUCUUACUUAAGCAUUGGAGAGCCUUCGGCCGGUACCACACCAGUGCCUAAGGGCUUACCGAGCGUUCUCUAUCUUGCAUAUUGAUCGCUCUACUGAAGCCCAUAAAGAGUUAAAGGUCAAGACAUCACUAAGUUGAGCCCAAAAGUGCUGAACCACAUCAAAAAUAUGUAUAGAUUGAAAAAAUAAAAUAAAAAUCAAUCUAUUAUCAUAUAUAUUAUAAAAUAAAUAUUGGAUAAAUUACUCAAAUGGUCCUCAAACUUAUACUCGAUUUACAUUUUGGUCUCUCAAUUAAAUUAUUUGUUCAAAUGGUCCAUCAACUCUAUAUUAUUUCUGCAAAAUCUACAAAGUGGUGGGAGGCAGACCAACAAAAAAAAUUAGCGAAGGCUUAUAACUCUGGUAAAACAAGAGUUACUUGGAUAGAAUAAUGUUACGUCGUACUGAAGAUUUUUGGGUUUCUUUAAUUGGUUAAGUGAAGAUUCUUUAUUUGGGUUUCUUUCAAGAUGAAAGCCAUAUCCACAACCACAACCACAACUGGCAGACAAUCUUUGGCUGUUCAUCACAAUUGGGCGACAAUGAAGAAGACAGAAAUUGGAGUACUGUAUGUUAUCACCCACACCACAAGACCAAUAUAAGGAGGAUGGGGAGGCUGCGGAAUACUUAUCACCUUAGCCACCACCUACACCACAAGACCAAUAUGUUGUAGGCCAGGAGGCUUUCCAAUUUUAAAUUAGAUAAAUCGGAAACUGUUUCGAUAUCCAAUUGUAUUCUAUAAAAUCAAUGAACACGGUGCUUCAAGAAAGUAAUAAAAUUUCAAUAAUUCAAUUGAGUGGUCAAAUUCAAGUGAUUUUUUGUAGUGAUGAUCUUUGAAUGAGUAUCUAUAAAAGAGACGGUUUGGAUUAGUGAAAUACAAUAUGGAGUGGGCCCUACCAGCAAUCCACGACAAAAUGUCUGCAAGCUUUCGUAAUAUAAGGAGGAUGGGGAGGCUGCGCAAUACUUAUCACCUUAGCCACCACCUACACCACAAGACCAAUAUGUUGUAGGCCAGGAGGCUUUCCAAUUUUAAUAUAUAUAUAUAUAUAUAUAUAUAUAUAUAUAUAGGGAUGUGAUUUCUCUACUCCCCUUUUCUCUACUUAUACUCCCUUUUGCUUUUAAAUACUUUUUAAUCAAUUUUUUUUCCGCUUUCCUAUUAAUAUUCUACCAUUUCCCUACAUUAAUUUCUUUUUACUUCACUUUUAUAUUAGUUCUUUUUCUUUAUACUUAAUUUUUCAACUUGCACUCCAUUUUCAUUAUUUUUUUCCUAAUCGAGUAAGAAAUUAAGUUUUUUUUCCCCAUUUAAUACUGAAAAUGGAGUGUAAGUUAGAAAAUUAGGUAUAAAGAAAAAGAAAUAAUAUAAAAGUAAAGUAAAAAAGAAAUUAAUGUAGGGUAAAGGUAGAAUAGAAAAGAGAAUGAACAAAAUUGAUAAAUAAAUAAAAAAGGUUUAAAAAGCAAAAAGGAGUGUAAAUGGAGAAAAGGGGAAUGAGGAAAUCAGCUCCAUAUAUAUAUAGAUUGAAAAAAUUAAAAUUAAAAUCAAUCUAUUAUCAUAUAUAUUAUAAAAUAAAGAUUAUUGCUCCAAGGAAAUGACAUCUUUUGUUUUCUGGGAAUUUUCUGAACCAAGGAAAAUCAAAUAAAAUUAAUAAAGCAUAAAUUGGAAAGGGAAAAGAUCUAAAGGAUGCAUUGUAGGAUUGCUGAUGCCAAUAAUUGUACCCUCAAAUUAUACAUGGACAUAGGGGUGGGCAUUCAAAUAGGCAAACUAGAAAUCCGAGCUGAACCGCACCUAGGAAAACCGGAAAAAAAACCGAGUUGACCAAAAAGUCAACAACUGGUCAAAAAUCGAACCGGACCGAUUUGGACUGGUUUUGGAUUCAGUUUAUAUGCAAUGCUACAUUUUUAGUCUCAUAACUAAUAUUUAUCCAAGUUCAAUUUCAAAACAUCUUUCUUUUUUAGCUUUAAUAUUUAUUUUUAUAUGAAAUUAAAUAAUUUAUUAAUUUUCAAGUAAAUAAAAUAAAAUUUCAGUUGAAAUUUAUAUUAAAAAAAUAAUUUUAAUAAUCCAGUUCAAAACCAAACCGGACCAUCCAGCUGUGAGGUACAUUUCUCCCACAUGCCACAAUUGUAUAUUCACAAUUACGUCUGAUACAUCACAUCAUGCCACUUGCCUCAAAUGAAUUUAAGUGAGUGUGGCAGUGGAAAGUAAUUAAGCUCUAUAUUGGUGGGUGGACUGUUACUUCUGGGUUCCCCUCAUCAUUCGUCUAUAAAAUGGUGAAGGCAGUUGCUAUUGUUACCAUAAGAGCCAGCUCCGACUUCCUUUAAUUUCUUGCUUCAUAUCCACUAGCUACAUCUGUUACCAAGUUAAUUUCAGUCCUAAUGGGGUUUCAUCUCCCACUCAUCUUUGCUCUUCUCAGUGUAAGCUCUGCAAUUUGAUUAACUUUUCCAUUCUCUCUCAUUGUACUCUAUAUAAACGAAAGUUUUGUGUUCCUAUAAUUCUCUCCGAUUUUAUUUAGUACGUACUUAAGUGUCGUCCACUAAUUAAUUACACUUUGUGAUUUGAUUUUAAUUUGAGUUCGAAUUAAUGUUGCAGCUAGCAGCAGUGGCACUGGCAAACCAUGCUGCUCAACCAGCACCUCAACUUUACUGGAACUCCGUCCUGCCAAACACACAGAUGCCAAGAUCUAUCAGUGAACUUCUGCAUCCUGGUUUGUGUUGAGCUCUUUAGAAUCUUAGAUAUCUCUUCUACCUGCCAUUUUACUAAAAUAUGUUCCACCACAUAUUUAUCAGUUAACCACUGUUAUUACAUGAGUGACACAUAUUCACAAAUCGGCUGAUCACUUAUUUUCCAUUAUGACGUUGAUAUAUAAUUUGCAGACUCCACAAAUGAAGAAAAGAGCACAAAUGACGUUGGCAAACCUGAAACUUUCCCAUUGGGCAAUAAACAUUACUCCAGUCAAAAACAUUAUGGAAGAGGCAAACCUGAAACUUUCCCAUUGGGCAAUAAACAUUACUCCAGUCAAAGACAUUAUGGAAGAGGCAAACCUGAAACUUUCCCAUUGGGCAAUAAACAUUACUCCAGUCAAAGACAUUAUGGAAGAGGCAAACCUGAAACUUUCCCAUUGGGCAAUAAACAUUACUCCAGUCAAAAACAUUAUGGAAGAGGCAAACCUGAAACUUUCCCAUUGGGCAAUCAGCAUUACUCCAGUCAAAAAAAGUAUGGAAGAGGUGCUUCUCCAUCCGACAAUCAACCACCAAUUCCAUAGAAAUUCAAACACGGCUACUUUCUUGCCACGAGAAAGCGCUCAAUCGAUCCCCUUCUCCUCUAACAAACUACCAGAAAUUUUCAACCAUUUUUCAGUGAAGCCAACAUCUGAGGAAGCCAAAACAAUUAAGCAAACAAUCGAAGAGUGUGAAGCUCCAGACCUUAAGGGAGAGGAAAUAUAUUGCGCCACAUCUUUAGAAUCAAUGGUUGAUUUUAGCACUUCGAAGCUUGGAACAAGAAACGUUGAAGCAAUCUCGACGGAGGUAUUGGAAAAAGGAGCCACCAUGUCCAUCCAAAACUAUACAACAAUGCCGGGACUGAAGAAGUUGGCAGGUGACAAAGUCGUUGUGUGUCAUAAGCAGAACUAUCCCUAUGCUGUGUUUUUCUGCCAUGCAAUAAAACAUACAGCAGCUUAUGCUCUCUCCCUGAAAGGCGAUGAUGGGGAGAAGGUUAAAGCAGUAACCAUCUGCCAUCUAGACACAUCAGAAUGGGACCCAGAGCAUAUGUCCUUCAAAAUCGUCAACGUUAAGCCCGGAACCAUUCCCAUCUGCCAUUUCAUUUCCACUGAUGCUAUUGCCUGGGUUCCGAACCACAAAUCUGCAUGAUCAUCACUUAGCACUAGUACUGUGCGUAUAAUAUGCCUGUAUAAUUAUCUCCCUACUUAUUUCUGCCUGUUCAUCAUGUGGUGUAAGAUAUAUGUUGAGAUGAAGUUUUUGGGAUUAGUGGUCGAAAUUAACCCGAUCAUGUUUUCUCUUGUAACUAUAUAGACUUCAACUUGUACUCAUAAUAAAGCAUGCUAUAUUUAUGAAGAGAUAUUAAUCUUCAGGCAAAUAGAUAUUAUGAAAACAUAUAUAGCAAUUUAUCCAGAAGAAAUAUUAUGAAAUGAAAAGAAUAAAAAGUAAAAAAACAGAAGGAAAGGAAUUCGCACCUGCUAUGUAUGAAAGGACCAAGAUUGUUUUCCCUUUGGUUAAUGACUAGAAAAGCUCACUUGCAGAUUGCUUUCUCUGACCGUAGAUGCAACAGAAAUUUUCUCUUAAUAAUAGCACAAUGAUCGGGUAAUUGUAAGAACAAGUUGAUUUAAAAUUCCUUGACCCAAAAAAAAAAAAAAAAUCAUUUCAAAUUCAGGUCAACCCAUAGAUUUCUUGCCUUUUUCUUCUUCAUCACGUUGGGCUUGUCUUCUUCUUGAGGAUUGUAUAGGCCCAGGAAAUGCUUUGAGGUAGUUUUUGGCCUUGGAAGUUGGGACCCAACCCAACUUCACAAAAAGAAAACAGAUUUGCCAAAAAUCAAAUUUCAAGUCUCUCCUCAGAUCACUAAUACAGAUCAAAUUUUGGAUUUGAUGAACUAAAGUGGUUUUACUUUCUCUGUCAGUGUUUGAUGACUUAAUUUGUUAUUUACUUCUUUUUUUUUUUUUACUUGAUCUUUGUAGGGGUUUUUUUCUUCCGGUAACUUAAACGGGCUGGGCUGCCGUAAAGGGUAGAUUGAUGAAAUUGUCUCCUUUGUCUGAGUUCGAAAAUCAAGCCCCAAAAGCGCUUCGAAAGGGCAGUAGAGCCUUAGGAAGCGUUCUAGUCAUCUUCACCAACUAAAACAACAGCAACUUACAGAUGAUUUCUUAAGGCUUACAGAUAAAUUUUCUAGCUUGGCAUGAGAGGCUUGUGACAUGGAAGCAAAAUCAGCAUGAGUUUAGCACCAAAGAGGAAAAUAUGGCUUCCUAGGGAGAAAUGGGAGUGUUUAAGGUGAGGAAGAAGAGGUUUGCAGGCUGAUUUGGCUGAGGAGAGAGAAAGAAAGAACAAUGUUCUUCCAGUAGCUUGACAAAGCUUCUGACAGAUGUGAAAGUCGUCUGCCAUAAGAGGAAAAUGAAGAAGAAUGGUGAAUAGUGCAUGAAAUUGCUGGGUUUUUGCAGGUAAGAGAGAAAGCUUGCUCUCUGAAUUUGAGUUGGUUUUUGGUUGGGUAGAAGAGGCCCCCUUUUAUAGCUGCGGGAAACCAUCUUUUUUCAAGAAACCCUAAUGGUUUCUAUCCAUUUUGGCCAAGCUUUUCCCUUCAUUUCUCUUCUCCUCCCUUGACUUUUCCUAUCUUGGUGAAAUUUCCUCUGCCUAUUUGCACAAAAUUAGAGAUUUUGAGGAGCUCAAGACCCCUUUCCCGCAGCUGCCUCAGUGGAGAAUCCCCAUUUUCAGUCAUCUUUCUUCCUUCUUUUCUCCCAUCUUCCAAGGUUAGGUCUGAUGAGGGAAAGAAAUGGGUAUGCACACUGGUUUGAAGGGUAUUUUUGCUUGAAACUUGUUCUCUCCCAUGUGCUGGAGCUUCCCAGCAACUUACACACAUGGAUAUUUUGGCUUUCAUCGUGGCUUUUGUUUUCAGCUAGGUGCUGGAGAUUUCGCAGAUAUUUUCAUGAGUUGCUUGGGCCUUCUAGGACAAUAGGUUGGUUUAUCAAGUGAAUGGGCUAACUUCAUCAAUUGUUGGGCUAUUUUGGUUGAGUUAAUGGACUAUUUUGGUUGAAGUAAUGGGCUAUUUUGGUUGAAUUAAUGGGCUAUUUUUCUCUCUUUGUGCUCACCCACAUAUUUGGGCCUAAGAAAUGGGCUUGAGUUCCGGGGCUCCCAAGCAACCCCGGGACUUCCAUUUCUCGGCCCAUCAAUGGGCCUCAUAUCAACUUAUUACCAUCCAUAUCACAACCCACUCAAGCAAGCCCUGGGCAUCUUGCGUGGCUUGGGCCCACUUAAGCUUGUAGCGUGACGUGUUGCUUAUUUGCUUGGCAUGGCAUGUGUGCAAGCGCAUAUGACGAACUUUAGCGUGCCCAAAUUGGGUUUAUUCUCGGUAAGGUAUCGCAUUGGGCCGAGAAUUUAAUUGGGCAGAACUGUGGAUUUUUGGGCCUCAACAAUCUUAUAUAUAUUGGUUUUCUUUUUUUCCUUAAUAUUCACCACCUUUCUGUUGCAUAAGUAUUUCAGUCUUAACGGGUUUCCAUCUACCACUCAUCUUUGCUCUUUUAAGUGUAAGCUUUUUUUUUUUUUUUUUAAGCACAAGAUUAGAGGGGAGGGGGAUUUCUCAAUGUAAGCUUUGCAGUUUCAUAAUUAAUAUUUCCAAUAUCUCACUGUUAGUAAAAUAUGGAACAGGAAAAGUAUGAAUAAAAUACACACAUGUUUUAUUUAGCAAAAUUUUGACAAGAUACAACUGAAAAGUUUGGCCACUAUAUAAUAUUUUGAUAUAAUUUCUACACUUCUUCUCAAAAGAUUAGAUCACUUCACAUCUUGUGUAUGUGAAAACUAAUGUAAAAAGUUGAAACUUUAUCGUAAAACCUCGACAAAAAUGAGCUCUACUAGAAAAUGUUCAAUUUGGAUUCGUUGAUUUAAAUGGCAAUUUGACACUUGAUAGAAAUUUUUACAUACAUGUGUUAGUGUUUGAUCACUUCACAUGUUACUUACUAUAUUUAUUCCACUCAAGUUAGGUAAAUAUUAUUAUCAAACAUUUCAAUUAAUUUGUGAUUUUUUUAUUAUUUAAUCAAUUAUGAAUUAAUGGAUUCUUCUUGUUGUUUUGAAGACCAAUAAAAAAAAAAGGGUAAGGAUGGCUUAUAACUCUGAUAAAACAACAGUGACGUGGACAGCAGAUGUUACACCGUACUGAAGAUUUUUGAAGAUUCUUUAUUUGGGUUUCUUUCAAGAUGAAAACCAUAUUAUCCACAACCACAAUGAAGAAGACAGAAAAUGGAGUAAUUCAGAUGUUACCAGCCAUCCACGACAAACUGAAGUCUGCAAAGCAUUCGUAAUCUAAAGGGAGACUUUGGAAAAGCCCAAAGGAGAGAGAAAAUUUUUAAAAGAAGCAAAAAUGGACAAAAUUGCCCUUAUUUAUUUUUUGAUUUCCUAAGAAAUCCUUUACAUUUGCAUGUCUUUGGUUUGAAAGUUGAGAGGUUAUUCUGUCUUUUUUCAAAAAGCUUUGGCUUUUUCCAAAAGUGAAAGUUUUUUUAUGGGUAAAACCUAAAUUUACUUAAUCCCUAAAAAGGAUGGGGAGGCUGCGCAAUACUUAGCCACGUGUAGGCCAGGAGGCUUUCCAAUUUUAAUAUAUAUAUAAAUUGAAAAAAUAAAAUAAAAAUCAAUCUAUUAUCCUAUAUAAAAUAAAGAUUAUUGCUUCCAUGGGCAGUGCUAUGCACAGGACAGUGCCUGCCCAGCACAAAUUUUUUUUAAAUAAAAAAAAAAAAUCUACAUAUGUUAUAAGCUCAUCCAAAAAAAUAAAAUAAAAUAAAAGUAAAUUCUACAUAUAUGUUGCCCAUCUAGGUGGUUCCAUAUCUUCUCUCUCCUUCUCUUUUGGCUAUUAGACUUCUUGUUUCUCUCUCUCUCUUUGCUACCUCACAUCAGCAAGUUUCUCCCUCUCUUUUUUUGGGGUCAAAUUCUUCCUCUAUUGACAAAAUCUUCUAUUAUCUUGGGUGGGCAACUUGGCAACAACAUCUUCUCUUCUCCUUUUGUCAACAACAAGUAUUAUUCUCAUUCUCUCAUUUGCUAUAUAUCUUUAAUUAUAGUUUUAAUUUAAAAUUGAGUAUUCUAGGGUUUAAUUAGGGAUGAAUUAUAAUUUUAGAAUUUUGUUGAAAUUAAUUAAGGCUUCGAUUAGGGGUGAAUUAUUCUACUGCUUUGGUUUGGAAUUUUGUUAAAAUUGAGUAUUAUAGGGUUUAAUUAUGGAUGAAUUAUAAUUUUUGAUUUUGGUAUUAUUGAGAUGUUAUUAUGAGAAUUUGUUUCAUUUUUUUAUUGGUAUAUUUGAUUAAAAUUCUUUCUACAUAUUAUUCAUAGGCUAUCUUUUAUUAUGUCGGAUCACAAUCGGAAUCCCAAGAGAACAAAGAAUUUGAAUAGUGUUGUUUUGUAUUGCAUUGCAUUUACUUUUGGUUUUAGUUUUGCUUUUAGUGUAAAUUACUCAAAUGGUCCUCAAAUUUGUACCCGAUUUACAUUUUGGUCCAUAAACUAAAUUAUUCAUUCAAAUGGUGCACCAACUCUUUAUUAAUCAGUGCUUUGGUCCUACCGUUAUGUUUUCUAUUAAAUUUAGUCAUGUGAGCAGCACAUGCUACAUUUGUAGGGGUAAAUAAGACUUUUGACCACUUUAUCACCUAUGUAUCACCACUUUAUAACCUAUUUGGAGAACAUAGGUCAGUUAUGGACGGUUUUACAAUUAUAUUUGACGGCAACAUUAACAUAAUGUAACAGUGGGAUCAAUGGAGCGAUUAAUAUAGAGUUGAUGGACCGUUUGAACGAAUAAUUUAAUUGAGGGACCAAAACGUAAAUUGAGUAUAAGUUUGAGGACCAUUUGAGUAAUGUACCCUUCGCUUUUAUAUUUGUUGAACUUUUAUUUAUGGAUAGAUAUGCAUUUGAGGGUAAGACCCAUUAUGUUCCCCCUGACUUGGUGUAUCUUUUUAUGUUUAUUAAUGAAAUUCACUCGAACUGUUGAGUUUAGUAUGUAAGUUUUGCCUAACCGGCUUUUGAAUCCUAGAACCGCCACUGUUGCUCCAUCCUCCAUGCACUUGCAUGUGCUCUUACAAAGUGUGAAGUAGAUUUUGUGUGCUCCAAGUCAUUGACUAGAGCUGAAACAUGGUUAGCUAGAUUUAUAAGGACCCAUCUCUCUAUUUCCUAGACAUAUACCCAUCUCUCUAUAAAUCUAUAUGUAAAACUCAAUUUCAAACUUAAAUGACCAGUAAGAUAUAAGAGGUCAUAGUAUUCCUAUGUUUUUACAUCGUUGCCACCAGACUUCUUAUUUUAUUUAUAAUUUAUUUCAAGCAUUUCAUUAACUGCCAUAAUUGUAAUUAAUACUCCAUAUUAAUAGCAUAUCAAUCACCCCAUUUCUUUUGAUUGCCAUUCCCUCUAACAUAUCGCCCCUUAAAAUUGAAAACCAAAAAAAAAAAAAAUGUAAAUUACAUAUCCAAUAAUGUACCUAUGAAAAAUAUAAAUAUAAAUAUAUACGUAUAAAAAUAUAGGUUUAUUAUUUACCAAAUAAAAAAUAUAAAAAAACUAGGUCAGUUGCUUUGUAAUUGAAAUUUCUAUACAUUUUCCACAAAUUAAAAAUAGGUACACAAUAAUUUAUAGAAAAUAUAGGUGCAUUAUUUAUCCAUAGGUAAAAAUACCUAUAAAUGCACAUAGGUAAAUUAUUUACCCAUAUAUUAUUUUUUUGCUAAGGAUUUACCUUAGUUUUUAGUAGAUUAAUUUACCUACCUAGAGGCAUAGGUAGCUUAAAAAAAUUGUAGCACCUUAGUUGGUUGCAUACUAAUUUACCUACCUAGAGGCAUAGGUUGCUAAGAAAAAAUGUAGGUAAAUUCAUGUACCUAAACACAUAGGGGUCAAAUAGAGAAUAACAUGUUAUUUCCCUUCGAACAAAUUAAUUUCAAACCAUAACAAUAAUUGAAUUCGGAAAUUGGUAUAAAUAAAAGGAAAUAAAUAAGCUAUCAAUUUGAAAAUUAAAAUAAGAAAUGAUCAAGUAGUCAUAUUUGAAAAAAAAGAAAAGAAUAUAUUCUUGGUUUUUAUAGGAACAACGUGUAUAUUCAAACCAAAUGGCAGUAACUACACCAAGCUUUAAUUACUUUUUUUUAAGGCCAAAAGUCACUUUUGGUCUCUGUAGUUUGACACUUCUAUUACUUUUGACGCUGUAGUUUCAAUUCCGUCAAUUUUGCCAUUGUAGUUUCAUAUUUGUAGCAAUUCAAGGACAUGUUAAUAUUAAUGUCAAUUUGUUUAAUGAUGCAAGGGGUAAUUUCGUCAUCCCAAAAUCCUUGAGCAUAAAAGCUUGUCUGAAAUUCUCCCCAUUUCAUAUUAGGGCUCGAAAUUCAACCACUAAUCCCAAUUUUUGAAGAACCCUAUACCCAAAUGACCAAUUUCAAGCCCUAAUAACAAAUUAGGGAAGUUUUAGAUGAGCUUUUAUGCUCAAGGAUUUUGAGUUGAAGAAAUUGCCCCUUGCACUGUCAAAGAAAUUGAUAGGAAUACUGACUUGUCCUUGAAUUGCUACAAAUACAAAAAUACAGGGUCAAAAUUAACAGAAUUUAAACUAUAUGGUCAAAAGUGGUUAAAGUGCCAAACUACAAGGACCAAAAGUGACUUUUAGCCUUUUUGUUUAAAUAAGGAAAAAACUUACCUAUUAAAUCCUUGGAAUCUAUACAAAAUUGAAACACAGUUAAUCAGCAUUGAAUUGCAGCUAAUUUCUUAAACAAGGGUAUUAUAGGAAUUUAAAAAGUAUAACAUUUAAUCCAUUGAGCUUGAUUAGGAAUCUUGAUGAGUUGGAUCCUAGUUAUAUAGUUUCUCUUAUAAAAAUCGGGUUUUAUUUAUAGACAAAUAAAACAAUGGGUUGUAGGUAAGAAAAUAUUAAUUUGAAGGGAAAGUGUCACAUCCUGGGAUCGGCUCCGCCGUAGCACGAUAUUGUCCGCUUUGGGCCCCCCUCUCUGCCCGCACGGUUUUGUUUCUGGGAGCUCACGAGCAACUUCCCAGUGGGUCACCCAUCCUGGGAUUGCUCUGGCCCCCAACUCGCUUAACUUCGGAAUUCCUAUGACUCCGAAGCCAGUGAGCUCCCAAAAGGCCUCGUGCUAGAUGGAUGCGGGUGUGUACAUAUAAGACACAUCACCCCCUCUCCGUUGGUUGAUGUGGGAUCUUACAGAAAGAGUCAAAUUUACUAAAUUAAUAAAGCAUAAAUUGGAAAGGGAAAAGAUCUAGAGGAUGCAUUGUAGGAUUGCUCAUGCCAAUAAUUGCACCCUCUCGAUAUUGAAAAACCUAUUGUGUAUUAUUAUCUUCAAUCAUGAAUGAUGCACCUAAAACCCAAGUGUCCCAAGCCAACCAUUGCGCUCAUACCACUUGUUGCAGUACACAUUCACCCGUUUUUAAAGAAAGAAAUUCUACCAAUCGAUAUUGUCUCAAAUUUAAUCACAUAGGUCUAUUAUGGUUAACCAUAUGUACUUUUAUCGGCCAUAUAGAGGUACCUUUUUCCAACGUGCAACAAUUGUAUUUGAUUCACAAUUAUGUCUGAUAUACAUCACAUCAUGCCACUUGCCUCAAAUGAAUUUAAUUGAGUGAGGCAAUGGGAAGUAAUUAAGCUCUAUAUUGGUGGGUGGAGUGUUACUUCUGGAACCCUCAUCAUUCGUCCAUACAAGGGAACAAUUCCCUUCCUUCUAUAAAAUGGUGAAGCCAGUUGCUAUUGUUUGUUAGAGUUUUAGGAUCUGAGUGUUAGAUUUUGUGAGAAGAGAGAAGAGAAUUUAGUGAAAACUUCCAAUACUGCUCUGCUAUACGUGUAGCAGAGAGAACAUUCUGUUUUGUUAUAUAUUUUCAGUACAACAACACACACUUGGUGUGAGAAGAAAAAUGACUGUUAUGCACAGUACCAGCUGGAUGCUUUCCAUCAAAGUAAUCUCAGCCAUUCACUAUCUAACCAAUCAAGCUAUGACACCUGGACUAAGUAUAAAGAAAUACAACUAAGCAGAAAACAAGACUCUUAAUCCUGAAAUCAACUUAAGCACUUAUAAUUCAACACUCCCCUUUAAGUCUUGAGGUGAUUUCACUCCAAGCAUGCCUCUGAGAUAAUUGAAUCUGUCUUUGGCCAGAGGUUUGGUAAAAAUGUCAGCCAAUUGUUCAUUUGUAGGACAAUAUUCCAGAUUGAUUACCCCUUCUUGCAAUGCAUCCUUGAUGAAGUGAUACCUCCUGUCAAUAUGCUUUGUCUUCUGGUGGAAUACAGGGUUUUUAGUGAUUGCAAUUGCUGAGAUAUUAUCACAAUGCAAUGGAGUAGCUUCAGUUUGAAGCUCUCUAAAGUCUUCUAGCACAAAACGGAGCCAAAUAGCUUGAGUAGUAGCCUCAGCUGCACUGAUGUACUCAGCUUCUGCAGUAGACAGUGCAACACAGUUCUGUUUCACUGAGGCCCAAGAAAAUACUCCACUUCCAAAACUAAACGCAUACCCUGAUGUGCUCUUGCAAUCACCAACUGAUCCUCCCCAAUCACUGUCACAGUAACCAACUAGAAUUGAUCUUUUGCCUUUCACAUAUUCAAGACCAUAGUCCAGAGUUCCUUUGAUGUAUCUCAAAACCCUUUUAGCUGUUCCAUAGUGUCUAUUUGUAGGACAGUGCAUGAAUCUAGCUAGCAAGCUUGAGGCAUACAUGAUGUCUGGUCUUGUAGCAGUUAAGUACAGCAAGCUACCAACAAUGCUUCUGUAUUGUUCUUCAUUUGCAGCUCAACUCCCAUCAUCCUUAGCUAGUUUCUCAGUGGCAACAAGGGGUGUUGUCACAGGUUUGCACUCAGUCAAACCAAACUUGCUCAACAAGGUGCUAGCAUAUUUCUUUUGAUGUAGAAAUAUACUAGACUCAGUCUGAAUAACUCCCAUGCCAAGAAAGUGAUGAAGUAAGCCCAAAUCAGUCAUCUCAUACUUAGCCAUCAUGUCUUCUUUGAAUUCAGCCAACAAUGCUUGACUGCUCCCUGUAUACACAAUAUCGUCUACAUAGAUAGACACAAUUAGAAUCUCCUUAUCUCCCCUUACUUUGGUAUAUAAGGUUGUUUCACUUAAGCUUUUCACAAAACCACAUUGAGUGAAGUAGCUGUCUAUCUCUCCAUACCAAGCCCUUGGGGCUUGCUUCAGACCAUAAAGGGCUUUAUGCAAACGAUAAACCUUGUCUUCUUUACCUUUAAUUACAAAACCUUCAGGCUGACUGACAUAAACUUCCUCUUGCAGCACACCAUUAAGGAAAGCAGACUUCACAUCAAGCUGGAACAAUUUCCAAUCCUUUUGAGCAGCUAGAGCAAUAAGUGUUCUAAUGGUGUCCAAUCUGGCUAUAGGUGCAUAAGUCUCAUUAUAAUCCAGUCCAGGCUUCUGAGCAUACCCCUUAGCCACUAAUCUUGCUUUAUUCUUUUGCACUGAGCCAUCCAAAUUCAGCUUUGUCUUGUACACCCACUUAACUCCAAUCACUGGUUUUUCAGUUAGUCUAUCUACCAAUUCCCAUGUUUCAUUCUUUUCAAUCAUCUGCAGUUCAUCUUCCAUAGCCUUAAGCCAAGAUUCAUCCUGAGCAACAUCAGCAUAUUUUUCUGGUUCCAUGAUACACAAGUUACACUGAGCUAGAACAUCAUCUAGCCUUCUCCAUUUUAGAGGGGUGUGAUCAUAAGCUUGAGUUCUCCUUUCUUCACUGCUUAUAUCACCUGGAGUUGAUGAAAUGCUCUCUUGCAUAUCCAAAGUUUGAGGUGUACCAGUAGAAUUCUCAUUAGAACUGUCAGAUUUCAAGUCCAAAUCAACUUGGUUUUCAAUUGAGUAUGUUGUCAUAACUGAACCAUUUUUGUUUGUCCAAUGCCAAGCAUUUUCUUCAUCAAAUGUCACAUCCCUUGAUAGUAAAAGCUUGUUAGAAACAGGAUCAAAAACUCUAUAUCCUUUUUCACAAGUUGCAUAUCCCACAAACACUCCCUUUGUACUCUUAGGAUCCCGCUUGUGUCUCAAUUCAGUUGGCACAUGAACAUAACACAGAGAACCAAACACUUUCAGAUGUGCAAUUCCAGGCUUCCUUCCACUAUAUGCUUCGAAUGGAGUAAUGUUGUUGAGAGCUUUGGUAGGACAUCUGUUCAGCAAAUAGAUAGCUGUAUGCACAGCUUCUGCCCAUAGGAAAUAAGGCAUUCCCUUCUCAUGUAACAUUGAUUUUGCCAUCUCAAUGACAGUUCUAUUCUUCCUCUCAACUACUCCAUUCUGCUGAGGAGUAUAGGCCAUUGUAAGCUGCCUUUGAAUGCCAUUAGCUUCACAAAACUCCAAAAAAUCAGUAGACAUAAACUCUCCACCCCUGUCACUUCUUAUGCACUGAACCUUGUGUCCAGUUUGUAAUUCAGUCAUGGACUUGAACUUCUUGAAACAAAAGAAGGCUUUUGACUUGUUUCUCAAGAAGUAUACCCAAAUCAUUCUUGUGAAAUCAUCUAUAAUCAGCAUGAAAUAUCUGUUCCUUGCAACAGACUCAUUUCUCAUGGGACCACAGAGAUCCACAUGUAUUAGCACUAGUACUUUGCUUGCUCUUUGAGCUUGAUCUUUUGGAAAAACAUUUCUGUGCUGUUUUCCAAAUUGGCACCCGUCACACACACCACUUUGUUCUUCCAAUUUUGGUAAACCAUGUACCAUUUCUUUAUCACUUAGCUGCUUCAAUCCUCCAAAAUGCAGAUGACCAAAUCUCUUGUGCCAAAUCCAUGUGGAUUGAAGAAAACUAGUCUUCAUUAGUAACUGUUUUUCAGCUAGAAAAGAGACAGGAUAGCAUCUGUUACUCUUCAUUUGCACCUUUAUGAUGAGAUAAUCCAUGGAUGGGCUAUCAAAUACCCUGCACAUCCCUUCUCCAAACACUAGACAGUACCCAUGUUCAUCCAUCUGCCCAACACUUAGCAGAUUUUCUUUCAAUCCUGGCAGAUACAUUACUUCUCUGAUGUAUUUCCUGCCCUUUGCUGUAUCAAUACUCAGUGAGCCAAUACCAGCUACACUCACUAAUGCACCAGUUGGCAUUUGUACUCUCCCAGCUACAUUAGUUCUCACAUCAACCAGCAAAUCUAAAUUUCCUGUCAUAUGAUUGCUGCAGCCACUGUCAAUGUACCAUUCAUUGGUUUUGAUCUCAGUGGUUGAGCAAUUGGCAUAAAACAGGUUUCCUGUAACCUCCAUUUGAUUUACACAAUUAGCCUUCUGCACAUUUUUGCUCACUGUACAGUCUCUAGCAAGAUGUCCAACUCUGUCACAGUUAUAGCAUUUUGGUUUUCCCUUAUACCUGCACUCACCAAAAUGAUGCUUUGAACACACCUUGCAUUGAGGCUUUGUGUUUUCCUGAUUUGAGAACUGUGUUGAAGUGUGGUUCUGUGCAGAAUAAUUAUUCUGCUGUGUCUUGUCUUUUGCCUCCCAUGACUUCCCUUUAGAGUUCCAGCUUCUCUGUGACUUAGAUGAACCAGACUGAGAAGCAUUUUUGUUCUGACCCUUUGAAUUCACAGUGAAUGAGGCAAAUGCCUUCUCAGCUGUAUCAACACUAUGCAUUUCAAGCCUUUGCUCCCGACUCUUCAAAAUGGCAGUUACUUCCUGCAAAUCCACAGUUUCUAGUGUCUUUGUGUUUUCAAUCACAAUGCAUAUAGGGUCAUACUUCUUACUUAGACUAAUUAACACCUUCUGAACCUACCUCUCAUUUGACAGAACUUCACCAAAUGUUUUCAUUUGGUUAAUCAAUUCAGUUAGUCUAGUAAGAUAUUCAGAUAAGGUUUCACUAUCACGCAUCCUACUGUAUUCAAACUCACGUCUAAGGUUUUGAAGCUUUACCGAUCUAACAUGCUCUCCACCAUGAUAUUCUGAGUACAGCAGAUUCCAAGCCAUCUUUGCAGAGUCAGCAUUGGCAAUUCUGGGAAAAAUCUGAUCAGAAACAGCAUUUUGAAUGAUACCCAAGGCCUUCGCAUCCUUCAUGAGAAUCGCAGCUGUUUUCUCAUCAACUUCUUCUUCUGAACCAUCCUCAGAUUCCUGCUUCGUCUUUGAAUCUGGGAUUAAAAACCCCUUCUCUACCAAACCCCAUAAACCAUAUGAUCUGAAUAUGGUUACCAUCUUAAUCCUCCAAAAUUCAUAGUUCUCACCUGAGAAAAUGGGGAUUCUAGCCUCUGAACUUCCAGAUCCAGCCAUUACGAAUUUCAGAUUCGCCUGGAAACAAGAUGUUUUCAGAUUUGACCCUUGAUCGAGCUCAAUCAGCUUCGUGAGCUUAGAAUGAGCUCACCUCGAUCGAUUUUCUUCACAGAACAACGCCCAGCUUCAGAUAAUCAAACUUGGCUCUGAGGCCAUGUUAGAGUUUUAGGAUCUGAGUGUUAGAUAUUGUGAGAAGAGAGAAGAGAAUUUAGUGAAAAUUUCCAAUACUGCUCUGCUAUACGUGUAGCAGAGAGAACAUUCUCUUUUGCUAUAUAUUUUCAGUACAACAACACACACUUGGUGUGAGAAGAAAAAUGACUGUUAUGCACAGUACCAGCUGGAUGCUUUCCAUCAAAGUAAUCUCAGCCAUUCACUAUCUAACCAAUCAAGCUAUGACACCUGGACUAAGUAUAAAGAAAUACAACUAAGCAGAAAACAAGACUCUUAAUCCUGAAAUCAACUUAAGCACUUAUAAUUCAACAUUGUUACCAUAAGAGCCAGCUCCGACUUUCUUUAAUUUCAGUCCUAACGGGGUUUCAUCUUCCACUCAUCUUUGCUCUUCUCAGUGUAAGCUCUGCAAUUUGAUUAACUUUCCCAUUAUCUCUCACUGUACUCUAUAUAAAGGAAUAAGUGUCGUCCACUAAUUAAUUACACUUUGUGAGAUUUGAUUUUAAUUAGAGUUCGAAUUGAUGUUGCAGCUAGCAGCGGUGGCACUGGCAAACCAUGCUGCUCAACCAGCACCUCAACUUUACUGGAACUCCGUCCUGCCAAACACACAAAUGCCAAGAGCUAUCAGUGAACUUCUGCAUCCUGGUUUGUGUUGAAUAAAUAUAGUAUGUUACUGGAGUACGUAUGGCAACAUAUUCACAAAUGUGUCACGUAUUUUCCAAUAUGACGUUGAUAUAUAAUUGCAGACUCCACAAACGAAGAAAAGAGCACAAAUGUCAUGAAUGCUGUUGGGAAUGGAAAGCCAAUUGACCACAAGGGCAACCUGAAAAUACUGUACUACCACAGCUUGCACGACGCCCAUUUUCUUACAAGAGUGAUGAUCGUCCCACUGACAAUCAACUCCAUUAUAAAAACGUAGCUAUUUUCUUCUUGGAGAAGGACAUGCGCCCUGGCACAACAAUGAGCUUCCAAUUCCCUAGAAAUUCAAACACGGCUACUUUCCUGCCACCAGAAAGAGCUCAAUCGAUCCCCUUCUCCUCUAACAAACUACCAGAAAUUUUCAACCAUUUUUCAGUGAAGCCAACAUCUGUGGAAGCCAAAACAAUUAAGCAAACAAUCGAAGAGUGUGAGGCUCCAGGCAUUAAGGGAGAGGAAAUAUAUUGCGCCACAUCUUUAGAAUCAAUGGUUGAUUUUAGCACUUCGAAUUUUCGAACAAGAAACGUUCAAGCAAUCUCGACAGAGGUAUUGGAAAAAGGUGCCACCAUGUCCAUGCACAAGCAUACAACAAUGCCGGGACUGAAGAAGUUGGCAGGUGACAAAGUCGUUGUGUGUCAUAAGCAGAACUAUCCCUAUGCUGUGUUUUACUGCCAUGUAAUAAAACCAACAGCAGCUUAUGUUCUCUCCCUGAAAGGCGAUGAUGGGGUGAAGAUUAAAGCAGUAGCCAUCUGCCAUCUAGACACAUCAGAAUGGAACCCAAAGCAUUUGGCCUUCCAAAUCCUCAAAGUUAAGCCCGGAACAAUUCCCAUCUGCCAUUUCCUUCCCACUGAUCAUAGUGUCUGGGUUCCGAACCACAAAUCUGCAUGAUCAUCACUUAGCACUGUACGUAUAAUAAGCUUGCACCCCUGUAUAAUUAUCUCCCUACUCUACUUAUUUCUGCCUCUUCAUGUGGUGUAAGAUAUAUGAUGAGAUGAAGUUUUUGGGAUUAGUGGUCGGGUUGCCUUAAAAACACAGAUUACAGAAACUGCUUGAACUUAACCCGAUCAUGUUUUCUCUUGUACUCGUAAAGCAUGCUGUUGUGGUUCUACUUAAUUUCGUUCUCCCCAAUGUUUGAGUGUUUAAUUGUUACGUUGGAUAAUGCUUGUAGUUAGAGAAGCCUUCAUUUAUAUCAAAGUCCUCAACUUGUAAAGAUAUCAAUGGUCCUAGUGCUGCCACGUGUAAGAAGAUUGAAGAAUAAAGCUGUUGAGAUAUUGUUAGACCUGUUAUGCAGUUUAGGAAAACUGUUAGUAUUGAUAAGAGAAGGUUAGAGAUGUUAGAGAGGUUAGAAAACACGUGAACAAGGCUUUAACUCAGCUGAUAUAAAGUCUGUAGUUGUGCUCAGUUGAACUUAAUGAGAAAUACAACAAGUCUCUUCUCUAUCUCUGAAAUUCUCUCUGCUCUCUCUGCUUUACUUCUUUUGUCUCUGCUCUACAUUUUUUUUCAAUCUUCCUAUCUUAACAAAACUAUCAAGAAUUAAUGCAUCCAGAAACAUAUAUACCAAGACGCAAAACAACAUAUUUUUCAUGCUCUGUCUGUAACACCAAAGCAAACUUCCUUUAUCACAAAAGGAUCAAAUUCCAGUACUAAUCUAAUCCAUCAUGUAAAGCAUACAAUCUACAAGUGCCUCCCUUAAUUUGUCCAUUGGAUAUAUAUGUCACUUUUUGGUAAUUUGGUAUAGCAGCACCACGUAGUCUUGAAAUAGUAGUGCGGCUAUACCAAAUAUACCAUUUGCCCCUGCAUUUAACAGAAAAGUAAACAAAAUUGACGGUAGAACUAUUUGUCCUAACGAAACUGCAGUUGAAAGACCAUGAGAACGAUUUUGAAAAUUGAGGGACUCAAAUGAAAAUUGGGUCUAAGUUCAAGAACCAAUAAAACGAUUAACCCAUAGAUUUUGGAUCCAGUACCACAUCCCAAAGAGAAAACCACAAGUUUGCAAGCAAGUUUGUCCAUAAUAACACUACGUACAGUAUGGGCAGUGCGCUAGACUCAUCUCACUUUCUCAACCUAUCCUAUAGUUGUCUAAAAGAGUUUCUAAUUUAAUGUACUGAGAUUUACGAAAGAAAUAUCAGAGAAACAAUUUUCAGGCAAUAAAAAAAUGUCUUGGCAAGAAAAUGUACAAUUUGUUACAUAACUUAUUAAAUAUGAACAGUUGAAAGAAAAAAGAAUCUGGAUGAGGGAUUUGCAAAUUCCUAUGGCCCAAUUACCUUUUUUUCUUUGUUGUUUUUUUUUUUUUUUUUUUGGUUCUUUUGAUCCAGUAGCAUAUUCCAAAGAAUGAAAACCACAGGCAUGCAAUGCAAGCUCUUUUCCCACGUUUUCCUCUGUUUUUCUCCUAUCAUGGAAGUGAUUAAAACACACCUCUAAGCUUGUUUUGCGUUUGGUAGCCGAGUGUAAAAGCUCAAUGCAAGAUAGUUUGAGGUAGAAUUUUCUCCUAUUUUAUUAGGACAAUGAUAAUUAAAAAAAAGUGUGAUUCAUUGAAUAUUUGCGGGGUUUUGUUCAGACCUGACAAAGUUCUAAGUCAACACAUCAAAUUCCUUUUUCCAACAUGCAACAAUUGUAUUUGAUUCCCAAUUUUUUCUGAUAUACAUCACAUCAUGCCACUUGCAUCAAAUGAAUUUAAUUGAGUGAGGCAAUGGGAAGUAAUUAAGCUCUGUAUUCGUGGGUGGAGUGUUACUUCUGGAACCCUAAUAAUUCGUCCCUACAGGACUCUAGAACUCUCAAACUUCUUACAAGGACUACUUAACUCUAUAGCUUAAUGCAUAUAGCAUAUAUAUGCAAACACAAUUAGAAAUUCUACAACAGAAGCAAGAUCAAUCUCACUAUGCCUUCUAAACAAACAAACAAAUAAAACAAGCAUAUUAAUUGCUUUAAUCACUCUACUAACAUCAACACAGCACACUUAGUUUACUAACAGAUGAUAUAGAAAGGAAAAAAAAGGACCAAUAGGGAGAAAAUGGUGAACUAAGGAGAGACUAAUACUUCUGGUCCUUAGAAGGCAUAACAGAAAUAAUAGAGCACACUGCUUGAAUGCAAGUCAGUAUUAGGAGCAAAACAGCUGCAAUGAAAGAAAUAGUUGCCCAAGGUGUAUUGAAAUAAUGUUGCCUCAAAUUUGCCUUCCAUUUGUUCCAAGGCUUUCUGCAGUAGCUAUUAAGGCGCUCAGAAAGAAUAGCAAAGUAGAAGCUUUCACGAUACACUGCAAUUCCUUUUCCGAGGUUGUUAAUCAGAGUGCACACCUCAUUGUAGUCACCAAGCAUAUUUUUGACAAUCCCAUCCUUCAGAAGGAACUCCACAUCCUUUUCGGUGUUCACAAACUCAUCCAUGAGUGAAACAUAAUCACUUAUGUAAUUCUUACGGCAAUGGCACUAUUCAAAGGCAAUGAGGUUACGGAGUGUGAGCUCUGUGUAAUCGUGUAUUUUUAGUUUUGGAAUUUCUAGAAUCCCAUCGUUGAAUUGUGUUAACGCAGCUUUCCUUUCCUAGCCUACACGGAAGUCAACUUCACAAUCUCCUCCUAGCAAUUAGUCUUUCCUGCUGUAAAUCAGAUUUCCUACUGUAAAUCGGAUUGUAUUCAUGUCUAUAUUAUUUCCUACUUUAAGUAGAUAUCUUGUACUAGUAUAAAUAGGGACUUUGUGUAAUCUGUUAAAUACAAGGAAAUAUAUACUCUGCAUGGUAUCAGCCUAACCUAGGGUUCUCUCUCUCUCCCUUAUUCGAUCCUCUUCUCCUUUAGGUCCACCUCAUGGCUUUGUCUGAAUCCACCAUCUCCCUCCCAAGCCCCAACUCUUCUAUUUUAUCAAGCUUAUUGACUCCAACUAUCUUCUUUGGCUCCGCCAACUCAAACCCUUUUUAGUCGGCCAUGACCUCUGGAAAUUUAUCGAUGGCAUUCAUAAACAACCUUCUGCCCACACCUCCACCUCUACCACCGCAACACCCACAACCACCACCACUCUUACCCAAAUCAAUCAUGCCCAUGCUCAGUGGUACCAACAAGACCAACUCAUUGUUAGCUACAUCACCAAUACACUCUCUGAGUCCAUUCUCUUUCUCACUGUUGGUUGCACCUCUGCCCGGGAUCUCUGGGAGUGUCUCCAACGCCACUUCUCUCAAUCCAGUAUGGCCAGUGAAUCUACUCUUCGUUUUAAACUCAUGGAUUUGCAAAAAGGCUCUGAACCCACUUAUGCUUACAUUCGUCAUGCUAAGUCCUUUGCCGAUUCACUGGCUGCCAUCAAUGAACCUGUCUCCCCAAAAGAACUUGUCACUACUGUGCUUUGGGGUUUAAGACCCUAUUGCAACAUCCUCGUCACAGCAAUUCUCAAUUUCCCUCUGCUUCCUAACUUUGCUAAUCUUCGUGCUCGUUUGUUAGCAUUUGACGCACAGACUCCUUGAAUCUCUCCUGAUCAAAACACAGCGCAAAUGGCCACCCAAUCCUCUCCUCACACCACCGGUCAUACUUCCUUCCCUUCUCACCGUGGUGGUGGCUCUUCCAACAACAGGCGUGGUGGCCUCGGUGGCUGGCGCAAUAGCGGCCGGGGUGGCUGGCGCAGCUUCUCAUCUUCCUGGAGCAACCCGUGGAAUGGCUUCCAGCAGCUCCAAUGACCUAAUCAACCAUGGCCUCCUUUUGCUCCAAGUUCUGGAUCUCAAAGCAACUGGCCUUCCUUUCAGCCUCCUUGGGCCUAAUCUGCCGCUUCUAUCAAACACUUUGCCCGGCCCAACUCAGCUCCUGGUGUCUUGGGACCCGCUUGGUGCACUACCUGCAAUACCAAUCACAUACUACUACAAUAUGUCCUCAUCGCUACAAUGGCCCAGAAUCCUUUCUUUGCUAGGGCUCAAUUCAUGUAGCCACCUGACUCUACUUGGUACCCUGACACAAGUACCACUCAUCAUAUGAUUGGUAGUCCUUCUAAUCUCCAAAAUCAAUCCUUCUAAUCUCCAAAAUCAACAGCCAUAUCAGGUUCAUAAUUCUGUAUUUCUUGGUAAUGGAGAUUCUCUCCCUAUCUCUCAUACUAGCUCUCUCUUUUGUCUUCCAUCUCUUCGUACUAAUCUUCUUUUUGUUGCCCAUUUUACUUGUGAUAAUUUAGUUUUCUUUGUCUUUACUCUUGACUUUUAUCAAAUCUAUGACUUAUGUACUGGUUCGUUACUCUUUCAGGGCCCUUCUAAAGAUGGUCUUUACCCACUUUCCAUCUCCUCUCACUCAUCCAUAGUCCCCCAUGCCCUUACCACCGUGCACUCUCCUGCUUGGCAUCAUUGCCUUGGCCAUCCAUUCCAUCGUGUGCUCUCUCAUUUAGCGCCAUCUCUAGGCUUUAAAGUUUCUCAUGCUUUCUGUAAGGAUUGUGCACUUAGCAAAUCCACCAAACUGUCAUUUCUUAGUAAUAAAACCUUUGCCCCAUCUCCCUUUUAUUUAAUUCACUCUGAUGUAUGGAUGUCCUCGGUCAUUUCUGUCACUGGUUAUCGCUAUUAUGUCUUGUUUACAGAUGACUUUUCUCGUUACUCCUGGAUCUAUCAUAUGCACCGUAAAAAUGAGGUCUUUUCUCACUUUCAAACCUUUCUUGCUAUGGUUAAAAAUCAAUUUCACACCACUGUACAAAUUCUUUAAAGUGACAAUGGCACUGAAUAUGUUAAUAAUGCUUUCUCUGAUCUUUGCAGUCAACUAGGCAUCCACCAACGUUUCACAUGUCCCCACACUCCCCAACAAAAUGGCCUAGCUGAACAUAAACACAGACACAUUGCCACCAUGAUCUGUCCCCGGUCAUUUAUUCAACCAUCUUGACCUUUUGCUUGAUCAUUUUCCACAAGCAACCGUCCACGUACCCCAAUAAUUUAAAAGGGCUGAUGAUCUUUAAUUUGGUGAAAGCUUCUAUCUACCUACCGUGCUAUAUAUGAGCUAUGCAAUCGUGACCGUGUUACAUGACGUCCCAAUGUCGUAGGGAUAAAAAAAUAAUAGUCAUGGUUUUCUUAUUAAUGUCAAUACAUUCAUAGCAAAGAGCUUGUAGCUCUAGUGGUUAAGAGCAAUUACCCAUGCACUUGAGAUAUUUUGUGUUUAAAUCCCCUCUUCCCCAAUAUUUCUUGUAUAAAAAUAAAAAUAACAAUAAUAAUGACAUUAAUGUUGUAUUCUAUAAAGUGUUGGACAUGUUUUAUACCCCUUUCUUGCAAAUUACAGUUUGCCACGUGUACAAAAAUAAUAGAUAAGUGUUGGACAUCAAGAGCACUUACAUAUAGGUUUAAUAGGUAAGUUUUGAAUAUUUCUGUAUUUAGCUUUAAAUAUUGAAAAUCAACCUAUUAGCAUAUUAAAGAUUUGUCCAUAUUCGACGUACAUUCUCUUAUUUUUCUCUCAUUGAAGUAAAUACAAAACUAAGCACAUAGUGGGAAAGUGCGUCACGAUUAGGGGUGGGUUUAGUCUAGGUUGGUUCAUUUUUGGGCUCAAUUUGAACACCGAACUGUAAGCUUCGGUUUGGCUAUUUUGGAAACCGAAACCAAACCAUAAUUGAUGAAAACCGACCACUUCGAUUACCUUCUGGUCUUCCAACCAGAAGAAAACUCAAAACUUUAACCAUACCAAGUGCAACAGAAUUACACCAGGCUGGAUUCAAGUUUAUGAUGGUUAAAGAUAAAAACUUAUUUGACAUACAAUUUGAGAAUGGAAUCCUCAAAAUUCCACACCUGCGAAUACGGGGUUUAACAGAAAUUUUCUUCCGCAAUCUUAUUGCCUAUGAGCAGUGUGAGCUUCAUGAUCAUUACAUCAACGACUAUGUCUUCAUCAUGGACCGCCUGGUCGACAGUGCCAGGGAUGUGGAAUUGCUUGUGAAGAGUGGAAUUCUUGAAUCUAUGCUACCGGACAGCGAGGCAGCAGGGGAAUUUAUUAAUUCUCUUGACUUGGGGCCUAUUUUAGGCAAGCUUGAAACAAGACUAUUUCAGUUCACCAUGGGCUGGCCUGUCUAUUAUUGUAGCCGCUAUACUAGUUGUGCUCACAUUUAUUCAAACAGUGUGCUCCGUAAUGGCGCUGUAGGUUCUUCAUUUCCUCAAUUUCAUGUUUAGUGGUUGCAGAUUUGUUGCUCAUGUACGUGUUUAUCUAAAGUUAAAUAAGAGUGAUUGACUGGAUUGACUGUUAGUCUGUUAGUUUGUUUUUCUGGGGUUUUUCCCCCCUGUUCGUCAAAAAAAAAAAUAAAAGAGUGAUGGCUUGUGCCUAUGAAAAUUACUUAGGAGUAUGCUCCACAGAGCCAAAAUAAAUAAACUAGGGAAGUGGAGGUUCUUCUGUUUGUAUAUAAAUGAGCAAUUCAAACUCUCAGUGCCAAGGGAGUUACCCUUGAUACAUUUGUUAAAAAUUAUAUAUUUGGUCUUACAUCAAACAAAUAAUUUGAAGGGCUUUUUUGACAACUGCUGACAGCGUUUGGCAGAAAAGUUUAGAAGCGCUUCUACGCUUCUAGAUCAUAAAAGUGCUUUACCAAAAAGCACUUAGAUUUCUUAUGAAAAUUUCAACAUUUUUAUAAUAAAAGCGCUUGCUAGAAGCACUUAUAAGCAGAAGUGCUUCAUAGAGAAGCAGUCCCAAACGAGCUUGAUUUUCAAAUGUGCUGCUUAAGAAGAAAUUUAAUACGUUUUGAAAACAAAAAAAAAUACGAAAUUUAAUACGUUUGUUUUACAAAUUGUAUUAAUUGUUAUCAAUAAUACUUGUGCACACCCACAACAUACUUCUUUCUUUCUUUAUUUUCCUUCAGUACAGUUCUGCCUUUCUUUAAUUAUUUUUAACGAAUGCAAAGAGUUUGUCACAAAAUCAAGGAUUGAAAAAAAAAGAGAGUAAAUUAUGUGCUAGAGAAACUUUCCUGCAGAAAUUGAAGAACAACUCUAGUUUCUCUCUUUCGCCUUGUACUCCCGCACUGAGGUUAGUAUUGUUAUAAUGUGCAGAUUAUACGGUCACUCUUGUAUAAUGGCGAGAAGGCUCUAAUUAUAUUUUUGAACCUCUUUGACAGGACCCGCCCCGAAUUUCCCGAAACCCAAGACGAAUUCUGUGGAAAUUCCCUACAUCACCCCGAUGUUGGGCCCACUUCUAAAACUAUAUCAUUUUUCCUAAAAAGGAAUAAGGGCACGAGACUUUCUACCGAAAUUUCGGCAGAGUCUCUCCUGUAAAUUGAACAUUUCCCAAAAUUUCAACCUGCAUAAAACACAUUUUAUAUUACCCAACUGGCAGCAUGCACAAAAUAAUAACAUGCAAUUCACAUAAACGGCCUCUGGCCCUCCGGUAAUUCAGAGCAAUGCAAACUAGCAACUCUAAACCUAAUAAAACAACAUAAGUAACAUUUAGCCAGCGGCUGCACCCAGGCACUACCCUAGGCUACCUACGUACCCUUACUAAGGGAUCAAGCCACACGUAGUUCUUUCAUACAAAAUUUCCAAAUCCAUCAACAUGCAAUCAAUUACAGAAUCCCAAACAAAAUCUUUCUCAAACAUCAUUAGUUCCCAACUCAGUAUAAUAAUCCUUAAUUCAUCUCUGUAAUAAUCACAAUAUCUCCCCAUACGCCGGAACUACCAACACCACGUAUGGAGCCUGCCUGUACGCCAGAUAACCAACGACACGUGGGACCUCAUCAUCAUAUCACAUAAUCUCCCCAUACGCCGAAACUACCAACACCACGUAUGGGGUCUGUCAACACGCCGGAUAACCUACGACGUGUGACCUCAACAUCAAAUCACAAUAUCUCCCCAUACACCGGAACUACCUACGCCACGUAUGGGGUCUGUCCACAUGCCGGAUAACCUACGACACGUGGGACCUCAUCAUCAUAUCACAUAAUAUAUUAACGAUCAAGAAAUAUCACUACGGUCAUUUAAUCCUCCUGGGAAGGUAAAACUAUCUCAGGAGACUCACGGUCAACCAAGGGUCAAACUACCUCAUACUUGGACAAACGAGCCCACGGAGCCCACAACCUCCGUUUUACUAUCCAAGAGUUCCUAUAGGUUCUACAAGGUUUAGGAUACACGGCUUGCAAGUUUGGUCAAGAUCAGACGGUCGGAUCGCUCACGAUAGGACGGUUACUGCAAACCUAGCCCUAGGGUUGGCAUUUUCGGAGUAUCCGAAACUCCGUUUUACGAUCUGUCGAAUCAUAGACGAUCCUAAGGAUUUGCAGACUAACUAUAAUAAAUUCAAGACCAUCCAACGGUCUAAACCUAUCGAACCCGGAUAACGCGCAAUAGGCAAUAUCCAAAUUGAAAUCCGAGCACACCUACGCACUCGUGAGGACUAGGAGAUUACAUCGGGACAUAGUGCCCUUUUUCUACAGUGCCCAUGAGCCGCCGCACGCACCAGCAACGCGUGGGUGCCCAAAGCGAUUAUGCAUCGCCAAAAAAUCUCAAAACCACGGCUCAAGACUCCUACCCUAGGUAUAACACCCUAUUUGGAACCACUUUUGUUCUUGGACCUACCCCAAAAACUGAUCAGAAGUGGCCGGAAUGGCUGAAAUGUAAUUCAAAAAUCAAGCUACCAACGCUCAAAAUCGAUGCAAUCCUACCCAACCAUCAACUAGAUUAUGAAGAAUGGAUAAAUUUCCAUACCUUGAUCGCCAACAAUGGCGGCCGGAGGAGAGAGAUCUGAUCCGGCGAAGUUCGAGUGAAAACGGCCAAAAAUCAUCUUUUUCAGGCGGCUGGAGGGCGACCGAUGUCAGGGAAGGGCAGGGUCGUGACGCUAAGGCUGAGCCUGUCCUUUUGGCACCGGUCCCUUCCGCAGCCGUGUCCGGUGGCUGGAGUUUCGAAGAGAGAGAGAGAGAGAGAGAGAGAGAGAGAGAGAGAAAUCUGAUUUUUAUCAAACCUUUUUGCCAAAAUUACGGUUAUGCCACUGAGGGUAUUUUGAUAGUAUCUCUCUCGUUACAACUUCGAUUCGAGCCCACCACGUGUGUACGGACUCAUCUAACUGUGUUGUACGCAACGGUAUAGUCGAAAUUCCCAAAUUAUUUCCUUGUCAAAAAGUCAACUUUAAACAUUAUAAAAUAUUUUAGGGAAAAAAUGGUAUUUUCUCUCAAUAAAUUAGUAACUAAUUUAUUUAGGACUGGGUCAUUAUACUCUUUUUCGCUUCAAUGGAUGGGAAAAAAUUUUAUGUAAUAUCCCACAUCGACCAACGAAGAGGGGGCGAUGUGUCUUAUAUGUACAUGCCCGCCUCCAUCUAGCAUAAGGCCUUUUGGAAGCUCACUGGCUUCAGAGUCAUGGGAACUCCGAAGUUAAGCGAGUUGGGGGCUAGAGCAAUCCCAGGAUGAGUAACCCACUGGGAAGUUGCUCGUGAGCUUCGAGAAACAAAACCGUGAGGGCAGAGAGAGGGGCCCAAAGCGGACAAUAAGGCCUCGUGCUAGAUGGAGGCGGGCAUGUACAUAUAAGGCACAUCACUCUCUCUCCGUUGGUCGAUGUGGAAUGUUAGAAUGGAAUUGUUACCUUUGGUGUGGAGGUGUUCUAUCAUUUGAGCAAGAAAUUCCCACAUAUUCUUCAACUAUUUUUCAAGCAUGCAUAUUCCUCCCUAUCAAUCUUUGGUUUCUUCCUUUACUGUGCAUAGUAAGGAUCCAGUCAGGGACGGACCGUCGCUAUGACUAUCCUGGGCUAUAGCCCAGGCAAAUUAUUUUUUUUUCUAGUCUAAAAUAGCAAUCCCACCGCUUGCUGUAGUACUUGUUCAGUUCGUCACAAACAUGAGCAUAAUAGAAGUUAUCAACAUCUAUAUAGGAACCCCAAUGAAAAGGCUGUUAACUAAUAAUGAAGUUAACCCGUCAAUUUUUCCGCAUAUCAGAUAUCUCUCAGAAUAUGCGAUUCCAUAUUCAAUAAGCCACUCCACAUGCCCUGAGGUUUUCAUCAAACCACCCAUUAAGGAAACAUACUGACUCAUGUAAUUAUCAUUACUCAUCGGGUAAUGCAAUUGUUCAAAGGCAAGGACAUUUCUCAUUAUUUAUGUAGCGAACCCCAAUGGAAAUGGUGGGAUCUUCAGAACCCCAUCGGUGCUACUGAAUUGUAUGUCAAAUAUGUUUUCACCUUGUCACGCCUCAAACUUGACUCCAGCGUGCUGUAAUUCUGUCAAGCUGGGUAUGGAUGAUGGGAGUUUGAUGCAGGAGCAUAGGGGUGGAUCAAGAUAGAUAUUUACUAUUUAAUUAGUUAUUUCAUGAUAUAUUGUUAUUUUCUUAUUUAGGUAGUUUUAUGAUAUCUUUUAUUAUUUAUGUGUGAUUUUAUAAUUAAUUAGUAUACUUUUGGACCAAGUAGCCUUGGUGCUCAAGUCUUGUAAAGCCUAUAAAUAAGGCUAAUGUAAUAGUUGUAGAAUAGAUGUCGAUGAUUAAUAAAAUCGUUUAUUUGUGGCAUGGAUUUGCUACGAUAUAUGUGAGUUUGCACUAGCCCUAGAUUUCAGUGCUCGUGUAUGUGGUUGGUGACCUGUGUCCGGAUCCCGAUCCCCAUCAAUUGGUAUCAGAGCUAUGGCUCAAGAUCUGCUAUAUCGGGGAGGUUUUUGGAUGGAGGGUCGUUUUAACAACUACAACGACAUGGAGGAAAUUAGGAGGAUGCUACGGCAACUUAUGGAACACAUUGCUCGCAUUGAAGCUCGAACCCAGAUAGGUAAGAGUUCUGACGGGGAGGGAUGUGUGAACCCUUAUCUGAACCGAGUAGCUCGCAUCGACACUCUAAGCCGUGAGAGUCUCGACGGGGAGUACGAGGGAGAUAGCCCUUUUCAUUAUUGUGCUCCGCUGUGUGAGUCAAGUGAAGAGGGGCACGGUUAUUCUCAUUGUGUCUUUGAAGGUAUAAAUGAAUUUAGUAAUUUUGGUGCAUCUUGUUAUUCAUCAAAGUUAUUAAAUUUGGAUUUACCUCCAUUAUUUGAUCCUUGCAAUUGUGAAAAUUGCAAUAAAAAUUGUUUGGGUGUUCAAAGCAAUUUUGAUAAGCAAUUUAUUGACCAGAACAGUGAAGAGAUGAGAAUUGAGAAAACUUUCGAAGAUAUUAUUGAUUUUAUGGGCAUUAAUAUUUUCACUUGGAAGGUUGCCAAAAAUCUGGUUGAUUUUGUCAAUCGGUUGAAGAUUCUAGAGAGAAACAUUUGCAUUGCUAGAGGGAGUAAGAAGUCAAGAAUAACGAAAUAUUCCAAAUAUCUUUUUAUUUGGAAAGGAAGGUUUCAAUUGGAUGCUAAAAGAUCCAAAAUUAAUAUGCAGCAAUUGAAGAUUCUACUCGGAUUUUCCUUAAUCAAAGGCUUGAAUUCGAGGACGAAUUCUUUCCAACUAUGGGAGUCUGAUGCAGGAGCAUAGGGGUGGAUCAAGAUAGAUAUUUACUAUUUAAUUUGUUAUUUCAUGAUAUAUUGUUAUUUUCUUAUUUAGGUAGUUUUAUGAUAUCUUUUAUUAUUUAUGUGUGAUUUUAUAAUUAAUUAGUUUACUUUUGGACCAAGUAGCCUUGGUGCUCAAGUCUUGUAAAGCCUAUAAAUAAGGCUAAUGUAAUAGUUGUAGAAUAGAUGUCGAUGAUUAAUAAAAUCGUUUAUUUGUGGCAUGGAUUUGCUACAAUAUAUGUGAGUUUGCACUAACCCUUGAUUUCGGUGCUCGUGUAUGUGGUUGGUGACCUGUGUCCGGAUCCCGAUCCCCAUCAGAGUUCCCCUCCAGCUUUUGAUUCCAACGGUUGAUAGAGUUUAAAUAUUUUCCUGAAAAGAUCAAUAAUAUGUGCCACUGAUCUAAAAGUCUCCAAAUUGUCUUCCAAUUUGUCAACAGGCAAUAGAUGUUCGAAGAAACUGAAAGAAAUACAAAUUAUUGAAAGCCCCUCAGUAAUGCUGUUAUUGUCAGCAUUAGCAGGGAGUGUAAUUUUCUGUGGGUCGAAAAGAUCCUCGAGAAUGAAGAAUGGCAACUGAUUUUCAAGCAACCACGUAUCUGUCCAUGCAUCUUGCAACAUACCUGGUUUGUCAAAUAUGCGGUCAUUUUCGUCCCAAAAUUUGAAGUAGUCCUUCAAUAAGGGCUCAAUAACGAAGGCGGCGCCCACUAGAAUGAUUGUUACAAAUUCAUCACUGCUAAACUUGAUGGGUUCUCCAUAACAACGUCUCAAUCUUGCUUCGUGGUCCUUUAUUUUCUUAAUAUAAUCCUCCAAACUCACAUUGGUCCGACCUAUAAAAUCUUGCAGGUAUCUCUGUUUGUUCUCUUCCAAUACGACAUUCAAGCCUUCCUUUCCAUGGUGAAGUGGACCUAUAGAGACCGACUGCCUGAGGUGUGCAGAGCUUUUCAUUCACACAUACGUAGAUAAAAUGUCUGGGGGCUCAGAGAGUGAUGAAUGUGCAACAGCUAAUGGGAGGGUUUAUAUUCCUGAAGUAAGAAAUGAGGAAACACCAGCAGUUGGGAUGAAGUUUGACUCGCUUGACCUCGUUUACAAUUUCUAUAAUAGAUAUGCAUUCUUGGCUGGCUUUGGUAUUCGACUUCAUUCUAGCUUUUGGGGGAAAAAUAAGAAAGAGAUUUUGAGGAAAGAAUUUGUAUGUUGCAAACAAGGUGCAUACAAGAAGGAUGAAACUCGGGAGAGAAAAAGACAACGGGGAAUAAGUAGAUGCAAUUGCAAAGCAAAGAUUGUGGUUGUGAAGACAAAUGGGAGCAAGAAGUAUACCAUUUCUCUUUUUGCAGAGGGACACAAUCAUAAGAUGACACCCUCAGAAAGAAUGCAUUUAUUGAGAUCACACCGUCAUAUUUCAGAUUCUACAAAAGUACUCACAAAACAGUUGGGUUCAGUUAAUAUUCCCAUUCAUCAGAAGGUAAGUAUAUUCGAGGUGCAAUCCGGAGGAAUGGAUAAAAUCGGUUUUAUCAAAAAAGAUAUCUACAAUCUUGAAUGUAGUGUGAAUGGGAAGCUGAGGAACCACGAUGUUGAACUAGUGACCGAGUAUUUUAUGGCUGAACAGAAAAAAAAUGAGGCUUUUUAUUUCAAGAUUGAGGGAGAUGGGCAUGACAGGUUUAGUCGAUGUUUUUGGGCAGAUGCAACUUCUAGACGGGCGUAUGGGUUUUAUGGAGAUGUUGUUGUAUUCGAUACCACAUUCAACACGAAUCGAUACGACUUGACAUUUGCACCAAUGUUGGGAGUUAAUAACCAUGGUCAGACAAUUGUCUUAGCAUGCGCAUUUUUGAGCAAGGAAACGACUGAGUCGUUUGUUUGGAUGUUUGAGGAGUUUAAGAAAGCCAUGCCAGGUGGGGAACCUAAAACGAUCAUUACAGAUCAAGAUGCGGCAAUGGCCAUAGCGAUUUCAAUAGCCUUCCCGAGUACAUUUCAUCGACUUUGCAUAUGGCACAUCACAUCAAAGUUCUCUGUUAAGUUACCACGUGACGCUUAUAAGGAGUAUUGGCCUGAAUUUCAGAAAGCCAUAUGGGAUACUGACAAUAAGGAUGAGUUUGAUGCAAAAUGGAAUAUUGUGGUUAUAAAGGCUGGUUUGACUGACCAUCCAUGGCUAAGUUCAAUGUUUGAUUUAAGGGAAUCUUGGGUUCCAGCCUACGCACGACAAUUUUUUGCCGCUGGAAUGUCAAGCAGCCAAAGAGCGGAAGGUUCUCAUGGUUUUUUCAAGCAAUACAUAUCAAGGAGAAAUUCGUUGAUGGAUUUCAUAAUACGAUUUGAGAGGGCAUUUUCUCAUCAACGUGAAAAAGAGUUAGUUGCUGAUCACGUAGAUGCAUUUGAAGUGGCUCAAUGUCUUCUACCGAUGCCAAUGAACAAACAAAUGGCUACCUUGUACACAAGGACAAUGUUUCAAAAGUUUGAGCAAGAACUAAUACAAAGUACAGCAUGUUUCCUAGAGCUCAAAACAGAGGAUGCAUGUAAAGUUGUGUUCAACGUGAGCGAAAGGAAAAAUUGGGAAACAAGAGUGGCAGAAGUCGUAUAUGUCAAAGAUUCUGACCACGCAUCGUGUAGCUGCAAAAGAUUUGAAUUUGUUGGAAUUAUUUGCAAGCACAUCCUAGCAUUGUUCAGAAGGGACCAGAUUGAAUAUAUGCCCGAUAAAUAUAUUUUGAAGAGGUGGAAGAAAACUGCGAAAUGUGGAUUGGUGUCAGAUGCAAAUGGCAACGAAAUUAAAGACUGUGCAGAUCCUGGCCUUCUAAUAAAGCGGAGUACAAUGUCUCGACUUGCUUCAAAUGUGGUUGAGGAUGCAUUAAUGAGUGAAGAAGGAUGUGAGCUACUGUCAGAGACUCUAAAAAGUUUGCAGGUGAAGUUGAAGUUGCUGAAGGAUGGACCAAGUAAUAACGAAGUUGGAGGGUCCAGCUCUCAAACACAAUAUAUGAAAGACCCUAAGAGAGUGAGGUGCAAAGGAAGGUCGAAAGGAAUAACGGGAGCAAAGGAAAAGGCAAUGAAGCGAGGGAUUAGACACUGUCGGGAGUGUGGACACAUUGGUCAUGAUAGAAGACAAUGCCCAGCCUUGAACACACCGUAAGAUGCUACCACUAUUUGUAAUAAUAUCUAAAAUAUGAAAAGGUAAAAUUUUUAUGUGCUUGUGUUUGAUGUUUAUGCAGGACAUCACCGUCGAACAAUGACAAAUCAACUCCAAUACAUCGUAGUGACCCAUUAUUCGACGAUUUUGACAAGAUGCACAGACCAACUGAAUGAUUGAUAUUUGUAUUAGACGAAAUGUGGUUGUUAUGAAGAUUAAUGAUCAAGUGAAGUUUUAUAGAUUCAGUUUUUGAAUGUUAUUGUGUUUUUGUUCAUGUCCACCGAUGAGCUCUUACUAUGUCCACUGGUAAUUGAAAUGAAAAUUUUCUUGGUUUCAUUCUUCCAAGACAUUUGGAGACAUGUUAAUUUUACGUCUUCUCCCUAUUUAUAAAUUUUCAUAGACAUUUGAUCAAGUUUGAAAUUUGUAGUUAUGUGAAGAAGCAAUGACUCUUACCAUGUAAAAUGGGCAGUUUAGGGUGAAAUUUGUUUUAACAGAGAUUCAUUUUUCAAUUCCUCAGGGUAAUGCAGCAAUUACAGCAGCCAGCUGUUGUUUCCAUUACCAGUAAUCAUUUCCAGCAGCAGCCACUUUUUCCGACUGGUUAUUAGGGGCACGAUUUUGUACACUUUUGUAAGUGAAGGAUACUCGAAGCACUUUGUUGGAACAGAGCAAAUAGAAACCAGCGGGUAAAAAAAAAACAUAACAUUGCAGCUAAUUACAUUUCGAUACAUAGGUGAAAAAUAUUAAAGGGUACACUAACUUACAUAAAUACUCAUAAUUCCACACACAAAAGAACAUUUGAUUGCAAAACAUAUUAUGUGCUUCCUCAUAGCAAUACCACGAUCUCCCCAACCAACUGAACAACGGUAGCCACAAUCACUGGGUCGUACUCGUCAGCUUCUUCUUAGCAGGUCUCACAUGCUUAUGGCCACUCAUAUCCCUAGUGAUAUACACGAAAUAAAUCUUCAGCAAUAUUUGGAAUUUUAUUAUAUAUAAAUAAACCAUAAACCAUUCAGUAAACAAUGUAUAGCACAUGUUAUGUAACUUAUGACUCACGUGUCAGUUUUUUUUUUAACACAUUAGUACUCCAGCUCUUUAAUGUAAAUGGACAUGAUAAGGAGCAUUUACUGAUUCCCGGCUUUCUAUGAUAUUGACUGCUUCUUGAAUAAUAUUUCCAUAUUUGCAAAAUAUAAUGUUAGACAUUAUAACACAUGAUGACUUGCAAUACAUAGUCCCAAUAAUUAUAUAUCAAGCAAAUGAAACUGAUAUUUGUGUUAUUUUAAGUUAGAUAAUGACAUUAAGGGAGUAUAUGUGCAAUACCACGGUCACCCUCAACCAACUGAACAGCGGUAGCCGCAAUCACUUAGUCGUAUCGGUCGGCUUCUUCCGAGCAGCUUUGACGUGCUUAUGCUCAUUCAUGUCACCCCCAUCGUCUAGUAUCUCUCUCACAGCAUCAGGGGACACAUAGUUCCAAUCAUAACUUGUAUGAGUAGUUGCCGCAAAUGCUCGGAAUUUGUCGAAUCCUUCGUUGAAUGCCAACUCCAGUUCAGUAUGGUGCUCUUCGCAUCGCAUAUGGUUCAUCAAACAACCUUUGAUUUCAUCAUUCAUUACUGUAUCCAACUCCUCAGCUUUCAGCUUCCUGCUAUGACUCAGCUUCAAGUACUUGUUCUUUUGGGAUAACGCUUUGUUCACCCUAAUGUUAAGAUCAGCCAAAAUUGCCUCGUCUUCAACACAUUUCUCGUGCCAUGAAUUGAUCAGUCUGGAAUUAUAAUCCAGCUUGCCACUGACUGCAUGUAUUGCCUGUAAUGGAUCAUCGGAGUCCCCCUCACUCCCAAAUGAUGUUGAAAAAGGAAGGGGUCGGCGAGUACAAUGUGGAAAUAGAACCUGCCACUCCAAUUUGUCAUCUUCGAUUGUGUUGUUGGCGCCUGAAGAGGUUGACAUGCUUGAAUAAUCCUCUUUGUUUUGGGAGGAUGAGGAUUGCAUAUGCAAUUUCGUUUGAGAAAGGGAACAUAGGUUUAUAGACCAACAUACCAAAGCUUGUGUGUAGUCAACAUAUGUACUUUUUGGCGGGAAUUUUUUAAAAAUAGGUGUUAGGUUUUGCUUUUCAAGCAUGUCAACCUCACACUCUCCUGACACCACUGCUAGUGGUUGAAACAAAGUCAAUGGAAGUGACAUCUACUUAGUUAACUCAACCAAACUAGUUAGGAUUAAACUUAGAUUGUAUCAGACCAAAAAAUAAUUUCUACUUUGUCAACCAAAUAUUUUUUGGCGGGAACCCUUUUCUUGGUAUUACUAUCACCCCUUUCAUAUAAAAUCUCCUUCCACACAAAACUCACUCCUCCACCGAAUCUGUCUCCAUCUACCGAUACUCUCUCAAGCAAACAAACUCAUUCCCCCCAAAGAAUGAGCAUAAGCACAACCAAGUUUGAUGUGAGCAUAAUAAACACCCCUCCAAACAAAGACCGGCUUCGACACGCAAGUGAGUCACCGGACAAGCAAUGUCACAUUGCUAGACAGAAUGACCAUUUUGUUGGAAGUUUUGAGUCUGAAAGAGUUGUUGCUUUUUGGAAGGAGAGGCAUCUUCAACUUGGUGAUGAAAUCCAAAGGGCAAGGGCACGUUUGGAAUUUGUGGAAGGCCAAAUUGAAGAUGACAAAAGGCAGGCCAAUCUGGAUAGGGCGAAGUUGUAGCGCAUGAAGCGUAGACACAAACGACUUCGGAGUGUAGCUGUUCAAAAAUACAAGAACUCAUCUAAUGUAGUGGAGUCAAAGAAGCGUGUGAUGCAAGCUGGAUUCGACUACUUCCGAUCCUAUGCAAAACUCGUCGUACCCGGGUUUGAUUGGUCAUCUAUUACCGUUUCCGACGUCACCAAAUAUACUCAGCAAGGGAAGUAACCAUUUUGGUUCUCGUGUUUUAGCAGAGGCAAAUAAGUGGAAUUGGAAUUUUGGUUACACUCUGCUUCAAAGCUAUUUUGAUGCUAACUACUAUGGAAGAUUUAAACCUUAAUAUUUUGAUGUCUUUAAUUACGAAAACAGAAGAUGCAAAGAGCUCAUCUACUUCAGCCAUAUGUUGCUGCCAUGUCCAUUUGUUUUUGAUCACUUAUCAGAUUUGGACAUGGUUGCAUCAUAUGCAAUGUUGCCUUUAUUUAUUAUAUGUUAGGACAAGGUUUAUGGAAAAGCUUUUGUGAGUGCGUUUGUGACAAGGUUAUGGAAUUAUUAUGUACACUUUAUAUAUUGUUUUUUGUACUGGUUCAUUUCCUACUAUUUCUUGCUUUCUUUAUAUUUUAUGUUUGUGGAAUCCCUCUCAAAGUUAACAUAUACUGUGAAAAAAAUAUUAUGCAACUGAUUAUAUAAUCACUCAUAUAGACUAGGACAAAUAUUCACUAAGGGUUUUAAACUUGCUUCACUUGUGUGAUGUUAUUGACAAAAAGUAUGGCAUUAUUUAUGUGAUUUGACAUGAUUGAAAAUAUAUUACUGAUUCCCAAUGCGGCGUCAUAUGGACAACGUAUUGAAUACCUGUGACGUGUUAAUAACUCAAGGUGCAGUUGCAUGUGGACAACUUCUUGAAUACCUCUGACGUGUUGAAAACUCUAGGUGCAGUUGCAUGUGGACAACUUAUUGAAUACGAACUGACGUCUUCAAAGCUCUAGGCGUAGUUGCAAUGAUGGCUUCAAAGCAUGUGCAAUUAUUUUUUAUGUACAUUAUUAUAACAAAACAUAUUAUUGUAUAUAGUGAAACUAAAUAUUGUAUUAUUAGAAAUUAUAUUUCGAAUAUUAUCCGAAAUAUACGUGUUAACGUGAAUUUGGGUUAAGAGGAAAGUGAGUUAUGUACAAAUAAUUUUCAUUUUCUCAUUUUCCGGGCAUUUUUUGGAUUUUCGUAGAAUUUAUUACCUAUGUCCACAGAUUGUUGCACUAAAAAAGCCAAAAUAAUAGCAAGAGGACACCUGGAGCGAUCUCAGCCCGUCACUGAUGACUACUUGCACAAGUGUACGUCAGUCAACAUGGCCACACCCUCCCAUUUUACCCUAAAUUAUUAUUUUAUUACUUUUCCUUACAAAAAUCAGAACUAAUUACACACAAAAUAAAAAAAUUAUCCGAAAAUUGCUACGAACUCAUUGACACUCCAUCUCCGUUGCUGAAUUCUCCGAUUCAUUGUUACGUAUUUGUAAAAUUAAUUCCCAACAUUAACGGGAGAUGCUUGUUGAAGUAGGUUAUUCAAGUUGAAGUUAACAAACAUCAAUACUUAGGGUUAAGAGGAAAGUGAGUUAUGUAACACAAUUUGGAUUAUUUCAUUGCGAGACGAAUGAUUUAUAGGUUCUCCUAGUUUUAUGACGUCACAAGUAGGCCGGAGUAAUUUUUGGGGCAUUUUUACGAUUUUCCUACUAUUUUUUACCUAGUUUCAAAGAUUUUUGAACAAAAGAAUCCAAAAUGUAAAAGAAGAUGACACCUGGCGCGAUCUCAGCCCGUCACUUUUCACUACUUGCACAAGUGUACGUCAGUCAACAUGGCCACAUCCUCUCAUUUUACCCUAAAUUAUUAUUUUAUUACGUUUUGUCUUGGAAAAUUCAUAACUAAAUACACAAAAAUUCAAAAUUAUUUCUGAAAAUUGCUACGAACUCAUUGACACUCCAUCUCCGUUGCUGAAUUCUCCGAUUCAUUGUUACGCAUUUUUAAAAUUAAUUCCCAACAUUAACGGGAGAUGCUUGUUGAAGUAGGUUAUUCAAGUUGAAGUUAACAAACAUCAAUACUUAGGGUUAAGAGGAAAGUGAGUUAUGUAACACAAUUUGGAUUAUUUCAUUGUGAGACGAAUGAUUUAUAGGUUCUCCUAGUUUUAUGACGUCACAAGUAGGCCGGAGUAAUUUUUGGGCCAUUUUUACGAUUUUCCUACUAUUUAUUACCUAGUUUCAAAGAUUUUUGAACAAAAGAAUCCAAAAUUAACAAGAAUAUGACACCUGGCGCGAUCUCAGCCAGUCACUUUUGACUACUUGCACAAGUGUACGUUACCGAACAUGGCCACAUCCUCCCAUUUUACCCUAAAUUAUUAUUUUAUUACCUUUUUUCUUGGAAAAUUCAUAACUAAAUACACAAAAAUUAGAAAAACGAUCCGAAAAUUUCUACGAACUUAUUGCGAUUUCAUCUUCCUACUGCAUUCCCUGUUUAAUGGUUAUGCUACAUUAGUAUUUUAUUAUUAUUUAUCCACAAUUAUUAUAAUUAUUAUGAUAUUACUUUUUAGGCUGUCCAUUUGUUAAUUAUACCACAUCCAACUUGUUGAAAACAAUUUUAUUUUCCGUGCGAAUAGGCCAUUUGUAGUGCUUAUCGGUUUCUCUGUUCUUCAAUUUGUUAAUUUUUUUAUUUUUUAGGUUGAAGGGAUGUUUUGAAACAUAAUAUGGAAAUAUACAAGUCAUCCAUUGUACUCCUUCCACACAAAAAAAUAGUCUACGUCAUUCACUGUUCAACACCCUAGGUUAAGACACGUGUAACCAAAUCCGUUCGGAUAUGCUAAGUGGGAAAAUGUCAUUCCCAAGCACUGGUGAAAAGACACUUAUUUACUCCAUGCAUGACUUUUGGUUUACCAAAUAUGAAGAUUGGGGUCGGUGAGCAAAAUAUCUGUGUCAGUAAAAUGUCAUUCCUAGCCAUCUAUGAUGUAAGUAAUAAUUCCGCUAUAUAAUAAAUAUUAUACAUUUAUAUAUAAAACGGUUUAUGACAAAAUACCAACAUUUGAACAACAUUUAAACUGAGAUAGGUAUAACGUAGCCAGCCAACCUAGAAGUGAAGAGAAGCAAGUCCACAAUGCAUCAAAACUGUAAAUUCGUACUAAAACUAAUGCAAAAAUACGUGAUUCCCUCGCACAACUUACUCACGCAGGAUUUUGCACCAAAAAAUACUCUCACGGUGCCAUUUGCAUCGGUUGCAGCAAGUCCAAAACGCAGGAUUUAUCUUGUCUUCACUAGGCCACCCUGGAAUAACAAAAUACCAUUCAUUGUUGUUACAAGCGCUGCACCGAUUGAACUUAAUCUUCCCAUAGUCAAACAUAUCUACGAUAUGUCUUGCAACAAAUGCUCCGCGACAUCUUCCUGUUAAAGCAUCCCUGGUUCCUUUCAUAUCAAUGUUGUUACGUUGAUUCAAAGAACACAAGAAUUGUAAUGCAUCCUCUUUUGACUGACCAAUUCCGGACAUACCAAGUAGUCCAACUACAUAUGCCGCUUCCAUAUGGCCUGCCGUGGCUGCAAUGCGCAUCCCAUACAACGCUUCCACCUUACCGUCUGUGAAAAAACCUUCGAAUGCUUCUCUAAAUAUGGACUCAGGGUUAUCGCAAGCCCUGCAUUGUUGCAAGAAAUGCUGGACUGCAGGUUUGGCACGGUAGCAGAUAGGAUGGUGUGGGUACUUUGCCAUUGAAAUGGUGUUCCACACUUGUGGACUGUUUGCCAAAAUGUUGAACAAUCGGCACACACAUGCCAUACGGAAGAGAUCUUCCGAUGAUUCGGUUGCCACGUAUAACAUCACUUGAAACCAAGCGGACUCCGGGAUAAAGGCUUCGGGCAUAUCGAAAUGGAGAUGCUUCCUUCUCUUUCCUCCGACUGUAGUGAAGUGUUUCGAAUUCAUUGAAAAGUUUUUGGAAUGGAACGAUUUGAGGAGUGGCAGAGGGGAUAAAUGAUAAUAUUUGGGGUACACGUUCUACUUCCGAGCCUCUGUUUAUAGUGUUUUGAAAAGGUGUUUCCAGUUGGGGUUUUUCCAAGUUGACCCUUUUGAAAGAAACUGAAUCCAAGUGAAUUAAAACUUAAGACAAAAGAAGGGAAAACGUCAUAACGGUGCAUACAGAGUCAGACAGUUAAAAAGUUAAUUAAAUGGCUAUUUGCAUAGCCAUUUUUGGGUUUAUCCCACUAUCAAAUUCAUUGAUACAAAUGUGAUGGAUUACUGACUAGUGACAGAAGGUCCCAUCAUAUACUUUUUCAUUUUCGCACACCCAACUAUCCCUAGUAAUGUUAUUAAAAUGGAACCAAUAAUGACGGAUUCUUAUCCAACUAGUUGCCUUAAUGAAAUAUAAAUAAAUUAAUAAAAUUGAAGCAGUGUCCCGUCAUUAGUCAGAAAAUAUAUUUGGUAGUGAAGUAGUUUCUAUUGCUUUUCGGGCUAAAAGAUGUCACAAUGCUGACGGUACAGGUGUCGACAUCGUGACCAACCCACCAAAUGAUCCCAAAAAAAAGUAAUAUAACUCGAUUUGGGCAGAGAUGAGAGAGAGCUGAGUGACAAGUUUAGGGUUAUGAGUGAAGGGGUAUGAAUGACAACUAUGAGUGAGAAGGUAUGAGUCCGAAGAGGUUUCAGUGAGAAGAUUUGAGUGAGAAGAGGUACAACUGAGAAGAUUCAACAUGUCUUCGUCUUCAUCUCCUGCUCAAACAAAGAGGUGUCAGUAUUGUGGAGCUACAAUGGUGCUUCGGGUUUCAAAAUCUGAAAAAAAAUCGAGGGAAGCCAUUCUGGAAGUGUCUAACCUCCUAUGUAAGUUUUAAUUUAAAGAAUAUGUAUGUGGGUGAAAAAAAACCUAUGUCUAACUCUGACAGAAUUAUAUUCCAUAUAUGAUGCCUGCAAUUAGGGAGCCACCAGUUGCAAUGGAUUCGAAUGGGUUGAUGUAACCUCCGCUGAAGCAGAACAUCAAGAUGACACGUAUGAUGUUAGAGUGCUGAACAUGCUGAAGUCCAUUAAGGACUUGGUAUUAGUUUUAUUAGUUGUAUUAAUUGUCAUUUUAUUUGUUCUUUUAAUGAUCAUUUAACUGCACGGUUUAAAAGAUUGUGAAAGUUCUCUCGCACAAGACAUAUUGCACGCACCACCAAUGAGACCCUAAACCCAUUUUGUAAUAUUUGGUAACUGCAUGUAUUUCGCAUGUUAUUGAAUGUUUAUUGAAGGUUUAUUGAUAGUUUGCUGCAUGUAUAUGGAAUAUCAUUGCCCCAAAAUUGGAUGUUUAUUGGGGCCACAAGUAUCACUCAAGUAAGAAUGAAGGGGAGAAACGGACCUUAUUCUUUCUUAUAGUAGGAAGAACAACUGUUAAGUUUAAUAUCCUAUUCAAUACGACUUCCCUAUGGUUGGUGUACUUGGGGACUGAAGUAUAUUGCAUCAUUAUUGUGGGCAAGGGCAUGUCUAUUGUGUGUGUUAAGGGAGUAUUGUGUGGGCAAGGGCAUGUCUACUGUGUGUAUAUUGCAUGUCUACUGUGUGUAUAUUGCAUAUCUAUUCUCUGUAUAUGGCAGGCCAAGUUUGUGUAUAUUGUUUGUCUGUUGUGUGUGUAUUGCUUGUCGGUGCGUUUGUGAAUUGUGGUUCAUUUUGUGUAUAUUGUCUUUGUUUCUACUUUUAUGCUACUGAGCUGCGGAAAACCUCGCAUGUUUAGACACCUAUUAUGAUGCAACACAUUGCGAUUAAUGGUGGCUUGCAUCAACAAUGACAUAUCACUUUGCAAUGAUGUAAUACACUUAAAAAGCCGUCUUCAAAUCCCAAUUCACAUAUGCAGUCUUAAAAUUCUAAUUCAAUGCAGUUUGGUUAACAAACAUGUAAAUGUCAUGAAGGAGUUAGCGGUAGAAUUCGAUAAGGACCCGUACGUCUCUAUUGUGUAUUUACAUUAGUUUGAGAAUGGACAUUCCCAAAACCUUCUCAUGUACCAUUUGUCAUCUUCAACCAAUAUCAUGGGAAGUAAGCAUCUCCCCUUGUUAUCUCCGCAGCCAAUUUCAACCGAAAAAAAGGCAUGUUGUGCGAGGUGCAAGUAGCUAACGGAAGCUUAGCGCUGAAAAGCUCAAUGUACUUUAACACAAACAUGCCACAAUCGCCUCUGAAGCAAAACAAGAACUCGAUCAAUUCAACUAAUGACAUUCUAAUGUAAUUGACAAUUGAAAGUAAUAAAAUUAAAUUGCAAGUUGUGCUUACUCAUUAGACUGUUGUGGAACAUCCACACGCUCUAUUGGCCACGGACACCACCAAUCUCGGCUGCAAUUGUUUGCAUAAACACCUUCUUCAUAAAAGUCGAUGGUGUUGAGAAGAUUUGGAAGCGUAAUUGAUAGCGGGCCGAGUUCUUCCUUUACGAUGUCAUCUGGAAUUAGUGAAACCUUUGAAUCGUACACUUUGAUUCACACAAUACCAGAUCAAACANNNNNNNNNNNNNNNNNNNNNNNNNNNNNNNNNNNNNNNNNNNNNNNNNNNNNNNNNNNNNNNNNNNNNNNNNNNNNNNNNNNNNNNNNNNNNNNNNNNNNNNNNNNNNNNNNNNNNNNNNNNNNNNNNNNNNNNNNNNNNNNNNNNNNNNNNNNNNNNNNNNNNNNNNNNNNNNNNNNNNNNNNNNNNNNNNNNNNNNNNNNNNNNNNNNNNNNNNNNNNNNNNNNNNNNNNNNNNNNNNNNNNNNNNNNNNNNNNNNNNNNNNNNNNNNNNNNNNNNNNNNNNNNNNNNNNNNNNNNNNNNNNNNNNNNNNNNNNNNNNNNNNNNNNNNNNNNNNNNNNNNNNNNNNNNNNNNNNNNNNNNNNNNNNNNNNNNNNNNNNNNNNNNNNNNNNNNNNNNNNNNNNNNNNNNNNNNNNNNNNNNNNNNNNNNNNNNNNNNNNNNNNNNNNNNNNNNNNNNNNNNNNNNNNNNNNNNNNNNNNNNNNNNNNNNNNNNNNNNNNNNNNNNNNNNNNNNNNNNNNNNNNNNNNNNNNNNNNNNNNNNNNNNNNNNNNNNNNNNNNNNNNNNNNNNNNNNNNNNNNNNNNNNNNNNNNNNNNNNNNNNNNNNNNNNNNNNNNNNNNNNNNNNNNNNNNNNNNNNNNNNNNNNNNNNNNNNNNNNNNNNNNNNNNNNNNNNNNNNNNNNNNNNNNNNNNNNNNNNNNNNNNNNNNNNNNNNNNNNNNNNNNNNNNNNNNNNNNNNNNNNNNNNNNNNNNNNNNNNNNNNNNNNNNNNNNNNNNNNNNNNNNNNNNNNNNNNNNNNNNNNNNNNNNNNNNNNNNNNNNNNNNNNNNNNNNNNNNNNNNNNNNNNNNNNNNNNNNNNNNNNNNNNNNNNNNNNNNNNNNNNNNNNNNNNNNNNNNNNNNNNNNNNNNNNNNNNNNNNNNNNNNNNNNNNNNNNNNNNNNNNNNNNNNNNNNNNNNNNNNNNNNNNNNNNNNNNNNNNNNNNNNNNNNNNNNNNNNNNNNNNNNNNNNNNNNNNNNNNNNNNNNNNNNNNNNNNNNNNNNNNNNNNNNNNNNNNNNNNNNNNNNNNNNNNNNNNNNNNNNNNNNNNNNNNNNNNNNNNNNNNNNNNNNNNNNNNNNNNNNNNNNNNNNNNNNNNNNNNNNNNNNNNNNNNNNNNNNNNNNNNNNNNNNNNNNNNNNNNNNNNNNNNNNNNNNNNNNUUUUCCUCUCCCUCAUCUCUAUUAUUUGGCCCUUCACCCCCUUCAAUCCCUUCAUCUUCUUUUUCCUCUCCCUCAUUUCUGUUACUUGGCCCUUCAUCCCAUUGAAUGUCAUCCAUUUCCCCAUAUCCCUUAAAUAGAUGUGAGACGACACAACGAUUCGUCCUCUGUUUCAGUAAAGCUAGGUCCCUCCUUACUUCCUGCUCAAACUGAGGACCUAAACAUUGGUCCAAUAGUUUUUCCAUCCGUAUGACCUUUAAGUGAAGGACGUCUUUUUCCCGCUUUUCUUGAAACAACUCGGACCUCAACAAGCUUACCACCUUGUUCAACUCAUCAAGAUCACCACAUGAAGAAGGAAUUGACUCUGCCGAGACAACAGCAGGGCGAUCCUGUGGCCAACUCCAAUAUGGCUGUCUCAUUUCCUCUUCACUUAGACAUAGCGCCCGCAACUGAACUGACUGUUUCAGAAUACAGACAAGAGUCAUAUUAAAUCAUUCUACUUCAUAAUUUCAUUCAAUCUUAUCAAUAGUUCUAAGGGCUGCAAACCAAACCUCUUUGCUCUGGAAAAAAUAAUUGUUCAACUUUCUCAUCUCUGGAACAGACGUAGUAGUUCUCCAUCGCAAAAUACGCGGGACAGCGGUCGGAUCAACAACCUUGCAGUAAUUCAGGUCCGCCAUUCUAGGAAUUAAUUCAUAUACCCAAAUCUACACAAUUCACAGGACAAAAGUCAUUAUUUAUGUUUUAAAGAAAAACAAAACAUAACUGACAUGAACAUUAUUACCAUGUACCUGGAAAGCAUACGUGAAACCUUUAAAACUCCAGCCACUCCUUUGCGCUUCACUAUGCUUAUCCUUCUUGCCCUUCUCAUUUCUCCGGCUUGUUCCCGUUACCUUACUUUUCCCCUUCCCUCUUCCCUCUUCAUUUUCCAAGCUUUUCACAUACUUUGUUGGUGCAGAAAAUAGACUGUCUUGGGUUUUGUCAAAGGACACCGAACCCCACGGAUACCUGUUGAACGCAUCCAAGUCCUCUACAAGGGUCAGGUAAUUUAGAUUGAUGUUCAAAUGUUUGUCCCUUCCCAAAACCACUAACUCAGCAAAGUAAACAAGAGGUAGCUUGAAGAUGUCAUCUUCCUCUGUGCACCUCACAAAUGCUUCUUCUAAAGCAUUGCAUGUAAUUCCUUCGUCUAUAAAAUAUCUUUUCUGAAGUCUGAUUUCAUUACUCUCUCCACUGGAAACUUCAGGCACUUCCCCAAAACGAAGCCCUGUGAUCAAACAGAAAUCCUGACGAGUGAACUGAGCAACGUCACACCCUAAUAAGAAACUCAGUCCAUCCAAGUCUUUCACACCCUGCCCCGCUACUCUACGCAACACAACCCCAUGCACAAUCUGUCCGCUAAACUGAAUCUUAUCUAUAUUCAGAAGAUGGCCAAAGCAUGAUGUCUUGAAUUGUUCUAAUUGUUCCGCACUCAACUUCGCUCGAAUUGCAGCUAGAGAUGAAUUUGCAUGUGAGCAGUUGUUCACCCGUGAUGAAUAUACCUCUGCCUCUGGCCAUACCAGCUCCACGUUGGAUCCCAUUUCCUCAAAUACAAUGUGAAAUAACGUGAACAUAUAUACUACCACGUAUUUGCACAAUCACAACUAGUCAACCAGGCACAUUACAACUUUUACAAAGUACAUGAGCAUAUGGAUUACUCAUCACAGGCUUUAACAUCAUCAAAGCAAUAUGACAAUUUUUGUGCAAAUACCUGUUAAUGCAAUGAUUAUGUGAAUUACAAACAAUUUCACGUGUUUUAUUUAUGGAUCCAUACUCGUGUGAGUGCAAUGUAGGCAAGUUCUGCACUUCACACACAUGACAAUUAUUGUCAUCUCAUACACAACCCAAAAUAAAUAAAUAAGAAAUAUAGUGGAAGGAAGCAAAGCAAAGCAUGUACUCUGCUAUCUGCUUGCUAAGCAAUUGCCACAUCCUUCUUUCUUUCUACCUUUUUCUUCAGUCACCCACAAUCGUCAUAGAUCAACCUUCAUUUCAAAUGCUUUGCACUUUUAUUCAUGAGUUUAUUAUUAUCUGUUCUCAUUUCUCAUAGGCAAAUUUAGUAACAAAUGAAAUAAUAUUUAUUUCACAAAAUAUAUAAAUUCUAGUGCCAGAGAGGUACUCUUCACUCUGCACUGCUUCAAAUGUGGAAGGUUUUGAGAUGUUAUUGACAUGUGAUUGACUUUAUUUUCAUUCGUUUUUUAACAUAUACCCAAGCAAAAAUUAACAUGCAAUUGAAGCACAAAUAAGAGAUGCCAAAUCCAACAACAUUGAUGGUACAAAUUGGGGAAAACCAUUACUCUAACCCUAAACUCAAAUUCCUUACAUUACUCAUCAAAUGCUUUGCAGUUCUAUUCAUGAGUUUAUUAUUAUCUGUUCAAAUGUUUCUCAGGCAAAUUUAGUAACAAAGGAAAUCAUAUUUACUUCAUAAAAUAUAUAUAUAUAUAUAUAUAUUCUAGCGCCUCUUCUUAAUCUGCACUAUGCACUGCUUCAAAUGUGGAAGGUUUUGAGGGCCUCCUCCAAUUCAACACCAUUAUCUUAUUCAUAUCAUUAUUGACAUGUUAUUCACUUGUUAUUGACUUCAUUUUCAUUCUUUUUUUAACAUAUACCUAAGCAAAAAUUAACAUGCAACUGAAGCACAACGAAGAGAUGCCAAAUCCAACAAAAUUUAUGGUACAAAUUGGGGAAAACCAUUACUCUAACCCUAAACUCAAAUUCCAUAAAUUACUCACCAAAUGCUGGUUAUUGCAAGGUGUCUGUGUGGGGUCUUUCUGUUUCUUUGCUCCACAAAUGGAACCUACCACUUCCAACGAAUACAGCUUUUCCCCUUCCCCUUCCACUGCUUCGCCUCUUCACUGAUUUGGAAUCCACACCUUUGCCCCUUCUACUCCAAAUAAAUACUUUCUCGGGGUCUGGAGAACGGAGUGGCGAAUCGUUGCCUUCAACUGUCGUUAGCCGUUGCCUUCAUUGGGUAUCUCAGACCUCUGUGUUUUAGAGAGAUGAGUUCUUUCUGUUCAAACUUCGAACUUGCCUCUUCUUCUUCUUUUUCGGACGUGUUUCCCUCUUCUUCUUCUUUUUGGACGUGCUGGAUAUUCAAUUCGGGUUUGGGUUCCUUACCUACCCAAUUGUGAAACUUUAACUCAAUUCUCCCCAGCCCUUGGAUUAAUCUGAUGGCUAUAAAGUGAACCCCUUAUAACUUACCCCUUAUAACUUUCCACUCAUUAUAGUCUUGGCCAGGUAUGGCGGCCAUGCUAGUAAGUGUUGGGUCUUUGACCCAACUUAAGCUAAAUGGGUCAUAAGAUGACCGAUCAUCUUAUCUCAUAAGGAUAUAUAAGUCAUGUUAUGAUUUAGGAUUUUAUAGGGUUUCCUUUGUAAGAGGUAAGAGAGAAACAAGCUCUCUCUCUCUCUACACAAGGAGGUCAGCCAUAGCAAGGGAAAGGCUCCUAGCACUCUCCUCUCUCUUAUUAUAUCAUCCUUCCAAGGACAGCUUUGGUAUGGUAAAGUUGGAGGUUGCACACUUUGUGCACUUUGGUAAGAACUCAUCCAAGGGAGCCAAGAUUAAAUUGGUUAGCUGUUGGAUUAAAUUGGUUAGCACGAUUCAACGGUUAAUAGAUAAAACUUCACAUAAAAGUCAUAUAUAAGGCCCUCACUAUAGAAUGACUCGUUAGUUUAGUCUCUUGUUACAUAUCAAAUGUUAGAGAUAUUUUUUAAUAAGGAUCUGCCAUACCACAUAGUUGGAUAAGACAUUAUACACGGCUUUUGUAAGAGCAUCUCCAGCGCUCCAAACUAGCCCAAGCAGCAGGGGGGCCUAAGUCUAGGAAGCAGCUCCAGCUCGCAAGAUUCAACCCAGGCAAGGUGUGGAACCCACGAGGAGAUCUAGCCCGUCACCUUGCCUUUGGGUUUCAGUCAAGCUGAUGUCAACGAAAGAAUUUCAAAUUUUUUUUACCGUUACAAUGUACGCGCCAACGAUAAAUUUUCUUUGGAUUUCUUGCAUUGAUCCACAGCUACCAAAAACCAACAGCUACAAGCCACGUGGCUUCUCCAGGAGCCUCCGAUCCAAAAAUCAUGUCAAAUCUAACGGCAGUCCAUUUUUUGGCUAAAAAUAUCAAAAAAUUAUGGAAACAUGUUCUAUAAAUUCCUACAAAUAUUAUUCACUUCCCACACCAAAUCUUCAUACAAAUUCAUAUCCUUUCAAUAUUUUUCACUUUCCAUACAAGAUUUUCUACUACUAAGUUUCGUUUGUGUAAAAAUACAAAUGACCUCUUCUAUCGAAGCCGGAGGCGCGUGUACAACCGUGGAAGAUAUUUUGUUGCGUGAGUGUUGGGUCAAAGUUGGUCAUUCCCUGAUCACGGGCAAUGAGAUGAAGUCCUCUCGUAGGAGUUUCUGACAUCGCAACGAAAGUAAGAUGUGAUAUGAAAAUGUAAGGAAUUUGAUGAGAGGAAUGGGAUUUGAGGAGUUUGAUGUAGGAAUUGAUGUAGGAAUUGAAUUUGGGAGGUAUGUAUAUAAGAUUUGAGGGUAUGUGUUUAGGGAUUUUGAUAAGAGGAUUUGAGGAAUUUAGAUUUGAAGGAUUUGGAUUUGGGGAAUUUAAAUAUGAGGAAUUUGAUUAGGGUUUGGGUUUGAAUAUGUGAAAUUUGAUAUGAGAGUUUAGAGACAACAGAUGAUCGAUUGCUCUGAUACCAUGCUAAAAUAUGAUAUGGUUUGAAUACUUUAGGUUGAGUUUUAUUCUUUUCCAUAAAAAGGUAUAUAUAGGAGUUUACAUGAGUGCUUUACAAAGAAAUAGAUACAAUAAUCAAUUAGGAUAAUAUCUCCUAAUUAUACAAUAAUUUGUCAACUAUAUAGAAUAGGAAAGUAAAUUCCUUAAUUAAUCAAGAAAAUAAAUCUCAUUGAUUAAUUAGGAGACUAACGUCAACAUUUAUAAGCCAUAAAAGAGCAGAAAAAGAGGUACUUAGGAGAUUUUAUACGUCGGACUAAGGUAAGCUUAAAGGACUAUAUCAAAAAAAUAAGGGACCAAGAAGCAAGACAGAGAAGUUGUUAUGCAAACCCAUUAAGUUUAGCAGUGAUGAAUUUGUAAAAAUCAUUCUAGUGGAUUCUGCCUUCACUAUUGAGUUCUUAUUGAGGUUCUAUCUGAAAGGAUCUGGACAUGAAGGAGACCGCUUAUUAAACAAACCGUGGAUGUUUACAGCCUGACAUGUGGUUGCUUGAAAAUCAGCUCCCAUUCUUUAUUCUUGAGGAUCUUUAUCACACAUACAUAAUAACCGACUCUUUUAGGAAUUAUUACAGUACUCAUGAUCAUGAGAGGCUUUCAAUAAUUAAUAUUUCUAAGAAUUUCUUCACAGCCGGAAUAUUGAAUUUGGAGGGGAAGGGAGACAAAUGGAACAGAAUAUCAUCUUCUUCUAGUGUUGGAAAUUUUAUAUUAUUUAAUAAUAUUUAAUUUCUAUUGUGAAUGAAAAAUAAGUUUCUUUAAGAAACGUGUGUCUUAGGCCAGUUUUUCUAACUGGUCGGCUUCCUUAGAUUUGUGCCUAUUGCUUUUCAAAGUAUAAUGAUGCAAUGGUUGUAUCUCGUUCAGGCAAAUGGAAGGUAUAUAGCAAUUUAUAGAACAAUACAGUAAUCCAGAAGAAAUAUUAUGAAAUGAAAAGAAUAAAAAGUAAAAAAAGAGAAAGAAAGGAAUUCCCACCUGCAAUGUAUAUGUAUGAAAGGAAGGACCAAGUUUGUUUUAAAAUGGUAAGAACAAGUUGAUUUUAAAUUGGGUUCAGAUCAACUCAUAGAUUUCUUGCCUUUUCUGUUCUCCUUCCUUGGACAUGAACUGUUUAAUCUUGGACUCUUCCCCAUCAUGUUGGGCCUGUCUUCUUCUUGAGGAUUGUAUAGGCCUAGGAAAUGCUUCGGGGUAGUUUUUGUGUUUUGGGCAUUGGGACCCAACUUCACAAAAAGAAAACAAAUUUGACCAAAACACAAAUUUGAAGGACAUUGAAAUUGUACCCGUAGGAUAGAUUAAAACACUAUAAGGGAGGUAAAUAGUACGUUUACAGAGUUUAAGUGUAAUAAAGGAAUAAAAACAUGCCCAGAGAAUUGAUAAGUGAUAUCAAUUCUUGAAUAUACGUGAAAAUUAUUUUAUGUGGUUAAACCCCACCUCUGGGGAAAAUCCACGGAACUUCUUAGUCCAACUUCUAUCACUUAUCCUAGACACAUUCUAGAUAAUGUUUGCCAACCUCUUCGUAACUCAACUUCUGUCACGAGAUGAUCUUUCAACACUUUAUGUCGAACGCAAUACUGGUCACGAUUUCUUCAAGCUCGCCGGAGUUCUUCCAAUUCUCCUUAUAUUGAAUCUGAUACUAGUCACGAUCGAUUCAAGCUCAUCGGAGAAAAAUCGCCACAACAAUCUUGGUGCCCUCAACCGUAUGAGUCACUGAACAUGCAAAUGAAUACAAUAUGAAUGAUAAAAGUGUUUGAUAAAUCACCAAGUUAUGGAACACUUGAUGAUUUAUCUCAAAUAAAAAUUCAGCUUUCCAAAGUUUAUGAAUUGAAAAUAUGACCGUUAAAGCUCUCUAAACAAAGAAGACGAAGGUCUUAUUUUAUAGACUUUUACUUUACAAGAAAGAAAACACGUUGAAAACCAAAUCUCCAAUUUCCAAGGCUUGACAGAAAAUCACAAAAUUAUCUUUCCUAUUCUAGAGAUUGGUCACAUGAAGUCCAACCAAUAGGAAAUGAGAUAUUUAAGAAAGGAAGAUUUUGAUCAAUAUCAAUAUCAAAUGAAUUCUUAUACGCCUAGUCAAUUGUUAUGGGUAUCUUGACUCCUUGAUAUUGUGAUAUGAUUGAAACAUGAUUUCCACGUUAGAAAAUUAAGGGGAUGUUAAAACAUGAAGGUAAUAGGAGAAUCAAAUUGAUUUGGGCCAAAAUUGCCUAAAAAGAAAACACUCCUUAAUAAACUUCAAUUUACUUUUAAAAAUAGUAAAACGUGAUUGAAUCGUUCUUUAAAACAAUUCCCUAAUAUACAUGCAUGAUAGUGAUAUCACUUACCUUUGAAUCAGAUGGCUUUCACGGGUCAAGCCACAAGUUUUUGUCUUGGGGAUUGCUGAGCUUCAUCAAUCCUGCCAAUGUCAAUUUUGCCCCUAAGCUCUCUCAAAGCACGUUUACAACCUAUGCUAACAUAUAUUAGAGUUUAUGUUAGUAUCAAGAAAAUGCCAACACUAAUUUCGUAACACGUAGAAAUUGUUAGAGAUUGAAGUUUUUAUCAUUUUUUCUUCCAGACUCUCCACCACUCACUAAUAUAGUUUACUCAUGUGAUGAGUUUACAAAACCUAUUUCUCUACUCUCACAAAGACUAUACUUAGGGGGGUGUAUUCAAUUAGGAUUCUAAAGCGUUUAAAAAGAUUUUGUUUAAGUGCCAGCUUUCAUAGAACUUGAUGGAACUUUAUAAUUCGUAUAGAACUUGAUAGACUUUCAGAAGACUUCUGUAUAAUUUUUUAAUAAAACUUUCUUAAGCUUUCAUAGAACUUGAUAGGCUUUCAUUCCAAACUUAUGUAGAUGGUAUAUUUCAUUUUAUCCCCAUCCUUGACAUUUAAAGAAAGAAACUUGAAUUUUUUCAAUCAAAUUUGUUUUUGUUACCAAAGCAGCAAAAACAAAAAGUACUUGUUUGCGAUGGAAGAACAUAUGCACAGUUCAAAAUGAAAAGAAUAAGAAGCAAAGUACCUAUUUGACCAAUGAAUGCUGUGUCAACUAGAGAAGCAAUUGGAUCGGCUGUCAAAGCCAAUGCUGCAGGCAAUGCAUCGAUGGUCCAAAUUGCAAUAAAAAAAUAUUUUGAAUAAUGGCUCUUGCAGACAAAGACCACAUAAAUUCUGAACUGGUCUAGCUUGAAUAAUAAGGUUAGAUUAGCCAAUUGAUGAGAUUAAAAGCAAAGCAAGUUGAUGAAUUUAUCAUCAACUAUUUAAUAACCACAGUCCUGAUCUCUUGGACCCCUGUAGUCCAAGAGAUUUAUGGUCACCCACCGUUGGAUGUAAAUUCAACGGUUGACUUGAAUCGGGUAAUAAUCAUUUAUGUCAUAUUGCAUUUAUAUAUAUCAUUUUGAACCAUUGGAUUAAUAUCCAACGGUGGGUGACCACAAUCUCUUGGACUCCUGUGGUCCAAGAGAUCGGGACUGUUAAUAACCAAUAGAGUAUUUAAACAUAAACAACAAUGUUUGAUCAACAAAACAAAUAGUCCAAAUAUCAUCCAAAAAACAAUAACAAAAAAUCAAUCAUUCCAAACAAACUAGUCAUUCUCAAAAACUCUCAAAAAACCCACUCAUUCCAAAUUGUAGGAUAUCCAAUUUGAGCACUCCUCAGGAGACAUUUUCAAAAAUGCAUCCUUUUUUGUGUUACUAUGCAACAAAGAGAGUGCUUUAUAACGAGCAUGUUCAUCCAAAUUUGGGGUCUCCUUAAUGGCAUCCCAUAUAUAACUCCGCUGCUCUCUCUCUUUUUCCCUUUUUGCCAAUAGGUUAUGGACCUCCCGGAAGUCGAUGACAAUUGAAUCAAUGCUAAGGCUAAUUCUUCCCAUAGCUUGCUGGGUGGUCACAUUUGAGAUAGCAUUCCCUUCCAAAUAUGUUCUAGUUCGUUUCCUCUAGUAACAAGCAUAAAUCCUAGUAACAAGCAUAAACCCUAACCCCAACCUAUAACCUAAUAACAAGAAGAAAACCCAACGAGGUAUUGAUCAAAGAAAAAUUAGGGAGCAUACCUUCACAGAUGGAGGAAGGAAGCUGUUCGUCUUCGCAGAGAGAAAAUCUAGGGAAAGAGAAAAACGUCUUAUGAAAUACUUGGGGGGGAGGUUGGAUUUAUUUUGGUCUUUUUUAUUUAUAACUCUCCCCUUAAAACCUACGUAAAUUUAUCACUUAAUGAAAUCCUUCCAAAUAUAUGACCUUUCGAAUACACCUAGAUUUGAUUCAACUUUUUUAUAAUCAUAAUUGAAUACACCCAUAUUUGAAUGGACUUUUUAAAAGUUCAUAUAGGUCCGAAAUGAAUAUACUCAAACUUGUAAAACCUCUUUUAAAGUUUGUAUAAAUCCAAAUUGAAUACACCUGGAUUUUUAAAAUCUUUUUAAACACUUUAUAAUCCUAAUUGAAUACACCCCCCUUAUUCUCAAAAGACUAUAUUACUUUACCUCUAUCUCUGUGAAAUGUAAAAAGUUGAAACUUUAAUGUCAAACCUCAACAAAAGAUGAACUUUCAUCAGUUACGUUGAAUUUGGAUUUGUUGAACUUAAGUGGUUUUAUUUUCUUUGUCAGUGUUUGAUGACUUAAUUUGGUAUUUAUUUCUUCUUUUUUUUCCUUGGAAAUGUGUUCCACCAACGUGAGGAAGAAAAAUAUGCACAAAUUAAUAUAUUUAAUAGAAGCCCAAGAUUUCGGAUGCAUAUAAUUUCUACAAAAAUCUACAAAGUUUUUUACUUUACAAACUUCUUAUGUCUACCAAUUUCUACUAAAAUUAAUUUCUCUGUGGUGCUCAAAUUCAUCAUAUGUGUGUCGUUAAUUUUAUUGAAAAUUGGAAGUUCCCAUCAUUUUUGUUUUUUGGGAAUUUUCUGAACCAAGGAAAAUCAAGUAAAAUUAAUAAAGCCUAAAUUGGAAAGGGAAAAUAUCUAGAGGAUGCAUUGUAGGAUUGCUCAUGCCAAUAAUUGUACCCUCUAAAUAUAUAGAGACAUAUUUUUUUUGUUUUCAUGACAUGUGGUCCUAAAAUUAUUGUGUAAAUCUUCAAUCCUGAACGAUGCACCUAAAACUCAUCCACCCAUUCUCAGGCCAAUUAUUGCACCUAGUGGGCUCUCGACCCCCUCUCAAAUUUAACCACAUAUUUUAUGGACCAUCCAGCUGUGAGGUACAUUCCCCCCACAUGCCACAAUUGUAUAUUCACAAUUACGUCUGAUACAUCACAUCAUGCCACUUGCCUCAAAUGAAUUUAAGUGAGUGAGGCAGUUGGAAGUAAUUAAGCUCUAUAUUGGUGGGUGGAGUGUUACUUCUCGGUUCCCCUCAUCAUUCGUCUAUAAAAUGGUGAAGGCAGUUGCUAUUGUUACCAUAAGAGCCAGCUCCGACUUCCUUUAAUUUCUUGCUUCAUAUCCACUAGCUACAUCUGUUACCAAGUUAAUUUCAGUUCUAAUGGGGUUUCAUCUCCCACUCAUCUUUGCUCUUCUCAGUGUAAGCUCUGCAAUUUGAUUAACUUUUCCAUUCUCUCUCAUUGUACUCUAUAUAAACGAAAGUUUUGUGUUCCUAUUGUUCUCUCCGAUUUUAUUUAGUACGUACUUAAGUGUCGUCCACUAAUUAAUUAUACUUUGUGAUUUGAUUUUAAUUUGAGUUUGAAUUAAUGUUGCAGCUAGCAGCAGUGGCACUGGCAAACCAUGCUGCUCAACCAGCACCUCAACUUUACUGGAGCUCCGUCCUGCCAAACACACAGAUGCCAAGAUCUAUCAGUGAACUUCUGCAUCCUGGUUUGUGUUGAGCUCUUUAGAAUCUUAGAUAUCUCUUCUACCUGCCAUUUUACUAAAAUAUGUUCCACCACAUAUUUAUCAGUUAACCAUUGUCAUUACAUGAGUGACACAUAUUCACAAAUCGGCUGAUCACUUAUUUUCCAUUAUGACUUGAUAUAUAAUUUGCAGACUCCACAAAUGAAGAAAAGAGCACAAAUGACGUUGGCAAACCUGAAACUUUCCCAUUGGGCAAUCAACAUUACUCCAGUCAAAAACAUUAUGGAGGCAUACCUGAAACUUCCCCAUUGGGCAAUAAACAUUACUCCAGUCAAAAACAUUAUGGAAGAGGCAAACCUGAAACUUUCCCAUUGGGCAAUCAGCAUUACUCCAGUCAAAGACAUUAUGGAAGAGGCAAACCUGAAACUUUCCCAUUGGGCAAUAAACAUUACUCCAGUCAAAAACAUUAUGGAAGAGGCAAACCUGAAACUUUCCCAUUGGGCAAUCAGCAUUACUCCAGUCAAAAAAAGUAUGGAAGAGGUGCUUCUCCAUCCGACAAUCAACAACUCCAUUAUAAAGACUUAGCUAUUUUCUUCUUGGAGAAGGACAUGCGCCCUGGCACAACAAUGAAGUUCCAAUUCCCUAUAAAUUCAAACACGGCUACUUUCUUGCCACGAGAAAGCGCUCAAUCGAUCCCCUUCUCCUCUAACAAACUGCCAGAAAUUUUCAACCAUUUUUCAGUGAAGCCAACAUCUGAGGAAGCCAAAACAAUUAAGCAAACAAUCGAAGAGUGUGAAGCUCCAGACCUUAAGGGAGAGGAAAUAUAUUGCGCCACAUCUUUAGAAUCAAUGGUUGAUUUUAGCACUUCGAAGCUUGGAACAAGAAACGUUGAAGCAAUCUCGACGGAGGUAUUGGAAAAAGGAGCCACCAUGUCCAUCCAAAACUAUACAACAAUGCCGGGACUGAAGAAGUUGGCAGGUGACAAAGUCGUUGUGUGUCAUAAGCAGAACUAUCCCUAUGCUGUGUUUUUCUGCCAUGCAAUAAAACAUACAGCAGCUUAUGCUCUCUCCCUGAAAGGCGAUGAUGGGGAGAAGGUUAAAGCAGUAACCAUCUGCCAUCUAGACACAUCAGAAUGGGACCCAGAGCAUAUGUCCUUCCAAAUCGUCAACGUUAAGCCCGGAACCAUUCCCAUCUGCCAUUUCAUUUCCACUGAUGCUAUUGCCUGGGUUCCGAACCACAAAUCUGCAUGAUCAUCACUUAGCACUAGUACUGUGCGUAUAAUAUGCCUGUAUAAUUAUCUCCCUACUUAUUUCUGCCUCUUCAUCAUGUGGUGUAAGAUAUAUGUUGAGAUGAAGUUUUUGGGAUUUGUGGUCGAAAUUAACCCGAUCAUGUUUUCUCUUGCAACCAUAUAGACUUCAACUUGUACUCAUAAUAAAGCAUGCUAUAUUUAUGAAGAGAUAUUAAUCUUCAGGCAAAUAGAUAUUAUGAAAACAUAUAUAGCAAUUUAUCCAGAAGAAACAUUAUGAAAUGAAAAGAAUAAAAAGUAGAAAAACAGAAGGAAAGGAAUUCGCACGUGCUAUGCUAUGUAUGAAAGGACCAAGAUUGUUUUCCCUUUGGUUAAUGACUAGAAAAGCUCACUUGCAGAGUGCUUUCUCCGACCAUAGAUGGAAGAGAAAUUUUCUCUUAAUAAUAGCACAAUGAUCGGGUAAUUGUAAGAACAAGUUGAUUUAAAAUUCCUUGACCCAAAAAAAAAAAAAAAGUUCUUUUCAAAUUCAGGUCAACCCAUAGAUUUCUUGCCUUCGUCUUCUUCAUCACGUUGGGCUUGUCUUCUUUUUGCGUUUUGGGCCUUGGAAGUUGGGACCCAACCCAACUUCACAAAAAGAAAACAGAUUUGCCAAAAAUCAAAUUUCAAGUCUCUCCUCCGAUCACUAAUACAGAUCAAAUUUUGGAUUUGAUGAACUAAAGUGGUUUUACUUUCUCUGUCAGUGUUUGAUGACUUAAUUUGUUAUUUACUUUUUUUUUUUUACUUGAUCUUUGUAGGGGCUUUUUUUUUUCCGGCAGCUUAAACGGGCUGGGCUGCCGUAAAGGGUAGAUUGAUGAAAUUGUCCCCUUUGUCUGAAUUCGAAAAUCAAGCCCCAAAAGCGCUUCGAAAGGGCAGUAGAGCCUUAGGAAGCGUUCUGGUUACCUUCACUAAUUAAAACAACAGCAACUUACAGAUGAUUUCUUGAGGCUUACAGAUAAAUUUUCUAGCUUGGCAUGACAUGGAAGCAAAAUCAGCAUGAGUUUAGCACCAAAGAGGAAAAUAUGGCUUCCUAGGGAGAAAUGAGAGUGUUUAAGGUGAGGAAGAAGAGGUUUGCAGGCUGAUUUGGCUGAGAAAAGAGAAAGAAAGAACAAUGUUCUUCCGGCAGCUUGACAAAGCUUCUGACAGAUGUGAAAGUCGUCCGCCAGAAGAGGAAAAUGGAGAAGAAGGAUGAAUAGUGCACGAAAUUGGUGGGUUCUUGCAGGUAAGAGAGAAAGCUUGCUCUCUGAAUCUGAGUUGGUUUUGGUUGGGUAGAAGAAGCCCCCUUUUAUAGCUGCGGGAAACCAUCUUUUUCCAAGAAACCCUAAUGGUUUCUAUCCUUUUUGGCCAAGCUUUUCCCUUCCUUUCUCUUCUCCUCCCUUGACUUUUCCUAUCUUGGUGAAAUUUCCUCUGCCUAUUUGCACAAAAUUAGAGAUUUUGAGGAGCUCAAGGCCCCUUUCCCGCAGCUGCCUUAGUGGAGAAUCCCCAUUUUCAGUCAUCUUUCUUCCUUCUUUUCUCCCAUCUUCCAAGGCUAGGUUUGAUGAGAGAAAGAAAUGGAUAUGCACACUGGUUUGAAGGGUGUUUUUCCUUGAAACUUGUUCUCUCCCAUGUGCUGGAGCUUCCCAGCAGCUUACACACAUAGAUAUUUUGGCUUUCAUCGUGGCUUUUGUUUUCAGCUAGGUGCUGGAGAUUUUGCAUAUAUUUUCUUGAGUUGCUUGGGCCUUCUAGGACAAUACGUUGGUUUAUCAAGUGAAUGGGCUAACUUCAUCAAUUGUUGGGCAAUUUUGGUUGAGUUAAUGGACUAUUUUGGUUCAAGUAAUGGACUAUUUUGGUUGAAAUAAUAGGCUAUUUUUCUCUCUUUGUGCUCACCCACAUAUUUGGGCCUAAAAAAUGGGCUUGAGUUUCGGGGCUCCCAAGCAACCCCGGGACUUCCAUUUCUCGGCCCAUCAAUGAGCCUCAUGUCAACUUAUUACCAUCCAUACCACAACCCACUCAAGCAAGCCUCAGGCAUCUUGCGUGGCUUGGGCCCACGUAAGCUCGUAGUGGCAAUGUUGCUUAUUUGCUUGACGUGGCAUGUGUGCAAGUGCAUAUGACGAACUUUCGCGUGCCCAAAUUGAGUUUCUUCUCGGUAGGGUAUCGCAUUGGGCCGAGAAUUUAAUUGGGUAGAACCGUGGAUUUUUUGGGCCUCAACAAUCUUAUAUAUAUUAGUUUUCUUUUUUUCCUUAAUAUUCACCACCUUUCUGUUGCAUAAGUAUUCCAGUCUUAGCGGGUUUCCAUCUACCACUCAUCUUUGCUCUUUUAAGUGCAAGCUUUUUUAUUUUUAUUUUUUUAUGCACAAGAUUAGAGGGGAGGGAGAUUUCUCAAUGUAAGCUUUGCAGUUUCAUAAUUAAUAUUUCCAAUAUCUCACUGUUAGUAAAAUAUGGAACGGGAAAAGUACGAAUAAAAUACACACAUGUUUUAUUUAGCAAAAUUUUGACAAGAUACAACUGAAAAGUUUGGCCACUAUAUAAUAUUUUGAUUUAAUUUUUUUUAUUUUUUUAAUAUAUAUUAUUUUUAUUCAAUAAUAUGUGAAAAAUAGGUGUACAAUAUAUGAAAUUUGUAUGUAUUAUUGAAAAAUUCGUAAAAAAAAAACAUGUUAUUAAAUGUGAAAAAUAUGUACGUAUAUGUAUAAAACAUGUAUUGUACAUUACUUUUUAACAAACUUGUAUUUUACCUAGUCUUUAAACCGUAUAUGGAAAACGGAAGUAUUAUUGAAAAAUACAUAUGUACGUAUAUGUAUAAAACAUGUAUUGUACAUUACUUUUUAACAAACUUGUAUUUUACCUAGUCUUUAAACCGUAUAUGGAAAACGGAAGUAUUAUUAAAAAAUACAUAUGUACGUGUAUAAUAUGAGUAUUAAACAAAAAAAUGUGCUAAGUACUUAUCUUUUAAUUUAAUAAUUCAUUUCAUUUUGUGAUCUCAUACGUAGUAAUGAGAGUUCAAAUUAAUGUUGCAGCUGACAAUGGUGGCUCUGGCAAGCCAUGCUUGAUGCAGGAGUAUAGGGGUGGAUCAAGAUAGAUAUUUACCAUGUAAUUAGUUAUUUCAUGAUAUAUUGUUAUUUUCUUAUUUAGGUAGUUUUAUGAUAUCUUUUAUUAUUUAUGUGGGAUUUUAUAAUUAAUUAGUUUACUUUUGGACCAAGUAGCCUUGGUGCUCAAGUCUUGUAAAGCUUAUAAAUAAGGCUAAUGUAAUAGUUGUAGGAAAAGAGAUGUCGAUGAUUAAUAAAAUCGUUUAUUUGUGGCAUGGAUUUGCUACGAUAUAUGUGAGUUUGCACUAGCCCUAGAUUUCGGUGCUCGUGUAUGUGGUUGGUGACCUGUGUCCGGAUCCCGAUCCCCAUCAAUGCUGUUCUCCCAGUACCUCAACUUUACUGGAACUCUUUCCUGCCAAACACAAAUGCCAAGAGCUAUCAGUCAACUUCUGCAUCCUGGUUUCUAUUAAGGGACUUUUCGUGAGCUUAUCAUCUACCCAAAUUUUACUCAUCCGACGUAAUUUUAAAAGUGAUUUGAUCCUUUGGCAAAGUAAUCUUGAACUACAAAAAAGGAGGGCACUCGAAUAGGCAUGCCAUUUGGUAUUACCCACCUCUAAUUUCUUUUAAAAUUUUAGUAAUUGAUUUUUAAGAUUAGAAAAUGGGAAAGUUCAAAACCGAAAAAGUUGUUUCAGUUUUGGCAAGUAUCGGAAAAGACUAAAAUUUUCCGACUUUAUUAUUACUAGAAACAAAGUCGAAGUAUUCACCAAUCAUGUGGCCUUCCAAGUGCUCAAGGUUAAGCCAGGAACCGUUCCUAUCAGCCAUUUCCUUCCCAAGUAUGAUCAUGUUGUCUGGGUUCCAACCCACAAAUCUACAUCAGUACCUGAACUAAUCAGUUCUACAUGAAUAUUCAUUCAUGGCAACCUUGGGCUAAGUAUUUGAAUUUAUGCUCAUAAAGCUUUAAUGCUUUUGAGGGCCAAUCGUUGUCUACAUAUGGUAUUGUAGCAUCUUUAGAUGGAAGAGGUCAGGGGUUCAAUUCUUGUUUUCCACUUCUUUAUUUGUUGGUUUAUCGAGUGUAGAGUGGAGUUGCACCUAUAUGUUCGUCUCUCACCCCAUCAUUUACCAUUGAUAUAUAUUUAAUAGAAGCCUAAGAUUUCGGAAGCACAUAAUUUCUACUUUACAAACUUCCUGUGUCUACCAAUUUCUACUAAAAUUAAUUUAUCUGCGGUGCUGAGAUUCAUCAUAAUUUUAAUAGAAAUUGGAAGUUUUCAUCAUUUUUGCUUUAAGUCUCUACUCCACUCACUAAUAAAGAUUACUCAUGUGAGUUUACAAAACAUUUUUUUUUUCUACUCUCUCCUGAAGACUACACUUCUUCUCAAAAAAUUAGAUCACUUCACAUCUUGUGUAUGUGAAAACUAAUGUAAAAAGUUGAAACUUUAUCGUAAAACCUCGACAAAAAUGAGCUCUACUACAAAAUGUUAAAUUUGGAUUCGUUGAUUUAAAUGGCAAUUUGACACUUGAUAGAAAUUUUUACAUACAUGUGUUAGUGUUUGAUCACUUCACAUGUCACUUACUAUAUUUAUUCCACUCAAGUUAGGUAAAUAUUAUUAUCAAACAUUUCAAUUAAUUUGUGAUUUUUUUAUUAUUUAAUCAAUUAUGAAUUAAUGGAUUCUUCUUGUUGUUUUGAAGACCAACAAAAAAAAAAAAAAGGGUAGUGAUGGCUUAUAAUUCUGGUAAAACAACAGUGACGUGGACAACAGAUGUUACGCUGUACUAAAGAUUUUUGAAGAUUCUUUAUUUGAGUUUCUUUCAAGAUAAAAACCAUAUUAUCCACAACCACAAGCACAUCCGGCAGACAAUCUUUGGCUAUUCAUCACAAUUGGGAGACAAUGAAGAAGACAGAAAAUGGAGUAAUUCAGAUGUUACCAGCCAUCCACGACAAACUGAAGUCUGCAAAGCAUUCGUAAUCUAAAAAGGAUGGGGAGGCUGCGCAAUACUUAGCCACGUGUAGGCCAGGAGGCUUUCCAAUUUUAAUAUAUAUAUAGAUUGAAAAAAUAAAAUAAAAAUCAAUCUAUUAUCAUAUAUAUUAUAAAAUAAAGAUUAUUGCUCCCAUGGGCGGUGCUAUGCACAGGACAGUGCCUGCCUAGUCCAAAUUUUUUUUAAAUAAAAAUAAAAAUCUACAUAUGUUAUAAGCUCAUCCAAAAAAAAAAAAAAAAAUAAAAGUGUUGUAAAUUAUAAGGUGGAGCCCACAUGUUGGAAGGCUUUGCCUACAAAAGGGUUCACACCCUCCCUUUGUAAUUAGACAUUGAGAAUACUAAGGAAGACAGAAAUGAAUAGAGAGAAAACAUUCCCUUCUCUCCAUCUCAAUUCCCUCUCCAAUUCCUCUAGAUUUAUAACACGUUAUCAGCAGCACGAAUCGCUUUCAAACAAUACCAGCUGAAUUUUAUGAUGAAACCCAGAUCUCUCAUCCAUCUCUGCUGCUCCACUACUUCAAAAUAAAUCCCACAGAAAAAGAAAAAGCCUCAAUGCUCUCUCUCUCUCUCUGUCUCGCUUGGGAGACUUGGACAAUUCCUCAUCCCCGUUACUGACAAUUUCAACAGCUUCAGGGGAAGCUAGUUUAUCUUCCUCUGCUCACGAAACCAUGACUCUUUCAGAGCCAAACAACAACACAAUAGACAACGCAUGGAGACCAGACUGGAGCUCGUCGGCUAAGGCACCGACGAUCCGACCCUACCCGUAUGGACCUUCCGGAUGUGGUUCCUGGGUCUUGUCUCAUGUGCCCUCCUCUCAUUUCUCAACCAAUUCUACAAGCAGCAGAGCUUCAAAUCAAACAGAUCAUGGCAUCGCUUUCACACCUCCCCAUCUUCCUCUUCCUCCUGUUCACCGCUUUCUAUUCUACAGCUUCGCAGUCCUUCAUCGGCGCAUCCAAAGGCGACAUACCGGCGCUCGCCUCAGAUCCGAACGCGGCGGCUCAGUGGGUGAACUCGAAUGUCCUCGCCUUCUACUCGGCCAGCAACAUCGACCUCAUCAACGUCGGCAACGAGGUCCUUUUUCUCCAACGACCAGGGCCUCAUCUCGCAGCUCCUCCCCGCCAUGCGAAAUGUCCAAUCUGCCCUCUCCGCCGCGUCCCUCGGCGGCAAGGUCCGUGUCUCCACGGUCCACUGCCUCGCCGGAUCGGGAUCCUUCCUUCAAGUGUUUCUCUGUCUUCGACUUGAAAAAGAAGGUCAUGGCAGGCCUAUGUAAAAAUUGCGAAAAGGAAGGCAAUCUUCAACCUUUUCUCCUGUCUCUCUCUUGAUCAAUUCAUGGAAGGCACAUUUGGGUCUUCCGGGGGCUCAUCAAAUGAGUCAGCAAUGUCAAAGGUGGAGGUGGUGGAGCAAGACUACGUGGGGAUGUCAUAUGAGGCAACCUCAUACCCAGCUGAGGCAGAGCUUGUGCUGGGCCUGGGCCUUGGCCUGAGCCUUCGUGGUGGUGGUGCAGGGAAGCAGCCAAAGCCAUGUGCAUGGGGUGAGCGUGGUAGAAUCUUGACUGCUAAAGUUAGGUGCUGAGUUACACUGUGUUCUCUGCUACUGACCCUAAGAGGAGUGCUAGAAACUUCCAUGUUCCGCCAUCAUUUCGCUUUCACUGUUACAAGGCACUGGAGUAUGUUUAAUUGAAAAGUGAGAUACACAGCAAGUUGAUCAGCCUAGUGGAAAGCAAAGGAUUAUUGCCAGGGAUAUGAACACCCACCGAAAUAAAGGGAUAAGUACUCUUUUUCCCUUCGACCAGUUUUUUUUUGUCCCACUGGGUUUUUACUGGCAAGGUUUUUCACGAAACAUAUUCCGUAUCAUUUGUGGUCUCUAAGAGGGAGUGUUGUAAAUUAUAAGGUGGAGCCCACAUGUUGGAAGGCUUUGCCUACAAAAGGGUUCACACCCUCCCUUUGUAAUUAGACAUUGAGAAUACUAAGGAAGACAGAAAUGAAUAGAGAGAAAACAUUCCCUUCUCUCCAUCUCAAUUCCCUCUCCAAUUCCUCUAGAUUUAUAACAAAAAGUAAAUUCUACACAUAUGUUGCCCAUCCAGGUGGUCCCAUAUCUUCUCUUUCCUUUUCUUUUGGCUAUUAGACUUCUUGUUUCUCUCUCUCUCUUUGCUACCCCACAUCAGCAAGUUUCUCCCUCUCUUUUUUUGGGAUCAAAUUCUUCUUCUAUUGACAAAAUCUUCUAUUAUAUUGGGUGGGCAACUUGGCAACAACAUCUUCUCCUCUCCUUUUGUCAACAGCAAGUAUUAUUCUCAUUCUCUCAUUUGCUAUAUAUCUUUAAUUAUAGUUUUAAUUUAAAAUUGAGUAUUCUAGGGUUUAAUUAGGGAUGAAUUAUAAUUUUGGGAUUUUGUUGAAAUUAAUUAGGGCUUCGAUUAGGGGUGAAUUAUUCUACUGCUUUGAUUUGGAAUUUUGUUAAAAUUGAGUAUUAUAGGUUUAAUUAUGGAUGAAUUACAAUUUUUGGUUUUGGUAUUGUUGAGAUGUUAUUAUGAGAAUUUGUUUGAUUUUUUGUUGGUAUAUUUGAUUAAAAUUCUUUCUACAUAUUAUUCAUAGGCUAUCUUUUAUUAUGUCGGAUCACAAUCGGAAUCCCAAGAAAACAAAAAAUUUGAAUAGUGUUGUUUUGUAUUGCAUUGCAUUUACUUUUGGUUUUAGUUUUGCUUUUAGUGUAAAUUACUCAAAUGGUCCUCAAAUUUGUACCCAAUUUACAUUUUGGUCCAUAAACUAAAUUAUUCAUUCAAAUGGUCCACCAACUCUUUAUUAAUCGGUGCUUUGGUCCUAUCGUUAUGUUUUCUAUUAAAUUUAGUCAUGUGAGCAGCACAUGCUACAUUUGUAUGGGUAAAUAAGACUUUUGACCAGUGGCGGAUCCACGUUGGGACAAGAGGGGUCGGACGACCCCUUGGAAGGCUGGAAAUUUGGCAAGGGAGUCCAUGAAAGCCCCCUUGGACAGCUGCUGGAAGCCCCCUUGUAUGCACACAAUGUGCUCGACGAAAUGCCCCAACGAAAUGUCCUGCGCAGCUGUGCUGCGCCUUGCGCGUAAUUUUUUUUUAAAACCAGCCUUGCCAAACGACGUCGUUUGGUCAAGGCUCAGUCAAAUUUUUUUUUAAUUAACCUGGCCUCAAAACGACGUCGUUUUGGGCCAGGUUUAAAAAAAAAAAAACAGAACAGUACACACGCACAGCAGCUCUGCACAGAUUCAUUUUCUCCAAACCUUUCAUUCCCAAUUCCACAGCCCCUCUUCCCAUCCUCUCAAACCCUAACCUCCCAACCUCCCAACCUUGGACAACCUCCAUCAACUCUUCACCGGUGGCCCAAUGCCGAUCACCACCACCUUCUACCGCCGUCCGCCGCCCAUUUUUUAAACUACAAGUAAGUAAGCAUGGAAAAUCUGAUAUUAAUAAUUAUAGUGAUAAUAUAUAUUGUUGAUAUUGAUAUUUUUUUUUUAUGUAAUGAAAUUUAUGGAUAUGAAUCAUAUUGAUUGAUUGAGUUUAUGCUUGAAAUUUAUGGAUAUGAAUCAUAUUGAUAUUUUUUUUUAUGUAAUUAAAUUUAUGGAUAUGAAUCAUAGUGAUAAUCAUAUUAAUGUAGAUUGAUUGAGUUUAUGCUUGAUUGAUAAUAUGAAUUGAUUGGGUAUAUUAAAUAUUGAUUGCUAUUUGAUAUGAUAAUUUGGUAUAUUGAAUAUUGAUUGAUAUGGGUUUAGGGAGUAUAUUGAAUAUUGAGAGUGGGUUAUUGAAAUUUUCAUAUUCAUAUGAUAAUUAGGAUAAAAAUUAAUGAUUGAUUGAAUUAAUUGAUUUGUAGAUUUAUGGAACGAUUCUUUAAAAGAAAAUUAUCUACGGAUAGUUCUUCUCUGUCUAAUCCGGGUAGUUCAAAUGCAAGACCAAUUGAAGUAGAUGAGAUCUUAGCUAAUCUUCAAGCAGACCCUGGACUAAGAACUCGAAUGGCGGAUUAUAGUCCUAAUAUUAGGGAUGAGAUCCGAAGAGCAUAUCUACAAAAGGGACCUUGUCAACCUAGAAGUUAUAAAUUCCCACAAACUAAUCAAUCAGGAAUUAAUAGACGCUUCAUUGCUCAUUGGUUUGAUGAUCAUGAUUGGUUGGAAUAUAGUAUUGCUAAAGAUGCUACGUUUUGUCUUCAUUGUUAUCUCUUCAAAUCUAAUUUUGAUCAAGUGGGUGGUGAUGCAUUCACUGGGGUAGGCUUCAAUAAUUGGAAGAAGGCGAAAGAAAGAUUUAACCUUCAUAUUGGACCGGUUGGUAGUGUUCACAACCAAGCUAGAGAAGUUGCUUACAAUUUGAUGCAUCAAACUACACACAUUGAAACAAUUGUGCUCAAGCAAACAAGCCAAGCUCGCACGGCUUAUCGCACUUGCUUGAAUGCAUCACUUAAGUGCACUAGGUAUUUGUUGCGGCAAGGGCUUUCUUUUCGUGGUCAUGAUGAAAGUGCACAAUCAAGUAAUAAAGGGAAUUAUUUAGAGCUCUUGCAAUUUCUUGCGGAUCAUGAUGAAAAAGUUAAGGCCGUUGUAUUGGAAAAUGCUCCGGGAAAUUUAAAGUUAAUAGCUCCUUCAAUUCAAAAAGAUCUUGUCAAUUCUUGUGCCAAAGAAACCAUUGAUCUUAUCUUGAGUGAUGUAAAAGAUAGAUAUUUUUCAAUAAUGGUGGAUGAAGCACGUGAUGUUUCAAUAAAGGAGCAAAUGGCAAUGGUGUUGCGUUAUGUGAAUGACAAAGGACAAAUAAUUGAAAGGUUUGUGGGGGUUCAACAUGUAACCGACACUACUUCAAGUGCACUAAAGGAAACAAUUGAUGAAUUCUUUUCUUCCGCGAAUUUGAGCUUUUCCAAGCUACGAGGACAAGGUUAUGAUGGAGCUAGCAAUAUGAGAGGUGAGUUCAAUGGCCUUAAGAGAAAGAUUUUGAGAGAACAACCUUGUGCAUUUUAUGUUCAUUGCUUUGCUCAUCAACUUCAACUAGCUCUUGUUGCGGUAGCAAAGAAAAACAUUGAUGUCAACUCUUUUUUCACAACGGCUAAUAGUUUGGUUAAUGUGGUUGGAGCAUCUUGUAAGCGUCGCGAUGCACUUAGAGCACAAUACCAAGAAGAGCUUGUGAGAGCUUUUGAAGAUGAUUGUCUUAUAACGGGGCGGGGCUUAAAUCAAGAAAGGACUCUCAAACGUGCCGGCAAUACACGAUGGAACUCACAUUAUGGUACGUUGAUUAGUAUCAUUUCUAUGUUCCCAUCUGUGGUGAAUGUGCUUCAAAUGAUUGUUGAUGAUAAUCUUAAUGAUAGUUCGGGUGAAGCCUAUAAGUUAAGGAGAGAAAUACAAUCUUUUGAGUUUGUGUUUCACUUAUUUGUAAUGAAAGCUAUAUUGGGAAUAACAAACACUUUGUCUCUAGCAUUGCAAAAGAAAGAUCAAGACAUUGUGAGUACAAUGAAUUUAGUGAAAACAUGCAAGGAAAACCUGCAGUUGAUGAGGGAUAAUGAGUUUGAAGAAUUGGUUGGGCAAGCAUCCUCGUUUUGUUACAAAUAUGAUAUUAUAGUUCCUACCAUGGAUGAGGAAUAUGUAAUUCCAGGGAGAUCAUGGCGUAAUGCUCCAAUGAAGACAAAUUAUCAUCGUUAUCGUGUGGAGAUCUUUAUUCAUGUAAUUGAUGGGCAACUUGCGGAAUUAAAUGAUCGCUUCAACGAGGUAAGUACUGAGUUACUUACUUGUUUGGCAUGCUUGAGUCCAAAAAAUAACUUUGUGACUUUUGACAAACGAAAGCUAGUUCGUCUUGCUCAAUUUUAUCCUUAUGAUUUUUCGGAUAGAGACUUAUUGAUGCUUGAAGAUCAACUUGGUGUUUAUGUUCAUCAUAUGCGUUCGAGUAGUGAUUUUUCUCAAUUGGAAGGGAUUAGUAGUCUUGCGGAAAAAAUGGUGGAGAAAGGAAUGCAUGAAAUAUUUCCUUUUGUAUUUGCUUCUUACAUUGGCUUUGGUUUUACCGGUUGCAACUGCAUCAGUGGAGAGGGCAUUUUCCGCUAUGAAUAUUAUUAAAAAUCCACUUCGCAACAGAAUGGGAGAUCAAUGGUUGAAUGAUAGCUUGCUUGUUUACAUUGAGAGAGAUGUUUUUGCUUGUAUUGAUAACGAAAUUAUAAUGCAAUGUUUUCAGAAUAUGAAAACUCGUCGUGGACAAUUGUAACUUGUAUUAUUGGUUUUGUUAUGAAUUAUGAAUGAAAGUACUAUCUUUCUAUCUUUUUAGCAUUAUUUUCUUUGUAGAAAAAUUUCAGAACUUUUACACUAAGCCCCCUUGGCUACAUAAUCCUGGAUCCGCCACUGCUUUUGACCACUUUAUCACCUAUGUAUCACCACUUUAUAACCUAUUUGGGGAACAUAGGUCAGUUAUGGACGGUUUUACCCUUACAUUUGACGGCAACAUUAACAUAAUGUAACAGUGGGAUCAAUGGAGUGAUUAAUAUAAAGUUGAUGGACCAUUUGAAUGAAUAAUUUAAUUGAGAGACCAAAAUGUAAAUCAAGUAUAAGUUUGAGGACCAUUUGAGUAAUUUACCCUUCGCUUUUAUAUUUGUUGAACUUUUAUUUAUGAUAGAUAUGCAUUUAAGGGUAAGACCCAUUAUGUUCCCCUGGCUAGGUGUAUCUUUUUAUGUUUAUUAAUGAAAUUCACUCGAACUGUUGAGUUUAGUAUGUAAGUUUUGCCUAACUGGCUUUUGAAUCCUAGAACCGCCACUGUUGCUCCAUCCUCCAUGCACUUGCAUGUGCUCUUACAAAGUGUGAAGUAGAUUUUGUGUGCUCCAAGUCAUUGACUAGAGCUGAAACAUGGUUAGCUAGAUUUAUAAGGACCCAUCUCUUUAUUUCCUAGACAUAUACCCAUCUCUCUAUAAAUCUAUAUGUAAAACCUAAUUUCAAACUUAAAUGACCAGUAGGAUAUAAAAGGUCAUAGUAUUCCUAUGUUUUUAUAUCGUUGCCACCAGACUUCUUAUUUUAUUUAUAAUUUAUUUCAAGCAUUUCAUUAACUGCCAUAAUUGUAAUUAAUACUCCAUAUUAAUAGCAUAUCAAUCACCCCAUUUCUUUUGGUUGCCAUUCCCUCUAACAUAUCGCCCCUUAAAUUUGAAAACCAAAAAAAAAAAAUGUAAAUUACAUAUCCAAUAAUGUACCUAUGAAAAAUAUAAAUAUAAAUAUAUACAUAUAAAAAUAUAGGUAUAUUAUUUACCAAAUAGAAAAUAUAAAAACCUAGGUCAGUUGCUUUGUAAUUGAAAUUUCUGUACAUUUUCCACAAAUUAAAAAUAGGUACAUAAUAAUUUAUAGAAAAUAUAUGUACAUUAUUUAUCCAUAGGUAAAAAUACCGAUAAAUGCACAUAGGUGAAUUAUUUACCAAUAUAUUAUUUUUUUGCUAAGGAUUUACCUUAGUUUUUAGUAGAUUAAUUUACCUACCUAGAGGCAUAGGUAGCUUAAAAAAAAUGUACCACCUUAGUUGGUUGCAUACUAAUUUACCUACCUAGAGGCAUAGGUUGCUAAGAAAAAAUGUAGGUAAAUUCAUGUACCUAAACACAUAGGGGUCAAAUAGAGAAUAACAUGUUAUUUCCCUUUGAACAAAUUAAUUUCAAACCAUAACAAUUAUUGAAUUUGGAAAUUGGUAUAAAUAAAAGGAAAUAAAUAAACUAUCAAUUUGAAAAUUAAAAUAAGAAAUGAUCAAGUAGUCAUAUUUGAAAAAAAAGGAAAGAAUAUAUUCUUGGUUUUUAUAGGAACAACGAGUAUAUUCAAACCAAACGGCGAUAACUACACCAAGCUUUAAUUACUUUUUUUUAAGGCCAAAAGUCACUUUUGGUCCCUGUAGUUCGGCAUUUCUACCACUUUUGAUGUUGUAGUUUCAAUUCCGUCAAUUUUGCCAUUGUAGUUUCGUAUUUGUAGCAAUUCAAGGACCUGUUAAUAUUAAUGUCAAUUUGUUUAAUGAUGCAAGAGGUAAUUUCGUCAUCCCAAAAUCCUUGAGCAUAAAAGAUUGUCUGAAAUUCUCCCCAUUUCAUAUUAGGGCUCGAAAUUCAACCACUAAUCCUAAUUUUUGAAGAACCCUAGACCCAAAUGACCAAUUUCAAGCCCUAAUAUGAAAUUACGGAAGUUUUAGAUGAGCUUUUAUGCUCAAGGAUUUUGAGUUGAAGAAACUGCCCCUUGCACUGUCAAAUAAAUUGACAGGAAUACUGACUUGUCCUUGAAUUGCUACAAAUACAAAACUACAGUGUCAAAAUUAACAGAAUUUAAACUAUAGGGUCAAAAGUAGUUGAAGUGUCAAACUAUAAGGACCAAAAGUGACUUUUAGCCUUUUUGUUUCAAUAAGGAAAAAACUGACCUAUUAAAUCCUUGGAAUCUAUACAAAAUUGAAACACAAUUAAUCAACAUUGAAUUGCAGCUAAUUUCUUAAACAAGGGUAUUAUAGGAAUUUAAAAAGUAUAACAUUUAAUCCAUUGAAUUUGAUUAGGAAACUUGAUGAAUUGAAUCCUAGUUAUAUAGUUUUUCUUAUAAAAAUCAGGUUUUAUUUAUAGACAAAUAAAACAAUGGGUUGUAGGUAAGAAAAUAUUAAUUUGAAGGGAAAGAGUCAAAUUUACUAAAUUAAUAAAGCAUAAAUUGGAAAGGGAAAAGAUCUAGAGGAUGCAUUGUAGGAUUGCUCAUGCCAAUAAUUGCACCCUCUCGAUAUUGAAAAACCUAUUGUUUAUUAUUAUCUUCAAUCCUGAAUGAUGCACCUAAAACCCAAGUGUCUCAGGCCAACCAUUGCGCUCAUACCACUUGUUGCAGUACACAUUCACCUGUUUUUAAAGAAAGAAAUUCUACCAAUCGAUAUUUUCUCAAAUUUAAUCACAUAGAUCUAUUAUGGUUAACCAUAUGUACUUUUAUCUGCCAUCCAGAGGUACCUUUUUCCAACGUGCAACAAUUGUAUUUGAUUCACAAUUAUGUCUGAUAUACAUCACAUCAUGCCACUUGCCUCAAAUGAAUUUAAUUGAGUGAGGCAAUGGGAAGUAAUUAAGCUCUAUAUUGGUGGGUGGAGUGUUACUUCUGGAACCCUCAUCAUUCGUCCAUACAGGGGAACAAUUCCCUUCCUUCUAUAAAAUGGGAGCAAUUCUCUCACUGUACUCUAUAUAAAGGAAUAAGUGUCGUCCACUAAUUAAUUACACUUUGUGAGAUUUGAUUUUAAUUAGAGUUCGAAUUAAUGUUGCAGCUAGCAGCGGUGGCACUGGCAAACCAUGCUGCUCAACCAGCACCUCCACUUUACUGGAAUUCCAUCCUGCCAAACACACAAAUGCCAAGAGCUAUCAGUGAACUUCUGCAUCCUGAUUUGUGUUGAAUAGAUAUAGUAUGUUACUGGAGUACGUAUGGCAACAUAUUCACAAAUGUGUCACGUAUUUUCCAUUAUGACGUUGAUAUAUAAUUGCAGACUCCACAAACGAAGAAAAGAGCACAAAUGUCAUGAAUGCUGUUGGGAAUGGAAAGCCAAUUGACCACAAGGGCAAACCUGAAAAUACUGUACUACCACAGCUUGCACGACGCCCAUUUUCUUACAAGAGUGAUGAUCGUCCCACUGACAAUCAACUCCAUUAUAAAAACGUAGCUAUUUUCUUCUUGGAGAAGGACAUGCGCCCUGGCACAACAAUGAGCUUCCAAUUCCCUAGAAAUUCAAACACGGCUACUUUCCUGCCACGAGAAAGAGCUCAAUCGAUCCCCUUCUCCUCUAACAAACUACCAGAAAUUUUCAACCAUUUUUCAGUGAAGCCAACAUCUGUGGAAGCCAAAACAAUUAAGCAAACAAUCGAAGAGUGUGAGGCUCCAGGCAUUAAGGGAGAGGAAAUAUAUUGCGCCACAUCUUUAGAAUCAAUGGUUGAUUUUAGCACUUCGAAGCUUCGAACAAGAAACGUUCAAGCAAUCUCGACGGAGGUAUUGGAAAAAGGUGCCACCAUGUCCAUGCACAAGCACACAACAAUGCCGGGACUGAAGAAGUUGGCAGGUGUCAAAGUCGUUUUGUGUCAUAAGCAGAACUAUCCCUAUGCUGUGUUUUACUGCCAUGUAAUAAAACCAACAGCAGCUUAUGUUCUCUCCCUGAAAGGCGAUGAUGGGGUGAAAGUUAAAGCAGUAGCCAUCUGCCAUCUAGACACAUCAGAAUGGAACCCAAAGCAUUUGGCCUUCCAAAUCCUCAAAGUUAAGCCCGGAACAAUUCCCAUCUGCCAUUUCCUUCCCACUGAUCAUAUUGUCUGGGUUCCGAACCACAAAUCUGCAUGAUCAUCACUUAGCACUGUACGUAUAAUAACCUUUACCCCUGUAUAAUUAUCUCCCUACUCUACUUAUUUCUGCCUCUUCAUGUGGUGUAAGAUAUAUGAUGAGAUGAAGUUUUUGGGAUUAGUGGUCGGGUUGCCUUAAAAACACAGAUUACAGAAACUGCUUGAACUUAACCCGAUCAUGUUUUCUCUUGUACUCGUAAAGCAUGCUGUUGUGGUUCUACUUAAUUUCGUCCUCCCCAAUGUUUGAGUGUUUAAUUGUUACGUUGGAAUAGGCUGCUAAUGCAUGUAGUUAGAGAAGCUUUCAUUUAUAUCAAAGUCCUCAAACUAUCAAGAAUUAAUGCAUCCAGAAACAUAUAUACCAAGACGCAAAACAACAUAUUUUCCAUGCUGUGUCGGUAACACCAAAGCAAACUUCCUUUAUCACAAAAGGACCAAAUUCCAAUACUAAUCUAAUCCAUCAUGUAAAGCAUACAAUCUACAACUGCCUCCCUAAAUUUGUCCAUUGGAUAUAUAUGUCACUUUUUGGUAAUUUGGUAUAGCAGCACCACGUAGUAUGCAUUUAACAGAAAAGUAAACAAAAUUGACAGUAGAACUAUUUGUCCUAACGAAACUGAAGUUGAAAGACCAUGAGAACGAUUUUGAAAAUUAAGGGACUCAAAUGAAAAUUGGGUCUAAGUUCAGGGACCAAUAAAACGAUUAACCCAUAGAUUUUGGAUCCAGUACCACAUCCCAAAGAGAAAACCACAAGUUUGCAAGCAAGUUUGUCCAUACUAACACUACGUACAGUAUGGGCAAUGUGCUAGACUCAUCUCACUUUCUCAACCUAUCCUAUACUUGUCUAAAAGAGUUUCUAAUUUAAUGUACUGAGAUUUACGAAAGAAAUAUCAGAGAAACAAUUUUCAGGCAAUAAAAAAAUGUCUUGGCAAGAAAAUGCACAAUUUGUUACAUAACUUAUUAAAUAUGAACAGUUGAAAGAAAAAAGAAUUUGGAUGAGGGAUUUGCAAAUUCCUAUGGCCCAAUUACCUUUUUUUCUUUGUUUUUUUUUGGUUCUUUUGAUCCAGUAGCAUAUUCCAAAGAAUGAAAACCACAGGCAUGCAAUGCAAGCUCUUUUCCCAUGUUUUCCUCUGUUUUUCUCCUAUCAUGGAAGUGAUUAAAACACACCUCUAAGCUUGUUUUGCGUUUGGUAGCCGAGUGUAAAAGCUCAAUGCAAGAUAGUUUGAGGUAGAAUUUUCUCCUGUUUUAUUAGGACAAUGAUGAGCUAUAUGUGACAACAAAUUGCUUUAAUAAUGAAAAUUAAAAAAGUGUGAUUCAUUGAAUAUUUGCGGGGUUUUGUUCAGAGCUGACAAAGUUCUAAGUCAACACAUCAAAUUCCUUUUUCCAACAAUCGUAUUUGAUUCACAAUUUUGUCUGAUAUACAUCACAUCAUGACACUUGCAUCAAAUGAAUUUAAUUGAGUGAGGCAAUGGGAAGUAAUUAAGCUCUAUAUUGGUGGGUGGAGUGUUACUUCUGGAAUCCUAAUCAUUCGUCCCUACAGGACUCUAGAACUCUCACACUUCUUACAAGGACUACUUAACUCUAUAGCUUAUUGCAUAUAGCAUAUAUAUGCAAACCCAAUUAGAAAUUCUACAACAGAAGCAAGAUCAAUCUCACUAUGCCUUCUAAACAAACAAACAAAUAAAACAAGCAUAUUAAUUGCUUUAAUCACUCUACUAACAUCAACACAGCACACUUAGUUUACUAACAGAUGAUAUAGAAAGGAAAAAAAAGGACCAAUAGGGAGAAAAUGGUGAACUAAGGAGAGACUAAUACUUCUGGUCCUUAGAAGGCAUAACAGAAAUAAUAGAGCACACUGCUUGAAUGCAAGUCAGUAUUAGGAGCAAAACAGCUGCAAUGAAAGAAAUAGUUGCCCAAGGUGUAUUGAAAUAAUGUUGCCUCAAAUUUGCCUUCCAUUUGUUCCAAGGCUUUCUGCAGUAGCUAUUAAGGCGCUCAGAAAGAGUAGCAAAGUAGAAGCUUUCACGAUACACUGCAAUUCCUUUUCCGAGGUUGUUAAUCAGAGUGCACACCUCAUUGUAGUCACCAAGCAUAUUUUUGACAAUCCCAUACUUCAGAAGGAACUCCACAUCCUUUUCGGUGUUCACAAACUCAUCCAUGAGUGAAACAUAAUCACUUAUGUAAUUCUUACGGCAAUGGCACUAUUCAAAGGCAAUGAGGUUAUGGAGUGUGAGCUCUGUGUAAUCGUUUAUUUUUAGUUUUGGAAUUUCUAGAAUCCCAUCGUUGAAUCGUGUUAACGCAGCUUUCCUUUCCUAGCCUACGCGGAAGUCAACUUCACAAUCUCCUCCUAGCAAUUAGCCUUUCCUACUGUAAAUCGGAUUGUAUUCAUGUCUAUAUUAUUUCCUACCUUAAAUAGAUAUCCUGUACUAGUAUACAUAGGGACUUUGUGUAAUCUGUUAAAUACAAGGAAAUAUAUACUCUACAUGGUAUCAACCUAACCUAGGGUUCUCUCUCUCCCCCUUAUUCGAUCCUCUUCUCCUUUAGGUCCACCUCAUGGCUUCGUUUGAAUCCACCAUCUCCCUCCCAAGCCCUAACUCUUCUCAUUUUAUCAAGCUUACUAACUCCAACUAUCUUCUUUGGCUCCGCCAACUCAAACCCUUUUAGUUGGCCAUGACCUCUGGAAAUUUAUCGAUGGCAUUCAUAAACAACCUUCUGCCCACACCUCCACCUCUACCACCACAACACCCACAACCACCACCACUCUUACCGAAAUCAAUCCUACCUAUGCUCAGUGGUACCAACAAGACCAACUCAUUGUUAGCUACAUCACCAGUACACUCUCUGAGUCCAUUUUCUCUCUCACUGUCGGUUGCAUCUCUGCCCGGGAUCUCUGGGAGUGUCUCCAAUGCCACUUCUCUUAAUCCAAUAUGGCCAGUGAAUCUGCUCUUCGUUUUCAACUCAUGGAUUUGCAAAAAGGCUCUCAACCCAUUGAUGCUUACCUUCGUCAUGCUAAGUCUCUUGCCGAUUCACUAGCUGCCAUCAAUUAACCUGUCUCCCCAAAAGAACUUGUCACUGCUGUGCUUCGGGGUUUAGGACCCGAUCACAAAAUGCUCAUCACAGCAAUUCUCAAUUUCUCUCCGCUUCCAGACUUUGCUGAUCUUCGUGCUCGUUUGUUAGCUUUUGAUGCACAGACUCCUCGAAUCUUUCCUGAUCAAAACACAACGCUAAUGGCCACCCAAUCUUCUCCUUACACCACCGGUCAUACUUCCUUCCCUUCUCACCGUGGUUGUGGCUCUUCCAGCAAUAGGCGCGGUGGCUGGUGCAGUAUUGGCCGUGGUGGCUGGCACAACUUCUCAUCUUCCUAGAGCAACCCGUGGAAUGGCUUCCAGCAGCCCUAAUGACCUAAUCAACUGUGGCCUCCUUUUGCUCUAAGUUUUGGAUCUCAAAGCAACUGGCCUUCCUUUCAACCUCUUUGGGCCCAAUCUGCCGCUUCUAGCAAACACUCUGCCCGACCCAACUCAGCUCCUGGUGUCUUGGGACCCGCUUGGUGCACCACAUGCAAUACCAAUCGACAUACUACUACAACAUGUCCUUAUUGCUACAAUGGCCCAGAAUUCUUCCUUUGCUGGGGCUCAAUUCAUGCAGCCACCUAACUCUACAUGGUACCCUGACACAAGUGCCACUCAUCAUAUGACUGGUAGUUCUUCUAAUCUCCAAAGGAAAUUAAAUGAAGGAGUCCUACGAAGGCUCAAGGCUCGAAAGCACACGAUCCGGCUCUGCUGCGGAGCUCACUCAACUACUGGCUGAGGGGGCGCAAAACAGAAAAUUGUGAGUGGACAAAAAUAAAAAUUCAGUUCAGUGUAAACCAACGUAAUAUAACCCCACCGUUUAGAAAACCAUGCAAGAAAUCCAAAUGCAUCUCAAAACCAUCAUAAUCAUCAAAUCAAAAUCAAAUACUGGAUGCCAAGUCCGAAAUCCAUAAAGAAAGCUUUACAAACCCACCAUCCAAAUCUUACAAUCCCACAACUAAACUCUCGAAAGCGUACCCAUUGGCAGUACCAGCAAGGAAGUAUCCUCACCGAGAAACAAGAACAAAAGAAUAGCUAUAUAUAUAAUUAUAUAAUAUAACCACACCUAGUUGUACCGGGAAAACAAUCCAACCGGGGGAUUGUUUGACUAGUCACCAUGGCAGAGUCAAAGUAAACAAAUUCCUCAAUUCACCAUGUGACUAGGGAACGAGCUGUCCAACUGGGGGACCAACUCUCAGCCAGCAUGUACCGUCGAUAGCCUCAAAACCCGUACGUCUGUGACCAGUCCUACGCGUGCAGACUACCCAAUCAAGGGUUUACAGCAACAUCCCAUCAAGGAUGCCCUAGGUUCCCACAAUUCCAAGUAUCUCAAGUUUGCGUAUCCAAGUUCCAAAUCCGGGGAGGUACAUAGGGUAGUGCUUAUAGCACUCCAAAUUGACAUUCUAUACUCAUCACUUUCCACAAUCUCAUCUCAACAACCUAAGUACCCCACACAUAGCCAAACAUAUAUAGAAAUUCUCAAAAUCCAUAUAUACAUACUCAAGAUACUCAAAUAUGUCAAAAUCCAAAAUAUAUUUCCAAUGCAUCAUAAAAAUAUCACUUUUAACAAUUGAAUAAAUAAUAUAUAUCCAAUAUACCAAUUAAAACAUCAUGCAUAAUAUUUCCCAUCAUAAAAUCAUGCAUAAGAUUUGAAAACAAAGUCCACUCACAAGUAGUCCCACACUGCUUGACCUUGAGAGGGUCCCGCCUACUGCGUAUGCGUGGUUGGAGUACCUAUUUCAGAAUACGUAUACGAGAUUAAUAAGAAGCGUUUCGAACGAGAACUUUGAAUUAAAUAUCCUAAUUUCCCAGGUUUCUAGUAAGUGUACUAGGAACGAGACGUUCUAAGGUUCCACUACCCAAUUCGAACCAUGGAAGAGCUUCGGGAGACACUCGGUCAACCGGCGGUCAAAUUCCCAAAUCGGGUCAACUGGCCCACGGGACCCACGACCUCCGUUUUUAAAAUCCGUAAGUUCCUAAAGGUUUCACAAUGUCUAAGAUACUACUAUCACAAGUUUGGUCCGAAACGGACUGUUAGAUCGCUUACGAUCGCACGAUCAGACGGUUAUUGUAAAACGUAAACUUUAAGUUAUUGAAUCAGAACAUCCGGGGCUCCGAUUCACGAUCCGCGAAUUCCUACACGAUCCUAGGAAGGUCUAGAGUAACAUAUAUUGGAAUGGAGUCGAUCCAAAGGUCCGAACAUAUCGAACCUAGACCGGAUAACUCCUAAUAUGUGAGAUUCGUUCGGGGUUCGAACAUCAACCAAAUUGGAAUCCUAAGGUACCUACGUGCUCGUGACAUUAAGGGGAUCAAUUGGGACAAAAAUGCCCCUCUGCUACAGUGCCCACGUGCCACCACACGCGGCGGUAGAGAGUGGGUGUCCAAAGCGAUUUCUCUUCGCCGGAAAAUCUCCAAAUUACAAGCCACUCUCCUGGCUACAGGUUCUACUCAACGAGUGGAACACUUUAUUCAACUACAGCCAAGUCCAAUUCGGACGGCAAGUGGCCGGAAACUCACGGUUUAACCCGGAACUUCAUGGCUUGGAUUGGGCGACCAUCGUCACCAUUGUCGUGGCACAACCUAGGAAAUAGCUAAAAGGAGAGGAGGGCUACCUAUUCCAAGCGAUGGCGCAGCUCGCGGUAGCCGAAAAUGUAGCCGAUGACGUUGGCAGUUUUGGCCGGUUUUUCACGUCGUUGCCAUCGCCGUUUGUCGAGUUUUCGAUUGGAGAAAAGGGGUGGGGUGAGUAGAGGAGGAAGAGAGGAAGCUUUUGCAAGAAAUGACACUUGUCAGGGAGGGGGGGGUUGGGGGAAGAGAGAGAGAGAGAGAGAGAGAGAGAGAGAAAAAAAAAAAAUUUCAGAUUUUCAUCCAAACCCUUUUCGAAAUAUUUACAAGUUUGCCACUAAACUACUUUUGGUUGCCAAAUCUUCGUUAUAACUCCGAUUCAAGCCUACCACGUGUCUACGGAUUCGUCUCAAUACAACCUACCCAAAAAUACCAGUCACUGCCCCAAACUCUUUUUGGGUAAGAAAAUGACCAAAAUACCCCUACCCCAAGGGUAAAUUCAUAAUUUCACUUCAAUAAUUUAAUAAAGAAUUAAAUUUGGAGUCGGGGUGUUACAUUAACUACCUGUUUAGUAGGUGUGGGGUUUUAUACAAAAAGCAUCGAUGUUAUUGGGAGUGGAACCACUUAUUAUAAGUUGUGAUUUAUUUAGUCAAGUUUCCUAUGUGGGAUUUUCUAUUCUUCAACAAGCCCCCUCAUGUGGGACCACCACAUAGUGGGCCACAUGUAAAGCUAAGUCCACAUCGGAGUCAAUCAUUCAAGCCCAAUACCUAAACACCACGUAUUGUGUGAGGGGUAGGGGUAAACAUUCAAGCCCAACAUGUGAACCACCAAAUAUUAAGUAAGGGUAAAGGCUCAAUUCAGGCCCAAUCAAUGAACCCAUUAUGAUAUCAUGUUAAAUUUCAGAUAGACGGGACUGUGGCCCACCACUAGCAACAUUGAUAUUGUCCCCAACUUAACUACAUGUUUAGUAGGUGUGGAGUUCUAUACAUAAGGUCUCGAUGUUUUUAGGAGUGGAACCACUUAUUAUAAGUUAUAAUUUAUUUAGUCAAGUUUCCAGUCAACCUGACUUUGAUACCAUGUUAAGAUUUUAAAGGGACGAACUCUUGGCACUAUUAGUAACAUCGACAUUGUCCCCAACUUAACCACCUGUUUAGCAAGUGUGGGGUUUUAUCCUAAAGGCCUCGAUCUUAUUAAGAGUUGAGUCAUUUAUUAUAUGGAACUUUCUAUUUUGUUAACUCUGUGUAUUCUUCAUCAAUGUGAACACCCCUAAACCAAUCAUACCUGAUACGAAUUGAAACACAAGUUUGUUUUUUGCCUUUGGUAGAUGAGUAGCUAGAAAAGCUCAAUGCACUUGCUCUUCUGCUACAUUUCAAUAUAAGAACAAGGUUUGGAAGUCAGGUCAACUCCUCAUAGCUUCCUUGCCUUUGCUUUGACAUGUCUAUGCACUUCUUGGGGAAGUUUGAAUAAUCCAUUGCAGGCCCCAUGACAACUAAGGAACCAACAUUUUGUAGAAGGUUUUGUCUAUACCUUUUGACUAUAAGUAAAAUCUUUUGUAUCUGCUCUUAUGUUUCGGUGAAGUUUCUAUGUGUCCUUUGUGCCGAGUUUCUAUGCGUCCUUUGUUGAACCAAAAAAUGAGGUUGUUUCUUACUAGAUUCAAAUACUUAAAAGAAAAAAAGAAAUUGUUGUUUCUUAAUGGAUUUUAUGAUGAACAAUAUCAAACUCUCCUCUUAUACGUCUGUUGGUAAAUUUUAACAACAAUAUUAAAACCUUGCAAGUGCACAAAUCAAAUGAUAGUAUAGUAAGCAAGCAAGGGUCGAUCCCACGGAGAUUGUGAUCUAAAGAGAUGUUUAUCAAUGUCACGCAAUGAAAAUCAAAACAAAGGACUUCCAAACACACGCCAACACCAAGGGGGGUUUUGAUUUGUUUUUGUGAAUCAAACAAAAUAAGGAAAAGGAAACAAAAGAGAAUUUAAAUUAGAGUUUAAGAGAAAUUGGUUUAAAAUCAAUCAAGAUCAAUAGCUAGGACUUACUAUCCACCUCCAAACAAUCAAUCAAUCCAUAAACAACAAUAGAUAAUCAAUUUCUAGUAAGCACACUACUACAAAAAAGCAAAAAGACGACGGUAAAUCACCGUCGUGUAUUCGGUUUUUCAAUGGUCGUGGAAUCCACCGUCAUCUUUUCCCUCAUAAACCACGACGCUAAAUCACCGUCGUUGUUACAAUAUACAACGUCAUCAACAAAUACAAAACGACGUCUUUGUACUGCAAAAAGAUCUAAAAAAGCAAUCGAUGAUGAGAAAAGACGACCAACUCUCUAAACAAACCGUCGUUAAAAAGAAAAAAUAUGACACAUAUUAACAGAACAUGGCCGCAAGAUAGACAUACAACGACGAAAAUUAAAAUAAGACGCCGUUAAAUAUCAUUUUCACGACAAUAAAAAAUAUGUCGUCUUUAAAUACAUUAGAAGACGACGUUAUUGAUACCUACUACGUCGCCUAUAUAAAAAUAACCGUCGUAAAAUAAAUUUUCCACUUCGAUUUUUCUAUAAAAGAUGACGUGGAAAUAGUUGUCAGUGUCAUUAUUUACGACGUAUGUAUUUAUAGAGUAGACGUUGAACAACGAAACAACGUCGGUUACAAAUAUAUGAGAGUCGUAUUACAAAAUUUAUACGUCCUAUUUUCAGAAACAAACAACGACGAUAAAUAUUAGACGUUGUUAAAUAAAACAACGUCGAAAACAAAUAAAAACAGACGUGUUUAGUCUGCUAAAGUUCUAAAAAAUAGUCGAGGAUGAGAAUAGACGACCAACUCAAACAAAUCACCGUCGUUAAAAAGGAAAAAUAUGACACAUAUUAAAAGAACAAGGCCGCAAGAUAGACAUACAACGACGACAACUAAAACACUACGCCGUCAAAUAUAAUUUUCACGACAAGAAAAAAUAUGACGUCUUUAAAUACAUGAGAAGACGACGUUAUUGAAAUAUACUACGUUUCUUAUUUACAAACAACCGUCGUGAAAUAAAUUUUCCACUUCGAUUUUUCUAAAAAAGAUGAUGUGGAAAUAGUUGUCAGUGUCAUUAUUUACGACGUAUGUAUUUAUAUAGUUGACGUUGAAAUGCGAAACAACGUCGGUGGCAUUUAUAUAGUCGACGUUGUAUUUAUAUGUAUUCAUUACUCACGACGCACUUAUUAAUAUAGACGACGUUGAACUUCUAAACAACGUCGGUUCCAAAUAAAUGAGAGCCGUAUUACAGAAAAUAUAGAUGGCGUUGAUUAUGAUGAGAGCCGUAUUACAAAUAACGUCGUUUAAUUGAUAUUAGACGGCGGUUAUAAUGAAUUACCGUCGGAAUUCAUUUCGUUCCUCUUCGUUUAUAAAAGAACUUGCGACGUGGAAAAUGUAUGAUGACGUCGUAUUUUUUAACGUUCAGAUUAUAUAUCUCGUUUUUUAGACGUCGGUAUUAUGGGAUUGGAGUCGUGUUAUUUUGAAUUACAUGGCGGUUCUUAAUCCUUCCCCGACGUGAUAUCCUGAAUAAUUGCUUCAUAAUAGCGUCGUGGUUCUUCAUUGUUACGUUGCUUUAAGACGUCGGUAAAUAUGCUGAAUAACUGGUUCACAAUAACGUCGUGUUUUAUUUGAACGUAGAAAGUGAAGAAAUCACAUUACAAUAUAUUACAAAAUUAAUGUCAUACACUGCCAAUUACAUAAGCAUCAUUCAAUCCAUAUAUCUUCACACCCAUCUCGAAUAUUUUGACCGCCUAACUCACCCACCAGUUCAUCAAAUGUGUCAACAUUUGGCAUCCCUCUAGUAAAUGGCUCACACUCAAUUAUCACAUCACCUAAGACUUCAUCACCAAUAACAUUAUUAUAUUCUCUAUUAGGCAUUGAUAACACUACCGACCAACCACGAUGCAUCGGGUCGUCAACAAAAAAUAUUUGUUUGACUUGAGAAGCCAAAACAAAUUGGUCAUUCCUAUGUCCAAUUUUACUCAAAUCUACAAGGGUAAAUCCAAGUUCGUCGACUACAAGACCAGAACUAUCUAUCCAAUCACACCUAAAGACUGGGAUUGUAAACUUUUGGUAGUCAAGGUCCCAAAUUUCUUGAAUGACACCAUAGAAACCCAUAUUUGAGAGAAUUGAGUUUUUAUCCUUGGCACUAGCAACUUGCAUGGUAUGUGCAAGUAAAUAAACUCCACUAUUUUGAGUUGUCCGCACAUCAUCUUGUGCCUUGAUAUUGAAUUUAAUACCUUUAAUAAGAUAGCUCCUAUAUAAUGGCACAGCCAUGUUUGGACCAGCUGCUAGCCACCUUAAAUUUUCUGAUACGCCAUGAUUGUCUUCCUCAAGUUCACUUUGAACCUGCAAAUUAAUCAUAUAUCUUAAUGCAAUCUAACAUAGAAAUAAGAAGAAAAUUAAAAGAGAAAUAUGUUAUUCAACAACAUAUACCUUGAAGCGUAGCCAUUGAAUGAAAGUGUUAUUGUGCUUAUCCUGCAGCCACUUUGUGAUUUAAGGUAUGACAAUCAUGUGAUUUAAGGCCAAGAAGUCUUGAAUCUUGUAAAGAUACAAGAUUUUUAAUAUUUGAAGAAUAACCUUCAGGGACCUUCAUACCAUAGAAAGAAUUGCAAACCUCUCUCUUCUCUGCUCUUGACAAAUUCCAAGGCCCAGGAGGCAAACGAGUACGUCUUUCUCCAUACUCGGGUUGCAAAUCAGUUUUGACCCCCAUGUUCAAUAAAUCUAAUCGAGCAGCAAUCCCAUCUUUAUUUUUUCCAGGGAUCUCCAGCAAUGUACCAAUGAUACUAUCGCAAACAUUCUUCUCAAUGUGCAUAACAUCUAGGGCAUGCCUCACAGGAAGGUAUUUCCAAUACUCGAGAUCAAAGAAUAUUGAUUUCUUCUUCCAACAAACUCUGUCACCAUUUUCAACCAUGUGCAGCACUUCUUCUCCGGUUAAUGGCUCGGGAGGUAUGCCAUAUUCAGGUUUCCCAUUAAAAGCUGCACGUUGCCUCCUAUAUGGAUGAUUGAUUGGUAACCAUUUUCUAUGCCCAAUGUAACAAAUUUUGUGGCCAUUUUCAACCUGUGACUAGGUGUAUCAUCGCCGCAUAUUGGACAAGCUUUAUAUCCUUUAACAACACAACCAGAUAAGUUUCCAUAGGCGGGGAAAUCAUUAAUUGUCCACAUUAAUGCAGCUCUGAGUGUAAAGUAUUCUCCAUUAUGUGCAUCAUACACUCCUCUAAUCCCAUCCCACAAAGAUUUUAAAUCAUCAAUCAAAGGCUCCAAGUAGACGUCUAUAUCAUUUUCGGGUUGUUUAGGACCGGAAAUCAAUAAGGUUAACAUCAUGAACUUUCGUUUCAUGCACAGCCAUGGAGGGAGAUUAUAUGUAACUAAGAUAACCGGCCAACAACUAUAUCUGCUACUUAGAGAACUGUGGGGAUUGAAUCCAUCAGAUGAAAGAGCCAAUCUCAAGUUUCUCGGCUCAUUACCAAACUCAGGCCAUUUAUCAUCAAGAAGUUUCCAAGACGGGGAAUCCGCCGGAUGAGACAUCUGACCGUCAAUUGAUUUUCUAGCAGCAUGCCAAGUCAAACUCUUAGCUGUCUCAUGUGAUUGAAACAUCCUUUUAAACCUUGGAAUUGGAGGAAAAUACCACACCACCUUCGCUGGCACAUCCUCUUUCAAGAUUGAAUCUUUGCCUUCCUUCCACCUUGAGAUACCACAAGUAGGACAAUUAGUUGAAUCCUCAUACUCCUUCCUAUACAAGAUGCAAUCAUUGGGGCAUGCGUGCAUUUUCUCAUAACUCAGCCCCAAUGCACACAAAGUCUUUUUUGCCUCAUACAUAGAGGUUGGUAUUGUAUUUCCUUCUGGAAGCAAAUCGCCUUGAAGUAUCAAUAAUUCUGUAAAACAGACAUCACUCAUCCCAUGUUUUGCCUUCAAAUUAUACAACUUCACUAAUGCCGAUAACUUCGUGUACUUUCUACAACCAGGGUACACUGGUUGAUCUCCAUCCCCAAUCACAUUGGCAAACUCAUACGGAUCGGAACCAAAAUCACCAAAAUCAUUAUCAUCCAUAUCAAUUUCUUCAGACACAAAACUGUACCUACUAUGGCCAUCAUCUUCUUCAACAUUUCUACUAGCAUUAGUAGUUGCUUCCCAAGGUUCUCCGUGAAAUGUCCAAUUCUUAUAGCUUUGGUCAAUUCCAUUAAAGUAUAAGUGAUCCCUUAUAAUUCCAACCCCAAACAACUUCAAAUUAACACAUUUAACACAUGGACAACGGAUAUGUGUUGUAGUUAGAAGAUUUUCUACAGCAAAGUUCAAAAAUGCUUCCACCCCAAACUCAUAUGCCUUCGAUCUUCUAUCCGAGUGCAUCCAUGACUUAUUCAUCUCCGACACUAUAACCUAUUAUCUAUAAUAAAGUGAAAAUACAGGCAAUGACCAUCACUAUAGCAGAUUAUACAAAGAUCUAAUAGCAAGUAAUACAUAACAGAGACGACGGGUUUUAAACAAAAACAGACGUAUUUGGCAUAUAUAGACGACGGAUUUUCAACAGACGUCGUCUAAUAUAAGUAAUACAAACGACGGUUUAUGAAAAAACCGUCGUGUAUAAGUAAUACAACGACGGUUUUUUCAUAAACCGUCGUGUAAUCGUCGUCGUAUGCCUAAAAAGGCGUCGUGUCUCAGUUUAUUUUCAAGAACCCAAAACCCAUUAAGAACACAACAUAUAUAUGAAACCAAGCAAGAAACCAACAUAUACAUGAAGCCAAGCAUGAAAACAAUAAAUCCAUUCCCAAUUCAACAUAACAUAGGGUGAUUAAAAGAUCCGACAAAAUUAAAACCAUUCCCAAUUCAACAUAACAGAUAAUGUAAUCCAUGAACCCAUUAAACAGAAAAUCCAUGAACCUAUACCUAUAAGCACAUUAUUAACAGAUCGCAAAGCAUAUACCUAAAACCCUUUAACAAAACAACCUAAUAUCAUUCAAUGAAUUUACAAAGGGAAGAUAGGGUUUGUACUUACAGGUUGGACGAGCUCACAGAUUCGACGAAGCCUGGAGAGUGCAACUUUUAAUUAGAGCAGAAGUGAGAGAGCGAAUGUUAUGUUGCGCGAAAUCUGAAAAUUUUAGGGUUCAGGGUUAGAAGUAUAAGAAUAAGAGCCAAAUAUAAAAAAAUUUAGGGCGCGCGAAAAUUUUUAGAGCGCGCGCUCUUUAAAACGUCGAAAGAAAAACCAUGGCGAAAGUUCUACAAGAACCGACGUAAAUGUAAUAUUCCACGACGAAAACACUUAACGUAACGCCGUUUAUUUUGACGUUCAUUUUUCGGAUUAAUUUUAAAUUUAUUUUGAAUAUUUUGAUAUAAAGACGACUGAAAAACCACGUCGAAGUUAAGAAAUUGAAAACGUUGUAAAUUAUAAUAGACGACUUACAUAUUAAAAUGACGUCGUUUAAAGUGGAAACCAUGUCGGAUAUUUUACUGCACGACGUAACAUAUGUAUUCCACGACUCAACCACCGUCGUUAACAAUUAAUACCCUAAACCCUUAAAACUAAAUUAUAUAAUUUUAAAAAUUAAGUUUAUAAAAGGGUUUAUGGUUUUACAGCCUAAUAUAUACCCUAUACUACCCAAAAAUUAUACUUUAAAAAUAAACCCCAAUAAAUAACAACCCUAAUCUCUAAACCCUAGACUCUAAACCCUAAACCAUAAAACUAGAAGUGAUUUUAUGACUCAUCAAAACAAUUUUGUUUUGGAUGGUCAUUUUAAAUUUUUUUUAUUCAAAAUGAAUUUUUUCAAGGUUUAGGGGGAAGAAAAUAUAUCAAUGACUUCAUAGGAGUUGACUUUUCAUUUUUCUGAUUUAUUUUAAAUUUAUUUUGAAUAUUUUGAUAUAAAAAUAAUAAAAUAUUCUUAUCACAAUAACAAACCACGUCGGUGUUAAUAAAUUUUAGACGUUGUAAAUUGUAAUAGACGACUAAGUUGUUAAAAUGACGUCGUUUAAAUGAGAAACCAUGGCGGAUAUUUAACUAUCCGACAUAAAAUAUAUAUUCCACGACUUAACCGCUGUCGUUACAAAGUACUACCCUGAACCCUUAAGAAAUUGAAGACGUUGUAAACCAUAAACGACUCAAUUGUUCAAAGAACGUCGUCUAAAUAUCCUUUUACGUCGGAUUUGGUUAAAACGAAACAACAAAAAACGACGGCUUUUGACUUUAUUACGUCGUUGGAAAAGUAUUACACGUCGGUUACGCAAUUUGUAUGUUUGUUUUUUUUUUUAAUUUAAGAAAACCUCAACAAAUUUUUACAUUAUAUAUUAUAGACAAAAUUUGUACAUUAUACAUAAAUAUCAAGUGUUCAAUAAUUCCCCUAUUCCAGGUGAAGGCAAACAAACUCUGACCAUUCAUUCCGGACUUCAUCAAUUGCUUCUUGGGGGUAUGGCGCUUCCUGUUUUCCCUUGGCAUACUGCAUAAACAAUGACUAUUAGGGUUUAUAAAUAAAAAGAAAUUCAAUCACAGACGACGAUAUUUUUCAUAACCGACGUACUAUAUCUAUUCAACGACGGUAAUUUUACAUGACCGUCGUUGAUAAUACAAAAAACGACGUAAAAUGUAUGAAGGUAAUUUCUUCUUACCUUCUUCUCAAACCCCAAGGAAGGAUCCAUGAUGAUGUCCCUCAUGAAGCGCAUCACAUAAUACCCGCAUUCGACAUUGCUGGGUUGCUUUGGUGUCCCUGACAGAGUUUUCCAAAUGGCUGCCUUACGGCCUGGUCUGGCUAUGUGAGAAUUAUAAAUUUUUAUAGCACUGUUCACAAUGUUUUUGGCCUCUUCAUCGACCACACGAUUUCCUGGCAGAGGAUCCAGAAAAUAGACGGUUUCUCUCUUUGCUCUUACAAUCAGCAAGAUCCAAUGACGGCUGCACAAAAUUAAUAUAAAAACGACGGUUAUUUACAAUAACGACGUAUUAUAAUGUUUCACACGACGAAAUAAAGUAGCAAUCGACGACAUUUUACAUUUAUCACGACGAUAAAUAACUACCGACGUGGUUAGUAGUUUCAAACGACUCAAUAAAAUAAAACACCGACGUGGUUAGUUUAUACGCUGUAAUUUAUUGAAAAUCAUAAAAACAAAAUCCUGUUAAGGAGACUAACCCUGGAUUGUAAGGCAUCAGGAAAAUCUGUUCACCGUCAGUCUUUUGAAGUCGAGCUGCUAGUAAGCGUGAUCUGUCAGCUAUUGUGCCAGAGUUGGCACUAACUGUAGCAAGGUCGAUAAAGCCAACCAUAUUGCACAUAUUUGCUCGUUUCAAAACAUCGUGCAAGUGCCUAAAUAUAUAAAAUAAUAUAAACAAGUCAGCACAAAAAAACACACGACGGUUAUGUAUAACAAAACGACGUAUUAUAAAAUUUCACACGACGUACUGAAAUAGACAACGACGUUAUAAUAUAUUUAUCACGACGGUAAAUACUAACGACGUGGUUAGUUAGUUAAGACGACGUAAUAAAUAAACCAACGACGUAUUAUUUUAGAAUGACAAACCUCAUAUAUACAAAAAAACACGACGGUUAUGUAUAACAAAACGACGUAUUAUAAAAUUUCACACGACAUACUGAAAUAGACAACGACGUUAUGAUAUACUAACGACGUGGUUAGUUGGUUAAGACGACGCAAUAAAUACACCAACGACGUAUUAUUUUAGAAUGACAAACCUCAUAUAUACAGCAAUGACAGUGGCUCCUAUUUCUUCCAUGCCUGCAAAUUGUGUAAUAUCUUCAGGCAGGAGGAAGGUAUCGCGCUCUAGACCAAACACCUCCUUAUCAAUUGUAAAGUGCAGGGUCUUAUCCUGAGGCACGAGUGUCGUUUCCACAUAACGACAAAGGGAGUUUAAAGAAGAUGGCGCCUCCAUAUUUGAAUAAUCAACAACUUUAAUAACCUGUUUAAAGAAAUAUAAAAAAUGACGUGGUAAUUCAAUAAAAACGACGGUUUAAGGAAUAAAACGUCGUCUGAAAAGAAUUUAAACGUCGUCUGAAGAAACCGUCGUGGUGAAUAAUUUAUUACGUCUUAAAAAAAAUUCCGCCGUCUAAGUUGUAAACAAACGACGGUUUAAAGAAAAAUAUCGACGUCUGGAAUUUUGAAAAACAAAUAAAAAAGGCAAAGUUAUGUGAACAUACCUGGUCGUCAUCUUCUUUCUCCUUUUCAUCAUGUUUUUCUUCUGUCUUCCCUUCAUCUAUUACGUCGAGAAUGACUAACUCCGUCGUCUAAAAACCACAAAGUUUUAAAAUAACGACGUUUAAUGGCGUGUAAAACAAGUAAACUAAAUACGACGUGGUAUUGAAAUACAAACGACGGUUUAUGUUUAAAAUCGUGGUGGUAUGUAUUUCAAACGACGGUUUUAUUAAUAAUAACGACAUCUAAUGGUUUUUAAAAAAACAGAGAAUUCAAAGUUCAGAUAUGUUACCUUUUCUUCCUGAUGUUUCCCAUUUUUGGCAGUAUCAUCCUCAAAAUGCUGGGAUCUCACAUCACCUCCAGAGCAGCUUGCUUUGUCAGACAUUGGAUUUUUGGGACUUUGGCUAAUUCUGGGUUUAAGCAUGCUUGGAUCAAAAUUGGGAAUUAAUUGGGAAAGCUGACUCAGGAAAUGCUCCCUCUCAGCCUCUACCAAUUGUUUCGUUCUAGCCUCCAUCCUUAAAGCCUCUUCCCUUGCCUUAGCUUCCAUCUUUUUAGUCUCUUCUUGAAGGAGAACUCUUAAACUGUCCUUCAAACGGUCGUCAAAGCUCACUCUCUGUGGUUUGGGUAAAUUGAAAUAUUGCCUUGGUGAGAUCCCAGCACCUACUCCUCUCACUCUGCCUGGAUGCUCGGGGCCCAAAGCCAUGGUCAGCACAUCAUUGCUGCCAGAAACAGUGACUUUGCCUUCCGAGACUUGUUUUUGCAAUUCAUCCUAAAACAAAGAUAUAUAAAAAAGUAAGAACAAAAACACACGACGGUUAUUUAUAUACAAACGACGUAUUAUAUAAUUUCACACGACGCAAUAACAUAUAAAUCGACGUUAUUAUAAUUUAUCACGACGGUAGUUUUUAAACCGACGUGGUUAGUUUUUAAAACGACGAAAUGAAUAAACCACCGACGUCUUAUGCUUUAUUUACAGAUAACAGAGGGAUGAUUCAAUAUUCACACCUUUAACGACCUUGUUUAAAAUAUUUCGACGUAGUAAUUCAAUACAAACGACGCGAAAAUGAACCACCGACAUCUUAUGCUAUAAUUACAGAAAACAGAGUAGUGAUUCCUGAUUUAGACCUUUAACGAUGUGGUAAUAUCAUUCACACGACGCAAAAUAUAACAUAAGACGUAAUAAGAAUUAUUCACAGUUUAAUAAAAAUUUAAAACAGAGUGAGUAGGCUUACAAUUAAUUUUGCUUUCUCUGCCACCUUUGGAUCCGGGAUGUUACCAUGUUUGUCCUGUCUAGCUCUCUUCCAUAAGGUAGAUCGAUCAAUUUCUACCCCAGGCAUGGUUUCCUCCAAUUGAUCCUCCAAACCAGCAUAUCCUUUUCGAGACAAUCGAUGAUUGUACUCAAGUUUCUCCCUAAUCUGUGCAUGUUGAGAAUGCACAGACUCAAAAUCUUUGGAUAACCUUGAAGCUACAAAGGCAUCCCAUUGUGCUUUCUCUAUGAAUUUAUAUAUUUCAGGGGGUUGGCUUAAUCUCUCCCUGUCAUUAGUGUAUGGAAGGAUAUAUUGCCUCGUUAGUGUAGACUUGAAAUCCUUCCAUUUCUUGGCAGCAGAAGCUAACACAGAGCUCUUGCCCCCUUGACCUACCACAAAAGCAAUGUCAACUGCUUCCCAAAUCUGCUCCUUUAUAUCCUUGGAGAUUUGAGCCUAUUUCAUGUCCACAAGUGGAACUCUGGAGCGUGCCAACACACCAAUGUAGGACUGCAUCUCACUAUGUGCUUGGCCAAUUCCUUUCCCCCUUUUAUUGUACUCAACAAUUGGCCUCAGUUUCUGAAGUUUUCUCUUCACAACAUGAGGCAUUGUGCUCAUACCUCGACCAGACUUUGAAUCAUCAGAGAUUGUUGUCGUGCUGGUUCGUUCUGUCUCAGCAGAUGAUGAAGCAAACUUCAUCUUCUUCGAAGGCUUCACUUGAGGAGGUACCAUUCCAAGGUCCUUACCUCCAUUUUUCUUGGAGCCAGAAUCCUUACUUUGGUCUUAGUGAGAAACCAUUUUUACAGACAAAACUGCAAGUGAAAAUAUUUCAGGAAAAGAUUAAGAACACAAACGACAGUUAUUAAUAAAAUACGACGUAUGAUAUGAUUUUAAACGACGCAAUGAAAUAAUCUCAGACGUAAUAAAUGUUUAAAACCAAGGUAAUUAAACAACGACGAAAUAAUUAACUAUAAACGACGUGAUAAUUAACUAUAAACGACGAAAUAUUUAUAUAACGUCGUGGUAUUGAUGUUCACACGACGUCAGUCGUAAUAUACCGUCGUCUAUAUAAGGAUCCAAAACCCUUCUUUCUUUCUCUGUGAAUGUUUGAUUGCAGAUUUGAUUUUUCUGAACCAUGGUUUUUGUUUUCUAAUUUGAUAAAAUACAAGGCCAAGAAAGAAAGUUUUGGAAUCUUAUAUAGACGACGGUAUUUUAAUAUGACGUCGUGGUAUUAACAUUCACACGACGUAAAACAAUAAGAUACUGUCGUCUAUAUUAGAUACCAACCCUACUUUCUUUUUCUUUAUAUUUUAUCAAAUUAGGGAAAAACAAAAACCAUUGUUCAGAGAAAUCAAACCUGCAAUUAAACAAGCAAAUAAAAAAAAGACUAUAAUUUUAAAAACAACUUUGUCAAUUUUCAGACGACGCUAGAACGACUGACGAACCGUCGUGGUCUACAUAUUUAACCACGUACAUAAGAAGCUACCGUCGUCUUAUUUAGUUGAGGUAGUUGUCUUCAAAGUUGGAAACUUUCCCUCUUUGUCUGUAUAUUUUAUUGAACUUGGAAAGAAGUAAAAUGAUUUUGGCCAGAAAAAAGGUAAAAAGAUUUUUCAAACAAAAAACGUAUGAGCAUGCAAAACAACAACCAAAAUAGUGAAAAUGAAAGCUUACCUUUUGCGUGCAAUGAAAGCAAGAGGAAGAUUAUGUUUAAGUUCAGAGACGACGAAGAAGAAGAGAGGAAGACGAUGAGAUACUCUGACAGUGCUCUGACAAGGAAAAAAGUCUAAAAGUUUUCUCUGGGAGAUUGAACUUUUUAAUCGGGUUUGAAAACGGCGCAUGUGUAUGUCAGGUAGACGAAAAGUUGCUUACAUAUAAAACCAUUUCAAAAAAAUAAUACGGCGGUUACAUAUAACUACGACGUAUAAAUUACAAAAUACGACGGUACAUUUAACUUCGGACGUGGUAAAUAAAUACGACAGUAGUGUUGUAGGUACCGUCGUAGUAAACUCAAAAAUUAAAGUACAUAAGUAAUAACUCGCGUCAUGGUAGAUUAUUUAACACGUCGUUUUUAUUAAUUUACCGACGUGGAUUUCUGUAAUAUACGUCGAUAAUACCGACGUUGAUUUUACAAUUUAAACGGCGGUUUUUUUGUAAGGACCGCCGUUGGUUUUAAAAAUUUAUUCUAUAAAUUUGUCGCUUUCAUUCAUUUUCGGUUUACAUUUAAGGUUCCAAGUUCUUCCUCUCUCAGUCUCUCACGUCUCAAAGACAAUAAUUUGGAUGUCUUUCUCAAAGAGAAAUUGAGCUUACUCGCAUCAAAUAUAUGUCCACAAGAAGAAGCUUGUCAACUAGCCUUCUCACUUCCUUGAUCAAGCCUGAUAGGACACUUAGUGCUUCUGAAUACUCCUUGCUUUCCAUCAAAAGAGAUGCAAGCCUGGCCUCCACUCGCUGUCGAAGGAAAGUUCGCUUCUCAGGGAAAUCUUCUUGAUUUUCUUGGCUAAGAAGAUCCGUCAGAUUUGUGAUAGCCUCUUCCUUUAUCCGUAGAGCUUCAGAAGAAGAAGAUGGGUUUCAAGAAUGCGAUAAAGAAUAGAAAUGGCUUCAGAUGGCCUCUAAAGCAUGAGCAAUCGAAUCAGUAGUUGUUGGGAGAUAUGAUGAAGACAUUGUCAAUGCUUUGAACUAUACAAGUCCUGCAGAAAGAUAAAGGACCAAACUGUUAAAGAAACUGAAACAAUGGCGGUUUUCUGUUCUACCGUCGUCUUUUCUCGUCGUCUAUAUUAAGGUAAGAUGGCGGUAGAUUUAUAAUUACCGACGUAGAUUAUUUUGUUAAACGUCGUUAAGUGUACUACAACCGACGUGGAUUUUAUUUUUAAAUUAUAAAUAGAGUUUUUUUUCCCCUAUUCUUUCAGUUUUAGUUUUCAAUUACAAAGCGUGAUAAAUAGAUUUUUCUUUCCCGAGGAAAUUUAAAAUGAGGGAAAUUAAUGUUCUAGAAUUUGUAAACUAACACGACGCAAUAUUUGCAAAUCUGUGUCAUCUGUUAAGAUUAUGAUGUGGAACAGAGUUCCAUCUGGUAAGAUUUCGUAACCCUUGGGAUCUCAGACAAAUCUGAUUAUGUCGGCGGUUUUCUAUAUAAAUCGUCGUGGUUAUUUCAAUUCUUGUCAUUAAGUAGAUCUACCGACGUAGGAUAAGAAAAUCAAAGAAAAAAAUUGUUAACAAAAAUUCUUAUUAAGACGACGGUUAAAAUUAAAGGUACGACGUAUAAAAUGAAUAAAUACGACGUUAAAUUUUAUUGUACGAUUUAAAGAUAACGUCGUAGAACUAUAAGAGAAUGACGUCGAUAUAUUUAUAUUUUCCGUCGUUGUACAUUAAUUUAAUACGGCGAUAUUUUGUAUUUUAAAGCCGUGGAUUUGUUUGUAAUUAUACGGCGUCUUAUACGAAAACCUCGUCGUGUUAUUUUAUGAGUAAAAACGGCAGUUUUUAUUGAAAUCGUCGUCUUUACUUUCUACGUCGGUCGAUUCAUAACUUCUGCCGUUCUUUGUUGGCAUUGAUUUUACACUGCGAAAAUCUGUUUCAAAUAGACGUCGGUUGUUUAAUUAUGUACGUUGUUGUUUUUGAACAGCCAUUUGAAUCUCCAUUUUUUAGUUGUCUAAGGUUGUAUUACACGACGGUGUUUUUAGAACCGUCGUCUUUUUAAAAACCACGACGGUUUUCACUUAGACCGUCGUUGUUUUCUGGUCGUCUUUUUCACUUUUUGUAGUAGUGGCAUAUGAUGACGACACUCACAACAAGAUCAUGGCAUUUGACUCGAGUUGUAUGAUUCUCUCUUAAGUGUAUGUAAAGUGUAUGACAUUUACAUCAAUACGUGUAUUCUUAAUUGAAAUCUACUAUGGCAUUUACUCAAAUUAACAAUCAAGAAUCCAUUAAGAUCAAAGAGAAUAUGAGUGUCACAAAAACCCUAAAACAUGGCAUUUGUUAUUAGGAAUUCAAGAAUCGAUUUCUCAUAACUAGUUCUUAACCCAAUUAUUCGUUGCAAAUAAGAACACAUUCAAUAUGGCAAUUGACCUAUGUUCUACAACAAUUUAAUUCCAAUACAUGCUUCUAAGUUAGCUACUCAAAGAAACAAAAUAUCAGAAUUCACAUAACAUAUAGAAACCGAAAACAUCACGCUUGUAGAAACUAAAAAUCCAUUAACCUUGUUUAUAAAAUUGAAAUCAUGUUUAGGGCUUCAAGAUUAAGCCCUAACUAACAAGAAAUUAGUUACUCAUGGUCUUGGAUGAACUCAAAAAUAAAUACAUAAGAACUGAAAAUUAAAGAAGGAAGGAAAAGAAAGAACUCGUUCGCAGCUUUCUCCUCUUGCGCUGUUGAUCUCUUUAGGACGUGAAUCCUUUUUAUCAGCCUUGCCUCGUCUUUUAUAUCACUUAUAUCAGAGUUCUAAACCCUAAAAUUGACUGAAAAGUCGUCCAAGAAGUCUUGGUAAACAAGGAAUCCAAAUAGGAAAGUAAAAAUCACAAUUCCUAACUCCACUGGGAAAUACAGCUCAGCCCAAUGUUCACACGAUUUUGGGAUCUUCGACCUUGUAGAAAAAUCAUUAAAAAUAUAUUUUAGAAAGAUAAAUGUCUUAUCUUUCCAACCAUAUAUAGCACGUAACUUGAAAAAUUCGGAAAGGCUUCCGUUUCUUCACAUUCACGUAGCAUGUACGAAACUGUCCUGUCUGCACGUGGGCUAACUUUACUUGUAAUACUGUACCAAUUGGCUCGGUAGAAAAUUCUAGAAAAAUCAUAGAUUGAACUUCAAGAUGUUAGCUUUCAUCUCCAAUCAGGGGCGGCCUUGGGGAGGUGCAAGUGGCGCCACCGCACAGGGCCCCCGAAAAAAAAAAUAUUUAUAUUAUAUAUAUAUAUUAAUAUUAUAUGAAUCGUAUAUAUAAUAUAGCGUCUGGAUAUUUGCACAACAGCGUGUUCAGGGGAGUUGGAUGGAGCACAUCUCUCUUUGGCAAAAGGGCCCGAGUUCGAUGCUCCUUGAUGUCGUUCUACUGGCUAGCCUUUUGUGAUAUUAUUUUUGCAUUCAAACUUUACAUAAUUAUUGAACCAUUGGAUUAAUAUGCAACGAUGGGUGACCACAAUCUCUUGGACUCCUGUGGUCCAUGAGAUCGGGACUGAUAUUACAUGACUUAUUUUAUUAAAUUAUUAUCAUGUUGAUGAUUGGUUGUAUGAGAAUAUAGUUUGUAGAAAUAUUUAUCUAUUUCUUGUUGGGGUUUUCUUCCAGGUUAUAGGGUUUUGGAAUUUUUCUUUGUAAUCUAAACAUGCCACCUACUAGAAAAUACGUUUAUGGAUAUACAAAACGGCUUAGAAAAAGAAAAUUCGAGGAAUUGACUCAAUCUCAAAGAGGAGCUCUUGAUAGAUUCAUUGUUAGAGAAUCACAUGCUACAAUUGAUGAAAAUAUUUAAAUUUUUAUGAAUUUAAUUUCUGAUUUUCAUUGCAUAUUUAUUGAUGGUGAAUUUUAGUUAUAAAAAAAAAUUGUUUAUGACAUUAAGUUAUGGCAAAUUUUUAUAGUAUUUUCGUAUUAGAUUAUGCAAGGCCCCAAUUUAAGUUUCGCACAGGGCCCUCAAAAUCUCAGGGACGGCCCUGUCUCCAAUUGGUCUUGUGCUAAAAUUCCUCCGAAAAGUUGAUUUUCCCUUAAAAACCUUCUAAGAGUGCAGAAAAGCUGAAAAUCAGAAAAAUAAAGUAAUAAGCCAUUUUUAAAUCUAAUUCUCUUACAAAACCAAAGUAAAAAGAGUACAUAAAUGAGUAUAUUUAUGGACUUAUCAACGUCUUCUUCGUUGGACUUGGGGUUGUUUUCCUUAUAUGUCCCCUAUAUAUAUAUAUGGCCUUUAGUUGAGCCCACAAAUACCUUCAGUUAGUUUUUGGGUUUAGGGGCCUACAGAACCUGCACUAAACAAUAAAAGAAAAUACCUAAUUAGUUUAGUACGAAUUUAUAAUGAAGGCUUUAUUAGGUGAAGUUUUAUUUCUUAAUCGUUAGAUCAAAUUGGUUAGCAUCUGAAGUCGCCCAAAGAUUUGAGAGGGAUUCCACAAACAUAUAAUAUAAAGAAAGAAAGCAAUAGUAGGAGAUGAACCAGUACAAAAAACAAUAUAUAAAUAGUACAUAAUAAUUCCAUAACCUUGUCACAAACGCACUCACAAAUGCUUUCCAUAAACCUUGCCCUAACAUAUAACAAAUAAAGGCAACAUUGCAUAUGAUGCAACCAUGUCCAAAUCUGAUACGUGAUAAAAAAAAAAGGACAUGGCAGCAACAUAUGACUGAAGUAGAUGGGCUCUUUGCAUCUCGUGUUAUCGUAAUUAAAGACAUCAAAAUAUUAAGGUUGAAAUCUUCUAUAGUAGCAAGCAUUAAAAUAGGUUUGAAGCAGAGUUUAAAGAAAAUUCCAAUUCCACUGAUUUGCCUCUGCUCAAAGACGAGAACCAAAAUGGUUACUUCCCUUGCUGAGUAUAUUUGUUAACGUCGGAAACGGUAAUAGAUGACCAAUCAAACCCAAGUACGACGAGUUUUGCAUAGGAUCAGAAGUAGUUGAAUCCAGCUUGCAUCACACGCUUCUUUGACUCCAUUGCAUUAGAUGAGUUUUUGUAUUUUUGAACAGCUACACUCCGAAGUCGUUUGUGUCUACGCUUCAUGCGCUGCAACUUCGCCCUAUCCAGAUUGGCCUGCCUUUUGUCAUCUUCAAUUUGGCCUUCAACAAAUUCCAAACGUGCCCUUGCCCUUUGGAUUUCAUCACCAAGUUGAAGAUGCCUCUCCUUCCAAAAAGCAAGAACUCUUUCAGACUCAAAACUUCCAACAAAAUGGUCAUUCUAUCUAGGAAUGUGACAUUGCUUGUCUGGUGACUCACCUGCGUUUCAAAGGCGGUCUUUGUUUGGAGGGGUGUUUAUUAUGCUCACAUCAAACUUGGUUAGUAAAUCCAUUCUAUGGGGGGAGUGAGUUUCUGUGGAGGAGAGAGUUUCAGUAGAUGGAGACAGAUUCGGUGGAGGAGUGAGAUUUUUGUGGAGGGAGAAUUUCUAUGAAAUGGGUGAUAGUAAUACCAAUAAAAGGGUUCCCGCCAAAAAGUAUUUGGUUGACAAUGUAUAAAUUAAUUUUUGGUCUGAUACAAUCUAAGUUUAAUCCUAACUAGUUUGGUUAGUUUGGUUGAAUUCACUAACUAGAUGUCACUUCCAUUGAGUUUCUUUCAACCACUAUCAGUGGUGUAAGGAGAGUGUGAGGUUGACAUGCUUGAAAAGCAAAACCUAACACCUCUUUUUUUUAAAAUUGAAAGAAAGUACAUAUGUUGACUACACACAAGCUUUGGUAUGUUGGUCUAUAAAGCUAUGUUCCCUUUCUCAAACGAAAUUGCAUAUGCAAUCCUCGUCCUCCCAAAACAAAUAGAAUUAUUCAAGCAUGUCAACCUCUUCAGGCGCCAACAACACAAUCAAAGAUGACAAAUUGGAGUCGCAGGUUCUAUUUCCACAUUGUACUCGCCGACCCCUUCCAUUUUCAACAUCAUUUGGGAGUGAGGGGGACUCCGAUGAUCCAUUAGAGCUAAUACAUGCAGUCAAUAGCAAGCUGGAUUAUAAUUCCAGACUGAUCAAUUCAUGGCGCGAGAAAUAUGUUGAAGACGAAGCCAUUUUGGCUGAUCUUAACAUUAGAGUGAACAAAGCGUUCUCCCAAAAGAACAAGUACUUGAAGCUGAGUCAUAAAAGGAAGCUGAAAGCUGAGGAGUUAGAUACAGUAAUGAAUGAUGAAAUUAAAGGUUGUUUGAUGAAUCAUAUGCGAUGCGAAGAGCACCACAGUGAACUGGAGUUGGCAUUCAACGAAGGAUUCGAAAAAUUACGAGCAUUUGCAGCAACUACUCAUACAAGUUAUAAUUGGGACUAUGUGUCCCCUGAUGUUGUGAGAGAGAUACUAGACGAUGGUGGUGACAUGAAUGAGCAUAAGCACGUCAAAGCUGCUUGGAAGAAGCCGACCGAUACGACUAAGUGAUUGCGGCUACAGUUGUUCAGUUGGUUGAGAGUGAUCGUGGUAUUGCACAAAUUAGAAGUAUAUUCCCAUAAUGUCAUUAUCUAAUUUAAAAUAACACAAAUAUCAGUUUCAUUUGCUUCAUAUUGUAACACCCCGACCCCAAAUUUCCCCAAAAUUUACCCUCAUUUAAUUAAUUAAUUAUUUAAGGGUAUUUUAGUCAUAUUUUUAACCGGAGAGAGUUUGGGACCAUGACUUGUAUUUUUGGAUAGGUCGUACUGAGACGAGUUCAUAGACACGUAGUGGGCUCGAAUCAGAGUUGUAACGAGAGAGAUAUGGUCAAAAGAAACCCAGUGGCACAAUCGUAAAUAUUUCAAAAUGGGAUUUUUAUAAAAAUCUGGUUUUUCUCUCUCUCUCUCUCUCUCUCUCUCUCUCUCCCGCGACUUCUCUCUCUCUCCCGUCGGCUCUCUCUCUUUCUCUCCUUGUAUCUCCGGCCACCGACCACGGCUGUGGGCGGGGCCGGUACCAAACUGACCGGGACGACGUCCCCUUCCUUCCCCGACCAUUCCCCGCCGGCAACGCGGCCGUUGCUGGCCGGAAAAUGCAGAAAACCGCCGGGAGGUCGUCGAAACUUCAACGCCGUCGAUCUCCCUCCUCCGGCCACCAUUUUCGUCGACCCAGGUAUGGAUCUUGAACCUCUCGAGCUGUUCUAGCUGUUUGUUGGUUGGGUUUUGAUCGAUUCGAUCUCUAGAUCACUCGAUUUUCGAAUUGAAAAUUGGCCGAAACUUCGGCCGCCGUGAUCGGCCAUUUUCGGCCACUUUUUGUGGUAGGUCCAAGAACAAAAGUGGCUCCAAAUAGGGUGUUAUACCUAGGGUAGAAGUUUGGAGCCGAGAUGUUGAGAUUUUCCGGCGAAGCGUUAUCGCUUUGGGCACCCACGCGUGCGGCGGCGCGUGGGCACUGUAGAAAAAGUAGAUGUGUUCCGAUGAGAUCCUUAGGUUGUCACGAGUGCGUAGGAUUUGGCGGAUCUCAAUUCGGACGUCGUUUGACUAUCGAACGGAUAAUCGCAUAUUAUGCGUUAUCCGGGUUCGAUAGGUUGAGACCGUCGGAUGGUCCCAAAUUUAAUAUAUGUUGAUCUAGGUAUUUCUAGGAUCGUGUAGGAUUUCACGGAUCGUGAAUCGGAGCCCCGGAUGUUCCGAAUAAUAAUUUAAAGUUUAUAUUUUAUAUUAACCAUCAGAUUAUGCGAUCGUGAGAAAUCCGACCGUCUGAUCUGAACCAAACUGGCAGGAAAAGUGUCCUGUACCUGGUAGAACCCAUAGGGACCUUCGGAUCGGAAAUUGGAGGUCGUGGGUUCCGCAAGUCUGUUUGACCAGGGUUAGAGUAGUUUGACCCUUGGUUGACCGUGAGUCUCCCGGAGUAAUCUCACCCUUCCAGGGGGAAUUAUCGGGAGCUAGACUAUUGUGGAGGGUUACACAAUAUUAGAAUUAUUUAUAUAAUUAUAUAUGGUUGUACAAGGGUACAACAAAGUCUAGAAUGUCAGUUUGGAGUGCUAUACGCACUACUUUAGGUACCUCCUCGGAUUUUGGAUUCGCUACAAGCACCACCAAGUGAAAGUUAGGUCCCGCGUGGCGUAGGUUAUCCGGCGUUGGGACAGACCCCAUACGUGGCGUUGGUUGUACCGGCGUAUGGGGAGAUUUGCAAUAUGAUGUUCAGGUCUCACGUGGCGUAGGUUAUCCGGCGUUGAGACAGGCCCCGUACGUGGCGUUGGUUGUACCAGCGUACGGGGAGAUUAUGUGAUAUGAUGUUGAGGUCCCGCGUGGCGUAGGUUAUCCGGCGUUGGGACAGGCCCCAUACGUGGCGUUGGUUGUACCGGCGUAUGGGGAGUUAUAUGAUAUGAUAGUAUGGCAUGGUCGCACAUGGCGUAGGUUAUCCGGCGUGUUGACAGGCCCCAUACGUGGCGUUGGUUGUAUCGGCGUAUGGGGAGAAUAUGUGAAAUGCAGAGAAAGGAAAUAAGGUAUCACCGAUGUGUGGAAUUGGGUUUUAGGGAAGAACUACGUGUGGCUUGAUCCCUCAAGGAGGGUACGUAGGCAGCCUAAGGUUAUUGGGUGCAGCCGCAGACUAAAUAUUAGUCAUAUUUGGUAUUUGAAUUGUAUGGUAGUUGUUUGAGAAUUAUUGGAAGGCCAAAGGCCAUUUAUGAGAAUUUGCAUGAAAUUAUAUUGUGCAUGCUGCUAGUUGUGGAUAUUAAAUGUGUUUUUAUGCAGGUUGAAAUUUUGGGAAAUGUCCAAUUUAUAGGGGAGACUCUGCUGAAAUUUCGGCAGGAAGUCUCGGUUUUUAGUAAGUGGGCCUGGCAUCGGGGUGAUGUCAGGAAUUCCAAAGGGUUCGUCUCGGGUUUUGAGAAAAUUCGGGGCGGGUCCUUAAACAUAUAUAAUUAUUGGGACUAUGUAUUGCAAGUCAUCAUGUGUUCCUUCUGUCUAACAUUAUAUUUUGCAAAUAUCAAAAUAUUAUUCAAUAAGCAGUCAAUAUCACAGCAAGUUGGGAAUUAGUAAAGCCCCAUUAUCAUGUCCGUUCACAUUAAAGAGCUGGCGUACUUUUUCUCAAAAAACUGACACGUGAGUCAUAAGUAACAUAACAUGUGCUAUACAUUGUUUAGUGAAUGGUUUAUGGUUUAUUUAUAUAUAAUAAAAUUCCAAAUAUUGCUGAAUAUUUGUUUUUUCUAUAUCCCUGGGAACAUGAGUGACCAUAAGCAUGUAAGACCUGUUAAGAAGAAGCUGACUAAUACGACCGAGUGAUUGUGGCUACCGUUGUUUAGUUGGUUGGGGAGAUCGUGGUAUUGCUAAGAGGGAGCACAUAAUGUGCUUUGCAAUCAAAUUUUCUUUUGUGUGUGGAAUUAUGAGUAGUUCAAAUGUUAGUGUACCCUUUAAUAUUCUUCAACCGUUUGAAAUGUGAUUAGCUGCAAUGUACUUUUUUACACGCUGCUUUCUAAUCACUCUGUUCCAACAAAGUGCUUUAAGUAUCCUUCAGUUACAAAUGUUUACAAAAUCGUGCAUCUAAUAACCAGUCGAGCUCAGAUCUUAAUAACAAGUAAAACACUAGAACAUAACAUUCGGAAAAAGUGGGUGCUGCUGGAAAUCAUUACUGGUAAUGGAAGCAAGAGCUGGCUGCUGGAAAUGCUGCAUUAGCCUGUGAUAUAAUCAAUGAAUCUCUGUUAAAACAUAAUUCACCAUAAACUACCCAUUUUACAUGGUAAAAGUCAUUGCUUCUUCACAUAACUCAAAAUUUGAUACUUUAUCAAAUGUCUAUGAAAAUUUCUAAAUAGGGGAAAGACGUAAAAUUAACAUGUGUCCAAAUUUCAUGCAAGAAUGAAACCAAGCAAAUUUUUAUUUCAAUUAUCAGUGGACAUAGUAAGAACUCAUCGGUGGACAUGAACAAAAAAAUAAUAAUAUUAAAAACUGAAUCUAGAAAACUUCACCUGAUCAUUAGUCUUCAUAACAACCGAAUUUCGUCUAAUAGAAACAUAAAUCAUUCAGUUGGUCCGUGCAUCGUGUCAAAUUCAUAGAAUAAUGGGUCACUACGAUCUAUUGGAGUUGAUUCGUCAUUGUUCGACGGUGAUGUCCUGCAUAGACAUCAAACACAAGCACAGAAAAAAUUUACCUAUUCAAAUUUUAGGUGUUAUUAUAAAUAGUGUUAGCAUCUUACGGUGUGUUCAAAUUUCUUGCGCAUUGUCUUCUAUCAUGACCAAUGUGUCCACACUCCAGACAGUGUCUAAUCCCUCGCUUCAUUGCCUUUUCUUUUGCUCCCGUUACUCGUUUCGACCUUCUUUUGCACCUCACUCUCUUAGGGUCUUUCAUAUAUUGUGUUUGAGAGCUGGACCCUCCAACUUCGUUAUUACUUGGUCCAUCCUUCAACAACUUCAACUUCACCUGCAAACUUUUUAGAGUCUCUGACAGUAGCUCACAUCCUUCUUCACUCAUUAAUGCACCCUCAACCACAUCUUAAGCAAGUCGAGACAUUGUACUCCGCCUUAUUAAAAGACCAGGAUCUGCAGAGUCUUUAAUUUCGUUGCCAUUUGCAUCUGACACCAAUUCAGAUUUUGCAGUUUUCUUCCACCUCUUUAAAAUAUAUUUAUCGGGCAUAUAUUCAAUCUGGUCCCUUCUGAACAAUGCUAGGAUGUGCUUGCAAAUAAUUCCAACAAAUUCAAAUCUUUUGCACCCACACGAUGCGUGGUCAGAAUCUUUAACAUAUACGACGUCUGCCACUCUUGUUUCCCAAUUUUUCCUUUUGCUCACGCGAAAGACAACUUUAGAAGCACCCUCUGUUUUGAGCUCUAGGAAACAUGUUGUACUUUGUAUUAGUUCUUGGUCAAACUUUUGAAACAUUGUCCUUGUGUACAAGGUAGCCAUUUGUUUGUUCAUUGGCAUCGGUAGAAUACAUUGAGCCACUUCAAAUGCAUCUACGUGAUCAGCAACUAACUCUUUUUGACGUUGAUGAGAAAGUGCCCUCUCAAAUCGUAUUAUGAAAUCCAUCAACGAAUUUCUCCUUGAUAUGUAUUGCUUGAAAAAACCAUGAGAACCUUCCACUCUUUGGCUGCUUGACAUUCCAGCGGCAAAAAAUUGUUGUGCGUAGGCUGGAACCCAAGAUUCUCUUAAAUCAAACAUUGAACUUAGCCAUGGAUGGUCAGUCAAACCAGCCUUUGUAACCACAAUAUUCCAUUUUGUAACAAACUUAUCCUUAUUGUCAGUAUCCCAUACGGCUUUCUGAAAUUCACGCCAAUACUCCUUAUAAGCAGAAUGUGGUAACUUAACAGAGAACUUUGAUGUGAUGUGCAAUAUGCAAAGUCGAUGAAAUGUAGUCGGGAAGGGUAUUGAAAUCGCUCUGGUCAUUGCCGCAUCUUGAUCUGUAAUGAUCGUUUUAGGUCCGCCACUUGGCAUGGCUUUCUUAAACUCCUCAAACAUCCAAAUAAACGACUCAGUCGUUUCCUUGCUCAAAAAUGCGCAUGCUUAGACAAUUGUCUGACCAUGGUUAUUAACUCCCAACAUUGGUGCAAAUGUCAAGUCGUAUCGAUUCGUGUUGAAUGUGGUAUCGAAUACAACAACAUCUCCAUAAAACCCGUACGCCCAUCUAGAAGUUGCAUCUGCCCAAAAACAUUGACUAAACCUGUCAUGGCCAUCUCUCUCAAUCUUGAAAUAAAAAGCCUCAUUUUUUUUUUCUGUUCAGCCAUAAAAUACUCGGUCACUAGUUCAACAUCGUGGUUCCUCAACUUCCCAUUCACACUACAUUCAAAAUUGUAGAUAUCUUUUUUGAUAAAACCGAUUUUAUCCAUUCCUCCGGAUUGCACCUCGAAAAUACUUACCUUCUGAUGAAUGAGAAUAUUAACCGAACCCAACUGUUUUGUGAGUACUUUUGUAGAAUCUGAACUAUGACGGUGUGAUCUCAAUAAAUGCAUUCUUUCUGAGGGUGUCAUCUUAUGAUUGUGUCCCUCUGCAAAAAGAGAGAUGGUAUACUUCUUGCUCCCAUUUGUCUUCACAACCACAAUCUUAGCUUUGCAAUUGCAUCUACUUAUUCCCCGCUGUCUUUUUCUCUCCCGAGUUUCAUCUCUCCUGUAUUCACCUUGUUUGCAACAUACAAAUUCUUUCCUCAAAAUCUCUUUCUUAUUUCCCCCCCAAAAGCUGGAAUGAAGUCGAAUACCAAAGCCAGCCAAGAAUGCAUAUCUAUUAUAGAAAUUGUAAACGAGGUCAAGCAAGUCGAACUUCAUCCCAACUGCUGGUGUUUCCUCAUUUCUUACUUCAAGAAUGUAAACCCUCCCAUUAGCUGUUACACAGUCAUCACUCUCUGAGCCCCCAGACAUUUUAUCCACGUAUAUUAUUGAUCCACUUCUAUAUUAUUGCAUAGCAAAUAUUAAUUCAUUAAUAAAUCAUUACUGCAUCACAACAUAUCAAUGCAUUCCACUUACACAAAACAUUGCCCAAAUUGACACAAAACACGCAUAGCCUAACUUGUUGGAUUCCGAUUACACAAAACGCAAGCAAAAUUUAAUAAUAGUUACGUCAUCUCUUGUGAAAUAAUCUAGAAAAAAUAACAUUAGAACCAACAUGUUCAACUAAGAACACAAAUGCAAUUCAAACCAGCAAUCACAUAACUUCACCCAAUAUCCUCUCCAAAUGCUUACUCCUAAUGUCAUUAAGCCUAAGUUUAGGAUCUUUUACCUACAUUUCAUAAUUUUUCACCCCCACCAAAAAUAAUCAACUAAGUAUACUGAAUAUUCAUAAGGAAAUGACGCAUUAUUGAUGCCACAAAUGACGAAUUUCCUACCCUCACAAAAAACAAAUCAAACCCAAUUAAAUCAAUCCAGCAAGAGUGAACUUACCUCUCAAAAUCAAUCGGGAGCUCCGAAGUCAGUAAGCUUGAGAGAAUGUGGUGGACAUUAGAGAAGACUCUUUGGUAUUGGAGACUCCAUCUCUACCAAAAUCGAGGAACGAACUGCUGCUACGGCGUCUAGCUACAGAAAAAGAUAUGCUACUUUACUUUCAUCUGGAAUCUUGUUUGCUGAACGAAAAAGAGAAAGGGUUUUCACUUGAGCCAUAGAAUCAAAACAAGGCAACAUCUAGGUAAGAGCCAUUAAUCGUCAUAUCGAGGAUACCAUAGAUCGCAGGCCUCCCAAGGAGCUGAUGACAAUGGAGCGACUAUAGGGUUUGGGAGCUUUGGAUCCUUCUAAUUGUGGGUUUGCGUUACAUUCAAAAAAAGAGGAGUGUGUUGUUGAGUUUUUCACAUAGAGGGAAAGAGGGAAAGAUCUUCAACUGAAGUUGGGUUUCCAACGGGUCAAAUUUCAACCCGGUUCUACAUGCACCCUCUUUUAAAAACUCACCGUUGGAUUUCAUCCAACGGCUCGUACAUACCCCUCAAAAACACCCCUUAUAACUUUCCACUCACUAUAGAAGCUCUCCCCAGGAAAUGCUUCGAGGUAGAUUUUAUGUUUUGGGCCUUGGGACCCAACUUCACAAAAAGAAAACAAAUUUGACCAAAAAACAAAGUUGAAGGACAUUGAUAUUGUACCUGUAGGAUAGGUUAAAACACUAAAAGGAAGGUAAAUAGUACGUUUACAGAGUUUAAGUGUAAUAAAGGAAUAAAAACAUGCCCAGAGAAUUGAUAAGUGAUAUCAAUUCUUGAAUAUAUAGAACGUAAAAUAAAGGAAUACGUAGAAAAUUAUUUUAUGUGGUAAAACUCAAUCUAUGGGGCCACGGGACUUCUUAGUCCAAAAAAAAUCCAUUGAACGAUGAUUACAAGAAGUACUCACACACUUAUCCUAGACACAUUCUAGAUAAUUUUUACUAACAUCUUUGUAACUCAACUUCUGUCAUAGGAUGAUUUUUUGACACUCCUUAUGUUGAACGCAAUACUGGUCACGAUUUCUUCAAGCUCGCAGGAACUCUCCUUAUAUUGAAUAUGAUACUAGUCACGAUAGAUUCAAGCUCAUCGGAGAAAAACAGCCACAACGGUCUUGGUGCCCUCAAUGGUAUGAGUCACUGAACAUGCAAAUAAAUACAAUAUGAAUGAUAAAAGUGUUUGAUAAAUCACCAAGUUAUGGAACACUUGAUGAUUUAUCUCAAAUAAAAACUCAGCUUUCCAAAGUUUAUGAAUUGAAAAUAUGAUCGUUAAAGCUCUCUAAACAAAGAAGACGAAGAUCUUAUUUUAUAGAAUUUUUCUUUAUAAGAAAGAAAACACAUUGAAAACCAAAUCUCCAAGGCUUGACAGAAAAUCACAAAAGUAUCUUUCCUAUUCUAGAGAUUGGUCACAUGUAGUCCAACCAAUAGGACAUGAGAUAUUUAAGAAAUGAAGAUUUUGAUCAAUAUCAAUAUCAAAUGAAUUCUUAUACGCCUAGUCAACUAUUAAGGGUAUCUUGACUCCUUGAUAUUGUGAUAUGAUUGAAACAUGAUUUCCACGUUAGAAAAUUAAGGGGAUGUUAAAACAUGAAAGUAAUAGGAGAAUCAAAUUGAUUUCGGCCAAAAUUGCCUAAAAAGAAAACACUCCUAAAUAAACUCAAUUCACUUUUAAAAACAGUAAAACGUGAUUGAAUUGUUCUUUAAAACAAUUCCCUAAUAUACAUGCAUGAUAAUGACAUCACUUACCUCUGAAUCAAAUGCCUUUCAUAGGUCAAGCCACAAGUCUGUGUUUUGGGGAUUGCUGAGCUGCAUCAAUCCUGCCAAUGUCAAUGCUGCCCCUAUGCUCUCUCAAAGCACGUUUACAACCUAUGCUAACAUAUACCCUAAACCCUAGUAUCAAGAAAAUGCCAACACUAAUUUCGUAACACGUAGAAAUUGUUAGAGAUUGGAAGUUUUUUUUCUUCAAGUCUCUCCACCACUCACUAAUACAGAUUGCUCAUGUGAUGAGUUUACAAAACCUAUUUCUCUACUCUCACAAAGACUAUACUUCUUCUCAAAAGACUAUAUCACUUUACCUCUAUCUCUGUGAAAUGUAAAAAGUUGAAACUUUAAUGUCAAACCUCGACAAAAGAUGAACUUCCAUAAGUUACGUUGAAUUUGGAUUUGUUGAACUUAAGUGGUUUUACUUUUCUGUCAGUGUUUGAUGACUUAAUUUGGUAUUUACUUCUUCUUUUUUUCCUUGGAAAUGUGUUCCACCAACGUGAGGAAGAAAAAUAUGCACAAAUUAAUAUAUUUAAUAGAAGCCCAAGAUUUCGGAAGCACAUAAUUUCUACAAAAUUCUACAAAGUGUUCUACUUUACAAACUUCAUAUGUCUACCAAUUUUUACUAAAAUUAAUUUAUCUGCAGUGCUCAAAUUCAUCAUAUGUGUGUCCUUAAUUUUAGUGAAAAUUGGAAGUUUCCAUUAUUUUUGUUUUACGGGAAUUUUUUGAACCAAGGAAAAUCAAGUAAAAUUAAUAAAGCAUAAAUUGGAAAGGGAAAAUAUCUAGAGGAUGCAUUGUAGGAUUGCUCAUGCCAAUAAUUGUACCCUCUAAAUAUAUAGGGACAUAUUUUUUUUGCUCAUACCACUUGUUGCAGUACACAUUCACCCGUUUUCAAAGAAAGAAAUUCUACCAAUCGAUAAUGUCUCAAAUUUAAUCACAUAUUUUAUGGACCAUCCAGCUAUGAGGUUUUAUCUCAAAAACCUUCGGUACAUUUCUCCCACAUGCCACAAUUGUAUAUUCACAAUUACGUCUGAUACAUCACAUCAUGCCACUUGCCUCAAAUGAAUUUAAGUGAGUGAGGCAGUUGGAAGUAAUUAAGCUCUAUAUUGGUGGGUGGAGUGUUAGUUCUGGGUACCCCUCAUCAUUCGUCUAUAAAAUGGUGAAGCCAGUUGCUACUGUUACCAUAAGAGCCAGCUCCGACUUUCUUUAAUUUCUUGCUUCAUAUCCACUAGCUACAUCUGUUGCUCUUCUCAGUGUAAGCUCUGCAAUUUGAUUAACUUUCCCAUUAUCUCUCACUGUACUCUAUAUAAAGGAAUAAGUGUCGUCCAUUAAUUCUCUCCGAAAGUGUCGUCCUGAUUUUAAUUAGAGUUCGAAUUAAUGUUGCAGCUAGCAGCGGUUGCACUGGCAAACCAUGCUGCUCAACCGGUACCUCAACUUUACUGGAACUCCGUCCUGCCAAACACACAGAUGCCAAGAUCUAUCAGUGAACUUCUGCAUCCUGGUUUGUGUUUGAGCACUUUAGAAUCUUAGAUAUCUCUUCUACCUGCCAUUUUACUAAAAUAUGUUCAACCACAUAUUUAUCAGUUAACUACUGUCAUUACAUGAGUGACACAUAUUCACAAAUCGGCUGAUCACUUAUUUUCCAUUAUGACGUUGAUAUAUAAUGUUGGGAAUGGAAAGCCAAUUGACCACAAGGGAAAACCUGAAAAUACUGUACUACCACAGCUAGCACGAAGCCCAUUUUCUUACAAGAGUGAUGUGGGGACCAAAUCUCAUGUAUCAUAGCUUAACCCAUAUGCCACAACUAAAAGACGUGGGAUGAUCGAACAGCAUACCCACAUGGUCAUGGAUCUCUUCAGAUAAUCAAUAUUAAACAACCCAUAAACUUCUCCCUUUGAAGAACAAAUUAAAACCAAUUUCUAGAGGAAGGUUACAAAACAUUUUAGCCCGUGAAGAACAAAUCAAGACAAUAUAACCCAUUUGAUAACAAAAUCAAAAUGAGAUUUACCAAUACUAGAUGACCACGGCGCCAGUAUAAUGGUACGACGGCGGCGUUAUUGUAACGGUGGAGAAGUGGAUGGUAUGACGACGGUGUUAGUGUGACGGUGGAGGAAACGAUAUUAUGAAGGAGGCGUUGCUAUGUUCGGUGGAGGAGUCGUGUGUUUCACAGUUCAAUAUAUCCUUUUUAGUCAUUUUAUAUUAGGGUAAAUCAGUAAUUCAAUAAAUAAUUUGAUAGUAUGGUGUACUCAGUUAAUAUUAGGGUUCAUUUAACAGCACUCAAAUUAACUAGUGUAGAGUCUAUCUAUAUUAUUAAUACUAAAAAUAAAUAUAUGACUAAAUAACUCAAAAAAAAAAUAAAUCUACAAUCUUUUUUUUAAAAAAUUUUUUUUAUAGAAUUUUAUUAGAUUAAUAGGCACUACUAAAAAAUCUCCUUAUAAACUACAAAUACACGCAUAACUUAUACUAAUGUGAGCUACUGACACCACCUGCCACAUGACAGUUGUCCAAGCAUAGUGUUGUCAUUCAUUAUUCCCCACAGCAACUAACAUCCAAUAAAGGGUUGGGGCCCACCCAUACUCCACCUCUCUGUAUGUAGCUCUUUGAGAAUACAGAAGAAAUAUUUUUUAGGGAAAUAGCUUAAAAUGAUACCCAUUUCAUAAUUUUAAUUAAAAAUACCACCCCUUUCCAAUUUUUGUACAACUAUCACCUAUAAAUAUAAAAUUAUUGUCCACUUAUUGCUGAUUUUUCACAAGUUCAGAAAUUUUGGAAAGAAGAAGCUCACACAGCUCUCUCUCUCUCUCUCUCUCUCUCUCUCUCUCUCUAGCACAACUCUCUUUCUUUGGUAUCUGUCUAUCACAGCUCUCUGUGUCUCUCUUGGCUCUCUCUAUCUUGGCUCUCUCUCUCUCUAGCACAACUCUCUGUCUCUCUCUUUGCUCUCUUUCUCAUAGCGCAGCUGUUUCUCUCUCUAGCUUCGUUAUGUCUCUUUCUCCCCUAUUCGAUCUCUUGCUUUCUGUUUGGAAUCGCGAACCCCUCCCUUUAGCUAUGUCUUCUGAAUAGCUGCUUGCAACCUUGAAGCUCUAGUGGAUUGCCGACCUCGAAAAGGUAGUGUUGAUGGUUAUUUUCUUAAUAUCAGUGGGAUUAUGUGAAAUGGGUUAUAGUUUGAUUGUUUGGGUUUGUGUUAAAUUCGUUUUGGCUUUAAUUUCUUUGGGUUAGGUUUUGUUGAAUAUUCAUACUCAUUCAUCUGGGUUUGUACCAAUUGCAUUUAGAUUGGUCUGGAUAUGUGAAUCUUGAAACUUGGGAUUUUCUAUUUGAUGUAGUAGAUCUGUAUAGUGUGAUUCUGUUGUGUUCCUCUUAUUUUACAGUCGUAUUGCUGUUAUAUUGUCAUUAUAUUGCUUAUAUAUUGCUGUUAUAUUGUGGUUAUAUUGCUAUUGUAUUGUUUGGUUAUUGUGGUUAUAUUGUGUUAAUGAAAUGUUGUUUUGUCAUGGUCAGAAAUGGAGACAAUUGUUAUUCUCGUGUGCUACAAUGGAAAAUGGGUCACCUCGAAGAAGAUGUGCAAAUACGAAGGGGGUGACUCAAAAGGCUUAAUAGUUCCACGGACCAUCAAAUUUGUUGAACUGUUGGACCGUGUGCAUUAGAUUGGUAAUACAAACAGCAGGGAAGACAAGGUUUGCUUAAAAUUCUCAGUUUUGGUGGCCUCGAAUGAGUGGAAGCACAUAAAUAUUGAGGACGAUGAUGAUAUCAAUUUUUUUAUGAAGUACAAUUCCGAGGUAACACCUUCAAAACUAGCUCCCUUACUCGUGAGUAUAGAAGAUAAAGGAUUGACAAAUGAUGUAGUUCAUAGUAUGCAUAUCACGACAGAUAGUAGUCGGAUGGGUCAUUCUUCAGUUGCCAUUGUUGAAAGCAAUGAAGUAACUUGGAAUAAUACGAAUGUCACUGAUGUGGGAGGUGAAGUAGGGACAGAUUUUGUGGAUAUGAUUGAUUUUAGCGAGGUGUAGGAGAUGCAUGGUGGUGAUAAUAGUACUGAAAGAAAUGAAGUGUCAGUGUACUCUGCCCCUCCUAAUUUGGGCUGCUUCAACAUAGCUGCCCAGUUGCCAAUAAUGCGUUUAGGAGGAGAAUCUGAACCCACUCGUCAACAUUAUUGGAGUCAAAUAGGUGAACAAAAUCGGUACAAUGCAGCCGGUGUAAAUGAUGAAGAAGCAUAUUUGGACAGCGGGUUUUCACGAAGUGAUUGGAAUCCGAAAAUUACAGUUGGGCAAAUUUUCUCUAGUAAGAAAGCAUUGUUGACGGAGUUACGGUUGACGGCAUUAAGAGGCCACUUUGAAUUUAAGGUGCAAUUCUCUUGCACUAAAAGGUUGCUUGUGGUUUGUUGUCAACGUCCAUGCCCAUGGCGGGUCCGAGCAUCGAGAAUUGGAGAAUACAGCUUCAUGAUUGUGAGGUGUACAACUGUCCAUGAAUGUGAUUUGAGGUUCGUAAGUGACAAGCAUCGUCAAGCAACCGCAGCACUUGUAGCCACUUCACUUAAAAGGAAGUGACAUUAUGAGAGAUGUGAAACACAACUUUGGUUGCACCAUCCAUUAUUCGAAAGCUUGGAAAGCAAAGGAGUUAGCUCUAUUGUCCAUUAGAGGAUCAGCGGAGGAGGCAUAUUAUAUCCUUCCAGCUUAUUGCUAUGAAUUGGAGCGUAUGAAUCCCGGCACAAAAACACACAUCCAAACUGAUGAGAACAAUCACUUUGUGUAUUUAUUUAUGGCGGUUGGCGCAUGUAUUAGAGGGUUCCGUUCUUCCAUGCGCCCAGUGAUAGCCGUGGAUGCCACUCAUUUAAAAUCCAAGUACAAGGGUGUUAUGUUUGUAGCAAAUGCAUUCGAUGGUAAUUGAAAUAUAUAUCCUCUUGCUUUUGGGAUCGGGGAUUUGGAGACGGAUGCAUCAUGGCAUUGGUUUUUCACUAAACUUCAUGAAGCCAUUGGUGAGUGUCCCAAUCUUGUUAUUAUUUCUGAUCGCAAUGUUAGCAUAGAGAAUGUGUGGAACAAAAUUUUUCCAACUGCACAACGUGGCAUAUGCUUUUAUCAUAUGAAGGGGAACAUGAAACGCACUUGCUAGUUGAAAAAGCGUGAUCACAUACUUAUGCACUUUGAGCAGGCUGCGAAAUCUUAUUCCAUUGCUGAAUUUGAUUGUCAUUUUUGCAAGAUCAAGCGAAAGGAACAUGUUGCUCAAUAUCUUGAAGAGACAGGGUUACAUAAGUGGUCUAGAGCUCACAUGGAUGGACGCCGCUACAAUGUAAUGACAACAAAUAUUGCAGAGUCAAUCAACUCAGUCCUUAGGUUUGCAAGGAUGCUGCCAGUGGUUCAUUUGAUAGGGGAAAUUGUUAAUCUCCUUGUGAAAUGGUUCACCGAACGUUGUGAGUUGGUUUUGAAUUGCACAACAACAUUGUGCCCCAAUUUUGGAGAGAAGAAGUUGAGGAACAGGUUGGAGGAUGCUGCAAGGAUGAAUGUGGUUAAAGUAAAUAAUGCACAGUUUAAUGUUUUGGACGGUGAUAUGGACGGCCUCGUAGAUUUGGCGAACAGCAGUUGUAGUUGUAGAAAGUUUCAGCUUGAGCAGCUACCUUGCAAGCAUGUAGUUGCAGUUUGCCGCUUCUUGAAAGUAAAUGUAUACGCAAAGGCUUCUCGGUAUUACACUCAGAAAACCUGGAUGAUGCUUAUUCGGAUAGCAUCUACCCGGCACAACCUCACGGAAUGUGGGAUAUUCCUGAAGAUGUUCGAAGUCGAGUUGUGCUGCCUCCCAUGGCAAGGGUCAUGCCAGGCAGACGAAAGAAGAUCAGAAUUCCCUCGCAAGGAGAGGGCACCAUUAGAAGAAAGUGCUCAAGGUGCGGUUCCGCAGGCCACAAUAAAAGCACAUGUAAAAACAAUAUUCCAUUGCGCAAUGUAUCUUAGACAAUAUGAUUUGUGUUGCUUUGGUAGGUCAUGUAAACUCUACUUUUAUUUGUGGUGGGUUUCGUGUUAUGUUGAAUGGGAAUUCUUUUAAAUUUGCAUAAUUUGGGUUGCAUUGCUACAGCAUGCUGUAUUGCUGACAGAUUGCUAUUAUAUUGGACUUUUAUUGUACUGGUAUUGCUUCCAGAUUGCUAUUAUAAUUUGAGUGCGAAAUUAAAGGGACUGGAAUGUAAUUCCAAAUGGAUCCAAAUCAUUAAAGUUCUUAGAAUUCCUAUAUUACACAGUUACUGUGAUACUCCGACUAUACCUUCUUUUAUGAUUACAAAUUCGGCCAAUGCAUAGGCCAGAUGUGGGGCAAAUACAAGGUGAAAUGUCCUAUGUGUUUGACUACAUAUACUUGUUGAAGGAGCAUUACGAAUGCUAACCUCAAUAGAUUGCUCAUGUCUUGCCAAGAACACUCUUGAAUUUAUGCAAUGUGCCCAAGCCAGUCCCAAAGCUGGACUCACCCGUCUGCCUGAUGUGUCCAGGGACUCCAAGUUUCCCAACCUCACCUCAUUCACUUUAUCAUGUGGCCCAAUAAAAUCCACCACUUGGUUGGUGACAACCACCGCCAACCCAAACUUAUUUGCUAAACCCUUCAAUGUCCCAGAUAUGUUGAAAAAUAUUUCAAACCGCCAUUUCAAAUCUGCUGGUGUUGUCUGAUACUGUGAUCGGAACAAUGCAGCAAUGGAAUCAAUGACAAUGAGUUUCACAGGUAGGUGGGUGUGAUCAAUGGCAAUAAAUGCUUCUAUGUCUCCAAGGACAUGGAUGAGUUGUUGAGCAUCAUGAACACCAUGAACAUAUAUGUCUUCCAAUGGCUCCAACCUUAUUAAGUUGGGGUAUGAUGCAUGAUAAAGGUUGCCUAGUUGUUGCAAUCGACGAAAUGGGAAGCUGAAUUCUGUGAAUAUGUAGACGGUGGAGCCCUCUAGUCCGCCAUGUGAGGGUGGGAGCUGAGCUGGUACCGUAAGUUGGAGACAAAGUUGCGUCUUCCCAGAACCACUCUCCCCUACCAAUUCUGUUAUAGAGUUGCAGGGUAUCCCACCCCCCAAGCAGUCAUCUAGUAUUGGGCAUCCAAUGGAUAAUUGAGGGGUUGAAAGAGGAAGGAGCAUGAGGUUUUAGGGUGUCAUAUUUGUGUAAUUUAGGGGGGGAUGUGAUGGUGCUACAAGGCAUGCAUUAUAUAUAUAUAUAUAUGUAGAGUUCAUUUUGAAGGUCUGUAUUGUAGGCCAUAUGUCUUUUAAGGGAUGUAUAAUCCAUCCUUUUUUCAGGUUGUAAUUAAUUUUUUGUUUAUUUAUUAGUAUUUUUUUGGACCAAAUAAUUUAAAAAACAUUAUGAUGCAGUACGUACUGUAAUAGGAUCAUAUUGUAACUCUAUCAUCACUCUAUUGUACUCUUAUUGACAUAAUAUUGCCGUUAUAUGCAUGUUUAUUAUAUAGUUAUUACUGCUAUAUCGCCACUGAACUGGACACCGAUAAACUGUAUACGCACAAAUACAAAAAGAGGCUUCAUCAUUCCAUAAAAUCCUAUUUCCAAACUUACAUAAUACAACAACAGGCCACCCCAUCGUUACAUAAUACAAAAAUACGCCACCUCAUAGUUCCAUUUCCCUACUGUUGACAAAUUCGAAGUUGCAUACUCUUCAAGUGCGGUGACCGCGACGCAUGAAAUUCAUGACCCCGGCCACAGUGAUGUUGGCCUAGUUUCCUGCCGGAUCCACUAUUUUUGCAAACUUACGAAAUAGUUCGAAUCCGCUUUCCACUUCUUCUUGCUUCAACUUGGCCGUUGCUUCUGAUUCCUUGAAUACCAUAAUUGCAGUGGUAGGGGCAAUUUCAAUUUUUGCUUUCAUUGUCUUUAUAUGUAGGAGAUGCAUGCGCGCAUGAUAACGAGAGCGAAUUGUGCGGUUUUUUAUGACACCCCAUCUAGUUUGGCCCUCCACAAUUUUGAAACUAUGUCUGCAUGAAGAUUUUUCCAAAACAUGGUAUUGCCUCGACAUUGCUGCAUGCCAUGGACCAAGUCUGCAGGGAGUGAAUUGGGUGACUUGGCUUGUGUUUCAGUCUUCUCUCCUUCAGUAAUUGAAAGUGUUGGGUGUGGUGUGAGGUUAUGGUCCAUGGUCUUCGAUAUUUAUUGUAGCCUAGUGUACAACUUAAUUGGAAAAAAAGGGGACUAAAUGCGAUGGGAGUGAAAUCAGUGGGGAAGGUAGUGGCUGUAAGCAGGAGUUAAUGUGAUGGAAGUUUUCAUUUCAAACAACUGGGUUGAUUAAUAUAGGCAAGUUUUAAUGACCUGGAGUAACUCAGAGAGUUAUUGGUGGGAGGGAUUAGAGGGAGUAAUUGGCGGGAGGGAUUGGCGGGAGUCUUAGGCGGGAUAGUAUUGGGCGGGAGUUAUUACCCAGUUGACUGUAUGCCUUUUUGUAAUAUAUUUGUAUGUUGGACGUUCCAAACUUGGUAAUUUUCCCAUUAUGUAAUUCAAAUAAGGGAUUUGCCUAUUUGCCUAAUUGACCAACUCAUUCAAAUUGACCAAUAUGGUUAUUGUCUUAUUUCUCAUUUCAGCAAUCUCAAUUCGUUUCCAUUUUUCCAUUCUUCAUAUUUUCCUAUUUUCCAUGUGUCAUCCAAUUUUCCAAUUUUCCAAUUUUUCAUUAUUUUUGCCUAUUUUUUCCUAUUCCCUAUUUUCCUAUUGUGCAAUUUCCCAAGUUUCCUUUUGUUGUAUUUCUAGUUUUCCAAUUUUUCAAUGUUCCCAUUUUCCCAUUAUGUAAUUUAAAAAAAGUUGCCUGCUUUGCCUAAUUCAGAAAGUAAUUAAAAUGGUCCAAUAUGGUAAUUGUCUUAUUUUCCAUUUCCACAAUUUCAAUUCGUUUCCAAUUUUCUUAUUUUCCAUGUGUCCCUAUUUCCUAUUUCCAUUUUUCAAAUUUUAAGUUUUUGUCCAAUUAUCCAAUUAUCUUUUUUCCAAUUGGACUAUUUUCUAAGUUUCCUUUUUUUCCUAUUUCCAAUUUUCCAAUUUUUCAAUUUGCUAACUUUCCUUUUGUUCUAUUUCCAAUUUUGCUAUUUUCCAAGUUGCCUUAUUUCCUAUUUUUCAAUUAUCCAGUUAUCCAAUAUUCCAAUUUUCCAAUUAUCCAAUUUUCAAUUUUCCAAUUUGCGAAUUUGCCUAUUUUCCAAGUGUCCUUUUUUCCUAUUUCCUAUUUCAAAUUUUCCAAUUUUCAUGUUUUCAGAGUUUCCUUUUUUUUUCCUAUUUUCCAAGUUUCCUUUUGUCCAAUUUCAAAUUUUCCAAUUUUCCAAGUUGCUUUAUUUUCCAAUUACCCAAAUUUCCUAUUUUCCAAGUGUCCUUUUUUCCUUUUUCCAAUUUUCCAAUUUUCCAAGUGUCAUGUAAUCCUAUUGCCUAGUUUCCUCUUUCCAAUUUUUCCUUUUUUCCUAUUUCCAAUUUUCAAUUUUCCAAAUUUCCCAAAUUUCCAACUUUCCAUUUUUUCGUAUUUCCGAUUUGCCAAUUUUCCUUUUGUUCUAUUUCCAAUUUUCCAAGUUUCCUUAUUUCCCAUUCUCCAAGUUUUCACUUUUCCUAUUUUUCAAUUUCGCUAUUUUCCAAUUUUCUGUUCUGAAAUUCGCAAUAAAUGCUUAGUUACACAGUCCUAUUUUGGGUUGAAAUCCACAAUUUUCAAUUUCCCAUUAAGGUUUGCUUUUUUGUCGUUUGGAAGCCAAUUUUAUUGUUGUUAAUGUAAUGUUGUACUGUUGUAAAUUACAGCCAAUGAGUUAAUGAUGUAGUUUGCAAUCCCAUCAAUUGAAUGCACCAACUAAAUACCCAAUAUACUUCAUAUAAGUUCGUACAUAUAACUCAACCUUCCUAUACAGAACUGCAACAGAGGCACCUUCUUAACGGGAAAGGUAAUUAGUCUUACUAAAACGCAAAUAUUCUCCACUACAGCUAACCAAUUGUCGUUUACAACUGGAGACUGAAUCUACCUUUAUUUGUUUUGUUGCAGGCAACAGCUGUGAAUUGUCCCCGGCAAUACUUAAAGAUGUCGGAUGUACGCCCUCCAAAUGAGCAUGUCACAGUUACCCGGGGGACCAGCCGUGGCAUGUGCCAUUCCCAUCUCCACCUCGGACUCCCAAUCAUGAUCCCACUUCAUCUGGAAGUGAGGCUGAGAGCAAUGAUCCGCUUGACAAAAUCUCUGCCGUCAAGCACCACCUCCAAUAUAUGUCAAAGGCAACGGAUUGGUGGGAGAGUAAGUGCGAUAUUCAUGGCCAAGUUAUGGGAAACUUGGCCAACAAGUUGAACAAAGCAUACGCUGGAGAGGUGAAGCAAACUCUAAAAGCAAAAAGUCGGAGCAAAGAGUUAGAGUCCUUGAAGUUGAAAUUGGAAGAGAGAAAGAAAAAUGCUGUCGAAAAAUUCACACAAUCUGAAGAAUAUAACCAUGAAAUGGUUGAAUGUUUCAACAACGGCUUUGAAAUGUUCCGAGAUUAUGCUUCGGUCAUCUCACCAGACUACAAUUGGAGUGAAAUUGAUGUAGCUGGUGUUUGGCAGGUGCUGAAUAUGGGUGCUGAGGGAAUGGCUCAUCAUAGCCUCGUGCAUGCAGCAAGGAGAAAGGACAAAGACUUGGAUCUUUUGAUGGACCUGUAGUAACAGUGAGUGCUGCUUCAGUUCAACUCACCUGAGUACAUGGAUCUUUUGUUGCCUUCAUUUUCCCUUCGCAGGCUAGUAUUGUUAAGGUUCGGUGGCGAUUUCUUUUGCAUGUGUAAAAUGUUGUCUGUAAUGUGUAUGUAUUGUAUGUAGAUUGACUUAAUAUUGUAGUUCUAUUGUAUGUAUAUUGCCUUAAUAUUGCCUUUGUAUAGCAUAGAUAGUGUAUGCAUAUUGCCACCGUAUUGGAUGUAUAUUGUAAAACUAUUGGUAUCGUAUUGCCCUUAUAUUGCUCUAAUAUUGCCUCUAUAGUGCACCUAUAUUGACCUAAUAUUGCUCUUAUAUCGUAUGUCAAUGGCAUGUGCUCUAAUAAGUCUCCAGUUCGUUGAAAGUAAUCCUGAAUUCAAAUAUGAUGGACAAGACAAUUGUUAUCCAUCCUUAUAUUACCAUGAAUUGAUUUGGACCUUUCAAAUGAUAGUUGGAGUUGCACAUGGAUUCAUAUUCAAAAGGAAAGUAAUUCUCUCCCUCAAUGAAUUGUCGUUCAAAAGAAGGCAGCUAUCAAAUUUUGGGUACAAAAAGGCAACAUCCACGGUAAAUUAAUUGGGCACAAACCACAUAUUACAAAACCAGGAUGAUUUUUGGCAUGCUUCAAAAGAGAAGGGCCAAAUACAACAGAAAAGAAAAUCCAUUCAAGCUUGUACAAUAGAAUGCACAAUAACCCUUUUACAUGUCCUUCCAACACCAGUGUUUUGCCUACUUUAGAGUCGCAGGAGGAGAGCUUAUUGCCAUUGUGCAAUUCGAGGGGGCAGUCAAUUUGGAAUGGUGGCAUAAACAUGUUUACUCCACGGAUCACCUAUAUGGGACAGAGCUUCCUUCUUCCCUUGUCGUCUGUAGGUUUCAACUUCACACUUUUUAUAUACAUGUAUGAGAACUUGUGGCUAUUUAUUUAUGGCCUUCUAACACUUGUUCUGCCAUUCCAAAGUGGGUUGGAGACUUUUUGAGUUGAAUGACUGGAAAGACUUCAGAUGACAGAAACUAGAGAGUUUGAAGAAAAAGGGUUACCAAGAACAGCAGUCAUGCCCACGACAUAAACUAAACAUGCUAUAAGCUCCACAGUAAUAUUUACUUCAUCUCCAUAAUCAGAAUAUUGGGAAAAAAAUACCACGGAGAAAUACGUGAAAUGAAAAACAACUCGGCAGUUACUGUGAGAUUGUGUACAUAAAACUUGGAACAACCAAACCAAUUAAAGCUAAGCCAUCUCAUACGUAUACCUACAUCAAAUAACAGUGUAUGGUCAUCUUGUUUAGAAUAUUGCAAUCAACACUUGGUUGAGACCGACCUGCAAAAACAACUGGGUUAAGUACAGAUGAAGCCAUUUAUGAAGGGCAGUUCCAGAAUUAAGACCUACGUUAAUUUGUAACUGCCACCGAAUCAGUUCAUAGUGCCAAAUGCAUCUACCAAGCACACAGAUAUGACCAGCCAAAAGAAAAAAAAGCAAAGUAAAAAAGAUAAAAGAGGCAUGCCAUAAAUGGGAACCUCAGCAGAAAUCAUCAGAUAUGCAUACAAGCAGAUUGAGUAACAUCUCACUAAGUAGAGGUCAUGUUGGUAAUCGCAUGUUGUGUUUGCACACAGACAUUUGGUUUUUGCAAACACAACAUGCAAUUGCAUUCCAUGAUGUGUGUGUUGUGUUUGCACACAGACAUUUGGUUUUUGCAAACACAACAUGCAAUUGCAUGAUGUGUGUGUUGUGUUUGCACACAGACAUAUGGUUUUUGCAAACACAACAUGCAAUUGCAUAUUGUGUGUGUUGUGUUUGCACACAGACAUAUGGUUUUUGCAAACACAACAUGCAAUUGCAUAUUGUGUGUGUUGUGUUUGCACACAGACAUUUGGUUUUUACACACACGAUAUGUAACAUUUAGUUUUACCCUUUUAUUCUUAUUUUCUUCGUUCAAACAUGGUGGUGAGAAAAGCACCAAACCAUCCCAUCAUAUAAAGCAAAACUCAUACAAUAUUUUAGAUGCAAAAGUUAUAUAUUUUAUAUAAAUGCAUCAUCCGCAUGGCUUGAAAUUACAAAUUCACGUUCACAUAUUACUUUUCACAAGCGCACAGACUAACAAUAAUAAUAAUCAACCAAGUAGUUGCGACAUUCAUCCUAUUACGUCCAUAUUGAUAAUGUCAGAAGUUUCAUCGAUAAGCCUCAUCAAACUACAAGUUUUUUAAUUUGAAUUAUGAAUUCAGAACUAAAAGCUCAUGAUAUGCAGAAAAUGACAUACAUUGUCCACAAUCGACUUUUCGAUAUAUUUCUGCUCUAGCAAUUUAUCGUCCAAAUUCUGGACUCUCUGUGUCAGGUGCUUCUUUGUGUUCUAUCCAGCAUAAGAAUAUUUAAUAGUGUGAUUUCAAUUGUUUAUACAAAUUCUAUAAGUAAUAUUGAUGAGUGCUGUAAAUCUAUUUGAUAUUGGGAACAAACAUGGUCCCACUAACAGAAACUCAAACAAAACAGGAAUUUUUUUUUAUUUUUUUUGGCAUAGACAGCCGAAAAGAAACUUACAGCAAUAGCCUCUGUCACGCUCUCCAGACGUUUAUGCAAUUUUGAAACAGCAGCAUUCAUACUACGCUUUGUCACAUACAGAAGAUCUGAGAAUUUUAGACCCUAACCAUUUGUGAAGAGCAAAUAUUAGAUUUGCUUAAAGAAGACAACAACUCACAGAACCAAUGGAUGAAAUAAUAUGAACAUAAAUAUAUCAUUUGGAUACCUUCCACCACAUGUAACCAUAACCCAAUGCCCCCAAGGUAGCUGUUGGCAUUAUUAGUGAUGUCAAACCUAUUAAAAAAAUCAAAAAAAAAAAUAUAACCAAGUAUAAAAUGUUUCUAUUGCAUUAUGAAAUACAUACGUGUAAGGAAUUAAUCGUUUUACAACUUAACCAAAAAGUCAAGGCAGGAGCAUGCAUUCAUUGAGUGGUUAUAAGCAAGAGGAAAAAGCACAAAGCAUGCUAAGAAUUCAUUUGAACACAGAAGAGAAAGUAAGCUACCUUGGAAUUUGGCUGUCAUUCCCCUUCAGGACGGCUCUCUGUAGUGACGAGUCUAGUUGUCGGACCUCAGCUGCCAGUCGGCGCACCUAAAACAAAGUAACACAGGAAAAUUGAUAUCCAUUACAAAAAACAAAAAUUGAACACGAGAAAGCAUCCUUCGACACUAAAUUUAUAGCAGUUUUUCCAAUACCUGUGAUGCGAUCGCAUAAAAGUCACCUUCUGAUUGUUCUCCGGUUCCAUUGAACAAAGGCUGCAAACAAAACAGAAAUAGACACAAAUCCAUCAAUUUUUUGAGCAACAAGACACAAGCUCCGAAAUAAAUAAACUAUCUAACUGAUCAAAACCCUAGUUUACCAAAUGCAUUACAAAAUUAAAAACUCAUACAAAAAUAACACCAAAUACAAAUGUUCUGCGAGUUCCACUAGCAAAGCAGAGUACAAAUCAUGAAAAUGGUACCUGAAGUUCACCGAUCAAUUCAGAUAAUUGACCAUUCUUACGCAGGAUGGUGCUCGUAUACCCUGUAGAAAGAGAACAAUCACUCAGAUCAAAUGUAGCUAAAUACACAAGGAAACUAAUCCAGUAUGCAAGAUGAAAGAGGAGUGAUUGGUACCUACUCCAGCGAAGAUCAGCAAACACAGUAUGAGGUUCCAAAUUCAAAUAACAACAUAAUGCUAAGCAGAGAAGUAGAAUUGCUGCCGAAAUUAUUUAAAACGAACUAAGUCAAAACUAAAUGGAGAAAUGUUAACAAAGUUGUAUGCUUCAGUAAGUCCAGUAACAGAUUCCCAAAACCACAGAGACAAAAUGUGAACAAUGGCUACAAAAGCAUCCAUAAAGAGCAACUAUGUUUAUAUAUGGAGGUGUACAAAAUAGUUAACCUUCAAAAUCGAAACAGUGUGUGUGCCAUGUAAGGCAAUUAGCCACUGCUUCUAGACUAUACAAUAUUACACCUCACAAUAAUAACUAAACCAACUAGCUCUAGCAAAAAGGCAGGAUGACCAUAUAAAGUACCCCCAGCAAAGCAUCUACGUCUGCAUCUUCAUAUCAAGGAGUUCCUGACAUAAGUAAUGAGCAAAGUGAAUUCCCAAGUCAUAAGUCCAGAAUGAGGUGAAUUCACGGACAUUAAAACAUUUACCUCAUAAAUAUGCCUCCCCCCUUAAACCCUCAAUUGCAAGCCUCAGCCGGUAAUAUUUGAUCUUCAAAGGGUCAACUUUAUCUACCGAAAUCCCAGCACUGAGAUGCUCGAUGAAUUUGACGGUCAUGAUUCCGCAAGACGUACUGUGAGACCAAUAAGUUGGGAAAUUAGAACUGCAGUUAUGUAAGAUUUGGAUAAACUGCACUAAAUUCACAAAGCUUACCCAUCUCGUUGUUGUGGCACAUCUGCAAUGCUGCAAACUGAGAAUGGCGUAAACGUCAACAUCUUCAGCCCCUUUUGCUUAACCUUUUCAACCUCAGAAUCUUCAUAAAAGUGCAUAUCGUACAGCACUCGUGCCAGCGUAUCGCUAAUAGGGUGCAGAAGUGUAACCAGCUUCGAACAUUUGGUAAAAGCAACAUAUGAGUCAUACACAGUUGCAGUAUGUCAGACGAAAUCAAUUUCGAUUGCAACCCAGUAAGACCCUUUAAGAUUAUAUGGAAUAUAGACCUUCCGGACUUUUGUCCAAGCUUGGCCAUACCCGUGUUGCCACGUACCGCGUACAAAGUAAUGUAUAUUCUGCAGCUUGCUGGGUGGAAGGUCAACGGUGUUUGAAGCAACUGCCUUCUUCGAUCCACGUUUCUUGGCAGUCGGUUUGAACGGAUCUAGAAAUUGCUGCAUAAAUUGAAAUGAAGGCAUAUUAGAAAAUCACAACCGAAAGCAAAUGAAGCAGCGAAUGUAACAUGGUAACAUGUUUACCUGCAAGCAACAAUCUGCUGUUGUCCAGUCAGUUCCAAAUACCAACGGAUGAGAGAGUUGCCUUUUCCAGAUAAGAAAGGUUGCCAUGUCCAGGUGCUGAAAGUUGACACACAUAAUAUCAGCACAAUUUCAUACAACUGUACACUUAAAAAAGGUGAGAAAACAAUUUAAUUAUCGCAAUAAAGUAGAGCUUUGUGUAUUCUUACCCUUGAGCUAAUCCAUUCCGUUUCAUCGAUAAGUCUGUAGAAAAAAUCAGCGCCCACUGAAAAUAAUUCCAGCUGCACCUCCGCACUACAAAAGGCAAACUUGCAAUGGUUACUUUUAUAGUCAUCUCAUAAUUCUGACUUUGUUGAUGACAAAAAUACACAUGUAUAUUAAAGCAAACUCUACGUUUUCUCAUUAGUCUAUGACUACAUACUAGAAUAGGAUGAAGAUUGGAAUUCAAAGGUAAAGAAUCCUAACCUGAUAUCGUUUUUCCAGGCAGUACAAAACUCUAUUACUGCCUUCACAUCUUCAAUGGGCACGGAUUUUGAUGGAUCAAAACAUGGCGGGGUUGCAGUCGCAGCCAACACACUCAUCGUCCUCUUCUUCCUCAAAGGAUCAGUAAAUGGGCUCAACAAUGUCUGCGCCGGGCGCUUCUGUCUGCACCCUUUACCUUCCACUUCUUUUUUUUCCACACUCGAACUACCUUCUUCAUCACCAGCCAUACUAACUGUGGGUAGACUUGGAGGAUUCAUCGGACCUCCCGAUGGCAUACUCUUAGUCACUUUCCAAUCUUCUAACAGAGACAACACUUUUUGGCAGAUUUCGUCACACCCGGCCACAUCUUCCGGGGUAGGCAGCUUCUCGGAUUGUGCCUGCUCAGCUGCUUCAUGCACUUGUAAGUGAGGAACUGAAGCGGCCAUUUCUGCCUCUUCGACUACCAUGGCUGCGGAAGGUUCGGCUCCAUCACCGGGAACUUGUGUUUCCAUUACCGCCGGUUCUGUAGGCGGACUAACAUGGUCAUGUAAUGGCGACAAGUGAUUGUCGCCUCCUUCAUUCAUAUGAGGACUACUGAGGUCCUCAUGUCCUUUCCCACCUUCAUUCACCCCACCAUUUCGUUUUUUCAGCUGCUCUAUCUCCACAUUAAAAUAAUGCUCCAUUAAAGCCAGGGUGUUGCGGAAAUCCUCCACACACUUUUUAUUUUUUUCGAACUCUCUUUCAACUUUCAAUGACUCCUUCCGUACCAUGUCUUCCAACUGAUGCACUCUGUUGCGAAGCGCUCGAUUUGAUAUGGCAACUUUGGCCAAUUCAUCCUUUGUCCUUUGAAAGUCACGCUUCAAAGUGCGUAACUCUCUGGACGCGACUGUACCCUGCAUUCAGUUAUAAUGCAAGUGUUACAAUAUUUUCAAAAUAUAUUGCAACAAUACAGCAGUUAUUUUCCUAUUGUAUUAUGACGUAUAUCUUGGAAAAAAAUGUAAUGCUUGCCUUAGAAGACGACGGAAGGCUAGCAGUUUCGUCAAUGUCCUUAUCUUUUUCUUCUACAGAGGCAGAAGUGCUGGUUUUUUGUUCAGCGUCAUCGCCAAACAACUGAACAAGUUCUUCAGUGUCGUCAACACUGUCACCCCAAGUCCAAUACGGCUGCUGCUUGUCGAUUACAGAUGGCCGGAGAAGUUGCACAUCAACCUGCAAUUUACACAUACAAUAUACAUAUCAGUAAACUUAUUAUAUUAUAUUUUCAUAUGCCUAACAUUAUCAUUAAAAACUUAACUAACCUCACGGUUCUCGAAUACUUGGCUCAUUAGCUCAUAAAAACACGGCGAACUAUUGCUCCUCCAAUGUAGUAAACGAGGGAUGUAGGCAUUAUCUUCGUGCACCACCAAAUGUAGUGCAGCCAACGCUGGAAAAACCUCAUAAGCCCAAAUCUGGUUUGAGGAAUAAAACGUGAGUCACUGUAAACAAAUGAAAUUUAACUUCAACAUGAAUGGAAAUUUGCUCACCUGAAGUGCAUAGGCAAAACCUUUGAGGUGGUACUCUCUUGGUCUACCAGUUGCCGUUGUUUUUGCUUUCUUUUCAGAUUUUUUUGUUUUUGCAGCUUUUUUGGGCACUUUCACUCGCUGGUAAUCUGUACAAAGUGCCCUCAGAAGUGACACAAUUGUCUUGGCAUAACACACAGCACCCCAUGGAUACUUCCCAAACUCUUCAAGGUCUUCCACCAACUUCAAAUAUCGCAUGUCAAUCUGGACAUGUUUUUCACUGCCCAACAGCACAAACACAGCAAAGUAUACAAAUCUGAGCUUCAAUACAUCGUCCGCAUCAACGCAUUUGAGGAAGGCCUUUUCUAAUUCCAAAACAUUGACAGUUUUAUAGUUGCCAAAGUACUUCCUUUUCAAUGAGCAGUUCUCAUUAGUGGGAAUCGGAAUAAAGGGAAGGUUUCCAAACCUUAGCCCUGUCACGAUGCAAAAUUGCUGCGCCGUGAAUUGGAUCACCUUAUUGCCAACGAUGAAUUUGAUCCCGUUGAGUUGGGAAACUGUCUUUGGAUCAGCUUUCCUCAGCAGCAAGCCGUGGACAAUUGGCGAAGUCCACUUGAGGUCCUCAAUCAGUAGGAGAUGCCCAAAACAACUCUCUUCAAACCUUUGUAGCUGUUGUUCACUGAAUUUCUCCUUUAUCGUGCUGAUUGCAGUCUUCGUAUGGGAUAGGGACAAUGCUUUUCCUUGGAACUUUUCUUCCUCUGCAAUCAUCAACUUCAUUUGAGCAACCAUCUUUCCCUGCAUGCCAAUAUUAUAAAAAAAAAUUCAGUCCGUUGCAAUCUAGACAAUAACAAGCAAUAAACAAUCAGCACUUAUCUACAGCCUAUUAUAGGAUAUUAAGUGAAAACAAAAAAACAAAAAAUACAGGGCAUAAACAAAACCCCAGCUAUUUACAACUGACCUACUAAUUCAAUAGCUCAAAGCCACAUCCCAAGACACCCAGUACUCUACCACUCUUGCAUAAUAUAAUAUCUAAAGACACAUCUCAACACACCAGAUAAUCAUGACACAGCUUCAGCUAGAAUGGGAAUGUGCGGUAGCACAAGCCUAAUUGAGAACAAUUCAAGACUAACGAUAGAAAUCUAUCUGACUAGAAAGAGUUUUAAAAAAACAAGAAGACAUCGGGAAAGAAUUGAUUGACUUCAAGGUAUAAUGUAAUGGAACAUCCUAUGAAUUAGUGGCAACCAUAAUAAUGACUCCACUAUGGCCCUCCUUUCAAAUGUAAGAAAAUGAAUGAAAUUGGCACCAUCCCUUCAGUUUUUUCUUAACAAAAUAAGAGAUUUGUAUGUAUUCUCUGCUUUAUCGAUAUCAAAGAUAAAUUAAUAAAUAAACCAUCAAAACUGUAUAAAAUGUUUGUUAGACAUGUACAAUUACAAAAUUAUAAGUUCUCCUCAGAAACAAAGUUCUCUAAGUACGCAAACAAGAAAAGCAAAAGCUUAAAGAGUUAGCUUAUAGCAAAAUCAAUGUCCCCAUUUCUCUAAACCACACCUGCUGGUGGUAGGUUCCCAUCUUCACUCAUUUCCCGCUUUCUUUUAAACAGACAAUGAUCAAGCACAAAAGAGCAAACUUUUAAAUAACUCAUAUUACACCACAAAUAGUUCUAAAGAAAACUUAUUCAUAUCCAAUAUGCAACCCCUAAAGUUAGUAAACAGAGUUAUAAAAAAAUAUGUCAAAUUAACAAGCAUUAUUCUCAAACAAAAAGUAUGAUAUGGUUGGGAGUUUACAAGUUCAAAAUGAUAUACACAGGUUAAUUGUCUUAGACUUUAGAUAUCAUCUUCAACAAAGAAAAUAGAUACCGAUUAGACUUGUAAGAAGGUUAAAUGCAAUGGUCAUAAAGACCCAUAGUAAGCCACCAAAUACCAAUCAAUAACUGCUAUAAAAACCAUAAUAAAACCAUAAUAAACUAAAAAUACAACAGCACUAAAAUGCCAACACAACAUCACUACAUUAGCAAUAUAGUAGCAACAAAACCACAAUACGACAUCAAUAGCAACAGCAAAACAACAGCAGUGCAAGCAUCAGUCCACAAAGAACAAACCCAUUCACUGUUUCAAACAAGGAAUCAUCAUACUAAGAUCAUUUCAGAGAAACCCCAAAACCAAUUUCAGUGAAACCCCUAAACCAAUUUCAGAGAAACCCCUAAACCAAUUUCAGAGAAACCCCUAAACCUUCAACCAAUUUCGAACAAAUCCCUGAACCAAUUUCAUAGAAAUGCAUAAACCCUAAACCAACUUCAAAGAAACCCUAAACUGUAAGAAAAUGACGAUGAACAGUACCUGUUCAAGGUGAACGAUGGAGUUGAGCUUCGAUGAACAAAUUUCGCUCGGAGAGGAAGAGAGAAGAGAGAGUCAGAGCUGAGCGACGAGAGAUUAAGGGCUGAGCGACGAGAGAGUGAGAGCUGAUCGACGAGAGAUGAGAGAGUGAGAGCAAAGUGACGACAGAGUGAAGAGAAAUUGAGAGAAGGAGCCAAGAGAGAGAGCUGAGAGAGAACUUCAGCAAAACUGAUAGAGAACUUCAGCAAAAGUGAUAUGUGUACAAUAAGGGGACAAUAAAUAUAUAUUUAUAGGUUAUAGUUCCAAAUUUUUUUAAAAAGAGUGGUAUUUUCAGUUACAAUUAUAAAAAUGGUGGCAUUUUGAGCUAUUUCCUUAUUUUUUAUUCAACAUGGACGCAGAAACUGUUGCUAAACUGCAAACUUCUUAAAAUAUUUGUCUCACUUUCUCAACCCUAUAUUUGUCUAACUUUCUAGAUCCAUGUACUGAGAUUUAUUAGGGAAAUAUUGUAGAAACUGAUUAUUUUGAAAUAUUAAAUGUGAAAAACUGAACAAAAAUUUGAUGGGUUACAUAUUUCAACUCAUUUCAGCAGCUUAGAUUUUGAAGACCUCGGAAGAGGCCAUGCAGUGAGCCUAGCUAGUGCACUGUUGAUCACUUCAGUGUCUACCGAUCUGUAAUUUUUCCAGAUUGGUUAUAUUUUCCUUUACAUAUUCUUAUAUUAUUCCCAGCUGUAAGUGUUUUACACACUUGUCUAUUAGAAAAGGGGAGACUUAUAAAUAAAUCCAAAAUGGGUACAGUAUUUAUAAAGAAUGACAAAAUUAAAGUGUUUGGGCAAUAAUGCCCUUAUUCAUUUUGAGAUUGCCUAAGGAAUAUUUUUUCUGAUUUUCAGAAGAUGCCAAAGGACCGUUGUUUGAUGAUUGCCGUAAGGAGCUAAGAAAACUUGCUUUGAUAGUUUUGGACAGAUGCAUGCUACUGUUGCUGGGAUGAUCUCUUCACGUGAAAUGAGGAUGAUGAUGCUUCUACACUACACAAUCCAACGAAUUCACAUGUCUAUUUCAGAUACAAGUAUAAACUAACAAGGCUUUAAAAUAUGGGCUGAUGCACUGUUGUUGAUGUUGCUGACACUGUUACUGUGUUGUUGAUACUGUCACUGCGUUGCUGUUGGAAAAAGCACAAGGACUUCACAUGUUGCUUUCGUCUUUUGUGGAGGAGAGAGACCUAGGACUUGCAUGUCUUAGAUAUUUAAGAUAAGGGGCUUUCGUUCCAUUUUGAAAAUACUUUGGGUGUUUUUGAAAGGUGAUUGUUUCUUUUGGGUUUCUCACUAAAUUUCGCUUUAGAAGGGAAAAUAAUAAUAAUAAUGUCAAACAAAGUAGGGUAAAUAUUCAGAUAUGCUCAUAUUAUUAUUCUUCUCCAAUAUUGAGGUAUUUAUACAAGUACAAAGAUGUGUUAACCCUAAAUAAAAUAGGAAAUAUAUCUAAAUUAUAAUAGGCAGUAAAUCUCUAUUACAAUAGGACUAAAUAAUAAUUGGUAAGUAACCAAAAUUCUAAUGAAAUAAGGAAUCAAAAUCCUAACUAAGUAAGGACUCGCCAACACUCCCCCUCAAGUUAGGGCAAACAUAUUUCGCAUGCCUAACUUGACAAGCGAGUCAUAGAACACCAUACUUGAGAAGCACCAAUUGUAGAGAAGGUCUUUUCGUCAACCACGAGUGAAACAAGUGACAAACUAAAGCAAAGUUCGCAGCGGAAACACAAGAGCGAAUCCUAAAAAAUAGGGCACAUAGCAGAACACAAAAAUCCUGGAGCACGACAGUAGAUAAGGCAGAACACAGAAACCCUGUUAGCACGGCAAUAGGUAAGGCAGAAAAAGUCAAGAGCAAAGGCAAGGUCAACAGGCGUGACCACAACGAAAACACACCAGCAAAGACAUGAGCAACAAUAUUAGCACCAUAAUAGACAUGAGCAACAAUACUGGUACCAACAACAGCAAUACAAGGCACUGGCACCAGCAAGAGCAACAAGGCAUGGACAUAACAUGCAUAAUCAAUAGUAAUCAACAUUGUCCCCAACAAGAGUCAUAAUAGGCAUGAGCAAUAACAUUGUCCCCACUAAGAGACUUAACAGGUAUGAGUAACAGUACUGGCACCAGCAAAGGGCAUAGUAGUCAGCAGCAAUAACAAUGACAAAUACUUCUAUUAUUGCAGAGACAACUUCUCUUCACUCCCCAUCUCCCCUUGAAGAGAAGGGGUCAUCGGAACCAUAAGAAAAGUGGCACUUAAGAAACAGAAGUUGACUGACGCUCAAAUGUAGAAGAAUCAGCCAUGGCAAAUAGGUAGCUGAAUUGCAGCGGAAUAGAUGAGCAGCGGUGUCACUCCCCCUCAUAUCUGAUAAUGUAUGAGAGUCGAGAUUUGGAGAAAGCAAUAUCGAAAAAUAAAGUUGCAGAACCCAAAUAAAGUUGCAUCUAUCUCCCCAUCAAAUCCGACACUGGUAAAGGGUCGAGAUUUGAAAGAGGAGAAAUUGAAAUAAUAGUAAAGAGACUCAAACAUGCAGUCUCAUGGCAGAAACAAAUGCAAGAGGGGAAGAUGGUAGCAUACGGUUGUCCCAUGAAGAAAAAACUUCAGAAAAGGAGAAUAGUAAGGGAGGAAACCUAGCAAAUCAUGAACAGAGACAAAGACAAAGAUGCUCAAACUGAGAAGCGGAAAGGCAACUCAAGAGAGCAACCGAAGAAGACAGAGGCCCGCAGAACAGUCAAAGUUAAGGCUCGGCGAGUGGUGACGAUGCUCGCGGAGGAAAGCAACGGCUCGGUGAGCGGUGAUGAGGCUCACGGAGUAAAGAGACUUGUUAUGAAGUUUCAAAGAUAGAGAAGCUGAGACAUCAAGAAAGACCAUCUGGCAUACAAAGAUGAAAAAUAAAAAUUUUGGAACAGUAGCAAAGAAGCAUGUGAAGGCUGGUGCGGUGAAAACACAUAUGAAAGGAUGAACAAAAGAAGAUGACUAUACAAGAUGAAGACCCAUGAUGGGUUAGGAAUGAGGAGUGCCAACGACUCUCAAUUUGGCAGAGGUUAUCGCAGGUUAGGAACCUGGCUCUGAUACCAUGUCAAACAAAGUAGGGUAAAUAUUCAGUUAUGCUCAGAUAUGCUCAUAUUAUUAUUUUUCUCCAAUAUGGAGAUAAUUAUACAAGUACAAAGAUGUGUUAACCCUAAAUAAAAUAGAAAAUAUAUCUAAAUUACAAUUGGAAGUAAAUCUAUAUUACAAUAGGACUAAAUAAUAAUUGGUAAGUAACUAAAAUUCUAAUGAAAUAAGGAACCAAAAUCCUAACUAAGUUAGGACUCGCCAACAAAUAAUAGUACAACUCUUAUUAGCAACAGGUUACAAACUUCUUCUACAACACACCAACAUGAAUCUAGCCCUGAUCCACUCUUUUACAUACUUGAAAACAAAACAAAACACGAAAAACAAAAAACAAGAAACAAGAUAGGGAGAAAAUGGCUACGGAGAGACUUCCUGCUAAUCAGGGGCGGCCCUGGGGUGGUGCAAGUGGCGUCACCGCACAGGGCCCCCGAUUCUUAAGGGCCCCCAAAAAAUAAUUCUUUAUAUUAUAUAUAUAUAUAUUAAUAUUAUAUGAAUCGUAUAUAAAGUAUAGCGUCUGGAUGAUAAAGAGACUCAUUAUCAUUAUCUUAGUCAUAAGAUUCAAAAUGAAUUGAUACUUUUGUUAGCUUCUGAGCUCAAAAGUGCAAUCAUUAAAAAGAUUGAAGAAGCUAAAUAUUUUUCUGUGAUUCUUGAUUGUACUCCAGAUGCUAGAAACCAAGAACAAAUGAGUUUGAUAGUAAGAUGUGUGGAUGUCUCUACUAAUUCAAUAAAGGUUGAAGAAUUCUUUUUGGAAUUUUUGAUUGUGAAUGAUACAACAGGACAAGGACUUUUUGAAGAGUUGCAAACGGUGUUGCAAAAACUUAAGCUUGAUAUUGAUAAUGUGAGAGGACAAGGCUAUGACAAUGGAUCAAAUAUGAGUGGGAAAUAUCAAGGUGUCCAAAGAAAAUUUUUGGAUGUAAAUCCUAGAGCAUUGUACACACCUUGUGGUUGUCAUAGUCUUAAUUUAACACUUUGCGAUAUUGCAAACUCUUGUGGAAAAGCAAAAGAUUUUUUUGGAAUCAUACAACGUAUUUAUACAUUGUUUGCUAAUUCUACAAAGCGGUGGAAGAUAUUGAAAGAUAAUGUUAAACACUUAACUCUGAAAUCAUUGUCAGUUACACGUUGGGAAAGUCGUAUUGAAAGUGUGAGAGCAAUAAGAUUCCAAGCUGCAGAUUUAAGAGAAGCUUUACUUCAGUUAGCAGAAAGUGACGGUGACUCCAAAAUAACAAGUGAAGCUAAUUCUUUGGCAACAUAUGAACUUGGAAAUUUUGAGUUCUUAUUGGGCAUGGUUAUUUGGUAUGAUAUAUUAGGUGGUGUCAAUGUAGUGAGCAAAAACUUACAAUCUGAAGACAUGCUUAUUGAUGUUGCUAUUGAUAAAGUGAAAGGGUUGAUUACUUUUUUUUUGAAAAGUAUAGAGAAAAUGGGUUUACAGAAGCUAUGUGUACUGCUAAAAAAAUUGCUACUGACAUGGGAAUUGACCCGGUGUUUCCUGAGAAGCGAAAAAUUCGUAGAAAAAAACAUUUUGAUGAGAAUACUUGUGAGCUAUCCCAAUCAGUUCCUGAAUCAACUGAAGAAAAGUUUAGAAUUGAUUAUUUCUUGUAUUUAGUGGACCAAGCUAUUGGUUCUUUACGAAGAAGGUUUCGACAAUAUCAAGAGUAUGAGAAUUUUUGGGUUUUUGUUUACUUCAGAGAAGUUAAAUUCAUUGGAUGAUUGCGAUUUGAAGAAUAGUUGCAGUCAUCUGGAAAGCAUUUUGAAAAAUGACAAGUUUUCUGAUGUCGAUGGGGAGGAUUUAUUUGUUGAGUUGAAAGUUUUACAAGAGCUUUUACCAAAAGUAAAUACCACAGCUACUGCAAUAUUAAAUUUCUUGAAAAGAUUAAAUUGUUUUCCAAAUGCAUUCAUUGCAUAUAGAAUCCUAUUGACUAUUCCUGUUACUGUUGCAUCUGCGGAAAGAAGUUUUUCAAAAUUAAAAUUGUUAAAAUCAUACUUGAGAUCAACUAUGUCGCAAGAAAGAUUAAAUGGACUAGCUUUGAUUUCAAUUGAAAGUGAACUUCUUGAAAAACUUGAUUAUGAACAUUUGAUUGAUGAUUUCUCUUCUAAAAAUUCAAGAAGAUCAAUUUUCAGACAUUAGUAUUGUACUAGCUGUGUUUUUUUUUUUCUUCUAGGGUAAAAGCUCUCAUAAUAAUUUUAAUUCUUCAAAUAAGACAGCAAAUACAAUGUGAUGAAUUUUGGAUAAUCAGGUAUGUUUUUGUUGUUGCUUUUGUGUUUAAUGCAAUAUAAUCUAAUUUUUUUAAUGACAUUUGUGUGCAACUACUCUUUGAUUUGUGAUUGCCAAUUUUUUUUUCUUUCUAUUAAACACAGAUUGCUUAUUGGAGGCAGCAAGAGACCUUAUAGGGGCACAAGGAGCUUAUUUUUGUACAAAACAUUUAACUUUAUCAAAUGGAAACAUUUAAAUUUUUAUGAAUUUGAUUUCUGAUUGUCAUUGCAUAUUUAUUGAUGGUGAAUUUUAGUUAUAAAAAAAAAAUUGUUUAUGACAUUAAGUUAUGGCAAAUUUUUAUAGUAUUUUCGUAUUAGAUUAUGCGAGGUCCCAAUUUAAGUUUCGCACAGGGCCCUCAAAAUCUCAGGAACGGCCCUGCUGCUAAUACUUGAUCAAUAACAGAGAUAAUAGAGCACACUGUUUGUAUGACAAUGAGUAUCAGAAGAAUAAUAGCUGCAAAGAGAGAAAUAGCUGCCCAAGGUGUGUUGAAAUACUUUUGUCUCAAAUUUGCCUUCCGUCUGUUCGUGGUCUUCUUGCAGUACUCGUUUAGUUUGCCAGCAAGAUCACCAAAAUAGUAGUUUCCGUGGUUCGGAGCAACUUUACUGCAAAGCUUGUUAAUCAUAAUGGAAACCUUAUUGUUGUCACCUAGCGUGUUUACAACAAUUCCAUUGUCAACAAGCAACUCUACAUCCUUUGGGGUGUUUACAAAUUUAUCCAGGAUGAAAACAUAAUCGCUUAUGUAUUUAUCCACGCAAUGGCCUUGUUCAAAGGCAAUGAGAUUUCUAUGUGUAAGCUGUGUAAUCAUGUAUUUCAAUUUUUGGAAUUUCCAAGGUGUUUUUCUUGAACUGUAUAUCGAAUAAGUUCUUGCUUGAUCCCACGUUAAACUUAACUCCGGCCUGGUGUAGUUUUGUCAUGCUGGGUGUACUUUGGAGCCCUCCAUUUUUUUUUCUUUUGGCAGAUGUAAAGUUCUAAUAAAAUCAACAAAAUGUAAAGGUUUUUUAGGAUCAGGAGGCAUAAAAGACUUACGGAAGGCUGGUGAGUUCUCCAAGUUUUCUAAACGCAGUGCCUGUUGGAAGAACUUGUAAGAGAGUUCAAUUAUUGAAGGCUCCCCAGUCUGAGCACCUGUGAGAUUGUAAAGAUCCUCGAGAAUGAAAAAUGGCAGCUGAUUUACGAGCAUAAGCAUGUCAGGCAAUAUAUUUUGUAGCACCCAUGGUUUUUUAAAUAUCCAAGCAUCAUCAUCCUGCAAUUUUUCUUCCUGAAAUUUUUCUUCGGAUUUAUUCCUCAACAAUAGCUCAAUGACAAAGGCGGCAUCAACUAGAAUGAUAUUCACAAAAGUAGCAAUGUUAAACUUCUUAGGGCUAGUUUGGCGGCGUUGUGCUUUUAAAAAAAUAUGCUUCUGCUGUGCUGUGAAAAUAAUUAGCUGUGAAAAAAAGCUACUAGGCGUUUGGUAAACUGUUUUUGAAAAACUGCUGUGAGUAGUCAAAGUGUUUGGUAAAUUUUUAUCAGAAGUACUUUUAGUGUGUAUAAUGACCAAAAAGGACAUGAUGAUGAAAUUGUUUGUUAUUUUCUUCAUUCUUUUUCUACUUUAAAAAAAAAAAAAACCCAAUUUCACUACAUAAAUUUUUAUUCUUUUUUAAUUCACACCUUUUUAUCAAAAAAUUUAAUCUACAAUUAACAUACAUAUUUUACCAUAAAUUAUAAAUUACUAUUAUAACAAAAGUAAUUCUAAAUAUUGUUAUAUUAAUAUGGGCUUCGGACAUGACAAAAAUACAAAAAUUGUUCAAUUUUAAAAUGCCCCAAUAGAUCACUACAAUAUAAAAGAAGCUAAUUAGAUGCAUUCAUUAAACUUGUAGCGAUGCUAUUUCUUAAUGCAUUCAUUAGCUUCUUUUUUUGGUUUCCAAUGGUUCUCUAACAAUUUUAACUAAAAAAACAACCAUAAUGCUUUGUGAACAAUAAAUUCAAGUCCAAAUCUGCUAUUGCCCACACCAUACAUAUAUACAUAAUUGUUCCUUUCAUAAAACUUGAAGAUUCAAUAGUAAUUACACAGUUUACCAAUCUUGAUUCCAACUAUAUCCAUAAAAUUAAACUAUAAUUAGAAAUAGAGGAGCUACAUGUGAUUACUCAUAAAUGCUUCCCACUCUCAUCAUCAUCAUCAUCAUCAUCUUCCUCCUCUGUACUUUGCCUUUCACAAAUGGACAAGACCAGAUGGUAACGUACACGACAUGGUCCACAUAUAGAUAAAUUUUGGGUUCACUGGAGAACAUAAAAGAGUUUUUACACGAAUACAAAGUUAGUUAAGUAGUGAAUAAAGUAAAACUAUUCUGUACAAUUCUAGCUGAUGCAGUCCAAAAAGAAUAUAUGUCUAAUAACUUAAAUAACAAUAAAGAGAAACAAAAGCCUCAUGAAAAAUGCUAGAGUAAAAGUUACAUAACUGAAUCGAUGGACAGAGAACUCCACAGGCAGAGAAACAGCAACAAAAAUUGUCAAAACAGUAGCAAGACCAUGUUGGAGUCAAGGCCAAAGAUCAUAUUUCCUGUGUAUCUUCUUCCAUUCUGAAUUAUUCUCGUAUUCAAAUACUGUAACUCUAUUUCAAGUGCACCCCAAAAUACUUAUCUAAGGCCAGUACAUAGGACUUCAUAAAGGGUGCGAUAAAAAAUAUUGCCCCUUAAUUGAUAAACAGAACCAAGAUCCCAACAGCACACCAAAACUAUACCAACCACACCUACAUAAUAUGGACAGAAAAUCCUGUUGUUCCGAUCUCUAACCACACCAAUGACAUUCAUUAGGAAAAUACAAAAGAUGGGUACCCUGCAUUUCUAACAUUUAAGAUAAAAUUCACUGCCAGCUAAUCACAAAUUUGAAAAGAUGGCAAGAAAAUUGGCUAAGCUUUAACAAAAACCAGAGCAGUCCUUGCAUAGACCUGACUUUUUGCUCCAAGCUUUAGCAGAUCACUUACUGGUAGAGAGCAGAGAACAUGUAUGUGAAUAUCUGAAGUUGGAAGGGUAAGCCAUCACAAACACCAAGAGAUCUGAUUCUCAUCUCUUGUUACAACAACAAAUCACAAACACCAAUACAUCUGAUUCAGAAUCUCAUAAACAAUGGAGGAACAAACACAUAUUCACACACAUAUAAAUCCCUAAACAGAAAAAAUAAAAAAUAAAAAAAAAACCAUGAAAGUCAUAGGAGAAUCAAAUUGAUUUGGGCCAAAAUUGCCUAAAAAGAAAACACUCCUAAAUAAACUUCAAUUCACUUUUAAAAACAGUAAAACAUGAUUGAAUCAUUCUUUAAAACAAUUCCCUAAUAUACAUGCAUGAUAAUGACAUCAUUUACCCCUGAAUCAAAUGCCUUUCACUGGUCAAGCCACAAGUCUGUGUUUUGGGAAUUGCUGAGCUGCAUCAAUCCUGCCAAUGUAAAUUCUGCCCCUAGGCUCUCUCAAAGUGCGUUUACAACCUAUGCUAACAUAUACUAGAGUUUGUUUUAGUAUCUAGAAAAUGCCAACACUAAUUUCGUAACACGUAGAAAUUGUUACAUAUUGGAAGUUUUUAUCAUUUUUUCUUCCAGUCUCUCCACCACUCACUAAUACAGAUUACUCAUGUGAUGAGUUUACAAAACAUAUUUCUCUACUCCCACAAAGACCAUACUUUUUCUCAAAAGACUAUAUCACUUUAUCUCUAUCUUUGUGAAAUGUAAAAAGUUGAAACUUUAAUGUCAAACCUCGACAAAAGAUGAACAUCCAUCAUCAAUUACAUUGAAUUUGAAUUUGUUGAACUUAAGUAGUUUUACUUCUCUGUCAGCGUUUGAUGACUUGAUUUGUUAUUUACUUCUUCUUUUUUCCUUGGAAAUGUGUUCCAUCAACGUGAGGAAGAAAAAUAUGCACAAAUUAAUAUAUUUAAUAGAAGCAAAAAUUAAUAUUUACAAAAAUAUGCACAAAUCAAGUAAAAUUAAUAAAGCAUAAAUUGGAAAGGGAAAAUAUGUAGAGGAUGCAUUGUAGGAUUGCUCAUGCCAAUAAUUGUACCCUCUAAAUAUAUAGGGACAUAUUUUUUUUUGUUUUCAUGACAUGUGGUCCUAAAAUUAUUGUUCUUAGCGGGCUCUCCACCCCUCUCGACUGAAAACCUAUUGUGUAAAUCUUCAAUCCUGAAUGAUGCACCUAAAACUCAUGUUGCAAUACACAUCCACCCAUUCUCAGGCCAAUUAUUACUCCUAGUGGGCUCUCCACCCCCUCUCAAAUUUAAGUGGUCCAUUAUUAUUAACCGUAUAUUUUAUGGACCAGCCAGCUGUGAGGUUUUAUCUCAAAAACCUUUCUCCCACAUGCCACAAUUUAUGUCUGAUACAUCACAUCAUGCCAGUUGUCUCAAAUGAAUUUAAGUGAGUGAGGCAGUGUUACUUCUGGGUACCCCUCAUUAUUCGUCUAUAAAUUGGUGAAGCCAGUUGCUACUGUUACCAUAAGAGCCAGCUCCGACUUUCAAAAUAAAAAUUCCAACAACGGUCUUAGUGCCUUCAAUUGUAUGAGUCAUUGAACAUGCAAAUGAAUAAAAUAUGAAUGAUAAAAGUGUUUGAUAAAUCACCAAGUUAUAGAACACUUGAUGAUUUAUCUCAAAUAAAAAUUCAGCUUUCUAAAGUUUGUGAAUUGAAAAUAUAAUCGUUAAAGCUCUCUAAACAAAGAAGACGAAAGUCUUAUUUUAUAGAAUUUUUCUUUACAAGAAAGAAAACAUGUUGAAAACCAAAUCUCCAAUUUCCAAGGCUUGACAGAAAAUCAAAAAAAUAUCUUUCCUAUUCUAGAGAUUGGUCACAUGUAGUUCAACCAAUAGGAAAUGAGAUAUUUAAGAAAGCAAGAUUUUGAUCAAUACCAAUAUCAAAUGAAUUCUUAUACGCCUAGUCAACUAUUAAGGGUAUCUUGACUCCUUGAUAUUGUGAUAUGAUUGAAACAUGAUUUCCAUGUUAGAAAAUUAAGGGGAUGUUAAAACAUGAAAGUAAUAGGAGAAUCAAAUUGAUUUGGACUAAAAUUGCCUAAAAAGAAAACACUCUUAAAUAAACUUCAAUUCACUUUUAAAAACAGUAAAACAUGAUUGAAUCAUUUUUUAAAACAAUUCCCUAAUAUACAUGCAUGAUAAUGACAUCACUUACCCCUAAAUCAAAUUGUCACGCCCCGGACCUGGGGGUCAGUGGAAACCCCACGUUCGGUGCGUGAGAAAAUAAAAAGUAAAAUAAAAUAAAAAGAAUGCCGAAACAAGGGUUUAAAAUAAACUUCUCUUAUAAAAAUAACUCCAAAAUCUUACAACUUUACAAGAAAUAAAUAAAGCCCUAUCAUUCUUAUCUAAUUCAGCCUCAACUGGUUUAGUCCUUGUCUUGCCCACUAAUUCAUCUAAAAAAUGAAGAGUGUUGCUAAACGAACCCUAAAAUUAAUUGAGUACACCCUACUACCAAACGAUUUAUUGAAUUUGUCACAUCUCGGGAUCAACUCCGCCGUAGCACGAUAUUGUUCGCUUUGGGCCCUCCCUCUCUGGCUCGCAUGGUUUUGUUUCUGGGAACUCACGAGUAACUUCCCAGUGGGUCACCAAUCCUGGGAUUGCUCUAGCCCACAACUCGCUUAACUUCGGAGUUCCUACGACUCCGAAGCCUGUGAGCUCCCAAAAGGUCUCGUGCUAGAUGGAUGCGGGUGUGCACAUAUAAGGCACAUCACCCCCUCUCCGUUGGUUGAUGUGGGAUCUUAUAGAAUUACUAAUUUAUCCUAAUAUAAAAUGACCAAAGAAGAUAAAAUAAUAUUGGUAUCUAUUGCUUUGAAUCCAUGCCUUCAAACAAAUUGACUUAAUUUUUAACAAACAACACGGAGUCCAGGAGAAGUGUAUUGAUCCAAGUUGAUUUUUGUAUGCGUAAAACUUAAACAAUCAAUAACACAAAGCAGUUCAUGCUGAAAUAUUGGAAACCCACACCCAAAGAGUUCUCCGCUGCGAGGUUGAAGGCAGGAGAGAUGGGUGACAGAUUUUACUUCCACUGCGAAGUUGGAGGCUAGGAGAGUCUGUGACUGCCAUGGUUGAGGGAGAAGAUGCGUUCAAAAUGCCUAUUGAUAUUUUACAUUAUUGGCUUUUUUCAAAAGUGAAAGUUUUUUUAUGGGUAAAACCUAAAUUUACUUUUUCUAUACAAGUUAACAGUGUUUGUGUAUUGUGAAAAGGUGGAGAGACGUGUCAAAAUUUUAGACAAAGGACAGGAGGAGAUAGGGAAUUUGGGGACAGCAGAUCUCAACUCCCUUGAGACCCUAUUCUCUACGCCACCCCUCCCCCUCAACAACCCUAGUCACCAUUUCUCCUUCAACUCCAACGGCAACUCAUUAAAACCCAAUUCUCAAAUGCAACAAUCUAAUCCCAAUCCCAAUUCAGAUGUUUCUAAAAAACCCAUUGUCGUGGUGGAGAACUGCAAUUCCAGGUGGUGGUGGUGGUACCACAUGGGAGAGAGAAAAAAGAAGAAGAAGAAGCAGGAGAGAGAGAGUUUUUUAUUUUAUUAUUAUUUUACUGUAAUUUUUUAAUUUAAAUAAUUAAAAAAAUUAAAAGUUAAAGAGGAUGUACCAUGGGUAUUUUUGGUAGUUAAAUAAGGUGUACUUAGGGUCAGUUUGGCAUUGCUGUGCUGUGAAAAUAAUAGCUGUCAGAUUUGCUGUGAGAGAAAUCAGCUGUGAGAGAAAUCAGUUUGGCGUUUGAUAAAAUUUUUGUUAAAAGUGUGUUGAUAUUGAUUUUAUGCUUAAUCCGAAAAUGAUUGCUGCAUAAUCAUUAAACCCAGCGCCUCUUCGAAACUGAUUCCUAUAUAAUCAGAAAAUGAAAGCACCUCAUUAGCUGCUUUCCUUUAUAGCUUUCUCUCACAGCAAUUUUUAACAAUAAGUGAUUUUCUCACAGUUUACCAAACGGGUUGGGCUUCUCAAAAUUUUUUAAAAAUCACUUAUUACCCCAAAUAAGCAAUACCAAACGGGCACUUAGUUAAUUUUACAUUUUAAUUUAAACAUUAGGGUGUACUCAGUUAAUUUUAGGGUUCGUUCAGCAGCACUCAAAAUUAAACAAGGUGAGGGAUGAGCAAGUAGGGACAUGAGACAUUGCCACAGUAGAUUGAUAUAACUAAAUAUUAUUAUAAACAUAGAAAUAUAUAAGUAUUAUUAUAAUAGGAUUCAUAAUAAUUAAUAUAAAAGUAUAACAACAAUAUUUACAUUUAUGUACCAAGAUAAUUACACAUAUAAAUAUAACCAAUAUAUAUUUUUAUAUAUUUUAAAAUAUAAGUCUUUACGUAAAUGCCUUUCACGGGUCAAGCCACAAGUCUGUGUUUUGGGGAUUGCUGAGCUGCAUCAAUCCUGCCAAUGUCAAUUCUGCCCCUGAGCUCUCUCAAAGCACGUUUAAAACCUAUGCUAACAUAUACUAGAGUUUAUGCUGUAUCUAGAAAAUGCCAACACUAAUUUCGUAACACGUAGAAAUUGUUAGAGAUUGGAAGUUUUUAUCAUUUUUUCUUCCAGUCUCUCCACUACUUAUUAAUACAGAUUACUCAUGUGAUGAGUUUACAAAACCUAUUUCUCUACUCUCGCAAAGACUAAACUUCUUCUCAAAAGACUAGAUCACUUUACCUCUAUCUCUGUGAAAUGUAAAAAGUUGAAACUUUAAUGUCAAACCUCGACAAAGUGUUCUACUUUACAAACUUCUUGUGUCUACCAAUUUGUACUAAAAUUAAUUUCUCUACAGUGCUCAGAUUCAUCAUAUGUGUGUCCUUAAUUUUAGUGGAAAUUGGAAGUUUCCAUAAUUUUUGCUUUAAGUCACUCUUCUGAAGGAAGUUGAGGUUCCACUUCAUAAUCCAAAAUGUCAGGUUGACUUAUGGCAAACAAUGUAAAUAUGUAGGAGUACUAUGACCUUUUAUAGCAUUUUUAGUUUGAAUUUGGGUUUUAUACAUAGAUUUCAAAAUUAAUAGGUUGAUGCCUAGGAAAUAGAAAUUGUAAGGGCCUAUAUUAGAGUAGCCCUCUUAAAAAUAAUAUUAAUUAAUGAAUAUUUGUUCUUCUUGUUGUUUUGAAGUAGUGGUGGGAGGCAGACCAACAAAAAAAAAAUAUAGUGAAGGCUUAUAAGAGCAUUUACAAUCAUGCUCCCUAUUUUUUAGUUAAAAUUUAGCUAAAAAUAGAAAAAAAGUUAUUAUAGGAGCUCUUUAUAAAGCUCCUUUAUAAAAUUUGAACUCCAAUCAUACUCCCUAGUUUAGGGAGUCAAAAAUACUAUAGUUAUUUUUUAAUUCAAUUUGAUUUUGGUUAAUCUCUAUAAAUAUGAAAAAAUAGUUAGCAUUAAUUAAAAGUUUAAACUAUGCAUAAAACAAAGAAACAUUAAAUUAUAGGGAGCCACUAUGAGUCAUUACUCUCUCCUCAGAUUUAGGAGCUCCUAAAGGUCUCCCUAUUUUAUGAGGUGGAUAAGGAGCAUGGUUGGAGUUGUAUUUCUUCAAUUUCCUCCCUAAAAUUUGUCUAAGGAUGUGGUUUAGGGAGCCCAUUGUGAAUGCUCUAACUCUGGUAAAACACGAGUGACAUGGACAACAUAUGUUACGUCGUACUGAAGAUUUUUGGGUUUCUUUAAUUGGUUAAGUAGCAUCCACACAGCUUCCUAAAUCAUCUCCUUAGACAAAUUUUAGGGAGGAAUUGGAAAAGUACAACUCCAACUAUGCUCCCUAUCCACCAACUAAAAUAGGGAGACUUCUAGGAGCUCCUAAAUCUGAUGAGAGAGAAAGGACUCUUAAUGACUCCCUAUAAUUUAAUGUUGCUUUAUAUUAUUUUGUAUACAGACGGGUCAAUUAUAUUAAAUUAAAAAAUAAUUAAAGUAUUUAUGACUCUCUAAACUAGUGAGCAUAAUUGUAGAUCAUCUUAUAUACCUUAAUUUGAAGAUUCUUUAUUUGGGUUUCUUUCAAGACUUAUCACCUUAGCCACGCCACCUACACGUCUGCAAGCUUUCCUAACAAGGAAGGGGAGGCUGCGCAAUACUUAUCACCUUAGCCACACUACACCAAAUUGACGUCUGCAAGCUUUCGUAAUCUAACAAGGAAGGGGAGGCUGCGCAAUACUUAUCACCUUAGCCACACCAACACCACAAGACCAAUAUGUGUAGUCCAGGAGGCUUUCCCAUUUUAAUAUAUAUUAUCAAAUAAAAUAAAAAUCAAUCUAUUAUCAUAUAUAUUAUAAAAUAAAGAUUAUUGCUCCAUCCUCCAUGCACUUGCAUGCCUCUUACAAAGUGUGAAGUAGAUUUUGUGUGCUCCAAGUCAUUGACGAGAGCUGUAACAUGGUUAGCUGGAUUUAUAAGAUCUUUUCUUUUCUGGGAAUUUUCUGAAUCAAGAAAAAUUAAGUAAAAUUAAUAAAGCAUAAAUUAGAAAGGAAAAAUAUCUAGAGGAUGCAUUGUAGGAUUGCACAUGCCAAUAAUUGUAUCCUCUAAAUAUAUAGGGACAUAUUUUUUUGUUUUCAUGACAUGUGGCCCUAAAAUUAUUGUUCCUAGCGGGCUCUCCACCCCCUCUCGAUUGAAAACUAAUUGUGUAAAUCUUCAAUCUUGAAUGAUGCACCUAAAACUCAAGUGUCCCAGGCCAAUUAUUGCUCUCAUACCACUUGUUGUAAUAAACAUCCAUCCAUUCUAAAGGAAAGAUAACCAUCGAUAUUAUCUCAAAUUUAACCACUUAAGUUCAUUAUGAUUAACUAUGUAUCUUAUGGACCAAUCCAAUCAUGAGGUUUUAUACCCAAUUAGAUCGACUAAUACAAAGUUCACACGUGGAUUGAAAAGCGCUAUCAGUAGGGGAGUGUUCGGCACCCUUUACUGCCGAACGCAACACAAGACCCCUUGCAUGCCUUCACUAAGUUGAGCCUAUCUAUUUUUUAGCAUUAACAAUAUAUAUAGAUUGAAAAAAUAAAAUAAAAAUCAAUCUAUUAUCAUAUAAAAUAAAUAUUAUUGCUCCAUCCUCCAUACACUUGCAUGCCCUCUUACAAAGUGUGAAGUAGAUUUUUUGUGCUCCAACUCAUUGACUAGGGCUGAAACAUGGUUAGUUGGAUUUAUAAGAUCUUUUCUUUUCUGGGAAUUUUCUGAAGCACGGAAAAUCAAAUAAAAUUAAUAAAGCAGAAACUGUACCCUUUAAUUAUAUAUGGACGUAUGUUUUUUUGUUUUCAAGUCUUAGAUGACAUGGGGACCUAAAAUUAUUGCUCCUAGUGGACUCUCGACCCCUCUCAAAUUUAAGUGGUCCAUUAUUAUUAACCACAUAUUUUAUGGACCAUGCAGCUGUGAGGUUUUAUCUCAAAAACCUUCGGUACAUUUCUCCCACAUGCCACAAUUGUAUAUUCACAAUUACGGCUGUUACGUCACAUCAUGCCACUUGCCUCACAUGCAACAAGUCUGUGUUUUGGGGAUUGCCGAGCUGCAUCAAUUCUGCCAAUGUCAAUUCUGCCCCUGGACUCUCUCAAAGCACAUUUAAAACCUAUGCGAACAUAUAUUAGAGUUUAUGAUGUAUGUAUCUAGAAAAUGCCAACACUAAUUUCGUAACAUGUAAAAAUUAUUAGAGAUUGGAAGUUUUUAUCAUUUUUUCUUCCAGUCUCUCCACCACUUAUUAAUACAGAUUACUCAUGUGAUGAGUUUACAAAACCUAUUUCUCUACUCUCGCAAAGACUAAACUUCUUCUCAAAAGACUAGAUCACUUUACCUCUAUCUCUGUGAAAUGUAAAAAGUUGAAACUUUAAUGUCAAACCUCGACAAAGUGUUCUACUUUACAAACUUCUUGUGUCUACCAAUUUGUACUAAAAUUAAUUUAUCUACGGUGCUCAGCUUCAUCGUAUGUGUGUCCUUAAUUUUAGUGGAAAUUGGAAGUUUCCAUAAUUUUUGCUUUAAGUCACUCUUCUGAAGGAAGUUGAGGUUCCACUCCAUAAUCCCAAAUGUCAGGUUGACUUAUGGCAAACAAUGUAAAUAUGUAGGAGUACUAUGACCUUUUAUAGCAUUUUUAGUUUGAAUUUGGGUUUUAUACAUAGAUUUCAAAAUUAAUAGGUUGAUGCCUAGGAAAUAGAAAUUGUAAGGGCCUAUAUUAGAGUAGCCCUCUUAAAAAUAAUAUUAAUUAAUGAAUAUUUGUUCUUCUUGUUGUUUUGAAGUAGUGGUGGGAGGCAGACCAACAAAAAAAAUAUAGUGAAGGCUUAUAAGAGCAUUUACAAUCAUGCUCCCUAUUUUUUAGUUAAAAUUUAGCUAAAAAUAGAAAAAAGUUAUUAUAGGAGCUCUUUAUAAAAUUUGAAUUCCAAUCGUACUCCCUAAUUUAGGGAGUCAUAAAUAUUAUAGUUAUUUUUUAAUUCAAUUUGAUUUUGGUUAAUCUCUAUAAAUAAAUAAAAAUAUGAAAAAAUAGUUAGCAUUAAUUAAAAGUUUAAACUAUGCAUAAAACAAAGAAACAUUAAAUUAUAGGGAGCCACUAUGCCAAUAAUUGUAUCCUCUAAAUAUAUAGGGACAUAUUUUUUUUGUUUUCAUGACAUGUGGCCCUAAAAUUAUUGUUCCUAGCGGGCUCUCCAACCCCUCUCGAUUGAAAACCAAUUGUGUAAAUCUUCAAUCUUGAAUGAUGCACCUAAAACUCAAGUGUCCCAGGCCAAUUAUUGCUCUCAUACCACGUGUUGUAAUAAACAUCCAUCCAUUCUAAAGGAAAGAUAACCAUCGAUAUUAUCUCAAAUUUAACCACUUAAGUUCAUUAUGAUUAACUAUGUAUCUUAUGAACCAAUCCAAUCGUGAGGUUUUAUACCCAAUUAGAUCGACCAAUACAAAGUUCACACGUGGAUUGAAAAGCACUAUCAAUAGGGGAGUGUUCGGCACCCUUUACUGCCGAGCGCAACACAAGAUCCCUUGCAUGCCCUCACUAAGUUGAGCCCAACUAUUUUUUAGCAUUAACAAUAUAUAUAGAUUGAAAAAAUAAAAUAAAAAUCAAUCUAUUAUCAUAUAUUUUAUAAAAUACAUAUUAUUGCUCCAUCCUCCAUACACUUGCAUGCCCUCUUACAAAGUGUGAAGUAGAUUUUUUGUGCUCCAACUCAUUGACUAGGGCUGAAACAUGGUUAGUUAGAUUUAUAAGAUCUUUUGUUUUUUGGGAAUUUUCUGAAGCAAGGAAAAUCAAAUAAAAUUAAUAAAGCAGAAACUGUACCCUUUAAUUAUAUAUGGACAUAUGUUUUUUUGUUUUUUUGCUCUCGACCCCUCUCAAAUUUAAGUGGUCCAUUAUUGUUAACCACAUAUUUUAUGGACCAUCCAGCUUCGGUACAUUUCAAAAAGCUUCGGUACAUUUCUCCCACAUGACACAAUUGUAUAUUCACAAUUACUUCUGGGUACCCCUCAUCAGUCGUCUAUAAAAUGGUGAAGCCAGUUGCUACUGUUACCAUAAGAGCCAGCUCCGACUUUCUUUAAUUUCUUGCUACAUCUGUUGCUAAGUUAAUUUCAGUCCUAAUGGGGUUUCAUCUCCCACUCAUCUUUGCUAUUCUCAGUGUAAGCUCUGCAAUUUGAUUAACUUUUCCAUUCUCUCUCAUUGUACUCUAUAUAUAUAAAUGAAAGUUUUGUGUUCCUAUAAUUCUCUCCGAUUUUAUUUAGUACGUACUUAAGUGUCGUCCACUAAUUAAUUACACUUUGUGAGAUUUGAUUUUAAUUAGAGUUCGAAUUAAUGUUGCAGCUAGCAGCGGUUGCACUGGCAAACAAUGCUGCUCAACCAGCACCUCAACUUUACUGGAACUCCGUCCUGCCAAACACACAGAUGCCAAGAUCUAUCAGUGAACUUCUGCAUCCUGGUUUGUGUUCAGCUCUUUAUAAUCUUAGAUAUCUCUUCUACCUGCCAUUUUACUAAAAUAUGUUCGACCACAUAUUUAUCAGCUAACUACUGUGAUUACAAGAAUGACACUUAUUUUCCAAUAUAAUUUGCAGACUCCACAAAUGAAGAAAAGAGCAAACCUGAAAUUUUCCCAUUGCAGGGCAAUAGAGUUUACACUCAAAGCCAUUAUAAAAAACGUCCUCCUCCUCCAUCUGACGAGGGCAAACCUGAAACUUUCCCAUUGGGCAAUAGCCAUUACACUCAAACCCGUUAUAAAAAACGUCCUCCUCCUCCAUCUGACGAGGGCAAACCUGAAAAUUUCCCAUUGGGCAAUAGCCAUUACACUCAAACCCGUUAUAAAAAACGUCCUCCUCCUCCAUCCGACGAGGGCAAACCUGAAAAUUUCCCAUUGGCCAAUAGCUUUUACACUCAAACCCGUUAUAAAAAACGUCCUCCUCCUCCAUCUGACGAGGGCAAACCUGAAAAUUUCCCAUUGGCCAAUAGCUUUUACACUCAAAGCCAUUAUAAAAAACGUCCUCCUCCUCCAUCUGACGAGGGCAAACCUGAAAAUUUCCCAUUGGCACGUUCUCCUCCAUCUGACAGUCAACUAAAGCAUUACAAAGACUUAGCUAUUUUCUUCUUCGAGAAGGACAUGCGCCCGGGCACAACUAUGAAGUUCCAAUUCCCUAGAAAUUCAAACACGGCUACUUUCCUGCCACGCGAAAGUGCUCAAUCGAUCCCCUUCUCCUCUAAGAAACUACCAGAAAUUUUCAACCAUUUUUCAGUGAAGCCAACAUCUGAGGAAGCCAAAACAAUUAAGCAAACAAUCGAAGAGUGUGAAGCUCCAGGCCUUAAGGGAGAGGAAAAAUAUUGCGCCACAUCUUUAGAAUCAAUGGUUGAUUUUAGCACUUCGAAGCUUGGAACAAGAAACGUUGAAGCAAUCUCAACGGAGGUAUUGGAAGAAGGAGCCACCAAGUACAUGCACAACUAUACAACAAUGCCGGGACUGAAGAAGUUGGAAGGUGACAAAGUCGUUGUGUGUCAUAAGGAGAACUAUCCCUAUGCUGUGUUUCUCUGCCAUGCAAUAAAACAAACAGAAGCUUAUGUUCUCUCCCUGAAAGCCGAUGAUGGGAUGAAGGUGAAAGCAGUAACCAUCUGCCAUCUAGACACAUCAGAAUGGGACCCAGAGCAUUUGUCCUUCCAAAUCCUCAACGUUAAGCCCGGAACCACUCCCAUCUGCCAUUUCCUUACCACUGAUGCUAUUGCCUGGGUUCCAAAACACAAAUCUGCAUGAUCAUCACUUAGCACUGUACGUGUAAUAAGCUUGGUCGGGUUGCACCCUAGGCCUGCAUAAUUAUCUCCCUACUUAUUUCUGCCUCUUCAUCAUGCGGUGUAAGAUAUAUGAUGAGAUGAAGUUUUCUCUUGUAACUAUGUAGACUACUUCAACUUGUACUCAUAAUAAAGCACGCUGUUGGGGGGUUCUACUUAAUUUCGUUCUCUCCAAUGUUUGAGUGUUGAAUUGUUACGUUGGAAUAGGCUGCUAAUGCAUGUAGUUAGAGAAGCCUUCAUUUAUAUCAAAGUCCUCAAACUAUCAAGAAUUAAUGUAUCCAGAAACAUAUACCAAGACGCAAAACAACAUAUUUUCCAUUCUCUGUCUGUAACACCAAAGCAAACUUCCUUUAUCACAUCAUUUAAAGGAUCAAAUUCCAGUACUAAUCUAAUCCAUCAUGUAAAGCAUACAAGUGCCUACCUAAAUUUGUCCAUUGGAUAUAUAUGUCACUUUUUAUUUUUUGAUAGAGAUAUAAAUGUUGAAAAAAUUAGAGUACACAACUCUUAUAGACACUACUACGAUUUACUAUUUGCGCGACGGAAGUUUGCGCGACGAACAUUGUUUCGUCGCGCAAAAAGCACUAUUGCGACGAAAAAAAAAUACCGUAGCGCAAACAACAUAACACAAGCGCGACAAACAGUUUCGUCGCGCAAACAAUCUAUGCGCGACCAAUAUUAAUUUCGUCGCGCAAAGGUAGGGGAAAAAAACCCGGUUUUUUUUUUUUGGCGCCAUAAUCUUGCGCGACAACAACAAUCGUCGCGCAUGACAAUAUUGCGCGACAAUUCAAAGAAUUCGUCAGGUAAAGAUGGACAGAAAAUUGUCUCAUUUUUUUGGCGGUAAAAAACUUUGCGCGACGAAAUUUUUCGUCUCAAAAGACAACUUAGCGCGACGGAAAUAUGUACCGUCGCGUAAAAAAACGAGGGAUACUUAUUUUUGGCGCCAAAAUGCAGGGUGGAUAAAAAAAAUUUUGCGCGACGGAAUUACCUUCGUCGCGUAAAGUGUAAUGCCGGUGCUUUCUUGCGCGACGAAAUAAAUAAUUUGCGCGACGUAAUUUAAACCUUGCGCGACGAAAAGUAUUAUUUGCGCGACGAAAUUUUGUGCGACGAAUAAUAUGUUUCGUCGCACAAAAAAGCAGAUGUCGACAGGUAAUUGCGCGACGGAAAUGUUGUUUUGUGCGAUGGAAAAGUGGGUUUUCGCGACGGCAUUUUGCGCGACGGAUAUUGGUGUUCGUCGCGCAAAGUCCUUCUUCUUCAUAUUAGUAUCUGCCAUUGCAGAGGCAGAAUGCAGAAAUUGCAUUCUGCCUCUCUCUCACUCUCCCUGCCGCUGCUCUGCUGUGAAUUCAAUACGUUCAUUGGGUAUGUAUUUUUUGUCGUUAGUUUAAAUGUAUUAAUGUAAAUUCGUAGUAACGCUAUUAAUUUUGUUAUCGUUAGGGAUAUUUGUGAUUAGUGAUUGGUGGAGAACGAUUGAGAAGGUAUGUUAUUGUAAAAGUUUGUUUGUUAUGUUUGUAAUUUUUUUGUGAAGUUAUAUGUAUAUAAUGUUGUGAAAUUGUGCGUGACAUAGCACAAUGUGUUGUGAUGUACGAAGUUAAUUGAAAUUAACUUCGUACUUUUAUUUUUAUGUUUAGUAACACGUAGUUUCCCGUUCGAGAUUAGUUGGAUUUCGUGCAUGGAUGAGUAAUGCAUGACUGCGGUCCAAUUAAUUCUUGAAUUGUCCCAUUAUUUGGACAGUUUGGUAAUGCAUAGUGUUGUCACAUAAUCUUCGGCUACAGGAUUAGGUUUCGAUUGUGGAGAUUUCGGUGUCAUCUCGGUACGUUCUUCGAGUGGUACGUAGGUAUUUAUACCUAUGCCCACUUCAAGAACUGUGUCGAGAUGCUGCCGAAAUUAAUCCACGUCGAAAUCUAAUCUCAUGUAGCCGUAGGUUACGUGACAGGACUAUGCAUUCCCGAAUGGGAUAGGGCCCUUACCGGAGGCAUAAGGUGACAUUAUAACUUCGUAUGAAGUUGUUGUGAUUGUUGUGUCGUGAUUGUGGUUUCAUGAAUUAUGAGCAGAAGGUGGAUACAUAACCCGAAUAGAUGCGCAGACGAAUACUUGGAUGGAAUCGAGGAUUUUAUUGAGUUUGCACAUAGACACAACCCGGGUGCAAGUAGAAUCCGUUGUCCUUGUAGGAGGUGUAACAACACGUUGUGGGAGACAAUUGAAAAUGUUGGAUUUCAUUUAGUAAGGAAUGGAAUGAUUGAAACAUAUAGCAUUUGGAACCUUCACGGCGAACAUGUAGGCCAUGCUUCGUCUUCAAAUGCCCCAAGAGUGGACAAUGUUGAACCUAUUGUGGAUCCUAAUGAUCAAGUCAUGGGUAUUAUACAGGAUGCUUUUCCAUUCGCAUCGACCAACAUCAAUCAGGAAGGGGAAGAUAACGUGCCUACACCAAUAGACAGUGCGGAGUUUGAACAGUAUGAAAAACUGUUAAAAAAUGCCAACCAAGAGUUAUACCCGGGGUACGAGAGCUUUUCCGUUCUCACUUCUAUUGUGGAGCUAAUGCACGGAAAAAUAAAGUAUCGUAUGUCGAACUUGUGUUUCGAUUACUUUUUGGGGGUUUUCAAGAGAAUGCUUCCGACGGAUAAUUAUUUGCCGAAAGACCAGAAACAUGCACAGAAGGUGUUGCAUGGUCUUGGAUUGGGUUAUGAAAAAAUCCACGCUUGCAAAAACAAUUGCAUGUUAUUCUACAAAGAGCAUGAAACGUUGGAUACAUGCCCUAUAUGCAAUGAGUCGAGGUUCAAAAUGACAUCCCAGAAUAGAACGACUAAGAUACCACAAAAAGUCAUGCGUUAUCUGCCCCUUAAACCUGGGUUGCAGCGAUUGUAUAUGUCGACGCAUACUGCCACAGACAUGAGAUGGCAUAAGGAAAAACGGGUAGACGAUGAUGUGAUGCGGCAUCCUGCAGAUGGGGAGGCAUGGAAAGAGUUCGAUCGAACGUUCCCCGAGUUUGCUGCUGAUCCCCGAAAUGUAAGAUUGGGACUUGCCACUGACGGAUUCAAUCCGUAUGGGGUUCUAAACCAACACCACAGCACUUGGCCGAUUUUCGCAUUCCCAUAUAAUUUGCCGCCUUGGAAAUGCAUGAAAAAAGAAUACAUGAUGAUGACUGUUUUGAUAACUGAGGAUCCUGGCAGGUCAAUUGAUGUGUACUUAAGGCCUCUGGUUGAUGAGCUGAAAGAUUUAUGGACAAACGGUGUUCGCACGUACGAUAAAUCAACUGGGAGGAUGUUCACUUUGCGAGCAGCAAUUAUGUGGACUGUGAAUGAUUUUCCAGCAUAUGCAAUGGUUUCUGGGUGGAGCACAAAAGGUUAUAUGGCAUGUCAUGUAUGCAAGGAAGAUGUAACUUCUGGUUGGCACGCGGGAAAAGUUUGUUACCUUGGUCAUCGGAGAUGGUUGCCAUGGGACCACGAGUGGCGAGAAAAAGAUAAAGAGUUCAACGGGAACACAGAGCGUCGCCUCAGACCUGGAGAAUGGUCCGGUGAUGAGAUCUUGGAACAGCUGAACCGUUUGGAUUUUGGUCCGUUCGGAAAAACAAUUAGUCGGACCAGACCUUCUACACAUUUGAACUGGACGCACAAGCCUAUGUUUUUUGAGCUCCCAUAUUGGUCGAAACUGAAAUUGAGGCACAAUCUAGAUGUGAUGCAUGUUGAGAAAAAUGUAUUCGACACAUUGGUGGGCACGAUUCUAGAUAUCGAGGGGAAGACGAAGGACACGAUCAAAGCUCGUCUUGAUUUGGAAAGAAUGGGCAUACGAAGGGGUUUAUGGAUGAAUAGGGACAGUGAUAAAGCUAGAAGGGAUCUUGCAUUCUUUUCUAUGAAACCGAAUGACAAAAAGGAGUUUCUAAAGUUUGUAUCGUCUGUCAAAUUUCCCGAUGGGUAUGCUUCUAAUAUCGCACGUUGCGUGAAUGUCGAUGGGGGUAAAUUUACUGGACUUAAGAGCCAUGACUGCCAUGUUCCUGUGGGUAUUCGACACCUACUGCCGGAAGAUGUGGUGAAGCCAAUCAUGUUGUUAUCCAGAUUUUUUUCCCAACUGACGGCAAAAACAUUGCGAAGGACAGACAUGUUUCAGUUGCGCCAUGACAUUGUCCAAGUCCUAUGCAAGUUUGAGAUGAUAUUUCCUCCGGCUUUCUUUACAAGUAUGAUGCACGUAAUGGUUCACUUGCCAGAAGAGGCAUUGCUUGCUGGUCCUGUCAACUAUCGCUGGAUGUAUCCAAUAGAAAGGUAUAUAAUCUUUAUCAUUUGUGUAUGCAUCAUUAUCGACACUUUGCUAAUUUGUAUCAUAUCGUUUUAUUUUGGCAGGCUUCUCGGAGAGCUGAAAAAAAGUGUACGCAACAGGGCAAAGCCCGAAGGAUUAAUUAUAGAGGCUUGGGUUCAAUAUGAGUCGCUUACUUUCUGUGGAAUGUAUUUAAAAGAUGUGGAGACGGUUUUCAAUCGUCCUCAACGCAAUAAUGACGGAGGUAUGAGAAAUGAAAAACUUUUUGUUUUUGCCCAAAGCGCAUGACCAUUUGGAGAUCCUGGACGAGGAGAGUCGUUUUCUAGAAAUGACAUGGAGGUAGCGCAUUGGUUCGUACUGAACAAUUGUGAUGAGAUAAUGGCCUACUUAGAUGAGCAUGAACAGAUGAUGAAGCGAGAACAUCCAUCACAUUUGGUUGCCCGGAAACAUCGUGAAUUAUUUCCACAAUGGUUUUUGGAUUCUGUAAGUUAUAACUGUUUUGUAAUUGACAAAUAUAAAUUGUAGUAUUUAAUUUUGUCAGACUAACAUGUAAAUGAUUUUGUAUACUAUUAGGUGAAUAAAUUGAAAUCAUCGAAUUCCCCCACUUACAGUGAUGAGUUAUAUAACUUGGCGUUCGGCCCAAUUCGUGCUGAGUUGUUCUCGGGUUGUAAUGUUAACGGCGUCAAAUUUUUGGGGGCCGCACGAGAUGACAAGUUGUGUAUGCAAAACAGCGGUGUCCAUGUCCCAGGUGGAGGCGAAAGUACGGACAUUGAUUUCUAUGGCAAACUGACAACUGUCGUGCAAUUGCUUUAGAAAGAUCGAUACCAAGUCAUCAUGUUUAAGUGUCGAUGGUUCGAUACCAACCCAAAUAGGGCGGGAAGUGUUAAAAUCGACCAUGGAGUACUGUUUGUGAACAUGGCGUCCCAAAUUGUGUAUCUAGAUGACCCUAAAGCCGGGAGCGGGUGAAAAGUUGUGCAGAAGAUGGAUCAUAGGAACGUGUAUGAUAUACCAGAACUAGACCCAAGUGACAACGACGUCGACAAUGUGGCUGACCAACGUUUAGAAUCUUCAAUGGAAAAUGAUGCGGAAACACUUCGAGAUACAAAUGUUAUACAAGAACCGUUUCAAAUAGAAGGAGUGUCUUCAGUAGAAAUACCGAUUCAGUCAAUUACAAUUGACCUCGGUGAUCUUCCCCGAUACGAUGUUGCAGUGGGUCCUAGCAACGCCGAUGAUGCAGUUAUAGAGGAGGAGGAGGAAGAAGAUUGGGAGACCGAGAGUGAUGAUAGCGA